UCAUGAGCAGAAGGUAGUCCCUUUUUCUGGGGUUUCAUCCAUUGAUAUAUUGCAGCCUGGAAAGCCAGAGUCGCGUUUUGUUCAAUGUAUUCAGGAUGGUUCAAAAGAUCUUGCUUGAGGCCUUCACCAACAGGCCCGUAGUUGUAGUUCCUAAGACAACAUACACGGAUACAGUCAGAAAAAUAUGCAGGACUGAAGCAAUUACUAAAAUGCAAUAGAGUUAAAAUACCGAACCCCUCCCCCCCCCCCGGCCCGCCGGCCCAAAAAAAAAAACCCGCACAAAAAAAAAUUCUAAGCAUGGAGCCCUUCAAUAUCUAUAAUCAUCAUGCGAGCAUUACAGACUUUACAAUUCUAAGAAACAGGGACAGUUAGAAUGGAAAACAAAUUAACUUUGUGUAGUCUUUGUUAAGAAAGCUUGAUUCAGUAGGAAUCAGUGAACUAAAUUAUGGCAGAUGAUAAUUAAGGACUAUUUCCAUAAAACAAUCAACAAAGCUUGCAGAAAGCAAAUGGCAUUUAGUUCCACAUCCAACUGAAAUUUCGAGGCAUAAAUAGCAUAUCUAAAUCACUGGUACUGCUUUUUUCUUCCCUCUCACUGUCUCUCUCUCUGAUCAUGUCAAAGACCUCACUUAGCCUGUAAAAAGUAACAAUCAAGUAAGGGAAGAAAGAACACCACCACAUACCAAUAAAGAGGUAGUGCACCACGACCAUGGUAACUAACUCCAGGAGCACAUGGAUAGGUUAACUUGAAGUAAUCAUCACAGUAUAUUGAGCUAGGACUCAUUUCCUUGUUGUAGCAUAGACCCCAAGCCAAGGGCCCCCUGUGGCUACCCCAUAACCACCUGCACCAUUAUCAGAAGCAUCAACUUUAAAUGGACUUAAGCAAGAAAAUGAAGUCAAUGCAACCAAAAAUCAAAGAAAAUUUCUCCCUCGUGAGCAACUUCCUCAAAUCUCAAUUUCAGCUUCAAGGCACCAUUUAGUUGGAUGCUGAUUGGAGAAAUUUAUCUCAUAAGUUUAGAUAGACAAAGCUAUUUGCCUAAGGAUUUAUUUGUUUCACCACACUUCCAACUUUAUUCAUUGUUACACAUUUUCUAAGUCUGUCUUCACAGAUACUAGCAAACAGUAGGGAUGGUAAAAAAAAUAUCCACAUAACAGUAGGACUUAGUUAUAAUAGUAUUAUAGAUAGAGAUACUAAUCAUAUAUACACACAUAGUACUUGCAAAGAAGGUGAGAUAUAGGAGCAUUAAAUGCAAGAAUAGGCGAGCUAAGAAUGGGCAAUGCUAAGAAUAGGCGAGCAAUGAAAGUGUUAAAAAAUGGGCAAUGCUAACUAAAUUUUGCACUUCCUUUUUUAAUUUUUUUCCUUUUUAGCAAGGGAGAGGAUGGGAUUUAAGAAAUGGGGAUGGAAAGAAAGAAAAAAAGGGGGGGGGGGGGGAUUUCAGUACUAAAUCUUACAAUUCUAAAAGAAAUAUAUUUCCUUGAAAGUCACGACACAUUACAUAUAUAGGAGAAUGAAAAUCAAGAAUUAAAAAAUUUUCUUGUGCUCAGUAACAAUGCUGAAAAUAAUUUGCAUCACAUACACAAAAUAUGGUAACACUUGCAUACUCUGUUUUCAUGCUACUUUACGAGUCUUAAAUGUACCUGAAUAAGAAAUGACUAAACUAAUCUGAGAUUCUUUUUUAUUUUGACUAGAACUCGUUCAAAAGAAUGUUCACAGCGAAAAGAAAACUACAGUGAUUGUACCAUCACAUCCAUCUUUUGCUUAUAUGCAAAGAAAACAACAGAUAUAAACCUCCUAUAAUGAAACUUUUAGAUCCAAAUAAAUCAGUUCAAAACAGCACUAAAUCACAAACUAUCAUGUCAGAUCUCAAUUCUGGCCCCAAAAAAGAAAGAACUUCUAUCCAUACACUCAAUCUAGGUAAUACGCAUUCCAAGAUCAGUAAGAAUCUGAGUAAUUCCACACGAUACACUAAGUCUCUUAAAACCAAUAAUUCUAGCCACAAAUCUACAUCCACCGACAAACAUGUCCAACCUAGACAGCAUCCCUACAAGCUCGUGUAUUGUUCUUUGAAAGAAAUGGAAUCAAUGAAAUGAAAGAUGGAGUCAUAUUCUCUAAAUUAAGAAUAGAGUUUCUAAAAAACACAACAAAUUUCCAUUUCCAAAUCUCAUGAAGAACCAAACGCAACUCAACUAAAUUAGGGAAAACACGCUAUAAUUCCAUAUCAUCUCCUUACCUUUUCAAACAUGAUAUUAUAUUUGAUAUUAAGUACUAGCCAUCCAUUUUUGAAUUAACCCCUUCGAAACCGACAACCAAAAAAAAAAGGUAAAAUGGAUGGUAAAUUCUUAUGCAUAUAUAUAAAAACAAACAAAACUUUAAAUCCAUCAAAAAAAAGGAGAGGAACUUACAAGAAGUUUUGGCACCGACAUGACCAAGAAAUGCGGAAAGCUCCAACAUCUGGGCAGUCUUGUUUCCAGUGGUACCAAAUCCCAAAGGCUGGAAAAGAGCAGCUGCGUGAAUGAAAGAUUCGUAAUCCCAAAACCCAACGGCAUGAGCCACCGGCGAAUUCCUCUUGGAGAACAGAUUCUCAAACUGGUAAGUCUGAAAAUAGUCCGAGAUCGUCAGAUUACAACAGUAAACAGAUGGGGUCGAACAUUCCCACCCCUUUGUACAGUACUUCUUCCCCUUCACAACCUUCACCACUUUCGACGGCACCGCCGACUCGUCGGCGUAGGAAAUCGCCGGUGAAAGAAUCAAAAUUAGACAAAUAACCGGCAAAAACAUCUUGAAAUUCAACAUUUCUUUACAAUGCAGCAGGGAUUAAAACGGUCGGUUUUUUCUGCUGGGAUUUUUGGAGCUAUAAAAUUGAAGAAAUGAAAGGGAAAGAAGAGCUGGAAUGAUGUUGGAAAGGGGCCUUGGACUAUAGAGAGUGUGAUGCAAGGUAAGGAAAGCGGUGGUUAGAUGCGGUGUCGUUUUCUGGGGAUGGAGAGAUGGACGGUCGAGAUGGGGUUUGGGUUGGGGAAUGGAGGGUGGAUGGUGAACGUGUACCAGGCUGGAUUUGGAAUCAAGCAAAGGGGAGAUGGUGAGGGAGUGACCCACUAACUAAUUCAGUAAUUCCACCGACAGCUCCUGAGUCCUGAGGACUCUUCAGACUGGGGUUUGUUUUUUUUUGGUUUUAUGGAUCCGGAUAUGGGAAUCCGGAGUCAGAGUUGUGCCGACAAAUGAAAGUCUUGAACUCGUUUAAGAUGAGCUAAGAAUGUUCAUUUACGUUUUGGAGUCUUACACUGCUACUACGCUACUAGGUACAUUUGUAUUUAUUUUCUAGGGAUAAUUUCAAAAACCUUCCCGACGUUUCUAACACUUUUACGACCUUUCCUAAGGAUUUAAAAAUUACACUAACUUUCCUUCUUAGAAAUUUGGAUCCAUUACUUGGGAUAAUUUCAUAAACCUUCCUUGAGAUUUUCAACAAUUACAGAGAUCUUCUCUCAAGUUUCAAAAAUUAUACUUACCUCCCUCGCUUUUAAGAUUUACAUAACAAUAUAGAUCCAAUAGCCUAUAAUUUUUCUUAAAUAUCCUAAAAUACCCUUCUUCAGAGAACAAGACACAACAAAAUAAGGUUUUAAUCUUUAAUUUCAUGUACGUGUCAUACUUACUAAAACAAACAAAAUCCAGUCGCUCCAACUCAUCUCAAAAUUCAUUACUUGCUAAUUCUUGCUUUAUGCAAUUACUACCACCACUACCAAUACUAAACCAAGAAGAGUAAAUUUUAGGGAUAAUUUCAGAAACCUCCCCUGAGGUUUCUGACAAUUUCACUGACCUCCCCUGAGGUUUCCACAAUUACACUGACCUCCCCUGGCAGAACUUGGGACCCAAUUGCUGACAUCAUAUAAUGCAAAAUUACUAUUAUACCCAAGACAUUUUGUGUUAUUAUAGGACUAAAAUAUGAUAAGGCAGAUGGUGUUUUUGGAUAGUAUUGGAUUGCAUUUCUAUUUAUUUAAUGUAUGGUUAUGAAAUUUGUAAUGAUAUUACUCUUGGAUUGCAGUUUUGGUUUGCACCUUAUUACUGUUAAUGUUUUAUAAAUGACUGUUUUAGUUCUUGGAUUACACCUUACCUCCAAAAUUUGGGAAUUUACCCAAAUUUUCCAUUUUCUAAUAUUCCUACAAAUAUGCAAAAUUAUGCAUAUCCCUCAAAUCUACCCAAUAUUAAUGUUUUGUUAAACUCUAAAUAACAAAAAUAUGAAAUAUAAUAUUUAAAUAUAUUUUAAUACACACAAGUUGGACGGGUAACUAGUGUGUCAGAGAGUUGCCAUAAUCUCCUUAAACCCGCAUGCGGGUUUAAAGAGUAUUCGGAUAUUCUCAUAUGCACCUAUGCAAAUCGAACCAACCGGAUAUCUUAUCCGUAUCCCAUUUUUUUAAAUAAAAAUCUUAUAAAUUUGAAAAAUAAAAUCAAAUUUAGAUGUAUUAGGGUUUUAAAAAUAUUAUAUAAGUGAUAAAAAUUUUAUAAAUUGUAAAAAUAAAAUCAAAUUUAAAUAAUUAAAUGUUAUAUUUGCAUAAGAAAUAAUACAAUAAUCAUAAUAAUGAUAAUACAAUAAUAUUGGUGUAAUAAAACUGCCAUUAAUUUAAAUAUUUACUUAUAAUGCCCAAAGAGGCUAAUUACCAAUUUUUUCUUCUCGCGCUCAAAUAUAACAUUAACCCGCAUGCGAGCUAACCUUGAAAUAGAAAAAACACAGAAUCCCGCUUGCGGGUUUCAACGUUAUUAUGCAGGCGGGAUUUUAACCUGCUUGCUUGUGAACAUGUACCACAUUGCUUUGAAUUUUUGUGACAAGAGGAAAGCUUUGUCUGAUGAAUGUAUUUGUGAAAUGACCUGAGUGGUGGUAGAUGGGUUAAUUGGGUCGGUUGCGUUACCCAAUUGUUUAUAUCCAUAAGUAAAAUUUUAUGAUUCCCAUACCCAUCCCCUCACUUUUUCUUAUUUAUUUCUGAUUUUUAUUAGUUUUCAUUAAUUCACUAAUAUAACCGUCUCUUGUAUGCCCUUGUGUGUCCCUUUAUGGUAUGCCAAUCCACCUAUUUAUAGAAAAUAUUAUUUGACCAAAAAAUCAAAUAACAACAGAAAAUCAAUGCUAAUAGGAAAUAAUUUCUAAUUCUAAAUAAAAUAGAAAAUUUCUUGGCUACUAUUUCAAGUAACUAAAACCAAUUAGGAAACUAGUUACUUCCACACAAGACAAAAAACCUACCUAAAAGAAAUUAAACCAAUUUUCUAACAUCUUUCAUUAGAAUUUUCUUAAUUCAUUAGUUAGGGUAGAUUAAUAUAGUUUAUUUCAUCCAAGUAUUGUAUGGAACUAAACACAGAUGAAGUUGAGAAAGAAGAUGGAGAGUUUGGAACUCAUGUAACAAAUGUGACAUUUCUCCUAUCACUUUAUUUUUUGUAUUGAUUCUAAUGUUUGGUUAUAAUACAAAUUUGGAUCUUGUUUUCAUGUUUUUCAUGUUUUACUAGUUUUUAUACCUAGGGUGUGAAUGAACUUCUAUGAUUAUUAUGUAAUCUUUUUAUGGUUAUUUGAGUUACAUUUAUUAACAAGUUAUUUAGCACUUUUGCUUUUCUAAUCAUGAUUAGUUGGCCAUUAAAUGUGAUAAUUUUAAGGUGUUAAGUUUACAAUGGAAAUUGGGAUUUGAUACUAAUUAAAAAAGUGCUAAAUCUAGAGAGUUUACUCAUGAAAGUAGAGGAUCUUCUUUGUCAUUUUAAUGACUUGUUUCAUAUAAUUUCAUAGAAGAAAUGAAUUUAUAAUUAAUUUCAUAACCACGAGAGUGGGUAUAAUUUAGCCAUGACAAUAAUAUUUAAUUAAUUAGUAAUUUCACUUGCAAGAGUAGUGAAAAAUUUCAUAACUCUAGAAGUUUUCUAUUGUUAUUUUUAUUACUUUUAUUCAUAUUUAUAGUAUAGUUUUAAUUUCUUGCAUUUGUGAUAGUCUAAAUAAUGAAGAAGAUAAAAAAUCAUUGAUAAUUGAUAAUCUUUCCUAUAGAAUCGACACCUAAUAUUUCAAUACUCGAUAAACGAUCUGUAUACUUGCAAAAAAUGAGAUAUUUAGGUUUUAUUAAAAUUUGGUAUAUGGUAGAAUUUCGUCAAAUUUUUGGCGUCGUUGUUGGGGAAGAUUUGGUUCAAUAUCGAUUUUAAGAACCACUUUAUUAGUUUAGACAUUUUUACUUGUUUUUCUUGUUUAUGUUAUGUCAAGUGUCUUGUUUGCCAUAUUUAGUGUCUAGAUGAGUAUUUAUUUUGUGUUUAAUGUCUUGUUUUUGGUUUGUGUCUUUUAAACUAUUCUUUUUGACUAAUCUUACUUUUGAUAUUGUUUGAAAAUAUUUUUAGGUUAUAAGAGGGGUAGUAAACAAAAGUGGAUAAAAAUUUGAGAGAAAAAGUUUGGUAAUAGACUACAAUUUUCAAAACUACAACUAUGGAGGUAACCAAAAGAUGUCUGAAGAUAUAUCUUUUGAAGAUGGAUUAAAGAGCUUAACGACUAAACUUGAUUUUAUAAUAUUAAAAGUUCAAUUGGAUACCAUUAUAAAUAUACUUGAAUAAAAGAGGAAUAUUAAUGUUUUUAAUUUCAAUUAUAUGAUUUGUGACCUGUAUGGAGGUUAUCAUGCUACUCUGUAGAAAAGUAUAAAAUGUGGAUUGUUAUGAUGAAUUAGAGCAUUUUAAUCAUUGUUUUGAUUAAUAUGGUUCUAAUUGGGGUAAUUCUUAUACUUAUAGUUGGGAUAAUCAAUGUGCAUAUAAUGAUUCUCCGUAUUUUUACGAUUACCAAUCUAAAUUUGUCCACCUCGAAUCAAAAUCAUCUUGGAAAUUAGCUAUUGAAAACUAAUGCACCUUUGUUUUGAGAAUUAGCAAUUGAAAAGUUAGCUAAUGUGACUCCCAACCGUUUUGAUAGGGUUGAGAAAACGUUAGAUGAAUUAAUGUCUUGCAUAGGUAGAAUACAAGGUCAAUUGUAUGUUUUGUGUAAAGUAAUUUCUUCUAAUGGUAACUUGACCCUAUUGUGAAUGGGAAGCAUGUCACAUGUGAAAAUGGAAUACAAUUUGAUGAUAAUGAAAUAUCUAAUAUGAGUUUUAAUGAGGAAAUGUUCAUUUCACAUGAUUAUAUCUUUGGAACAAAUUUGAACCACAAGAGAUGAGCAUGAAUGAUUCACAUUUAACCCCUUUUGAGGAGUGUUUUGAAGAAAUAAGUUUUAAAAAUAUCAUCACCCAAGAAGGAUAUGCGAAUGUUCCUUUGGAGAAAUUUUCAAGUAGUGUUACUACAAAGUAAUAUCUAUGAAACACUUGAGACGGGUAAGUCUCUUCCAUCUCUUACAUUAUUUGAAUAUAUGAGUUUUGCUAUCAAACUACCUUUUAUUGAUCCACCAUGACCUAAAAUUGUAGAUUAUUCAUUAACAAACCUCUUUUAAAAAAUGAGGUAAAAUAGUAAAGUUAAUGAUAAUAAAAAAGUACUUAUUGGGAGACAACCCAAUAUUUUGUGUUAAUUUGAUUCAUUUAAGAGUGUUUUUAUGUUUGUUAUAUGUUUUAAUGUAUGUUAGUUAUAUUUAUUCUGAAGGGUUCAAGAAAGAAGGCAAAAGUCAUUUUUGAGAUCAAUGAGACUAAGGAAGAUCAAAGAAGUCAAUCCUUGUUAUUUUUGAUGUGUUAUAGUGAGUGGGAAUGUAUGUUUAGAUCAUUUUACAUGUGCGUGUAUCAAUUGGUUAUUUAACAAAAGAAUGAUUUAGAGUGCAUUUUAAAAAAUUGGGGCCAUUCACGUAAUUUUUAGAAAAGUGCAAAAUUGCUGCACUAAAAUUGGAGGAAGUAAAUAUGCAUCCUAAAAAAUGCAUCUAGCAUGCAUUUUUAGAUCGCACAUUAGUUUAUCCUCAUAAUUUCUCUCGAAAACGCACCCUCAACCCAUAUUUUCAGCCCCCGUAUUCUAAGUACUUGAUUUUUAAAGAGAAAACUCAACCUCAAACUUCAUUAUUCUUCCUCCUCUAUUCACAAAAUAACACACACACUUUACCAAACUUUAUUUUCAUCCAUUUUUCUUGAUUAAAAUUACCAUACAAAGAUCUCAUAGAGCUAAACUCAUGGAUCAAAAACAUCCAAAUGCAUAAAAUUUUGUGAAUUUAGCUCAAGCAUUCUAGGGUCUUCACAUUUAAAAACCAAUCAUUUGGGGACCAAUUUGGAUAAGAUUUUUUAGGGCUUUUGAGUCAAAUUCGCAUCAUCAAACAUCACUCUACCAAUUUGAGAUAAGUUUUUUAAACUUAACUUGGUAUUUUAAAUAUCACUAUUUGCAUAUUUUUUGAGUUUAUUAACACACUUUGAAUGGUAAAUUUGUAAUGUUAUUUUUUGAUAUUUAUGGGUUCCAUUAUACUUAUUUAGCAUUUUUUUAACCAUGGUUAGAUGAUUAAAUGUGGGAAUAUGAUGAUCCACGCAAUGUUUUAAUAUAUGCAUAUUCCUAUAUUAUAAUCAAUGUGGUAAUUGAUUUUGGAAUGUUGUUAAACAUAAUUGUAUCAAUAAACUCAUUAUUCUUCACUUGGAACAUGAUUUGAUGAUAAAUGUUGGUUGUUUGAAGACUUGUGCAAUUUUUGAGGAGGAGUUUAAAUUAAACAUGUGCAUAAUGUAUGUUUUUUGGUUUGAUUUUACUCUUAAAUUUAUUAUUCUAUGGUGAUGAUAUAAUUGCCUAGAGAAGGAUGAAAUAGUGCGUGAGACAUGGAUACUUGGAUUUGCACCUUGAGGCUGAUUCUUUGGUUCUUGUGAAGAUGAUAAAAGGAGAGCAUGCAUGUCCUUGGAGGUUACAGAGGGAGUUGGAAGAUCGUUGCAAUAUAAAGGUCUCUUUCAUACCAUUAUGCAUUGUUAUAAGGAGGCAAAUAAUCCUAUAGAUAGAUUGGCAAAGAGAGGAGUAGAUCUGAGGGGUGAUUCCGUAUUUGAGUCCUUUGCAACUCUGCCUACAUUGGUGCAUGGUGACGUACACCUUGAUAGAUUAGGAUUUCCGAACCUUCAUCAAAGAAGUCAUUAGUUAUUGUGGAAAGGAUCCUUAGCUGUUGCUACUGUACUUUAGCCUUCAAUGAUUAAUAAAAUUCCUAGUUGUUAAAAAAAACAUGCUUAUACUUCAUAUUUUAGGUAAUUAUGGUGAAAAGUUUGUUGAAAUACAGAAAGUUGGGGAAGUGUUGUGUGAUUUGUGCCUUGAGUAGUUUCCUGUCUAUUUUAUAUUGGUACAUAACAAAGGUAAGAAGUUAUUUACAAAAACUCUUCAUGCCUUUGUGUCUUAUGCAUCAUUUGAACCUUACUAGUUGUCUUAACGUGUUUGUUUUUAGGUUUCUAUUACUAAUGGUAUCAAGUGGAAUUCAUGAAGAAUUUGGAGAUAAAUAAAUAAUGGAUUAUGGAACUUCAUGGUUGGAACACUUCAAUCAUAUUAAUAGGGAGUAUUUCUUUCUUUAUCUUGAUUUUUCUUUUUACACGUUGAGGAUAAUGUGUAUUUUAAUUGUAAAGGGGGGGGGGGAGAAUUGAGAUUAUAUGCAUUGUAUGUGAUUGAUUUGUUGGUUGGAAAAUUGGACUAGUGCUUUUUUUUUUUAGACGAAUGUCCUCCAUUUGACACGGUGUAACAACAAGUAGUAACAUUUGACACCUAAUUGCAAGAGCAAUGGAUUACAGCAACGUACAUUACACAAUACUUGCAAUAAUCACUAGUGCUUGAAAAUGUUAUUGUGCUUUGAAAGUUUUCAAAAUUUGGUUUGCUGGCUAGGAGUUUUAUCCUACAAGGAAAAUUUUUUCAAAAUCUUGUCCAAAAUUGAACAAUUGCCCCAAAAUUUUUCAAUUUAAUUCAAAGAGCAAUGUGUUCCACACCAUUAGUACCUCAAAUUUCUUUUAAUUUUGAAAUAAAUAUAUGUGACUUAAAAAUUUCAUUUCUCUUUUAACUUUCAAAUAGCUAUUACGUGAUUAGCAUUUUUACAUUUUAGGAAAGUAUAUUUUAUAAAGUGGAGAAAAUUAUGUCUAAAUUUUGCAUAAUCGAUGAAGUUUCUUCUUUUUACUUAAUUUUGCAUGGUUGAGUGAUAAAUAUGGUCAAUAAUUGCAAUACUCUUCCUAUGAUUAUUGUGAGAACCUGAAAAUUUUCACAUUUUCUAAGCAUUAUUUUAUUUUUGUUUACAUUUUUAUACUUGCCUUUACAGAACCAGAAUUUUACUAUCAGGCUGGAUAAUAGCACUGGGUUCAAAUGACAAUAACUCAGGUUACACAAGUCCGAUUGAGGCAUUUUCAAUGCGUUGGAAAGCUAAAACGUAAGACUACAACUUUCGUGUUUUGGCCAACUGCUGAUUUAAUACGAAUCAAGAUGAAAAAACGAGACCAGAAUGAUGAAAUGUCAAAACUGUCCACAAAACUCUACCUAUGGCAGUCAAGGAUAUUUUCGUCAUUUCACGUGAUACAGUGCUCAAGUUGAGCUGAAAUUUUACAGGCAAUUAUAAAAUAUCAUUUCCUACAACUUUCAUGUUUUUAAUUAAGCCCAAUUCGGCCUCCACCGAAUGAAACUGGUCAGAAUAGGAUAGUACAAAAACUUAAAGCUGGAAUUAAUGUAACCCAAACAGAAAUUUCUUUAGGCAAAGUAAACUAGCACCUAAACACAAGAUUUUCCAUACAUCAAAAUUAGUAAAUCAUGACCAACCAUUACACUUCACAUGUGAGCAGAAAUUACACCAUAAAACUGAAAAUUUUCAUAUCACUACCUCAACUCAUGAAAUAUUGCAUGAAACUAUCAAAAUCUCAACCAUAAGCUUCUAGUUUGCACAUAUUGAAAGUAGGGAAAAGUUGCUAGCCAAAAAUACCUUGUAACCUCAAGAAAAAUGGUAACUUAGUCUUUCCUCUUCCAAAAUAACUCCACCAAAGCCUUUAAACUUUCCUUGUAAUCACUUGUAUGGAGUAGUUUUAAAUUUGGUUGGCUAAAACACAAGAUCCAAGCUAGCAAGUGAGGUAGAAAAUGGAGUUUUCUCUCUUGUUUUUCUCCUCAAAACAGCCGGCCAAGAAGAAGAAAAAUGGAGGAAAUAUUGGGUCAAAAUUUGUUUUAGUAAAGUGAAGAAAAUUAGAUCAAAGUCCAAUCUCCAAUGAUGUAGUGACACUUGGCCUUUCUAGUGUUUUCUCUAAUCCUUUGUCUUCCAAUGGUUACAUCAUAUAACAAACCUCUAAUUAUCUUCUAGCACCUUGUAUAAUAAUAUCACUUAGUACAAAACUCACUUAGUCACCAAAAUUUUAUCCCACUAGCUGGUCUCACAUCUAUAAUGCUCUUCAAUUUUAAUGUACACUAACUUAUGCUAGGAAAAUAAUUUAAAACUGUACUUACUUAUAAAAAUGCAUAGGAAAUUCAAUAUUUUAAAGGCAAGUAUAAAAAUGUAAGCAAAAAUAAAAUAAUGCCUAGAAAAUAUGAAAAUUUUCAGGUUCUCACACUCUCUCCUCCUUAAAAAAUUUCGUCCUCGAAAUUUUUACCUUUCGUUGCCUCAAAUGAUCCCGGAGCUUGUUGCCGGUCUACGGCAUAUACCUGUGCUAGUACUUUUGUUUGGUUCCCUCUUUCAUUAGUUUGUUUCGGUUUGGUUCCACCCACUUAUUGAGUACUAUUCUCUAGUGGCUGUUUUUUCGGACAAUUGCUAAGUUGAUGAUUGCUAUUCCCACAAAUCAAACACUUUCGCCCUUUCCUUCAGUAAUCAUCCUCAGUGUGAUUUGCCUUCCGACAGUAUCCACAGGCCAAGUGAGAAGUCACUUUUUGGCUUUCUUGAGAAAUUUCCUCUGAUCCUAUUUGACUUUCUUUUGUAGACCGCUCAUCUAAUGCUCCUAAUGUCCAUGGUGGGUGAGGUAAAUGGUUCACUUUUUGCAUUUUAGAAGGCAUUAUCUUUUCUCUAGAUUCCUCAGGUAGGUUAAUAGAUGCACAUCAUUUUCGCAUUUGGAAAGCUUUUACUUGUGCUUUCGCGUCUUCAAUUCUUUGAGCUUUCUCUAAAGCCUCCGUAAAAAUAUUAACUUGAACCGCCACUAAAGUUUCCUGAAUUUCCAAAUUCAAACCUUGUAUGAACUGUCUUACUCUCCUUCGCUUCGUAACCACCAAUUCAGAAGCGAACUUAGACAGUUUAGUAAAUUUAGUUUCAUAUUCAGCCACACUUUGGGUUCACUGAUGCAAUCCAAUAAACUCAUCCUCUCUUCUUUCUUGGACCAAAGGUGGGAGAUGCUUCUCAUUAAAUUCCUUUAUAAAGUUCACCCAUGUCCAUGCAGUCUGUUCUCUCUCCCAUUUUACCCUAAUAACAUUUCACCAUGCUCGAGCCAGUCCUUUGAAUUGAAAUUCAACAAAAUUCACCUGUCUUUACUCCGUAUAGUUCAAGGCUGCGAAGAUGUUAAUCAUUGCCUCUAACCACUGUUUAGCUACAUCUGGAUCAGGUCCUCCAAGGAAUUUAGGAGGUGCAAAUUUUUGAAACCGCUCCAGAGCCCUAUCCCUUCAUAUCUCGGAAUUUUGGGAUUGAUUCACUGGCAUUUGAUCUUGUUGAUCUACCAAUCGCGCUAGGAUAUUUGUCAUUUGUUAGAUCGCCGUCGUUACUUGGUCUCCUACCUCAACCCUCGGCCCACGAUCUUGCUCAGCUGCUGUUUCUAUUUCAUUUCUUGGUUCUUGAACUUGCCUAACCCCACAGCCCCGACUAGCUCCAUGUUUGCGAUUACGUCUCCCCUCCAUACCCUUUUUCUCUCUUUUUUUUUUCAAAAGGUGAUUUAGUAUGUAACAAAGUAAAUUGACUAAAACAACAAGAUAUAACACACCAAAUUCACAAAGCUACAUAUCAAGUUGAACAAAAACAAAAUCAAGUAUGGCAAAUACUAUACACGUAAGUAUUAACAUGCCACAAGCCAAAUACAUACGGUAACAAUACAGAAGUAAAACAAAAGAAAACACGACAUACCGUUCCACACUCGGUUAAAAUAUUCCCCGUCCCAUCUCUCACUUCUCUUACCAUCCGAACUAGAUGUCCGUUAACCCCUAGCACUUACUCUUACCAAACAUUAACCCAUUCCUGUUCCCCACAAUAAAGAUCACAAGUCCUUAGUAUUGCCCUCAAUUCCCACUUACUCGGGUACAAGAAUCUGAAUAAUUCACCACUCAAUCUGGCCAGUUCCAAGACUAAAUUAUCUACAAUCGAGAUUCCUACCUGACGUACAUAUCUAUUGUCUUCAAGUACCAUGAGAGAGAUUUAAGACUUAUAACAAUUCAUGAUUCAUAACUUAUGCUCAAAAGAGCACUUAGUCCUUCAUACUUAUUCACGAAUUCAGGACCAUAACACCACUUGACCCAACCUCACUCCGCGUAGAGACCACGCGAAGUGGCUCUGAUACCACCUGUGACAGCCCCACCUUCCCCUAAGACGAACCAAAGGGUUUGGCGGACCGCCUGCCCAACUCUCGCCAGGACUCGAUCGCUCUCAUCAAGUGAAAUAAGAUAUAACCUCGAGACUAAGCAAAAAACAAUUCCCAAACUUGAAACAUAUACUUACAUUCAUAUCCAUCUCAAACAAAAAUAUAAUCCCAAUUAGAACAAAAGCUUUAAGUUCUUACUACAUCCAACCUUAUCCAAGCACUAACGCGAGAACAAUAAAAAAAUAAAAUUUCAAAAAACUAGACCAAGUUAGUCUACACAGGACUCACACCCUCGCUCGCAUCCCCUGUAAGGAAAACAAAGCUAACGGAAUGAGCUAAAAGCCCAGUGAGGUUCCAUACACAUAGCCAAAUAAUUAAACAAGGACAUUAAUCAUGUAAUAACAAGUAAUCCAGAAAAUAUUUACAAUAUAAAAUAAUGAUAAUACAUUCAUUAAAAGGAUACAUGCUCACAUAUAACCCUUCGUUCAUUCAUUCCACCAAUCAUUUCCUUAUUCCUCCAAUAUUAAAAAUAAUUUCAUUUGUAAGUGAAAACCCGUCCAUUGUUCUUGCCAUUCAUUCAUUCAUUUCAUUUUCCCCUUACUGGACACUGGCCAGUCUCCACCAGAUUUCGUGGUCAUACUCGAGUAUACCAAACAUUAACCCAGGGUCACCAAUCGCCUGACCGAAUCCACUUCUGGCUCGAGUCGACCAGCAACGGAGGGCAAAGGUCCAGUUCGGCCAAAAGGCUUACAUUGAUGUACAAGUAGCAUUUAAACAUUUAAUCAUUUAAUCAUUAUAAAUUUUACAUUCAUUUAGGUCAAGUACAAUAAAGUACACACUCGCCUAGCAAAAUUCAUUUUUAAAAAUCAUUGAAAACAUGUAACAUUUAAUCCAACAUUCACAAAUAGUCACAUAGUCACAACAAUCCACAUAGUCAUUGGAAACAUAACGUACAAAGAAUACUCACCUAUUUAAGCAAAAUAACGUCCAAAGUUUCCUUCCGGAUAAUACCCUCAAUCACCAAGGAACCCUAAUAAUAACCAAGAGAAAUUAUUACAGUUAAACCAUCCAAAGUUUAGGUGAACCAAAGAAAAUCCGAACCGGGUUGAGUUGUCUUCAUGAAAGUUGUAACCCUUUCUCUUAGCUUCGAAACGGUAUAAAUUGUACCCCAAUCCUAUAAGCGUAGCUUCGGUUGUGACAAAUACGCUAAGAGAUGUCAAACCUGUCAUUUUGUUCUUUACCUUAAACCUUAUUUUCGAUCACUUUUCUAGCUUGAUUUUGUAAUGGAAUGACUUUUAGCCUAUUGAACGGCUAUUGUAAUGCAAUUUUUUGUGUGUGAUUUUGGGAGCUAAUUAAGUAAAAUAAUGAAGCAUAAAUGGUUGAAAAAUACGUAAACACAAAGGGCGUAUUACCUAAAUUUGCACUCGAGGGCUAGGUAGAUGUACUCAAGACUUGAGUAAGGGUUGAGGAUGAAACUAACUUGAAUCAUUUAAGGUAUUCAAGUCUUCUUUAUUAGAGGUAUAUAAGUUAGAAUCUGGCUGAAACUUGUACCCUUGGAAAAAUGAAAUUUAUGACUAAUAGAAAUACGUUUCUUCGUUUCUUCGACUCAAAUGGAGAUUUUAAAGUUUUACGAGCGAGCAUAAGUUUUACAAAUAUUUUACUCAUGUUUUUUGGUUUAAAUGUAUUCUUUUCACUUCCAAAACUAUACUUAUACUUUGUACUAGUAGUUAUUUGGAUUUUCUUUGGUUCACCUAAACUUUGGAUAGUUUAACUGUAAUAUUUUCUCUUGGUUAUUAUUAGGGUUCCUUGGUGAUUGAGGGUAUUAUCCGGAAGGAAACUUUGGACGUUAUUUUGCUUAAAUAGGUGAGUGUUCUUUGUACGUUAUGUUUCCAAUGACUAUGUAGAUUGUUGUGACUAUGUGACUAUUUGUGAAUGUUGGAUUAAAUGUUAAAUGUUUUCAAUGAUUUCUAAAAAUGAAUUUUACUAGACGAGUGUGUACUUUAUCGCACUCGACCUAAAUGAAUGUAAAAUUUAUAAUGAUUAAAUGUUUAAAUGCUACUUGUACAUCAAUGUAAGCCUUUUGGCCGAACUGGACCUUUGCCCUCCGUUGCUGGUCGACUCGAGCCAGAAGUGGAUUCGGUCAGGCGAUUGGUGACCCUGGGUUAAUGUUUGGUAUACUCGAGUAUGACCACGAAAUCUGGUGGAGACUGGCCAGUGUCCAGUAAGGGGAAAAUGAAAUGAAUGAAUGAAUGACAAGAACAAUGGACGGGUUUUCACUUACAAAUGAAAUUAUUUUUAAUACUGGAGGAAUAAGGAAAUGAUUGGUGGAAUGAAUGAACGAAGGGCUAUACGUGAGCAUGUAUCCUUUUAAUGAAUGUAUUAUCAUUAUUUUAUAUUGUAAAUAUUUUCUGGAUUAUUUGUUAUUACAUGAUUAAUGUCCUUGUUUAAUUAUUUGGCUAUGUGUAUGGAACCUCACCGGGUUUUUAGCUCAUUCCGUUAGCUUUGUUUUCCUUACAGGGGAUGCGAGCGAGGGCGUGAGUCCUGUACAGACUAGCUUGGUAUAGUUUUUUGAAAUUUUAUUUUUUUAUUGUUCUCGCGCUAGUGCUUGGAUAAGGUUGGAUGUAGUAAGAACUUAAAACUUUUGUUCUAAUUGGGAUUGUAUUUCUGUUUGAGAUGGAUAUGAAUGUAAGUAUAUGUGACGACCCCAUCUCCCCCUAAGGCGAACCAGAGAGUUUAGCGGGUCGCUUGCCCAACUCGCGCCAGGACUCGAAGGCAAAAGCAAAUAAAAGCUAUUCACACGGUAAAAGAGUAUUAUUCACAUUAUAUACAUCGGCAAAAGAAUUCUAUUUACAUCCCCAAAAGUAACUACCCAUACUAUUACAUCCUUAUGAUUAUAACCAAAACGAAAUAGUAGACCCUAAGAAGGGUCCUUACACGGAUCACUAUAAUAAGGAAAAACAUAUUAACUAUUCGGUGAUUACAAACAAAAUCCAACUAUACUAGUGAUGGUGCCAAAAUUUUCCCGCGUCGGCCCUGCUAAGGAAAACAAAAGAAAAGGGGUAAACUAGAAGCUUAGUGACUAACCAGGGGUAAAAAUAUAAUUUUUACAUGUCAACAUUUGCACAGUAAGAGCAAAACAAAAGCAGAAAAGUAGCACCACAUGGUAAGGAUACGGGUGGCUCCCAAGCUAACUCAUUUGUCGAGCUUGAUCACUGGUUGACCCUUGAGAUCCUGAGCCACAGAGCUCGCUUCUCUUAAAGGAUCCCACAUAGAGAGGCCAUGAGUCUCAGCUCAAGUCAUGAGCAAUAAAUGCUCUAAAAUAUUUUUCAAGCAAUAAAUGCUCUAGUUCAAGCAAUAAAUGCUCUAGUUCAAGCAAUAAAUGCUCCCAAAUUGCAUCACAAGCAAUAAAGGCUUCGCAAAUGUUUCACAAUCAAUAAAUGCUCCAUAAAAAAUCACAAAAUCAUAUUUCACAGGUAUCAAGAGCAACUAAUGGGGUUUAGAUCGAGUGCGAUAAAGUACGCCCUCGCCUAAGUGCCCAUUUUUCAUAGUAAACUCAUAUUAGUAUUGAGUUACAUAGAAACCCUGAUUACUCACCUAAAGAGCAAGUAUAACGAGAGAAAGUACGGAAAUGAAUUCAAGUCGCCAACUAGUGGGCCCCACCGGCUCCGUCUAGCCCGUCACCGCCUGUAGCAGAAGGUUGAGCCAUAUUAUCACUCAAACAACUACUAAAGUGCAUAAAUUAAGCAAAACGGCAAAAUUGGCACAUGCAUGUGCGGAAUCGGCAAACGGAAAUGGAAACGGCCGGCAAACGGAAAUGGGCAUAGUUACUGUCCAAAACUGUUUUGACCAUAAGUUGGGCUAUGAAUGUCAGAUUAAAGUGUAUGAGAUUCCGUUUCGAAGCUAAAAGAAAAGGCUACAACUUUUGUGAAGACACCUAAAUCUGGAUCUGAACAGAAAUAGGUCGAAAGUAUGGAAAAUAGUGCCAGAAGUUCGCACUUUAGGGUGACGGACUGGGUAUAUUUGCCGGACCACAACUCACAGUUCACAAACCCAAAUCAAGAAAUUCCAAAGGCAUUGGAAAGCUAAGACAUAAGGAUAAAACUUUUAUGUUUUGGCCAAGACUGGAUCAACUCAGAACAGAAUGAAAAAUGAGUGCCAAAUUACCUGUCAGAACUGUCCAGUGCUCAAGGCAGUUCUGACUCACGAUCUUGUUUUGCCUAUAACGGGAGUUAUGAAGCUUGGAUUUGAACGCACUUUAUACCGUUUUGAAUCUGAAACAAAGCUCUACAUUUCUUAUGAAGAUACCAACACCCAGUUCCAUCGUUAUCCAUGCGAACCGAGCAUGGUCAGAAGCUAAUUUACAAAAUGUGACCAAACCAGAAUUUGAAAGCUGAGUGAGGGUUUUGGCUAUAACUAAGCCUACACACCUCCGUUUGACUUGAAAUAUUGCAGGAAUAACAAGGACUUAAGAAGCUACAACUUUCAUGUUUUGAGCAGCUUCUAAAUCAGCAUGCAGCAUAAAUAAAAAUAGAGCCCAAUUCAGAUUUGUGGAUUGCCCUGUUUCCGGUUUUGCCGGUUUUGUAUAUUGCAACCGUGUGAUCCAUUUCUCUAAUUCUUAUACAAGUCUUCUAACCAAUUUCAUACCAAAUAAUAUUACAUAUAUUAGAUUCUAAAAUACCUAACAAUGAUCCGAGAUUUUCUCCGCAAAUUAUCAUAAAAUUACCAAAUACUAACCACCAUUUAGAUUCCAAUUCCACUAGUUCUUUACUAACUUCAAAACCCUAAUCAAUCAAACCUUAACUUUCCAAGUUCCAACUAAACCAAACUAAUUUCCCUUUUCAUUAGAGUUUCAUAACCAAAUCUGAUUUUUGCUAAAAACCAACAUACAAGUGCAUUUAAGAUAUCAAGGAUUCCAUUUACAAGCUCAAAACCAACCAAAUCAACUUAAUAACUCAUGAGACCAAAAGCCCUAAUUCUACAUAGCUCAACCGAAAUUUAAGCAACCAGAAAUCAACAACAUAAACCAUUAAACCGCACCAUAAACACCAUACAAACCAUACAAGUUCAUAUCCUCAACAGGAAACAUCACUUUCAUGGCUUCACAACUCAAGCGCCCAACUUUACCUUUCAAAUAAGCUUUGUGGAUGAUCAAACCACCCCAAUCAAGUUCCAAAGUUGUUGUUCUAGGCUCCAAGCUCAAGAUUAAUGGUGAAACUUGAAAAAUUGUGGAAGAAAUGUCCCCCCUCUCUUGCUCUCUCACUCUCUCGGCCUUCCUUCUCUCUCUCUCUUUAGUUUUUUAUUUGGUUUGUCUUGUGUUCUCUUGGAUGUUCUAGAAUUAAUACUUAGUCAAGACCAUUAGUAGAUAUUUUCCACCAACCAAUCACAUAAAAGAUGAUUAUUCACUUCCUAGUCCUUGCAACUUCCUUUUUGUUUUCUCACACUCUUACCCACAAAUGUUUGGAACUCUUGCACUUAAUUCCAUAAGAUACAACUUAUUCUAAUCCAAAAUACUUUGUCACACUUAAUCAUUUCACUAAUCACCUUAUUAUCUUAAUCACCCAUCCUUAAUUAUUCCUUAUUCCACAUAAAACCAACUAAACCACAAUCUUUUUACAUUAGCUAAAUUAAGGGUUUUAAACCCAACUUAAGGUUGUUCAAUUAGCAAAACACUAGGGAAUUUACUAGUGUAAGACUUUGUAGCUUUCUAAUCCUACUUAACCUUUAUAAAAGAAAUCGAAUCCGAUAUCUACUCAUACGAAAACAUACAUUAGCAUGCAUAAUAUUUACUACCACAUAAACUUAUGAUUAAUAUGUAAACUAGGGUUUUUGUGUAAAAAUAUCAAAGGUGUAAAUCCAUUAGGGUUUUAAUAAAAUUCCAAAUUAAGGUUUUUCGAUUAUAAAAGCAAAAUCACAUGUAAAGAAUUACCAUCAUCCUUAAAAUCAAAUUUUAUAGCAAAAUUUAGCACUAAUAAUCCUUAUUCAAAAUUAAGGAUGAAUCGGGAUCUCACAACCUCCCCCUCUUAGAAGAAUUUCAUCCUCGAAAUUCAUACCUUCGGUGUCCCUGAUCGGCCUAAAAAUGGUUCCCUUUGUCCCUGAUUUAUUUCCUCCCCUCGGCUUCUGAUGGCACUGAGCAACUAGGUGUUCAUUGCUACCACAUCGGAAACAUCGCCGAUUUUUCUCUUUCUUCCAACAGGAAUCUUCUGUAUGGUUAGUGGCCCCACAGACAUCACAUACUUUUCUGGUUCCGAACAUCGAUUCCCCAUGUGAGACACCACUUUAGGGCCCUUUUGCUGCCUGAUCUUCCCUUGUUUUACCUUGAUUCGGAGUCCCCACUGGUCGUGUACCAUCGGUUUCCUUUCUCCUCUUAUUAGGUGGCUCGCUUCCCGAGCUUUGCCCACCAGUAUAGGUAUAGGUGUCAGAUGGUGUUCUCUUCUUGUCACGGAAAGCUUUCACCGGACUCCUUGCCAUCUCUAUUCGCUGUGUCUUUUCCAGGGUCUGGCUGAAUGUAUCCAACUGGGCAGCCGCCAGUGCUUCUUGUAUUUUCACGUUUAACCCCUGGACAAACCGACGAAUUCUCUUUCGGUCUGUUAGUACUAACUCUGGAGCAAAACGAGAGAGUUUGGUAAAUUGUGUCUCUUACUCUGCCACACUUAACGGCCCUUGACGCAGGCGGAUAAAGUCCUCUUCCCGCCUUUCUUGAACAAUCGGUGGCAAAUACUUUUCGUUAAACUCACGAGUGAAAUUGACCCAAGUCCAGGGGGUCUGCUCUCAUUCCCACUUAGCCUUUAUUACAUUCCACCAUGCUCGGGUUGGUCCCUCAAAUUGGAAGACAGCAAAAGAUACCUGCCGUUCCUCUGGAUACCCGAGCGCAGCGAAUAUAUCCAUCAUGCGGUCCAUCCAUCCCUCAGCUAAGUCAGGGUUAGGUCCACCUAUGAAUUUCGGGUGUGCAAAUUUUUGGAACCGUUCUAAGGCACGGUCCACUCCCUCGUGAUUGCUCGGAUUAUUUUCAGGGUUUUCGGCAUUAUUCCCAUGACCCUGACCCUGUUGGUCCACCAUUCAUGCUAGCAAAUUUGUCAUCCGUUGUAUGGCUGUAGCUACUUGGUUAUCAGUUUGGUGGUUCGCAUUUUCAUUUUCUACCCUUUCGGGUUCUAGUCUCUAUCCCCUACAUUUUCCUCGGCCUCGGCCUCGUCCCCUACCUCCACCUCGACCACCGGCUUCCAUUUGUUUUGAAAAUUUUACCAUAUAAAACACCAUAUAAAACACAUUAAAUGAUCAAAAUUUUUGGACAUGCAUAUACAGGUUUACGCCAAAGAUAUGCACAAAUUAGCCAAAAUGCAGUUAGUACCAAAACACUGAACACAUCGAUUUCAAAACAAAUCAACAGGACAACAAAGUAAUUCGAGUCAACGGCCUUAACGCAACUCCCCUGCGGAGCCCACCUAAUCCACCAGCACUGCCCUGGUGGCCCUAGGGUGCAAACCUAAAGAAUAGAUCCAAAUAGCUAACUUCAACAUUAAGUAAGAACCAAGUCGAUUCACACUGGGACUGGCCAUCUCCAAGUGCAAUCAACUCAAUCCCUACUUUGCCUUAUGGGAAAAUUACAAAAGUCCAAUAUCAAAAUCCUAGCAUUCAAUAUUUACCUUAAUAGCUAAGUACCCUACAGUCCGGCAUCCUAAACGUUGAAAUCUCGGAUGCACUACAAAGAUCUGAAACCUAAGCUCUGAUACCAACUGUGACGACCCCACCUUCCCCUAAGGCAAAUCAGAGGGUUUAGCGGGUCGCUUGCCCAACUCGCGCCAGGACUUGAAGGCAAAAGCAAAUAAAAGCUAUUCACACGGCAAAAGAGUACUAUUCACAUUAUAUACAUCGGCAAAAGAGUUCUAUUUACAUCCACAAAAGUAACUACCUAUACCAUUACAUCCUUAUGAUUAUAACCAAAAUCAAAUAGUAGACCCUAAGAAGGGUCCUUACACGGAUCACUAUAAUAGGGAAAAACAUAUUAACUAUUCGGUAAUUACAAAUAAAACCCAACUAUACUAGUGAUGGUGCCAAAAUUUCCCCGCGUCGGCCCUGCUAAGGAAAACAAAAGAAAAGGGGGUAAGCUAGAAGCUUAGUGACUAACCAGGGGUAAAAAUAUAAUUUUUACAUGUCAACAUUUGCACAGUGAGAGCAAAGCAAAAGCAGAAAAGUAACACCACAUGGUAAGGAUACGGGCGGCUCCCAAGCUAACUCAUUUGUCGAGCUUGAUCACUGGUUAACUCUUGAGAUCCUGAGCCACACAGCUCACUUCUAUUAAAGGAUCCCAAAUAGAGAGACCAUGAGCCUCAACUCAAGUCAUGAGCAAUAAAUGCUCUAAAAUAUUUUUCAAGCAAUAAAUGCUCUAAAAUCGUAGUUCAAGCAAUAAAUGCUCUAAUUCAAGCAAUAAAUGCUCCCAAAUUGCGUCACAAGCAAUAAAUACUCCGCAAAUGUUUCACAAGCAAUAAAUGCUCCAUAACAAAUCACAAAAUCAUAUUUCACAGGUAUCAAGAGCAACUAAUGGGGUUUAGAUCGAGUGCGAUAAAUUACGCUCUCGCCUAAGUGCCCAUUUUUCAUAGUAAACUCAUAUUAGUAUUGAGUUACACAGAAACCCUGAUUACUCACCUAAAGAGCAAGUAUAACGAGAGAAAGUACGGAAAUGAAUUUAAGUCGCCAGCUAGUGGGCCCCACCGGCUCCGUCCAGCCCGUCACCGCCUGUAGCAGAAGGUUGAGCCAUAUUAUCACACAAAUAACUACUAAAGUGCGUAAAUUAAGCAAAACGGCAAAAUUGGCACAUGCAUGUGCGGAAUCGGCAAACGGAAAUGGAAACCGCCGGCAAACGGAAAUGGGCAUAGUUACUGUCCAAAACUGUUUUGACCAUAAGUUGGGCUAGGAAUGUCGGAUUAAAGUGUAUGAGAUACCGUUUCGAAACUAAAAGAAAAGGCUACAACUUUCAUGAAGACAUCUAAAUCCGGAUAUGAAUAGAAAUAGGUUGAAAGUAUGGAAAACAGUGCCAGAAGUUUGCACUUUAGGGUGACAGACAGGGUAUGUUUGCCAGACCAUAACUCACAGCUUACAAACCCAAAUCAAGAAAUUCCAAAGGCAUUGGAAAGCUAAGACAUAAGGAUAAAACUUUUAUGUUUUGGCCAAAACCUGGACCAACUCAGAACAGAACGAAAAAUGAGUGCCAAAUUACCUGUCAGAAUUGUCCAGUGCUCAAGGCAGUUCUGACUCACGAUCUUGUUUUGGCUAUAAAGGGAGUUACGAAGCUCAAAUUUGGAUGUACUUUAUACCGUUUUGAAUUUGAAACAAAGCUCUACAUUUCUUAUGAAGACACCAACACCUAGUUCCAUCGUUAUCCAUGCAAACUGAGCAUGGUCAGAAGCUAAUUUACAAAAUGUGACCAAACCAGAAUUUGAAAGCUGAGUGAGGGUUUUGGCUAUAAUUCAGCCUACACACCUCCGUUUGACCUGAAAUUCUGCAGGAUUAACAACGACUUAAGAAGCUACAACUUUCGUGUUUUGAGUAGCUUCUAAAUCAGCACGCAGCAUAAAUAAAAAUAGAGCCUAAUUCGGAUUUGUGGACUGCCCUGUUUCCAGUUUUGCCGGUUUUGUAUAUUGCAACCGUGUGAUCCGUUUCUCUCAUUCUUAUACAAGUCUUCUAACCAAUUUCAUACCAAAUAAUAUUACAUAUAUCAGAUUCUAAAAGACCUAACAAUGGUCCGAGAUUUUCUCCGCAAAUUAUCAUAAAAUUACCAAAUACUAACCACCAUUUAGAUUCCAAUUCCACUAGUUCUUUACUAACUUCAAAACCCUAAUCAAUCAAACCUUAACUUUCCAAGUUCCAACUAAACCAAACUAAUUUCCCUUUUCAUUAGGGUUUCAUAACCAAAUCUGAUUUUUGCUAAAAACCAACAUACAAGCGCAUUUAAGAUAUCAAGGAUUCCAUUUACAAGCUCAAAACCAACCAAAUCAACUUAAUAGCUCAUGAGACCAAAAGCCCUAAUUCUACAUAGCUCAACUGAAAUUUAAGCAACCAGAAAUCAACAACAUAAACCAUUAAACCGCACCAUAAACACCAUACAAACCAUACAAGUUCAUAUCCUCAACAAGAAACAUCACUUUCAUGGCUUCACAACUCAAGCACCCAACUUUACCUUUCAAAGAGAGAUGAUUUACCUUUCAAAUAAGCUUUGUGGAUGAUCAAACCACCCCAAUCAAGUUCCAAAGUUGUUGUUCUAGGCUCCAAGCUCAAGAUUAAUGGUGAAACUUGAAAAAUUGUGGAGGAAAUAUCCCCCCUCUCUUGCUCUCUCACUCUCUCGGUCUUCCCUCUCUCUCUCUCUCUCUUUAGUUUUUGAUUUGGUUUAUGUCUUGUGUUCUCUUGGAUGUUCUAUAAUUAAUACUUAGUCAAGACCAUUAGUAAAUAUUUUCCACCAACCAAUCACAUAAAAGAUGAUUAUUCACUUCCUAGUCCUUGCAACUUCCUUUUUGUUUUCUCACACUCUUGCCCACAAAUGUUUGGAACUCUUGCACUUAACUCCAUAGGAUACAACUUAUUCUAAUCCAAAAUACUUUGUCACACUUAAUCAUUUCACUAAUCACCUUAUUAUCUUAAUCACCCAUCCUUAAUUAUUCCUUAUUCCACAUAAAAGCAACUAAACCACAAUCUUUUAACAUUAGCUAAAUUAAGGGUUUUAAACCCAAUUUAAGGUUGUUUAAUUAGCAAAACGCUAGGGAAUUUACUAGUGUAAGACUUUGUAGCUUUCUAAUCCUACUUAACCUUUAUAAAAGAAAUCGAAUCCAAUAUCUACUCAUACGAAAACAUACAUUAGCAUGCAUAAUAUUUACUACCACAUAAACUUAUGAUUAAUACGUAAACUAGGGUUUUAUGUAAAAAUAUCAAAGGUGUAAAUCCAUUAGGGUUUUAAUAAAAUUCCAAAUUAAGGUUUUUUUAUUCUAAAAGCAAAAUCACAUGUAAAGAAUUACCAUCAUCCUUAAAUUCAAAUUUUAUAGCAAAAUUUAGCACUAAUAAUCCUUAUUCAAAAUUAAGGACGAAUCAGGAUCUCACAGUAUAUGUUUCAAAUUUGGGAAUUGUUUUUCGUUUAGUCUUGAGGUUAUAUCUUAUUUCACUUGAUGAGAGCGAUCGAGUCCUGGCUAGAGCUGGGUAGGCGGUCCGCCAAACCCUUUGGUUCGCCUUAGGGAAGGUGGGGUUGUCACAAUUAUUCUUUUUUGGAAAUGAUUAUUAUUUUUACUUUAAAAAAAGAAAGAAAAAAGAAAAAUGUAGAAAAAAGAAAAGAAAAAAUGAAUAAAAGUUGAAUCUCUACUCCAAUGGUUCUUAUGCUUAAUAAUUGGGAGUUUUCAUCUACAAAUGUCGACUUUUAAGUAAAACGGUACUUGAAUUAAGAAUAAGCACAGUAAUUUGAGAAUGUGAAGUGUUGAGUAAUUGGCGAUCUUCAUCUAAUAAUAUCAAUCUUCGCGUCAAAAGACACUUUCACAAUUUGAGUAAAUAUUUAGAUAUGUUACAUGAAUAAAUCCCUCUUUGAAUUUGAGAAAGAGAUGAUUAUGGAAUUAGGAAGCUGUUAUUUAACCAUACCAGUCACUUGCUUGUGGAAUUGAGUGAAGAUGAGAAAUUGAAUUAAACUAGUCAAAAUUAUGGUAUAAUUGAUUCUUCUUUACUUGAUAUUUUGAGUUCUUGACAUUAACUAAAUGAUUGCAUAAUGGUGAUUUGCCUUGUUUUGAGAAAUUGAGUUUCAAUCUUGCACAUGUUUUAUUUCAAAGUUUUGGAUAAUUGUUUCUUAUUGUUUGAGGACAAGCAAUAAUUCAAAUACAGGAAAAUUUGAUAAGUGUGUAUUUUGAUUAUUUAAUGUGUUUUAUUAUUUAUUUUUGGUGUGUUUUAUUAAUUUUUUAUAGUUAAUUAACUAGAUUUCUAGUGAAUUAUGCAUUUAUGGUUUAAAUAUGAAAAAUUGCAUUUCUAUGAAUUAAAGUGGAGAAAAUUUCAUGUUUUUGUAAAUUUAACGAUUCAAUCAUCAUAUGGAGUGAAUUGAGAAUAUAUUUGAAUGAUUAUUGAUGAUUUGAAGUGAUUUAAAGAGAAUAUGAAGUGCAAAAUGUUCAAAAAAUAAAAUGCAAUCAAGUAUACACACUACAACAAAAAUGGCGUUUUCUGACAUGCCUGUAAGGACACUUGUUGAUUUGUGUCAUUAUAGCACUCCUAUCAUGACACUUAUUAGCAAUUCAAUAAUAUAUAGUCUAAUUUUUUUUAUUUUAUUAGAUAUAAAAAUAAUAAUGUGCCUUUAGACUAUCUAACAUGACACUUGAGAAAAAUGUGAGAUAUACCAAAAAAAAAAGAAAGACACUAAACGGCAUCGUUUGAUUUUGGUGGAAGAUUCAUUCGCUCUAAAACACUCAAAAUUUUCAUUCUGCCGGCCAAAACACUUACUCAAAACACUUGCUCAAAAUUUUCAUUUUCCAGCUCCACCAUUUCCAGCCCCCCUCUCUCUGUUGUCAGAUUCCGAUGUAGUUGGUGGGAAAAAUGGGUAGCAGCCAAGCAGCAGUUUCCAUAAAGCUUCAACCGUGGCUCCCUCAGGCAGCUAACAGCAGCAUCAGCAACAAAAUCUCUCUCGAAGGAAACCCACUUCCAGGUCAUCAUCAUCUUCUUCUUCAAAUUCGGCUCGACAAAUUUCUCCCCCGACUCGAAUAGUUUAUCGAGAAUUGUCUUCCAAGUCCAAUCUCAAUUUGCCCUUUUGGCAAACUUCCUGGUUCAUUGGCUUACUUUUACUAAUGGCAAUCUCGUUUUUCGGUCUCGCUAUUUUCCUUUUUUUUACCCUUGACUCUUAUUUCACCUCUUCCCCCGUCUCUACCGCUUCCGAAGGUGUCCAGGUAAGCCAAAAGCCCACUUACUACUUCAAAUUUGUGGUUUUUGCGUUCCUGUAGUUGCACAGAUAUGCAGUGCAUCUUUGUGUGUGUAUGUGUUUUUCCCCCUAUUUGUUGAAAUUGUACGCGGAACGUUGUUUUAUAGUUAUUUUUGGCUCAAAAUUUUGACCAAGUUUGUGCUAUUAUAGGCAUGUGAUGGUUAUAAAUUAUAGCACUUCAGAGGUUUAUAAGCUAAAAGAGGACAGGGAAAGAGGAAAUGGAGUUUUUUGUGUAGAAUUAGUAAUAGCCUUCGACAUGUUUGAUGAAAUGCCUCAAUAAUCUUUGUUGAAAAUCUAGUUGGGAUUCAGUUAAAAAUUGCUAUUUGGAUUUUUUAAAGAGCUGAUUUAGGAAUUAAAUUUGAUUUUUUUUCCUGUUUUAUAGUUUGAGGUUUCUGUUGUGUGGCGAAAAUAAAAAAUGGUGUAUGAUGCUUUGAGUUCUAAUAGUUGUAUAAUGGGGCUUUGUGCUAAGUCAUUCUUAUUUUGUUUGGCAUUGUGAUUUUGGUAGAUUACUUAUGGGUCAGUGAUCAUGUAGUUGACGAUUACUUAUGGCUGGUGCACACCUUUUUGUACAGUACAUUACCGGUUUAAGCCUAGCUACCAAAAGCAGCAUUCUGUGGACAAUAUCUUGUUCUGUGGUGCAAGAACAAGCUGUGGUAGAUGGCUUUUUCUUCCUUUAACUGAUGCUAAUCUUUUUGUAGUCUUUUAACUGAUACUGUUCUUUACAAUAUAUCCCAUUUAGCUAAUGAGUUUAAGAUGAAAAUAUAAAUAAAGUUCAAGGUAUUAUUCUCAUUAGCUGGACAAAAAAUGUAACAUCUAGUCCUCUUAUUCAGCUUAUUAGGUUGCAAGUGUUACGUUCAUGAGAAUUACAGACUUGUGACACUGCGUUGCCACUAUUCACCAGUCUAUAUGAUUUUGAGAAAAUCAAGGAUUAAACAAUAAACAAACCCCAUCAACAAAUCAACCAAUUAGAAUGGUGAUUUUGAUAUCUAGCUACUGGGAACUUUUGAAAAGUACUGUGAAAAAUCAGCUUGUGCCUAUCUGACCAAGUGUUCAUCUUCCCACUGGUCUCUGUAUGUCUCAGGCUGAGACCUCUUUCUCAUGGAAGUUUCAACAUACAUCUGCUUUCUCCAUUCUUCAGUCCGCAGACAACCACACUGAGCAGCCAACCAAUCGUCAUAUUCGAACUGGCGAUAUAAAACAACGCAUCAGUUGAGUUGGGCAGAAAUUAAAAACUCUAGCCUAGGUCCAUGGAAAAGCAAGUGCAAAGAGGGUCACACUGGUGAAAGAUGACAAUGAAGAGCUGCAGCGAAAUCAAAUCAGCAGGAGGUGAGCAUUUUCUACCUGAUAACCAGCCAUGUUAUGAGUAUACCGCUUUGGAGUGCCAGAUGCUUCCAUUGAUGAGUAGAAAGCUUGAAUAUCAGCCAUCAUCUCCUUGGGAGAAGGAAGUGAAAGCCGACCACACAGAGUACCAGCUAUCCACUUGCUCUGAAAUUCAAACAAGGGGAAAGGUACAACCUAGCAGUCAAAGGGAAAAAAAAUUGCUUUUAUCAAUUAAAUGCAUUAUCAACCAGAACAGUUCAUAAACUGAGAACAUGGAAUAUUUGCAAAAGACCUUCCACGGCAACCCAACGAAUGAAAGCCAUGGUGCUAAAGCUGGAGGAAAAAUAUGCUUGUAAAGUGGCCCCACACGGUUAUCAUCCACAGCUACAAUGCCAUUAAUUUCAAGGAACGGAAAGUGAUAUUUGUACCUUAAAGAACAUGAAUAAUGAUUUAUUGCAAAUCGUCAACUAGAAUCGCCAGUUAAUGGACCUUUUUUGAAGUCAUUAUGAUCUCAUCGCAUGAAAUAAUUUUACCUUUCUUUGUUAUUUGAUUGUUGCCUAUGAGCAUUUUGUGUGCUUCCAGUUAAUUGAUCUUUAGGAGAGUCAUUCUAGAUUUAUUGUCCCAUAACAAUCUUUAGCUAAUAUAUUAUUGGUUUUCUUUUGGGUUGGCAGACCACACUUUUGGAUUACAUCAGGAAAAGCAAGGUAUGAAUCGAUUAUUUUUAUUGAUGUUCACGUUGAGGUACAUUAUUUGUAAUGCCAUUAUCAUUUGAUGACUUUAGAAGAAGUACCUUAUUCUGUCUUAUGUUAUGAUACUUGAAUAGUUGGGAACUAAAUCUUAGACAACCUACUGUAGGUGGCAGCAUCUGAAGCAGGUGGAAUUACUCAAGGCAUGGGGGCAUACAAGGUACAAGUACCUUUUGAUGGCAAGCCACAGACUUGUGUUUUCCUUGACACCCCUAGACCAGUGGUUCUAACUUUUAACUGCUUAUUCAUGCAAUUUUUUUUUUUUUAAAUUUUUAUGUCAAAUGCUCUUCUUGGAGAUUUUGCAGACAUAUCUUAAAAGGCCUUUGUCAAGAUGAAUUAUCUAACAUAACUGUAAAAAUGGUUGGAUAGGCAUUUGGAGCAAUGAGAGCUCGUGGAGCCAGAGUAACAGACAUUGCUGUUAUUGUAGUUGCUACUGAUGAUGGAAUUCGACCUCAAACAGAAGAGGCCAUUGCUCAUGCCAAAGCAGCUGGAGUGCGAAUUGUUAUUGCUAUAAACAAUGUGCGCUUGCAUUUAUUCUGAGAUUUUCCACUGUGUGUUGGCUUGUAUAUCAUUUAGUCUCAUUUGCAUUCUGCUUUUGAUGUAUGAAACAUGAUGACAAAUCUCCUCUUGCUUAUGGGAGUUGGCAUUUUCAGUUCUCAUAAUCACGGUACUACUCAAGUUUGAUGUUUCUAGAUUUUUGCAUCAUAGCAUAUUAUCUUAUAUGCAUUCUAUUCUUUGGGAUAAUUUUAAAAGUCCUUUGGGUUUCUGAUUGACGGAAUGUAUAGCAGGGAGCACUACCUGCAGGUUGCUUCUAUCUCAAAAAAAAAAAUCUCCUGACAAUUAAAAGUGUCAGCAUAGAAUUCGAUAUUUUAAUAUUGUAUUAUACUUAUCCUGACACUUUUAAUUAUCAAGAAAAGCGAUUUUUGUUGGCAGAUGGAAAGUUAUAACAGCAUAGUUUUCUUGACAUGUUGAAUAGUACGAGUCUAUCCCCAUAUUGGAAGGGACAACACUCGCCCUAGGUGUGAGGAUAGAUAAAGUGUCAGGUUAAAUUAUCUAUACUGACACUUUUAAAUGUCGUUAAAAGCCAUUUUUGUUGUAGUGACAGGAAGAAAUAUUUGACAGUUUUGACACCUUUUGGUAUUUUGAUUAUAUCUUGAGAUAUAAGUAUCAGAUUGAGAUGAUUCUUGAGUCAUUUUGCAGAUAAUACAUAUCUCUACAUUUGUUAUGAAAUAUCAAAAGCCAGUCCAUGAGUUUUCCUAGUCAAAAAGUCAAAAUAUAGUUGGUCAUUUUUGUUGUCAAAAGUUGAAAUAGGGGAUUCACCAAUGAAGAGUAUUUUAGUUAUUUCUCAAUCUACAUAAUCCUAAAUUAGAUGAUUCUUAUGCAUUGAAAAGUUAACUCAAAGGCCUAAAUUUUUAUGUUUUGUACAAGAGCUAGUUCAGCCUGCAUUGUCGAGAAAAUAUCAACUGAAUUUGGUGCAAAAACAGAGUAAAGUUCAAGACUCAUAAAAAAAGUGCAAAUAUGCAGAGGAGGCAAUAUGUAACCUUAACCCGUGUUUUGAACUUGUGUAUUCAUAUUUUAACCGAAGUACAGCUGGAACUAGUUGUACUUUAACUUGCAGCUCUUUUCUACUACUUAUGGAUCAAUUUUCUGAACGAAUUUCAGCUGGAAAGUGCAUGAAAUAUCUUGAAAAUUUGGAGAAACAACUUUUGGGAAUCGCAAGACACAAUUUGCACAACUUGAAAAAUGAUUGUAUGGAGCUUUAAUUCUCUAUAAAUAGGGCCUUUAUUGAGCUUGCUUGAUAACUUUGGAGUCUAGAGAAACUACACCAAAAUGUAGUCUUUUACUAGAAUUUCUUUAGUUCAUUAGUUAGGGUAGAUUAGUACACUUUAUUUCAUCCAAGUCUUGUAUGGAACUAAGUAUAGAUGAAGUUGAGGAUGAAGAUGGAGAGUUUAAAAUUCAUAUGACAAGAGUGACAUUUCUCCUAUCACUUUAUUUCUUGUAUUAAUUCUAAUAUUUGGUUAUAAUACAAGUUUGGAUCUUGUUUUAAUGUCUUUCAUGUUUUGCUAGUUUUUAUACUUAGGGUGUGGAUGAACUUCUAUGAUUAUUAUGUGAUCUUUUCAUGGUUAUUUGAGUUAUAUUUUUGAACAAGUUAUGUAACACUUUUGCUUUUCUAAUCAUGAUUAGCUGACCAUUAAUUAUGAUAAAUUUAAGGUGCUAAGUUUACAAUGAAAAUUGGGAUUUGACACUAGUUCAAAAAGUGCUAAAUUUAGGGAGUUCACUCACGAAAAUUGAGGAGCAUCUUUGUGAUUUUAAUGACUUGUUCCAUGUAAUUUCAUAGAAUAAAUGAAUUUGUAGUUAAUUUAAUAAUCACAAGAGUAGGUAUGGUUUAGUUAUAAGUAUAGUUGAUUCAUUACGAGAGUAGGUUUUACAUAUAGUAAGAAAUAACGCCAAAACUAGUCAAGAUAAUAAUAUUCAAUUAACUGAUAAUUUCAUUUGUAAGAGUAGUGAAGAAUUUCACAACUCUAGGAGUUUUCUAUUGCUAUUUUAAUUACUUUUAUUUCAUGUUUGUAGCGUAGAUUUAAUCUCUUGCAUUUGUGGUAAUCUAAAUAAUGAAGGAGCUCGAAAAUCCAUCAGUAAUUGACAAUGAGAUCGACACCUAAUAUUCUUAUACUCGAUAAACGAUCUGUAUAUUUGCAAAAACCAAGAUAUUUAGAUUUUAUUAAAAUUUGGUGCAUGGCAGAAUCUCGUCAACACAUAUUAUAAAAAAAUAUUUAUAGUUUAUAUGUGAAUUUAUAAUAAUUCAUAAAAUUAAACAUAUAUUGUAUAUAAUUACAUGUUGGCACAAAAAUACACACACAGACACACACACAAUAGAAGCAAUUUUAACAUGUAUAAGAAUAUGUUGGAAAGAGAAGGAGAAUAAAUACAAACCAAUAUUCAAUAAUUUUAUUAAUUCAAAAUUCAACAACAACAAUAUUAAGUCAUAGUUUUUUGCUUACAACAACUCACACCUUAGAGGCUUUUCCUCUUUCUCACAAUUUGACUCAAUUCAACUCUCUAAAUAACAAUGUACUAGACUGGUAGUAUUUAUAUAUUGUAGAACUUUCUAAACAAAUACAAUUGCAAACAAAAACUUAUUUGGAAUUAACUUGAGAUCUUCUAAUCUAACAUGGAAACUAAACAAACAUGACACCAAAACAAGAAACUAAAAGAAUUAGGAAAUAAACAAAUAGAAUAGAUUAGUUUAGUUCCAUCAUUGCUUCCCUUAAACUUCUAGGUUCUCCAUUGUGGUCAUUUCCAAUGCCAUCUCAAGCUUGAAUCUCCAUGAAUAAUUUAGUCACUGUAUGAACGAUGUGAGCGCUAACUUGCAAUUAAUCUUCAAUUUUAUAUUCACACGUGGUAGUGAAUGAAACUUGUACUUUUCAAAACAAUUUUUUAGUUUGAUCACUUCUGUCAAAAAUUUCAAAUAUAUUCACCCAUGCUUUAAUUCAAAUAUAUAUCUAAUUAUGAGCUUGGGAUCAGCCUAAUUUGAGGCCGGAGCUCAUAUCAGAGUAUAAGUCGAGUCCAAACCUUUUAAUCAGGGUCUGAAUUUGCAAGUUCGAAAGUUCUAUUUACUUUGUCAGAAGAGUUUGGAGUUGUCAAAGUCCGGCUCAUAGAGCCUGAGUGACAGCCAUAUUUUCAAUGCUCGCUCCAUUUAACAUCAAAAGGAAAUGAUUGUUUUUUCCUUGCCGAAGGUAGAAGGGUCCCAAAAUAUGUAAAUCCAGGCAGGCAGAACACACUGUGGGAACUGUUUUGUUAACGACUCCUUCGAGGAACGGCUUCGGCAGGACAAAAAGGACGAAAUUGUUUUGUCAUGUGUGCUAACUGUUGAACCUGGCUACUCAAAGCAAAAUUAUUUUGGACCACGUUCAACCCAACAUAAUCUUGAUUUGGCUAGUUAUAGUGACUAAUGGAGUGGUUUUCUAUGAUUAGUGAAUUUGUAUACUAUAAGUGGUGUUAGCAUGUAUAAAAGAUUUAUCCAUAAAAAGAAAUAUUUUAUUCGCGUACAUUAACUUUUGUGGUAAAACAACAUUAUGCUAUUAUUUACUAGAAAAAUAGGAUUGGCUGUCACUUUACACACAACUCUUAACCAAUACUUUUCCAUGUUUAUCAUAUUAUUUCAUCCCUUAUCUCUAUAUUUUAGGCAUUUUCAUCCGUUAUUUGUAGAUGCUUUCAUAUAUCUCUUAACAUCUGUAGUGAUAUGUGACUUUAAGUUACAGUGACUCUGACAUGCUAUCAUGGUACUAUUUACCAAAUCUUAUGACAAAUGCAACAAAAUCUGACCAAUUCUCAAUUCUACAUGCGUGAACUCCAUAUAUCGCCUACUUGACAUUGUAGUGUGACUGCCACCAACUACUAGGGCAAAAUUAUAUGAAUUUGGAAUGACAAUUAAAGUAUCAGACUAGCUAGUAAUUAUAUGGAUAACUUUUAUUUCUUCUUUUUUUUCACAAAUGAUAUGGAUAAUUAUGUAUCUUACUUCAAAAGAUUAUUAACACUUGUACAAUCCAAACUAUACGCACUAUACUAUUGCUGUUCUUGCUAUGAGAACUAAAUGAAACCAUAUCGAUUAGGCCCAAGAACAGCAAUCCUAUUAACAAAUAUUAAAGUAUCAUACUACUAAUGAUAUGGAUAACUAAGUAUCUCUCUUUAAAAGAUUUACUAAGACUCGGAUCAAUGUAAUCUAUUGAUUAAUAUUAUUUGGCUAUAUAACCUAUAUAUAUAUAUAUACACACACAUAGGAGGAAAGUGAUCGAUCAUAUUGAUUAGGUCCAAGAAGAGCAAUGCUCGACCAACAAGACAGCAAAGAUGCUAAUGUGGGGACUGGUUGAUUUAGGAGGUGAUGGGAGGACUGAGGUAAGGUUGGCCAAGGGCACAUGCUAGCUUUCUGAUGAUUGGAGGAAGCCAAGGUUGGUUAAUUCAUGGGCAGAUGGAGAAGAUCUCUCCAUCAAUUCUGAGUUGAGAUAAGUUCUGCAGAAUCUGCUUGGAAGAUAAUUGCAUGAGUUUUUUUUUUCUCCAGGCUCAUGCUUACGCGAGAAUGAGAUUUUGUGCGCGUGCUUUGUAAGCAUAUAGGAAAGAAUGGGCAGAUUUUGUAGAUUUUCUAGACAUCCAAUGAUGCCAAUUAUUAUAAUUCGUCCACUUGCAACAACCUAAGAGUUGGAUUUUGCUUUUACACCAUCUUUGUGUCAGUGAUAAUUGGGAAUUAAAUAAAACAAUCAUCAUCAUCAUCAUCACCAUUUCUUACCAUCAGCAUAUAGCAUCUUUUAAGAUUUCUGUCCAUAUCAUUUCAACAAUAAUAACUACCCCUCUCAACCAUUCUCUCACACUUUUUUGGUUUCCCUCAUAGUAGUUGCGUAGACACCAGCCAGUCGUACAAACUCGAACAUAAAUUUCUAAUUCUAAUUAGCGCAUCACAGUUUAACAUGCAUAUAUAAUAGAUCAGAAUCGAAUAUAGCAAAUAAUUUUAGUCUCCUUGAGAGUUUAGCUCGCCAUAGUUCGAUCACACUCCCUACUUAGUUCCCUCUUAAUUACCCUUUUACUCCUUUAUUUGGACUUUUGUUCAAAAAUAUAAAAAUGAACGUAUGCGCUGACUUUUUUUUUUUUAAUUCAAGGAAAACUAUAAAACUGACAAGAAAUAAGAGAGAAAUGGGAUGACUAGGAAGUCGAAUUAAAGAUCUCACAAUCACUUGAUUAAGUUUUUGGAGGCACAAGAUUAUGACUUAACUUAAAGAAUAAAUCUUAUAUAUACUGACAAUGUAUUCAUUAUCAUCAUUAGAUUUAUUAGUAAAAAACAAAUAAAGGUUUGGAUAACGAGUGCCCACAAUGGUACAGUGAAUUCAAGAAAGAGUCUAAAAAUAUAAAGGUGCAAUGAAUGUAAACGUGUGCAUUCGCAUAAUAACUCAAGUGUAAUUUAGGUAUAUUGACAAGUAUUCAAUAGAACCUGUGAAAAAAAAAAUCUAACAAAUAAUAAUGUAACUCGAUUUGGGCCACGUAGUUUCCAUGUGGCACAUAAUUGUUUUCUCUCCUUUUCAUGUUCUCACAAAUAAACAUCAUUUAUUAUUGUUAGACUUGAUCAAGAAGUGGGAGUACAACUAUAAAGUGAUGGAUGAAGGAUCAAAAGAAUGAGGCACACGCGUGGCUUUUGUGGGUUCUGCUGUCUAGAAAUCUUAAACUUGGUCUUGGCCUCUUCAUUACAUUUGGUACAAACGCAAAUAUACAAAUUCCUAACACUACAUGUCAUUCUCCUCCACCUCACCCCACUAGGCCUCUCUCAUGCACUCCUUUUCCUACCUUGCUUGCGGCCGGUGGCAAAUGGAAAUGGUUUGGUACUCAAAAACCACACUGGCGUGCAUUAACAUUUGAUUGAUUACCAAAAGGAGACUAGGCUGCUGGGCAGCUACUUCUACACGAUCAUCAAUGAUCAUAUGGAAGCUAGAUAUAGCUAGACAUGAAGAUUAUGUUCAAGAACUUUUUCUUUCUUUUUUUUCAUCAAAAUAUGACAGUGGGGGAGAAAGAAGGCAUCAUGCAAAUCCCUUUAAGGAGAUUUUUCUGAUUUAUUCUCCAUGAAUGGUGUCUAAUCAUGCGAUCAUUGUGAAGAAUUCCAUAUAUGGUUAAUUGACAUGACAACAAUGUUCCUAUUUUGUUGAGAACUAAUUCCUUUUACUAAUUGGGGAGAAGAAUUUCUCCUCUACACGUGUCGACUCACCACAUACCUUCUAGAUCAGUGAAAAAAUUAAGUUACUCAAAGGUUAGAAAGUAAAAACUUUUCAGGGAGAAAUCAUGGGGAUGGAGAAUGGAAAUUGAAUGGAAUUUACUAUUUCCUUUUCUUCAUGACUUUAGUCAAUCUAUUAAGUGGAAUUAACUGUUUCCUUUUCUUCAUAAACAUGCAUUUGGCUCAAAAGUUCUUCUUUUUUUUUUUUUUGGAAGAGGGGGGCGGGGGGAAGGAGAAGGGAGGGUUUCAAAAGUUCAAUCUCUUAUUCUUAUGGCAUAUGCAUCUCUAUUUUCUUUUUCUUUUUUUUAAAAAAUUUGGAAUACAUUAAACAUCUUUUCUGAACAAGGGGCGGUUUGAACAUAUUUUAACCCUAGUUCCUUUUUGCUUUUUAAAAGAGAAGUAAAUUAAAUUGUAAGCUAGCUAGUAGCUGUUUACAAAUAGUUUUGUCAAAGUUCGGCUGAGGGGACAGUGGUUCCCCACCCUUAUUGCUCCUAGCAUUUGUUACUCACUCCGUAGAGACUGCCAUUAUUUUUAGUGCCCAUAGAUAAUCUAGAAAAACUAGCAAGAAACUAAUAUAAUAAGCUCUACAACUUUUAGUACUUGUAUCUAAAAAUGAUUUAAGUUUAAACAUUUCAUAAUUUAGUGUGUGUUGAUCAUGUUGUAAGCAUGCAACUUGCCCAAACAUUAUGAUUAUCACGAAAUAUAUGAUUAACAACUUUAGUUGUUCUCUGUCUACAUCAAUCCUUAAUUCAUCCUGCUAACUUUUUGAUGCAGGAUCGAUCACAUUUCUGAAGAUAACAUAACUAAUGUCAGUUAAAGAGACAUUUCGUUCGCUGCUGUCUUGAUCAAGGAAUUAAAGUUGUGUCCCACUAGAUAUUCAGUAUUGGCCUCUGCGAUUUGCAUUGCAUUGACGUAAACUGAUCAGAAAAAUCAUGUUCAUAUGUUCAAUAUCUUGAUGAGCCUUUUUCCAGUUUCAUCUAGUCUGUGUUAGUGUCUGUCUUUACUACCCUUUGCUGUGAUUCAGUAGAUGUGGCUCUAUGAUUUGAAAAGACGAACCAAUUUGUGAUGUGAACAAACAACAAAGAAAGAGUUACGACACUCAUGUUGCAUGAAAAUCUUUGGCAAAUGCGUGAGUCCCAAAAACAGUAAUCUUCCAGCCACCUCUUGUGUGUGACGCCGGCGUCGGUGAGGAAUAAUAAAGAACUAUAUCGUCCUAUAUGCUAGUGGCAGAAUUUUACAGAGAUGAUGGCUGCAAUAUCUAAAAGUAAAAAAAAAAAAAAAAAAAUCAGUAAUCCCUAUAUUUUUUAAUUGGUGAGUGGUUACGUACUGAGCAGCUAAUUAAUUUCGACAUUACUGAAUUUGACACUAUUAUAAAAGACUCAAAAUCUUUAAACCAGGAAAUGCGUGCGAAAAUGUCACCAUUUGCGAGCUAAAAAGUAAGGUCCAAAAUUGCGUACAUGACGAGCAAGCACUAAGUUUAAAGAAAUAUGUGAGUUGAAUGAUGAAACCUAGCAUCUUUAUUAUCUAGUAAUAUUAAUAGGGCAAAAACUUUUGCUCGAACACUUGGAGAUAAACUUGUGACAUCGAAGAAAAGCAUCUAAUUUGCAUUUGAAGAUUAUAAGAUUAUGCAACAUGCAUCUGUCCGUCAGGGUGGCUUCUGAUAAUUGGACUGACUUCAUUAUGUAAUCAUAGUCAGUUAAAGCAAUUCCAAUGACCAAGAAUCCUUCAAUAGUAAAGAGAAACAAUGCCCACAAAAUAGAACCCGUACUCAAGCUGAUUCAGUACUUGUGUAAUGGAGCACAUCUAAGUUGGACGUUUACUAGGAUUGAUUGGUCAACUAUGCUCCUGUGUAGUACUUUCCAUGCAAACAUGCAUGUACUAUAUGACUACAAUAUCUUCUACCUUUUUAACUAUCAAAAUGUGGUCACUGGUCAUGAAUCAAGAAUGUGUUUUUCGUUUUGGUACAAAUUUUGGUGAGUACAUUACAUUUAGGAAAACUUCUGUUAUAUAUAGGUGCCACAAUUAGAUCCAGAUUAACAAACAGCAGAUCUCACAGACGGAAUCCAACAAUUACAAUUAGUCCAGUGGUUUAUACGACAGAAGGCCUUUAACUUUAGUGGGUACAUUGUGUCCGGAAGCGGACAGGAACGAUUGGCAGUUCAAUCAUCUCGAAAAGAUUUCAUACAUUUAAACAGAAUGAAAACUUUUUUUCAAUCGUGUAAAUUAUUUUAAAUACAGUCUAAAUUUAAAACAAAAUUUAUUGGACUCCAUGCAUAAUAUUAAAAUCUAUAUACACGAUGUAAUCUGAAUAUUUUUCUAGUGAAUCCUCACUAUAAAAAAAAAAAAAAACCUUCAGAAACUCUCGCUGUUUUCAUUCCAUUAUGCCCCUAUAUUUGCCCACAAUCUCUUUUAGAGACUAGCCUAGCUUAGUUAGUCUAGCGUUGAUUAACCAUAUGUGAACUUUGAGAACUCGAACCUCUAACUUCUUGCUUAAAAAUGACAGUUGACUGCCUAAACAUAGAAUUGCUUUGCUUGGUGAUUAUAAACUUGACUUAAAUUAAUGAACUGCUAUUUUCUACUAAAAAAUUAUUGGGCCAUUUUACUUUUAAGUAUAAAUGGGAGGAUUCGAUUCCGAAACCUCUCAUUUAUACACGCUCCUCCUAUACCACUCAAUCCAUUUCUCCCCUCUUAAAAGUUAUUGGGCUUGUUUCCACUAUGUUCAACAUGUAUUUGCAUAUAAAUAAUAAAACUGUCAUUCACAACUCCAAAUUGCAAACGUGCUAUUGUGUUUUACAUGGUUUUUGUCCAUGAGAUAAAUAGUAGAAUUCAAAGAUCAAGCUAUACUACUAGGUAGCUGCAAUAUAUAUACAUAUAUUUUUUUUUCCCCAAAAUUCUACUCUACUGAUUGCAUAUAAAAUUGCAAUUAAUAACUCCAAAUUGCAAAAUGAGCCAUUGUAUUCCGAAUGGUUUUGUCUACGAGAUUAGCUAGUACAAUUCAAAUUAAGAAGAGCAAUACAACCAGCUAUCUGAGCAACAAUUUUCUUUUGGCAAAAAUUCUACAUCCAAGUGGCAUUAAGGUUAGGUUGAUGGUGGUUCAGUCUCCAUCAGCCUUUCGUCAGCCCAAUUGGAUCUCCUCCUUCAAUUAGAUUAGAGUAGGGUAGUAUAGACAAAAUAACGAUGACAAAAAAAAAGUGGCAUUAGGGUUAGGUUGCUAGCUUUUAUAGCAUUCAAAAUCACUUGUCUCAAUCUCUGAAUUGAUAAGGAUAUGCAAGAAAAAGACUUCACAACAUAAAUAUAAGAUGCAUUACCAUAUAGUAAUUAAAUUUCUGAUAAGUAUGGGACUGUAACAGUUGACCAGAAAACUGAAUGGAAAAUCUAGAAUUGGUCAGUUGCCAAGUGUUGGGACCUUAAACAUUUGAUAGUGCCAAGACUUCCAAGCCCUUUGCACAUCUCCUCCACUUGUUCAUGAUUUUGAGUGAAGGGAUUCAUGGUUCCCCUUUUGGGAGACUUAUCAGAUGGUAAAUGGUCUAACUCUUUCCCUAAAAUAGAGGCUUUUUAUUUUGAAAAAAAAAAGAGACUAAUUGUUCUCUUCUCUUCAGUCCCUUUCGGGAUAGUAGAGAGAGGAAAUUCUAGCAACCACCUUUAAAAAAACUUCAAAGAUGGAUCAAUGGAAGCAGCUGAUAUCAUUAGUCGCUAUCCAGAAUCACCAAGCUAGUGGUGCACCAGUUGGACAUGAUAAUAAACUUUUUGCAGAGAUAAUAUUCUCCUCUCAUCUUCCUCUAGUGGCUAGAGGAUUUUUAUCAAAAUAGUUUGAGAUAACUAAAAAUACACCACAAUUGAAGAGCAAAGCAGGGUAAAGAUUAGUUGAUUAAAAAGUGAGAAUUUGUGUUGUCCAAUCUUCAAAGCAACUUUUGCUUGCCAGCCUCAUCAAUCAGAUUCAAUCGUGGAAAGGUUUUCAGCUAAAUUAUACUUCCCUCUUUUAUGUAUCUUGCUUCGGUUGAUCGUCAUGUACCCAACAAAAUUUAAUUGGCUCAAACAAAUUUUACACUUACAAAAAACAUUAACUUUUUUAUCCACCUUCUUCUGUUUGUAUUCUAUAAAAUGAUAUUGUAAUUUUUCAAAUAGUUUAAUAUUUUCUACAAUAUUAGUGUAAAGAUUCCUUUACAUUAGCGGUUUUUUUAUUAUAAAAUACAAGAAAAUUUUCAGUCCCCAACCCCUUAAAUACGCCACAGUGCCCGAGAGAGAGAGAGAGAGAGAGAGAUAGUUGAAACUCUUAACAGGGAAAGAUGACUAGUUGAGGAUAGAAAAUUUGACUUAUAAAUUGUUAUAGGCAUAUGAAUUUGAAAUAUGUUGCAUGAUCAUGCAGCAAAAAAUUUUGGAGGCAGCCUUUCUAUAUGAAAUCAUGUUAAGUCAGCCCAAAAUUCUUACUUCUUACAUAUUAUUAUACAUAUUAGGGUUAAUCACAUUUUAUCCCCUUAAAGAAUACCCCAUUUCUCAGUUUACCCCAUAACCUUUAAUUUUGCUCACUUAACCCCCUUUAGGACAAAAUUGCCCUUGCAUUAUUUUGACUUUUCAUUUGCCUUGUUUUCCUUUCAUUUGCCUUGUCCUAAAGGGGGUUAAGUAAGCAAAAUUAAAGGUUAGGGGGUAAACUGAGAAAUGGAAUAUUCUUUAAGGGGAUAAAAUGUGAUUAACCCUACAUAUUAUAACACAUUUCCUUACUAAUUUUUGAAAUUUGAAAUUGUUGACCUUUCUUAAAAUUUCAACAGGCAAAAGUUAGUUAGGUCAUUCACUACUGUAACUAUAUAUAUAUAUAUAUAAUGCAAAUAGAUAAAAAGGUAAGUAGAGGGUGUGCUGAGAAAAUUAAAAAAAAAAAAAAUUCCAAACAGUGAAAGCCAUGUGUGCCCUAAAGUAUGGAACUAAAUGAAAAGAGCGAAGUGAAUUUUUAAUAUCAAACUAAUUCCUACUUCUUUUUUUAAAAAAGUUGGAACAACAUAUUUCAGAAAUUGGUCUAACAGUUAAUAGUUUUCCAACACGAAAUUAACAUAACAAAGCAGCAAGCCAACUAUCAUUGCCAGUCAAAAUUGUCCACCAUCUGCUAGUCUAGUAUUGUAACAAAAUGACAGAAAACAAAUGAAAAAACAGUUGAGAAACUAAGCUUGUUCCACCCCAAGGGACAACAAACAAGAUGUACUUGAAUAUAUGUUAGCUUGAAUGUCUACCACAAACAAAAAGAAUGGAUUAGUUCACCCAAAAAGGAGUAACAUGCGAUUUAAAUUUCAAUGACUAACUCAGAAGUUACUGUUUGAUUCAUAAGACGUAAUUGAGGAACUAUGGUUGAUCUUUAAUGAAGUUCUUUUUUCACUUUUUCUUUUUUUUUUUGGAGGGAUAGGGGAGGAAAACAAACUUUCAAUGCACUGAAACCAGGCAAUAGAACGUGUAUUUAUUGCUCGAUUGAUUAGGACUUUCAAAUAAGGAAUAAUGCAUCACCACAUUUCAACUAAGCUCCACUUAAUCAAUGAGAGUUAUUUAAUAAUCUUUAGGGCAAAUUCCACUUUACCCCCCUGUGGUUUAGCGUUUUUUCACAUAACCCCCCUAUGGUUUCAAAAGCUAUACAUAACCCCCUUAUGGUUUGGAUUAAAGUGUCAAAGUAACGGAAAUAGUCACUCGUAACGGUGUCACCUAAAAUGUCAAAAAUACCCUUAUGUAAGGUUGAAAUUUAUGUAUUAACCAAGGGGGGUUAUGUGUAUGUUUUGAAAAUCAUAAGGGGGUUAUAUGGUAAAAUAUUAAACCAUAGGGGGGUUAUAUGGUAAAAUAUAAAAAUCAUAGGGGGUUAAUGUGUCAUGUAUUUAUAAGGGUAAUUUCGACAUUUUUAGAAGUUCCGUUACGAGUGACUAUUUCCGUUACUUUGACACUUUAAUCCAAACCAUGAGGGGGUUAUGUAUAGCUUUUGAAACCAUAGGGGGGUUAUGUAAAAAAAGGGUAAACCACAGGGGGGUAAAAUGUAAUUUACCCUAAUCUUUAAUAUUAACGAGGUGUACCAAUAUGAACAAAGUUAAAGAGAAAAAAAAUAAUUAGAACAAACUAAUAAACUAAACUGUGCUUGUCAUUUCAUGAUCUACAGCCCACUAACUAGUGAUAAGGGCUCUAAUACCUCAUCAAGUGUCACUUUUAACAUUUGCCCAUAACCACAAUUAGUAAAAGCUCUUGACAGAUGUAGAGAAGUCAUUUUCUGAGUUCAAUCCCUACCAUCACUCUUUUCCAAAAAAAAAAGAAAAAGAAAAAACCCUACCAUCACUAUCUACGAAAUUCUAUACCAAUUGAUUCCCACACGAACACAAAUUUCUUAUUCAUAACUCUUCUAACAGCUUAUGAAAAUCCAAAAUUGCCAUGCACUUGUCCCCCUUUAUUCGUGAGUUUCUGUCAACCCUUAAAAAUUUUACAUUUGGAACAAAUGCUUUUUUUGGUCUCCACCUAUUAAACUAGGCUAUUGCUGUGAAGAUAAUCAAAUGUAGAAGUGACGCACAUAUGAGAAGAAAUCAAGAAAGAGAAUAAAGGGAAUUGGAGUUUGGAAAGAGAGGUAGUCGACAACUAAUUAAGGUUGUUAAAGUGACAAUUAUUAAACAAAUGAGAGAUAUUAAGCUCAAAGGCAUAAAAGAAAAAAGAUGAAGAAAGAGGUAAAACUAAAAAGGAAGAACAAAGGAGGGUGGGAAAUCUAACUGCAUAGAAUAAUGGAGCAGAUAAUGAAGUGAGUGUAGGGACAGCCAACAAACACAAACUCCACCAAACCAUGAUUUUCUGCAUAAAAAUUGCAUGUGUUAACAUCAUAUGUGAAAGCAUCCAAAAAUGCACCAUUUCUCUUUAGUGUUUAUGGGGAGUGGAUGCCACGCGUCCCCUUCCCAACUCCAUGUCACAAACUCAAAAACGACAAACUAAUUUUUAUUUCUUUUGAUCAUAAUAAAUAGGGGAUUAAGGAGAAAAUUGAGAAAAAGAAAGAACCUGUACAUGGUACACUGAAGAAUUAUGUUCAAUUGACAUUAUCUAGAUGAAUCCACAGUAAAUUUACCAAAACAGGAAUUAAAUAACGUUUCAUAUGGUAAAUUGCUUCUAACAUGACAAUUAUGAACGACACGUGGCCAAAAUAAGGUAGGUAUCAGUUGUUUUCUUCUAGAACUAAAUACACUAACGAUUUCUUUCUAGUUUUUAAGCAAAUGCAUGCAGAACCGAAAAAGAGAUAACUCUUGUUUAAAAUUUAGGCCAAUAACUCAUUAUGAUUCCAAAUAAAAAUUCGAUUUUUCUUAGGAGAUACAAAGCAAUCAAGAAAUAGUACUACCCCAUGAUUGUGGCACGUGAGGAAAGCUAGUGUUAAAUUUCAUUAACCUACUAGUUGAUGGAUCACUUAAAAAAGCUUCAAUGCUUUUAGCUAUUGGAUUUUAAGACCAUAAUCCAUUCAUAAUAUUUUAGUGGUAACUAUACCGUCAUACAGGUUUCGAAGUAGGACAUGAGUAAUCCACUCGAAUUGAAGUGUAAAUUGGCCUCUCUGAGAUGGUAUUCAAGAUUAUUAUAAUCAAAAGGGUGCAAAUUGGUCCGCUCCCCGCCCACCCCCAUACCCAAAAGGAAAAAGGAAAAGGGAAAAGACUACCAUUUAUGAAGGUAACUUGUACUAUGUUUUCCUAUCUAUUUGUGAAAUUUGAAGUCAUGCAUGUAUAGCUUUACUUCUGACCAAAACCCUAUGUAAUGAUCUAAUGCCCUUCGUUGAGAAAUUAGUGUAAAUGUAUUACACACAUUAUACAUAUUGAAAUGUUCACGUUGGGACGGAGACGGAAAAGAGAUUGAAGUAUAACGUCCGGCUCAACGGAUUACUAAUAAUUUUGGGUUAAUUAUUUUGAACUUGUGGUUUCAAGUCAAAAGGUGCUAGGCUGGUCUAGCAAGCGUGGGCAUUACAAAUAGUAUCAAAGUGAUUCUAACGUGGUCUCUGCGUGAAGUGAGAUUGGCCAGUGAAUUAUAAUUCUAACUAUGUAAGGAAGUGCAAGGAAUUAAAUGCUAUACGGGGUUGGAUGGCACAUCAGACAUAGGUCAUCUCUAGAACCCGUAUGAGCCAUCUCUAGAAUUCGUGUACGACUAAGUGAACAAUUUGAACUGUAACGAAUUUUGCGAGAACGCAAAGUUCUAAAGGUAGGGAGAGUGAAAUGUCUCGUAUCCCAUAUUGGCUCGGAGAAGGGAAAGGGAAUGAAAUAUAAUGUCCGACCCAUUGGAUUACUGAUAAUUUUGGAUUAACUAUUUUUUAUUUGUAAUUUUAACUCAAAAAGGUAUUGGCCAAUCGGGUGGACGCAUGACGUUACACAUUUAAAUAAUAUUUACUGUAACACAGCGGGACUUUCAUCAUCUUUGAUGUAAGCUUCGUUGCAAAUCUAGUUAGUCGAGUCGAACUAAAGAUCUUCUAUCCUUGGAAGCAGAAAUCAGCUUGAAGGUUACGCGUUUAAAAAUGAUAUAUUAUUGACAUUUGAAAAUUAUCAAUCCUUAAAAGUUUUACAUUUCUUCUAAACAAUUUGAGAGACAUUUGUAGUUUAAUUCAUCAAAUCAACUUACAAUCUUACUAAUAACUUAUAUCUAAAUUCAUACAAUUUCAUUAGAAUGCUUUUUAUCCAGGGGAAUCUAAUGGCAGUUAUUGCUUGUGUGUGUGUGUGUUUUUUUUUUUUUUUUUUGGGUCAAUCUGUAAGUUCAUUCAUUUUGAUUUUUUUCCAUGUACUGACCGUAAACUUUGUUCACGUGUGGGAAUAUGCUUUGGUAAGGAUAAAACCAUAAAAAGUAUUGACAGCCAAUGGGAAAAGAAUUCUUCCAUUGUUUUUCUGGUUCAAGAACUUGGCAUGGUACCCUGAAUGAGAUACAUCAAGUCCAAACCCACGAAAUUCGAGAAUCAGAGCCCGGAUAAAGAUGGUAUUAGGAUCCUUCGUAUAUAGCACAUGAGGAGAACUCUAUUCACUUGGCAAUUUGCAAAAACGAUUUAUAUGUGGGGAUAAAUUGUUAUUUAAAAGGGAAGUAUUAUUUGCACUCCUAUUUUUAUUAAUCACAUUCCUAUUAUCAUUUUAAUUAUAUAAUUUUAAUUUAUUAUACUAUAUGAUAAAACAAAUGAUGUAAGUGCAAAUAACAAAAAAUGGAGUGCAAAUAACUUUUGUCUUUUACAAAUUACCUUUUCUUUUUUGGGCAAUUUUGGCAAAAGUCAUACCUCUAGAAACUUUUCAUGUCAAAGGGCCGAUAGGAAUUUUCUUCGUUAAAUAUACAUAAAGAAUGAUACUUAAAGAAGAAAAGAGAAACCGAAAUGUGCAGAAUGAUACUCAGAGAAGAAAAGAGAAAGAUGCAGUUAAUAUAAAUCCUAAGCUACAUUGGAAUCCAAUAUGAGAAUUUAUUCUUUUACUUUAGUUAUCUACUUAUCUUGACUUAAUAGCCUCCCAAUACUUUUGCACGUGGGUUUGGAAAUUUAUAGUAAUUAUUUUCCUCCUUUUUCAUUAAUAUCCUUGUUUCAAAUGGGAGGUAGGGUAGGAUUGAGAAGGAAAAUUCGCAAAGUGAAAAUCCUUCUAAUUAAAAGUUGAUCAAUGAAAAUUCUUCUGAUUAUCCUUUUCUACACUGUCGAUUAAAAUCCCUUUUACAUGAGCAUGCAUGAAUGAAUACCCCAUGUGAAAAAAGAGAAAUUCAAAUUUCAAUGGAAGUUAUGUGUCAUAUGGACCUAUUCUCAACUGAUUUUGAUUUUAAAAAAAUGGCCCAAAAUUAGAAUUGAAAAAGCAGGAAUAUUGUAACUUUUAAUUUAGAAAUUUUUGUAGAGUUAAAAAAUAAAGAUGGAAAAAGAAAUAGUUGAAAACAUCAUAUAACUAAAUUUCUACAAUUAGAAGUUAAAAAAUCAAUUGACAAUAUACUAGAUCCGAUAAUGAAAAAAAUUAUUCCAAAACCUUACGCAUAACACUAUGUUCAUUCUUCAAAAAAUAGAUGCCGAUGAUAAAGCAUAAGUCAUGCUAACAUUGGGCUGUGGAUGAGUAAUCAAAACUACGUACAAAUGGCAUAAAUUUCAAAAUAUUGGAAAAAAGAUGUUUUCAACAAAGAUCAACUUAACUAUUUAACUAUCUUGACUUCCACAUCCAUUAGUCAAGGCCAACUAAAUCCUCAAUUGAUUUUGAGAUGAAGGACUAGAUUCUUCAACAUGGCAUCAAAGCUAACUUUGGACUCUUCUGUGCAUUGAACUUGGUUUCAUGGAUCUCUUUCAUGAUAAUGCUCAUUCUUGUUUGUUCAGACCGAGGCACGUGUAAAAUAGGUGUUAAACAGAGAUCAGCUAAACUAAUUAAUAAGAUCCUAGGCUACUUUUAUUUAUAGUGGUUAGCCAGAACCAAUUAAAGUGCUAAUUUCUUUAAACUGCUAAUUUCGACUAGGAUCUUAUUAAUUACAGUGAAAAAAAUUCAACAGAGAUAUUAGAGAACCUCUUUGAUUUAAUCGAAUCUAUAUAUCUGCUAAUUUCUUAUAUAGCUUAUUUAAACUUUCAGUCUCUGUAAAAUAAAUUAGAUUAGAUUAUAAGAAUAUUAUGGUAAUUAGAAAAAAAAAAAAGACAAGGUUUGGUUCAUCUUGGAACAUAAAUGCCAAAGGACUGGCAGAAGUACAUGCAAACUCGAAUCCUUUGUCCAUUAGAGAAAGGGAGAAAAAAUACAUAGAAAUAUGUCAUACGAUGUGACUUUAAAGCUUUGCAAAUAAAAUUGAUGGGACUCAUGGGAGUCGAAUCCUAACAAAAAUUUUUUUUUUUUUAAAAAAAGCAGGUGACUUUACCACUCCAACAAACACAUGGCCCCUUCCGAGAAAAAAUAAAUAAAGCUCUGGUUAUUACUUUUUCUUUACUUCACCUGUUAGGUGGAUAGCAAAACCUUAUGAAUAACUAUUAAAUAUCAAAUAGCAAAAUAGUACCUCUUGUAACUAACAUAAUUGCCAUAUGUACAUAAAAAAGUAUAUUUGCAACCUCAACGAUAACUUCCUUUUUCCCCCCCAAUUUAUCAAAGGUUUAAUUUUUGAUUAACUAAAGUGGCAGCUAAAUGGACAAUUAAAAAAAAUAAAAGUUGAAUGGGCCAAGAUUUUUAGGUGGAAACGUAAAUGGCCAAGUUAAAAUGUAUACAUAAAAAAUCAAUGUAUUAACUGAAAUGCUGCCGCGCGGCGCGCAGGCCUCAUGUGCACCAAUGCCAGAUAGCCAACACUUGAAUGCAGAAUAAAACUUCCUCUACAUUGAUACAAAGUAUGCAUGCCUUCUUAGUGCUCAUUAAUAAAACAUAUAUUUAUAAGGAUGGCAAUUGGAGUUUGAUUGGUGGGUUCUUCCUUUAAUCAUUUCUCUCUUUAUAAGAAGACCAAAAUGUACAUAAAAUAAAUUAAAAAAAUUAACAAGAAGGAUGUGGAGGGGAAAUGGAUCAUAGAACAUUGAGAGGUGAGACUUUGGCUAGCAUCUAACUUCAUAUCCCCACCUUUUCGAUGAAUAUUAUUAGUGAAAUCAUUGAUGAAGCAUGCAAUGAUAAAAUUAUUGGUCAUAUCGGAUUUCGGCGAUACGAAUGUUGAAAACUACAGUAUUUUUAAAGAUCAAAUGAACAUGGAAUAUAGGAAUCAGAUAGCUUUACUAGGAAAGGAACCAUUGCAGCUUUCACUUUUCGUUGCUGAAACUUUUUUAAACUAUUGAUUUCAUUUCAUCUCUUUGAACCCUUUUUCUUUCUUUUUCUGUGAUCAGAAAUGUGUGGUCCAGAAUUAAAUAUGGCCAUCUAAUUUUUCUUUCUUCAAACCUUUUUCUUCCACAUUAUUGGUCUCUCGUUUUUUCAAAGAAAGAUUUAAAGAAUAAAUUGUUCUAUAGAGAUAGUUAGUGAAUGUGGGGAAACUGCAGAGCGGCAUCAAUGAUUUGGGAAUCGGGUGGCGAUAGUUCAGUUUAAUUUGGAUCGUUCAUUUUAAAAUUUUUAUUUAAAAAUAAACGACACAAAUCAGACCUGACUGAUAUGAUUCAAUUUAUUCUGAUAAUUGCAUUGUACAAUUCUAAUUGCAACCAUGCAAUCGCACAUGCCCCUCACCCCGUAGCUAGCAGAAAGAACCAAUACUCCUAUAGGAGGCACGAAUAUUCUCUGCUCUUUACUUUGGAAAGUGACAAGCAGACCAAGAAGUUUGGAUGGAAUUUAUUUUGAGUCAAAUGUCACUUUGAUAAUCUCUAAUUAGAUGCUAUAAGUUGCAUCAAUGAAUCCCCGUCCAAUAAUUUCCCCUGCACAUUUUGACAUAAACUAUCGAGAUAAUGUUUUACACCACCGAUUUUUAUCGAGAAUAAAGUUAUUUAUGCCUCAUCACAUCUGAUCUCAUUACGAAAUAUUCAAUCUAUCAAGCUUUAUGCAUCCAAAAUUGUAAUUAGAGUAAUGAAUCUUGGCCGACUGCGAUUUAAGAGUCACAGAGACACGUAGAUUAAUCUAAGUUGAGUAUUAUAGGCACGCACGUACAACUAUAUGAAUUAGUACUCUUUAUCGUUUUGAGACUUUAGAAAAUUGCACGAGUGUCUAAAGAUUAAGAUGUGGAUAUAACUAAGUUAGGUAUAAAGGAAAUAGAAUAAGAUUAGAUUUCAGAAAAUUGAUGGUUGAUGAUUUUCUAUAAUUUUCAAAAUCACAGCGAGUAAUCUGUAUAAUUAGAGUGCAUGUAUGAUCGGAAAAUUUGUUAAUAGUUGUGCUCUAAUAUUCUUAUUGACCUUGCAAUUUACCAAUGCAAUGGAGGCAUGUGAGGUCUUAGUUUCUGCAAAUUGAAAGAUGAUUGACAACAAGAAAGAAAUGGACAACAGCAUUUGAGAGAAAUGGACAACAGCAUUUGAGAGGCCCCAAUACAGCUAAUGUCUUAAUUGUGUGGUUAAAAAGAUGACCAAGAAUAUGUUGAACAAAGUUCAUAUAAAAUAAAAGACUAAAAGAAACAGCAAAACUUAAUCCAUGCAUCCGCCCCCACGACUAGUCCGAGUGGUUUUUUAGUCUAUUAGGUAUCAGUAGGUCCUGUGAUCGACUCCUGUGUGUAAUCUCGUUAUGUAUUUUUGGGACAAAAUUUUACACAAUUUUAGAAAUUAGUUGAUCAAAGGGUUGGGAUACCCCUAAGUGGAAAAUAUAUAUAUAUAUAUAUAUGCAUCCCCAUUCAUCAUUACUUUCUAAAGUGAUUAUAGAGCAAAUAAAAUUCAUGUUUAAAAUAUUUCUCAUGUUUCAGCACAUAUCACUAUUAAAGUGUACGGUCGUGUACAAAACCACUUGCUGUCAUCUUCAAAAUGAUGCCACCAUAUUUGCAACUUAUUUGCUGUGUCAUCUUAAAGUGUAUUUCUUUUGUUCAAUAUUUGCAAGUUUGCAUUUAAUCUUACUUAAAUCAAAAAAAUUAAAGUCCAUCAGAAGACAUAAUCAGAGGUACAAACAAUCAUAUCUAGCUCAAACAUUAGUCAAUGCUGAAAGUAAGAUACCAAAAAUACUAGCUGUUUAUUGCCAUCCAAAAUGGAGAAUACAAGGGGGACAAAAGAAAGAAAAAAAACGUACUUAAAAUUAAGCAUCAGAAAAAAAAAAAAAUUGGAGAAGGGUGAACAAGAAGAAGAAAUGCAAUCUAAGUGGGAACAAGAAUCCAUUUGCACAUUAUGUAAGAAUCCAUUUGCAAAAUAAAUAUAAAGAUUAAAGCCUUAAAGUUUAUCAAAAUGAUUGAAGUGAAAGGUGGGAAGCACUAUCAUUGUCUAUUACUAAGCACACGCACAAGAUUUCAAGUCCUUCCGUUUUCAAAUGUACACAAAAGCAGAACUAUAAAAUACAUAAAAGAAAAUACUAAUUCAAAAAUAAAAAGUUAUAUACAAGAACAAUGUCUAGAUAUCAUUGCUAAAUCCUAGGAUAUUGCCAUAUGUGGUUUUUUUUUCUUUAGCUGCAAAUUGGUUUCAUAGAUCACUAUGUGAAUAAUUAUUGUCAUCAAGUUGUUCUUCAUGCAUAGUAGCAAAGCAAGUCUUGAUAAAUGAUUGCUCAGUGGCAUGUUUCUCAUUUCCCACCUUUUGAUGUUGGAUGUUAACUUCAUCAUCAAUCAGCAAUUCCUGCACUCUUGUUCACCAUGGGGAUAUACAGAUCUACUGACAUAUAUCACCUGAGAUAAAUCUAUCAAGGCUGGUUGUCUAGAUUGUUAAAAAAAAAAUUUUUGCAUUAUGCCAACAACUUGUGGUAAAAACCAUCAUCACCAAUAAUAGCACACCUGAGAACUAUGAACUUUUCACCUUGAAAAGACUUAACAUCAUUGAAGUGAUACUCAUAAUAAUAAAAAAAAAGUAAUAUUUAUAAUAAGCAUACAUAAAAGAUAUCCAUGGUUAAUGAAUUAAAUAAAAUAAGGAUAUAAAAAAAUAGCGAAAUCAAAUUCACACCCCUACAGUCUAAUACCACACAUUGCAUAAGUCUACAUUACAUGGCACACAUCAAUAAUAUAAGUUAACGGGUGCUAAUUUAGAAUAUAGGCGAGUACACGUGUGAUCUAGCUCGAAUUGUUCCCAAAAAAAAAAAACAGAGAGAGACCAAAAUAGAGGAAAAAAGAGAGAGAGAGAGAGAGAGAAAGGUUAACCUAGUAGAAUGUAGGUGAGUACGGGUGUAAAUUAGCCUGAGUCAUACCCAACCCAAAAAAUGAAAAGAUGACCAAAGAGAGGAAAAAGAAGAAAAAAAAAUUGAGAGAGAGAGAGAGAGAGAGAGAGGAGGGGGGUUAGCCUAGUAGCAAGUCAUCAACUAAACCAUACUGAGUACCAAGAGGUGUUGGAAUACUUCAUCAAAAGAAAAAGGUGGGGAACCCACCAUGAAGGCUAAGGCCAACAUCUCAGAGCCUUUAAGACUCAAAGAAGAUCCUCGUUUCUGGCCCUCUUCUGUUUAUAAAUGUGUUGUCCAGUUUCAAUUCGGAAGCCAAAGUUAAGAGCAACUUCUUAACUUCUUCCUUCUUCACCAGUCACCACCACCACCAUACUAUAACAAAAAAACAGUACUUCAACUCGGCCAUGCCACUUAAUUCUGUAGCACCAAAACCAGAAAAUCCCAGCAUUCAACUGAUGGGAGGCCUGCCAAUAUCAUCAGAGUCCUGUGACAAUCCUUAUCUGGCUUACCCUAUACAGGCCAGAACACAGUCCUUUCUGCAAAUGACCUUAAACCCCAUAACUCUAAAGGUCUUAUUUUCACACCUUUUUCUUUUGGACAUUUCAUACAUGCAAGCACAUGCAUUUCCCCAGUCGGAAAAUAGUUCAAGGCAUAUAGUUUUAUUUGUGACAUAGCCCUCAAGGCAUGAAGCUCGUUCACAGAGGAUUACUCAUAAAUAAGAAUUUGAAAUUACUUCUUUUUUUUUCCAUUAAGCAGUAAUUUGAAUGUUCUGCUUAUUUGUCUUACUUAUUAUGCAGUUUGAAGAGAUUGUCUACAAGAUCAGAAUUGAAACGAAAGGAAUGUGUUGUGGCCAAACAUUGAGCAGCAAAGAGAAGAUAAUACUGAACGGGCUAACAGGUAUGGUUUGUCCAGGGGAGAUACUGGCCAUGUUAGGUCCAUCAGGCAGUGGAAAAACAACCCUCCUAACAGCCCUUGGGGGCCGCCUCACCAGCAAGUUAUCAGGAAAGAUCACAUACAACACCCAGCCUAUAUCAGGUCAUAUCAGACGUCAAACCGGGUUCGUUGCCCAGGAUGAUGUCCUGUAUCCCCAUCUAACUGUGUUUGAAACUCUCCUGUUCACUGCACUACUGAGGCUGCCAAAAACCCUUACCAAGGAAGAGAAAGUCCAGCAUGUGGAGCAAGUUAUUGCAGAAUUGGGAUUGAGCAGGUGCCGCAACAGCAUGAUAGGAGGACCUCUAUUUCGAGGAAUAUCAGGUGGAGAGAAAAAGAGGGUCAGCAUUGGCCAAGAAAUGCUAAUCAAUCCAAGCCUACUGCUGCUAGAUGAGCCCACCUCGGGGUUGGACUCGACCACAGCCAUGCGCAUUUUGACCACGAUCAAGCGUCUUGCUAGUGCUGGUCGGACGGUGGUAACCACAAUCCAUCAGCCUUCCAGCCGGCUCUAUCAUAUGUUUGAUAAGCUGGUCUUGUUGUCGGAGGGCAGCCCAAUCUACUAUGGUCCUGCAUCAACUGCCCUGGAAUACUUCUCUUCAAUUGGCUUUUCCACAACACUCACCGUCAAUCCUGCAGAUUUCUUGCUUGACCUUGCGAAUGGUAAUCAGAUAAUCAAUAAGACCAACUCUUUUUCUGUCCUUUAUCAGUCAAAGAACUUCGGACAGCUUGAGUUUUCAAAAAACCUGCUAUCCAAAUGAAAUUCAAGAAUCAACUCUAAGAAUAGGCUCUAGAUAUUUGCAUGUAACAUAUACUUUUUAUGCUGCGAAGUUUAAAGCUGAAUCAAGUUUCGAUAGACCGAGCAACAAAAGUGAAAAAAAAAUCUAUAUAUUCAUCAGAAUCCUGACCAGUUACCAUUAAAACUUUUCAGGAAUUGGGCCUGACGCCAAGCAUGCAAUUGAGCUAGGUGAAAGUGCUGAGAAGGAACAAAAAUUAGUGAGAGAAGCUCUGAUAUCCGCUUAUGACAAAAACAUUGCUACAAGGUUGAAAGCUGAGCUAUGCAGUUUAGACAUCAAUAAUUAUGCUUACGCAAAGGAUUCUUCCACUAGUGAGUUCAAUAGCCUUCCUCUCAAAUAAGUUAUCUUUCUCAAUCACAUAGAAUUAUUAGACUUCAGAUAGUUCUCACUUCUCUCAUUUCAAAUUCUGUCUAAUUUACAGUUGUUUUCUGGUGUUCAAUCAAAUGCAGAACGUGAUGCAAAGUCAGAGCAAUGGUGCACGAGCUGGUUUUAUCAGUUCAACGUGCUGCUACUGCGGGGGCUUAGGGAGCGGAGGUAUGAAACCUUCAACAGACUAAGAAUUUUCCAAGUCAUCAGUGUUGCAAUACUUGGCGGACUUCUCUGGUGGCAUACCCCAAUGUCCCACAUUGAAGAUCAAGUAAGAAUGGAUCCACUUACUCACAUUAUUUGCAUAAACAAUCAUAGUGGCAGCUGUCACUUUCUUUUGAAGGCCAUGAUAAUUAUGAGGCUGUUCUGGUUGCUUUAGAUUUUACUAAAAGUUGUUUAAUCAGAAUCACCAAAGCCUACUCUUGCAUAGGUUCUAGAUAAAUCUAAAAAUUUAGGUUGUUUUCUUGUUAGAAACUCUAAAAUUUUAGUUUUUUAGCUUGUUAGAAAAUCUAAAAUCUAGACAUAAAAGCAAAUGAGAACAGCUAAAAAAAACUAAUUUUUCAGAUCAGAAUCUAAAAUCAGGUGAAAGAAUCAAACGAGAACGUCCGCUAUAUCAAGAAUGCAUCUUGAUGUUGAAUAGACCAAGUCAUUGGAAGACCAUUAGAGGGCGCCCACAUCUGAUAAUGCGCAUGAUCUACAGAAAAUCGCCGAGAGUACAGUUAUUAUCAUUUUACCUUGAGAGUUCUUUGGAAGCCUCUAUAUUCAAUGAAGACAUAAGAUAUGCUUCUUCAAAUAAAACAGCUACUUCUAAGAGAUACUAACCUAAGUUCAUUUCCUAUAUGCAGAUUGCUAUGUUAUUCUUCUUCUCUGUUUUCUGGGGCUUUUACCCAAUCUACAAUGCUGUUUUCACUUUUCCCCAAGAAAGAAGGAUGCUUAUCAAGGAAAGAUCAUCUGGAAUGUACCAUCUGUCCUCCUACUUUCUAGCUAAAACAGUGGGCGAUCUUCCACUAGAGCUUGCUCUGCCAACUGCCUUUACCUUCAUAAUUUAUUGGAUGGGUGGGCUCAAACCAGAACCAGCCACCUUCAUCCUUUCCCUUCUCAUUGUUCUGUACAGUGUCCUUGUUUCGCAAAGUCUAGGAUUGGCCUUUGGUGCAAUACUUAUGGACGUAAAGCAAGCUACUACCUUAGCAUCAGUAACAACGCUAGUUUUCCUCAUUGCUGGUGGUUACUAUAUUCAACAAAUCCCUGCUUUCAUAGUCUGGUUAAAGUACUUGAGUUACAGCUACUACUGUUUCAAGCUGCUUCUUGGAGUGCAAUACAAUGGGAAUGAUUAUUAUGAGUGCUCCAAGGGAGUAUAUUGCCGGGUUGCAGAUUUCCCUUAUGUCAAAUCAGUAGGUCUAAACCAUUUGUGGAUUGACGUGUCCAUCAUGGCACUCAUGAUGGUGGGCUAUCGGUUCAUUGCUUAUCUAGCAUUGCGCAGGGUCAGAUGAAGAAGGUUCAAUUCAGGAGCAUGAUCACCAAGGCCUGUUGAAGAGUUUUCCAUUUCUUCAACUGAGCAAUAAUCUUAGGUUUAGAUGAGAAUGCCACUGUCAGAUUAUGAUCACAAGUACCUGGAUAGUUGGAUGUAUCACAUUCUGGCAAUGGUUUGCAAAAAACUGACUUACAAAAGUGAUCAAGAUUUGCACAAUAAAUGUGUAACACUCUUAAUAGUAAGACCCAGUCUUAUAGAAGGAGAAUGAUUUUCCCAGUGUCAAAAAAGAGGGCAUGUUAAGGCAACUCAAAGUCCACUGUAUUCCAGAUCCAUGUGGGGGCAUUACAAUCGCCACUUUAUGGUAGUAACUCCUACAGAUGCAUUGACCACAAAAAGAAGGCACUCUUUUAAAGAAUAAGCAAAUUUAAGUACAUAGAGUAAUUAUAUUGGACAAACGUUUUAUGUCUGGAAGUGCACCAUAACAUUGCUUUUAUCUAUCUUCUUUGUUCAGUCUCUCUGUUGUCUAAUCCUAAGUUUAUAGUAGGGACAGAAAGUGGGACUAAGAACACUUUUGGCUUCUAAUCAAGGUCAUGGUCUGAAGGGCCACGAAGACCUCUUUAUCUUUAAGGAGACGUUUGAACAUAUUUUGUUGCUACAUCUUUAAAUCUUUAUACAGUUCCAGGACAUGUCAUACAUGUUUACUGUAUGGACAGGAGGAGGGAUUCAACAUAAGCUUUUUUCAAUGGCAUGGAGAUUUUGACGGAAACCAGAAAUUCUGUGAAUAUUUUUGCAAAAAGAAGUCAAACCCUUGAAUCUUGAUGUAAAACAGAAGUCAAAAAAAUGGAGAGAUAACUACAGAAUUGAAAAUAUAAUUUUCCGAAAAAAUUCUCAAUCAACAAUCAGCUGAUUAUGCAGGACAAAAGGUGGUCAAAAACGAUUUGAUGUGGUUGACAAACUUCAAUCUCAAGAAUAAUAGAUCUCAAUUUUCCUGUUUAUCACAUGGACUGGACAAUAAAAACAAACAAGAAAGGAGGAGCACAGAGAAUCAAGCAACAGAACACUAUACCGGAGAAGGCUAGCAAUUCUAACCUCAAUUCCAGAAGCCAUAUUUCUUCGUGGUGAUGAGAGAAAUUCUUGAACUGCAUGAUAUCGAAAGGAGGUCAAGUUCCACAUGAUGCUGAUACAGUAGCGGCUGCAACAUUAUGCAAACAAGAAGUGACCCCCAAAAUCCUUGUCAUUUUUACGUCAACGUAGUACCCCAUGCACCGCUCCCUAUAAGGUUCUAGAUUAACAAUAAAGGCCUGAAAUCCAUAGAAUCCUGCUCAUCUCUCGGAUAGAUUAAUGGUUGCAGAUAUCCAUUGAUGGCUAAUGAAGCAGAUCUUGCGUUAGCUGUUAAUUAGAAGGUUGGUAGAAAGGAGAAAUGGAAGAAAUAAACACAGAUACAAGCUGAAGUGGAUUCAAUUCUUCGAGACGGGCCACGAAAGGCCAAGUUGAGAGGGAAUUGUGAUCAGUACAUGAUGAACACCCGGCGACACCUAUGCUGAAUGAGUACAUGACUCCAAUACAGGUCAACAAAAUUGCAAUGAAUCUGCUGAUUUCAUGAUGAUUCUAAGGCAACUGGAGAUCACUGCUGACAGAAGUCAAGACAACUGGCUACCGAAAAUUUGAUAUUUCUUUAAUAUGCAAUGUCUCGUGAAUCUACCUCUCCCAGUCAGGCUUGAAGCCGCAGAACAAUCCAGAAUUUUUAGCGAAAUAACCAUUCCAUUUCAAAUUUUUCAUACUGAGCAAAGCUUGAGACUUAAAUUAACUAAUGCAAGAAGCUAACCUCAUGUAGAUCAAAGUACAAUUGACAAGAAGCAAAUAAGCAAACCCAUAGAGCAUGGUUCACUGUUGCGGAUCACGGUCGUGGAUGUUCCACAUCCGUCGCAGCAUAUUGAUUGAACAUCGGGUGAUACAUACAUUAUAAUAAAUAAAAUUUUCCAAAAAAUCUGAAAAAAUUACUAAAAAUAGAGAAUACCAUAAAAGGCACAAUUACCAAAUUAAAUUUACUAAAUACCUACAUGAUCAUAAAUAGUUACUAAUUAUUUAAAUAAAAUAAUGCUGCCAUUACCAUAAACCUAUAGCAUUAGCAAUAAAUGAUUUUAGCAUCAAGUGUGCUUUCUAAUCCUAUUUUAUAUGAGAUCAAAAAUUAUAUAUAAAAAUAAAAUCAUCAUAUCUUACAUAAUACAAUACGAAUCCCAGUACACAAAGGAAGUAGUGGUGUUUAGUUCAAUACAAUAAAAGAAACAAAUACCUAUUAAAUAAUAUUAUGAAAUAUAAAGACAUAAAGAAGCAAGUGUUUUCACCAUAUUCUCAAUACACAUUUUCAUCCUAUAUUGAUCCCAAUUUCCUAAAAUAAAAAAUAAUAAAUAUCACUGAAAUAUUAAAAUUAAUGAAUUAUGUACAACUAUUGAAUUCUAUCAAAUAUAGUAAAAUUAUAUUUUUACUUUGUUUACAUACCUAUUAAUACCAUGUGGAAUGACGAGGAGGUUCAAAAUCAUGCUCAUCUCCCAACCGAUUAUAGUAAGAAUAUAACAUUUGUAGUUAGUUUCCUUCAUGUGAAUAAGGAGAAAUGUAUGAACCAUAUUGUUCGUCUCUUAAAUUUGAUGACGUACUAGAUAAACCAUGAUUAAAAUGUGACAAAGGUGGUAGAUUUGAUCUUAAUGAACCCUCGAUAGUGUAAACUAUCAGUGGUGCUAUUAGAUGAACCAUAAUUGUGUUCAUAAUAGCCAAUGCUACUUGAUUCAGAUGUAGAUCCCUCAUGAUAUAUUCUAGUUGGCUGAUGAUAAUAUUCAUUAGUAGAAACACUAGUGGACCUCUGAAGAUGGCUAGCUCCACUAUAUGAUCCGUAUUCAGAGUAAUAACAAGUAGAACCUGCAUGUAAUCGCUCAAACUCAUGUCCUAGCCACCUAGUACCCAAACUAUUACCAGAAUUAUAGACUCCAUAUGAAUGACCUAUAUUUAAAUCUUGCAUGAGCUUAUGAAAUUCAGAAUAUCUCCUAGAAUUUGAGUAGUAAAAAGAGUCACCUUCACUCAAAAAUUCAAUUAUUCUGCUCAAAUGCUGCUACUGUGCUUUUAUGCCACGAUGAUAUCCAUGAUCAGUGUCUUGAGUAGCAUACUAGUUAUUAUCUGUUUGAACCCAUGACAUGCCACCAGUACAUUAGCUAUUAUGAUAGUUACCACCACUACCACUAAAAUUUUUUGUUAAGAAUGUCUCGUGUUUGCCCCUCCAUUAUCAUCAUCAUCUUUUCCACCGCUAGAGGUGUUGGUAGAGAAAGAUGAAAUGGGUUUUGAUAUAAUUUUUUUCUAUCUAGUACUCUUGUCUUUGCUCAUAAAUACUUGCUCUUUAUGUUUCUUUUUCAUACCAAUUAUGAAUUGAGACAAAAGCAUAUCAUUAUCAUCAUCAUUAUGAUGACUUUGUUCUCUCCCUCCCUUCACUUUCAUUGAUGUAUUUAUUCAACCAACUUAAAUCAUCUUCACAAAUCAAUCGCGGCUCAUUUUCUCAAAUCCACUCAUCUAAUAUAUCAUUUUCAUCAAAAAUGUGAUUUAAAUAAAUUGGGUUAUAAAAAUCAUCGGUGUCAUUUUUAUACAUCAAAUUCUUCAUUCUGAGCCACAUGUUGUAGCGCACAAAUACCAACUUGUUCAACAUUUCAAUUGGCAAUUGAUUUCAAAGUUUUGUAUGUAUCAAAGACCACGUACUCCAAAUUCUUUCAUAACCAGAUGAUGUACAAGUUUGACUCAGAACUUUAAUUACAAUUUUUCUUAAAUUAGGAACUUCUUCACCAUAUAUGUUCCACCAUAUAGCUAUUAAAAACAUAGAAUGCAAAAAAAUAGUAAAUAUGAUGCAUAUAUAACAAGUAUCCUUAAACUGAUAUAAUAAUGCAUAAUAUAAUUUAAAGGACAAAAUCAUAUUUAUUAACCUGAUAAAGAUGUAGCUACUGCUUUAAUUGCAAGUGCACUUCCAAACUCUCCAAUGUUGUUCACAAAUGUGUUUGUCUAAGGAUACCACAAAGUUAGAAUAUUAGAAAUUUAAAAAAACACAUAAAGUAAUGCAGAUUAAUAAAUAAUGGCUAUUAUUUUACCUUAUUCAUUGCUUUUGCUUGCAUUUCUAAAUUUAGUUCAAACCUUUUAAUUACUUCUUUCAAUCCUUUUCUAAUUUCAGAUGUAUUAAAUUCACAAGUGCCAGAAUAUUGAAGAACGAGAUUUAAGAAAUAGGCUGGACCAAUGACAUAAAAAAUAAUCAAGUGGGAAAAUCUUUAGCACAAAAUAAUUUGUUUAAAAAAAUAUUUAUUUAUAAGUGUCAAACAUAAUGACCUGUUGCAUGCAAGUCUUGUGUAAAUGCUUAUACCAUCUGUCAUCAAUAAUAUCACAGUAUUUUUGAAAGUCUUUCACUGCAAUUUAUAUUGUCAUUUUAGCCUUAUCCAUUUUCUCAUAUAUAAUGGGUAGUGUGGGUUUUUUAUCCUAAUCGAUCACUUUUAAAACUUUCACUAGCGGCUCCAUGAUUGCACAUACCCACCAUACCUUUUUCCAAAAUCUUUCUAACAAAAUCAAGUCAAACACUUCAGCAUCUUCUUCCCUUCUUUUAGAACUGCUAUUAUACUCUUACCACUCAUUUGAAGUACACAUUCGUUUCAACUCGGUAGCAUGAUGAAGAAGACUUUCUAUUGCAAUGAUCUCGGUAGCAAAUCUUGUUAUGUCAGGUUACAAUAACUCUCUAUUAUUUGUAUAUGUCUUCAUUAGAUUUACCAUUUUGUCACUAUUGUAUAUAAAACUGGUAAUUCUCCUACCUUGUUUGAUGGCAUCUUUUAUUGACUUCAUCUGAUCAAUGUCUUCCAAAAUCAAAUCAAUGCAAUGCGUAGCACAUGGUGACCAGAACAAAUGCUUCCUUUUCUUCAUCAAUUGCUCCCCAGUUGCUUUCAUACUAGAUUCGCUAUCAGUGACAAGUUGUACAAUAUUUUCUUCUUCAAUGGAAUCCACAACCUUAUCCACUAAGGAUAAAACUGGUAAUUCUUCUACCUUGUUUGAUGGCAUCUUUUAUUGACUUCAUCUGACCAAUGUCUUCCAAAAUCAAAUCAAUGCAAUGCGCAGCACAUGGUGAUCAGAACAAAUGCUUCCUUUUUUAUUAGUUGCUCCCCAACUGCUUUCAUACUAGAUUCGCGAUCAGUGACAAGUUGUACAAUAUUUUCUUCUUCAAUGGAAUCCACAACCUUAUCCAUUAAGGAUAAGACAAAAUUUGCAGCCUCUACCUUGUUUGUACUGUCGACAAAGUUGUGGUAUAUUAUGUCUCUAUCAUAGUACACCAUGAAAUUAAUGAUUGGAUGCUUUGUCCGAGUACUCUAGCCAUCACACAUGAUUGUGCACCCAUAUGUUUUCCAUUUGUGUUUAAUGGAACUAAUUGUCGGUCAACGUCUGCCAUCUCCUUAUUUAGAUAUUCACCUCCAAUUUGUCUACCUGUUGGCCCUUUAAAUCCAAGUCCAGCACUAUCAAUUGUGUCAAUCAUCGAUUGAUAAUAAGUUCCACAAUCAGCCACAUGAAAUGGUAUGGCAUUAAAAUGAAAAAAUUUUGCAAUUGCCUUACCAACUUUUUUGUCAUUUUCUUUGGAAAAUUAAUCUUUUAUUGACUUAUUUUUUAAGGGAAACAUGUAUGGAUCAAUUCCUUUGACCCCAAACCUCCUGCCUUAAACUUAAAACUCUGUGAGAAAGCUCUUUUACUUCUAGAGAACAAUAGAUUAGGUAUAUUCGAACUACUACUCCCUACAAUAUAGUACAUAAAAGAUUGUAAUAUUUUUUUAUUAAAUAAGUCUUGUACUCUAAAAAUGAUAUAUUAAUUUUUAGAUAUUUCUACAUACAUACCAGACGUAAAAUUCAUAGUUGGCUAACUUCCAGAUACAUAAUGCCUAGGUUGCUCUUCCAUAAAUCUCAUGUAUCUACUUUCAUCCAUAGCUCACUUGUAUUGCUUUCUUUCUAAAGCUUCCAUUUCAUCUUCCUUAAGUUUGAAGAUAUCAUCCUCGUUUUCACCUAGCAGAUUGAUGGAAUGGAGUAAUGAUUGUUUUUUCUUUUGUAUUUCAACUAUUGCACUCUUACCUUAAAUCAAGUGUUUCUUUAAAAGCUCUCUUAUUUCUUUUGGAGCUACAGGACAUGUUUUUACUUGUCGUGCUACAUGGCUAAUAUGUUGUUUCAUCCUUAUAAUUCCUCAGUGUACAAUUUUACCACAAUAAUUGCACUUUGUAACCUUUCUGGUAAUGACCAGUUGGAGUAACAUGAUCCCCACCAAUGCCUUGAUUUGAACCCAUUUUACAAUGUCCUUAAAUUAGUUAAAUAAUUGUAGGUGUGAUGUUAAACAUGCAAAUAUGUGUUAUUCAGAUAAGAAUAAAAUUAUUAAAUUUUAUUAUCUAAAUAUAUUAAAAAUUUUCCGAUCAAGUUUAAUUAUACAAGAUAAUCUAUACUUUCACAAUUUGCCCACUUCAAUUUUUUUGUUUAACUAAGUGGAACUUGUAAGUAAACUUUUUUUUUCCUUUUUCUAAUUAAUUUACCUAAAAUCAUUUUAACCAAUAUAAUUGAGAUAUAUGAAAUAAAUAAAUUACAUUAUUGAUCAUUAAAAUGUAUCCAAACAAUAACUAUAUAUUUUCUAACUAAAACUUAGAUAAGAAACUACUGAUAUUAUAUAAUAUAUUAAAUAUAAAAUUAGCAAUGUAAUAAAAAACAUCAUAUACUUAAUAAUGUAUAAAAAUGCCAAAAUGCAUUGCAUAAAUUUACAAAUAUUGAAAUAUCACAUCUGAAUACUAAAUCCAGAAAAAUUAAAAUUGAGAAACUACUUUGAAAGAAGAUGUGGACCUUUUGGCCUGAUGUUUGAGUUUAAGAUUAGGAGUCCAAUCUCCUAAUUACUUAGGCCAAAUUUGGACUUUAAGAGUUUUUAAUUUUUGCUUCUUUUUUUUCCUGUCUUUGGCUCCACUAGAAAAGCCCAACUACUCCAAUUUUAGCUGAGUUCCACGUACUCCAAAUUUAGUCGUUGCUUUGGUUCUUUCUUCUCCCUUUUGCUCUUUCUUCUCUUCUCUGUAGACCAAUUGUCGAGCCCUAUUUCUAAAAAAAAUGAAUUAAUGAUUAAAAAAUGAAUUUUUAUUUUAAAGAACAUUGGCGUAUAAAAAUGUAAUUUUUAUUAAAAGAUGAGUAAAAAAUGAGUUUUAGUUCUUGAUUAGUUUUUAUUUUAGUUUUAAAUUUUGUAAAAAUAAAAAGAAAGAAAAAGAGCCUAAAAUGGGACUUAAAAAGUGCGACAGUUUUGGCUCAAAAUAAUAGUCUAAAAAGGGUUUCUAAGAAAAAUAGGAGUGGUCACUUGGUAUUGAGUUAAGGUGUACCAAAUCACCCAAAAUAUGUUUUUAAGAUAAAAGAUAAAAAAAAAUAAACCCUUUUUAAAUGACUCCAGAUUUUUGAAAAGAAGAGAAAAGAGUUCGGGAGUCACAGUUGAAAAAAUGGAAGGCAAAGAUUUGAUAGAAUCAAACCUAAGGCACCCUGUCAACCUAGCCAAAGUUAGUUGCGAGAUUUAGUCGAAAAUUUUUCGAGCCUUACCUAUGAAAACUUAUCACAUUAGAAUGUUUCUAUAUGGAUGCAAACCUAGACCUAGGGGGGUAUCGAGAGGGUCGAGCUGUCUCUUCAAAAUUUAAAUGGUGCAAUCACAUUAAUUGUGAUGCCCAAAAUGAUUUUUAGAAAAGGUUACGAAUAUGCAAAAGAUAAGAAUAGAAGAAAAGAAGAAUUAUAAUAUAUAAAUAUACAUGACCUAAAAGAGAGGAAUGCAACAUAACGGGUAUGAGGGAUCUAAAUUCGUGACUCAAUUUUCCUUUCUCUAGAGGAGAUACAAACGUGUUAAGCCUUAGAAACUAUACUCGUCCAUUUCCCAUAUUUGAAGAGUGACUCUCCUAACUAGUCAAGCAAAUGAACUAACCUAUUUCUCAUUUCCUAUUGGAAUGCAAGUCUAAAUGUCAUGUUUCACACACAUAGGGGUAAGUGAGAUAAGGAAAUUUCAUGCCAAUGAAGAAAAGGAUCCUAAAGGUGAAAAGUAUGCAUGAAAUGCAAUAAAUGUCAAACAAAGUAUGAAUUCUAACGCGAAAACGGCCUAAAAGGUCUAGCAUUGUACUAACUCAUUUCUAUAAGUCCUCACUAGCGUUGAACUAGUGAGAAAUCGGGGAGCAAACCACAACUAACAUUGGACUAGUGUGAUGACGUCAUGCAUUUAUUAUAACUAAAUAAAUCAUAUAAAACAUAAUUAAAACAAGUAAACACAUAAUGCACAUAGAAUGCAUAACAAAUAGGCAUAAUUUCUAGAUGCAAAACCCUAGUGAAAGCGAAUAAACAUGUAAACACACAAGCAUGCAAGCACACAAGCAAAUAAAUGCAAAUAAAAGCUUAACUAUAACAUUCGAGACCCUAACUACAAUCUAAGAGGAAAUUUUUUUUUAAAAAAAAAAUAACCUAACUAUUACAUUUAUCUAACUAAAUACAUUUUUGACAAAAAUUAAAACCUAUCUAUUACAUAUGCUAACUAAAUACAUGUCUUGAGUAUCUAUCUAUUACAAAUUGACAUUUAAAUGCCCUCAAAUAAUCAUCAAAAAUUAAAUAUAAUAAAUAAAAAUUUAAGAUGAAUAAAAUUCAUAAAUAAAAGAAAAAGCACUCAAAACAUGCAAUCACAUAUAAAAAGCACAUAAGAGCACAUAAAGGAAUUUAAAAUAAUACUAGAAGGUAUCUCCCUUUGAAGUAUUGGUUAAAUGAAGUUGGAUUUGCCCUAUUAUACUCCAAGAUCAACAAAAUGGUCAAAACAUCAAUUUAAUUAACAAAUAAAUUAUAAAGCAACGGAAAUAACCAUGAAAUCUAGCAAUUAAAACAUUUAAAUAAAGUAUAAUUAACAAUUAAAGAAGAUAAACAACUUACAUUUAAGAAAUCAAAACUGUCAGAGACCUAAUUGCAAAAUUGAGAACGUUUUUGGGAUCAAAUAAUAAUUAUUACAAAAAAGGGGUCAAAUCAAAGAAAAAUAAAGUUUAGGAACCAAAUUACAAUUAAAUUAGGGACCUAAUUGAAAGAAAUAAAAAAAAUUUAGGGCCAUAAUAUAAUUACUUAGAAGUAUAGGGACCAAGUUGCAAUUUUCAUUUUCUGGUUUGGCCAGAAAGGGCCUUGGGCAUCCUUCAAAUUUUUCUUUGGGCCAAAGUUACCUAGGCUUAAUGAAAAGUCCAGAAAAAUGGGUGGACUAGCCUGUCAUUUUUACUAAACUAAGUCUGGUGAAAAAAGGUUGGGCUUAAACCCCAAGUUCGGUCAUAAACCCAAGCAAAAAGGAAAAUCUUGGCCCAAAUUUUUUUAACCCAAAACAUGUUUUAUCAACCCAUCAUGGCCCAUAUCAGAUCAAAUGAAGUAAAACAAACAAGAUAAAAUUGGAGGAAAAUAGAAAGAAAAUAAGUGAAAAGCAUUCUGGCGGGUCUGAAAACAUUCGCCGGAAUCCAUUUUUACCGGCUUUUAAAGCCGAAUAUUGAUAUAAACAUACUCCCCAUGAUCUCUUGAGUUAGUUAAAACAUCAAACAUCACCAUUUAAACAACAAAAUUGUGAGAAAAAAGAGAUCUAAGAUGCAAAACCCGUAAAACUCAUGUAAUAGCUUAAAAAACACAUGAAAAACGUUAGAACAACCAAGAAAAAGGGUUAUAAUUACCUGAGGAAGUUAGGGAACUUGAAUAGAUGCGAGAAAUCACAGUGAAGCGUGCCCUGAUUCCGAAAGUGAAGCAAAACACUUCUUGUCGUAGAAGUUUAAGAGUUGAGAAACUGGCAACUUCAGGCUCGAAUUCGAAGGUUCUGGAAGUGUUUUUUCAGGAAACUUUCAACAUGAAAACUCCCCUACUACGUCCAUGAAGUAUCCAGAAAUCAAGAAUCGAUCUCAAAGAAGUCAAGACGAAGAAGAAAAUGGCGUCUGAACAGGGCUGCCCGUUCAUUCCUAACUCAAUUUUUUCUGAAAAUUCCCUGCUACUUUUUCUUCUUUUUCCUUCUCUGUUUUCCUUCCUUUUCUAUUUUUCGGCCGCCUCCAACUCUUUUUUCUACCCUAAUGGCCGCAUUUCUAUGCAUUUAUAUGGAACAAAAACCCUCCCCCCAAACCCUAUGAGCAAUGGUGGAGAUUGGUUGGCUUUUUGGGGAUGAUUUGGAGCAAUUAGAUGGCUGAUUUUGGAUAAGAAUUGGAAGAUGAUUUGACCCUUGUACUGGGGGGCUCAAAAGGAAAGAAAAAAUGAGUGGAAUUAGGAUCAAAUGGCCGCUGCAAUUCUCUGGUACUAUGGCCUCGUUGCUAGUUUUGUACCAGUUUUCAUGAAGGAAAAUUUUUUUUUUUAUAAAAACUGAUUUUAAUUUUUGUUUUCUGCUUUUUUGUUUUCUUUUAUUUCUAAUUUUCUAAAAAUAAAUUGAAAUUAUUUUCUUCAGAAAUAGAAAUGAAACAAAAUAAACUAAAAUAAAUAAAAUUUAAACAAAAUGAACUAAAAAUGAACAAAAAAUAGGAAUAAAAUGAAGAAAAAUAAAAUGGUAACAUUUUGGCGUUUACAACUUGCCUCUCUUUAUCUGAGUUUCGCAAAAAAUCGAGAUAAAGACGUAGACACUGUGACGACCCCACUUCUCCUUAGGGUGUGAGCCGCCUACCUAGCUUUCGUCAGGGCUCAAUACGAGUCAAAUUUAAAGUUAAAGGUAAUCAACCACUAAUAAAAGUUAAUAUAAAGAAAAGUCGCUUCCUUAUAUAAUCAUUUGAGUCUUAUAUCACAAAGUUUCCAAAAGGUACAUCAAAUUUCCCCAAAAAUACAACCACCAUAAGUCGACUAAUCAAUUACAUUCAUAAUUGUACCAAAAUAAAGUCAAGACAGCUUCUCCAAAAAUCUUUCCAUUCCGAGCCCCUGUUAAGGAAAACAAACUACGGGGGUGAGUUAACAUUUAGUGAGGCCAAGAAAAGCAUGCAAACACAUAAGUUCAAGUAACAAUAACACUGGUACAAGAAAUAUAGUUAGAAAGUUCAUGUAAUUCACAAAUAACAGUAAAACACAAUCAAUAAGGAUACGGGAGCUCUCAGGAGCUAAAUUCCCCUUUGCUUUGCCAAGGCUUGAUCCAAUACCUCCACGUGAUGACACUCCGUCAACCGAGUAGGUAGCAAGUCCGUAGAAACCCCGCUUACUUCCUCCAUCCCUCAUUUCACCCCCUUGGAUCCGUAACCAAACACUCACUGGAAGGGCGAUACUACUCGAGUAUGGCAAGCAAGAUCUCAAAAGAUCAAACUUAUAAUUUUCUCAUGGUUCACCGGGCUUCUCGACCAAGCCCAUACUGGCUCAAGUCGCAAGGUUAGCCAAUGAGUUUUGGGCGUCCCCAAAUGUACAAAUACAAUUUGCCAAGUUCACGUAAUUCAAUUAUCAAGUCACAUUCACACAAGUCAAUUAUCUAGUCAAGUAAAAGAGAACGAGUGCGAUAAAGUACACACUCGUCUUGACAAGUCCAAAUCACUUAAUUAACAAGAAACAAUUCAAGUAUUUAGCAACAAUUCAUGCACUUGACACUCACCAAAUCAAAAGUAAGUGAGCCAAUAAGGCCUUUAGUUGUCUGCACUGAGAUUCCCUUCGAAACUCUCUUGAGCACCUGAAGAAAAAGUGACCAACCAUCACUCACGUAUACUUUAGACCUCUUAACAUUCAAGAAAGAAAAUGCACUUGCUUAAAAUUAAGACAACGCCUUAAAAGAGCUUUUCUCAUCGAACAUCGAGAUUCAAAAAUGAGAAUUUAAAAUCUCAAGUGAACUCAUAUCAUUCAUGAAAUCGAGUUUAAAAUGAACCAUCAAUCUCAAAAGGAAGUUGGAAGUUCAUAAAAGUUCAUUUCUUAAGAAAUCAGAAAUUUCCAGUUUUACGAGACAAUACUUGGAAAAUCAGAUCUUGAGUUUGGUAAGUCCAAAAAUGGGAAACUUUACACCGUUGGAAACUAGAUUCAUAGUACUAAAACUAAAAAUCAUUCAAAUCUCAGCUCAAAGCUACUAUUUCAUGAAGACACUUUUCCCAGAUUCCAACUAAAAAUCAUUCAAAUCUCAGCUCAAAGUUACUAUUUCAUGAAAUCAGGGCCGAACCAGUCUUGAUUUUUCAGUAAUGUUUGGAAAUUCAAAAAAAAUUCACAGAAAUUGAAUUAGCCUCUAAAAUUUAUAACACAGCAAGAGUUUCAAGUAAAGUUUCAAACACAACCAGAGGAACUAAAUUUGGAUUUUUGAACAGCAAGAUACAACAGUUUGAAGAUGGCUGGAUUUCACAACCUGUCCAACAAUUUUCCAGUUACCAGCUUUGACACCGUUUUGAAAUCAAACCAUAUCUAACUCUACACAAGUCCAAAUUGAGGAUGAUUUAUGGCGUUAGAAACUAGAUUCAAAAUGUUUCAAAUCAUCAGAAGACAUCAUUUUCAAACUCUUUUUACAAGUGAGACAAAAUUAAGCCACAAGAUACAAUUUCACAGUUUCUCGAGGAUAAACAGGUAAAACAGGUCAGUCCACUUUACUGAUUCGUUACGGGUCACUCAAAACGAAUUAGCAAGGAAAUUUUAUAUCGUUUGAAAGCUCUUGGUAUCUAGUUUUAAAUGCCAAAAACGGCACUUAACUUCGACUUUUGUACAAAGAUUUAUGCUCAGACAAAGUACCCCUAGUCGGCUGCCCUGGCAGCUAUUUUCCAGAUUUCUACCUUUCCACAAAACCCAAGUUUAAUGUAACCAAUUGAAAUGAUUUUUGAAAGACAAUUUCUACACACAUAAUACAACAUAUAACAAGCAUUUUAGCAGCCAUAUAACCAACAAAAAUUCAAAAUCCAAGCAAGACAACAGGGCAGCAAAUUCGGCCAGCCCCUCUCAAGAGUUUCUUUUAACUUUCUUUCCUCUUACCAAGCCAAUGUCAAGUCACUCAUCACACAAACAACAACAAUCAAGUAAAAAGCCUCAAGUCCACUACCUAAAGGCCACCUCAAGACCACUAGCCUAGGAUAUAAAGCAAGAAAUAAAAGUUCCUCAAGUCCUCUAGCCUAACUUCUUGAUUAAGGUUUCAAACCCAUGAAAUACAACCUUUACUUUUGGUAAAAUUUGAAACAUUAAAGAAGGAUGAGCUUGUUACCUCUUCAAGUUCUUGAACCCUAGGAAGAGCCAAGUUAUGCACCACUAACCACCAAGAAUUCACCACAAGAUGGAAGCUUCCUUCAAGUUGGAUCAACUACUAAAGGUUUGGAGGAUUUUGUAUGGAUCUUGGAGCAAGAUUGGUGAAGAAAAAUUGGAGCUUUUCUCCCUUCUUCUUGAGCUAGAGAGGGUCGGCCAUGGAGAGGAGAAAAAGGGGAGAAAGUGAGCUUUGAAAUGUGAUGGAAAAGUGAGGUGAAAGGUAGCUUUUGGAGGGUAAAAGUCAACUUUGAAUAGUAGCUCUAAUAGUGUCAUGCACUACCAAUUCGUUCUUGUUUGCUACACUUAAAUACUAAUCCUCUAAGGUGGUUCCUCUAACACUACAAAUACUCAUACUUACUAGUCUAAAAUUAAUUCUCCAAAAUUAUUGCACUUUCGGAUCGAAUAUCGCCUCGAAAAAUGUGUAUUCGCUAUUCCUUACUAGACGAGCCGCAGAAAAAUUAAAUUUGCUAACGGAACGUUUUAAAAAAAUAUAAAUGAGACAUUGCUCCAUGCAAAUAAAAUUAAAGUGGUUAAAAUAAAUUAUUCGGAGAAAACGGGUAAAUAAAUAAUUAAAUAAGCCAGUAAAAUAAAAUAAAAGUAAGAAAAAUUUGGGUCCUCACAAACACCAACUUAUUUACCUUUCUGGUUCAGCUGCAAUUGAAACAACUAGUAAAGCCUAAUUAAUCAGAAAACCCAAGCUUAGAAAACAAAAGAUUGGUGAGAUAAAAUCCAAACCUAACAAAAUAAAGGUUGGUGGGAUAAAACCCAAAUCCAACAUGGUUGAUGGAAUAAAACCCAAAUUUAACGAAAUAACAGUUGGUGGGAUAAAACCUCAACCCAACAAAAAAAACGGUUGGUGGGAUAAAAUCCAAACCAAUGAAAUGGCAGUUGGCAGGAUAAAAUUCAUUUCCAACAAAAUAGCGGUUUGUGGGAUAAAAUCCAAACCCAACAAAAUAGACAAAAUAACAGUUGGUGGAAUAAAAUUCAAACCCAAAAAAAUAACGGUUGGUAGGAUAAAAUCUAAACCUAACGAAAUAUCAGUUGGUGGAUAAAAUCCAAAUCUAACGAAAUAGUGGUUGGUGGGAUAAAAUCCAAACCCAAUAAAAUAACGGUCGAUGAGAUAAAAUUCAAAUCCAAUGAAAUAAUAAUUGGUGGGAUAAAACCCAAAUCCAACGAAAUAACGGUUGGUGGGAUAAAAUUCAAAUCCAACGGAAUAACGGUUGGUGGGAUAAAACUCAAUUCCAACAAAAUAACGGUUGAUGGGAUAAAAUCCAAAUCCAACAAAAUAAAACCCGACGAAAUAACAAUUAAUAGGAUAAAAUUCAAACCCAACAAAAAAAAGGUUUACAUGAAAAUGUGUUUGAAUCAAAAGCUGUGAAGUGAUUUUUGCUAUUUUACUAAACAAAUGUUAAACUUACUUGUAGAAUCAGAUAUCACUUUCGUGACAAAAUUUGUCCCAGUGUAAAUCAGACUUAGCUAAAUAAUUGUUGUUUUCUGUUCCUUCAAAAAGACAUGUCUAGUCCAAUCCUGCAAAAGGAAAUAAAAACAACUGUGAUAAAAUAUAAUGCCAUUACCGUGCGAUCCCUCAAACCUUGAGAAACAUGAGUCUUUUGAUAUCGGGCGACUGUUCGAUUUAAACAUCUUGUUUAACCUUCCUUUUGAUCUGCUAGUAUCUGUACUCAAUCAACCAUACUUAUACCAUAGAUAUACACUCAUUACGGUAAAUUACGGGGAUCGUCUCUUGGUUAAAUUCAAUGAAAAACACGUAAAAGUUUUAAACAAGAUAAUUUCAUGCAAUAGUGUAAAAAUAAUUUUAGUAAAAAAUGACUCUUAUUAAAUUUACGAAAAUAAUUUGGAGACUCAGAUACAAAUUUGAAUGGCCCUUUUAUGAUAAAAGGAACGUCACAUUUGACCCCUUCGAAUAUCACGUUCCUGAAAUUCGGUGUUGCCAACAGACCUUAACAUGAGGAAAAAUUCAAACGAACAUAGUUACCAGCUUCUGAACAGUCGACCCUCUGCUUUCCAUUCACAGCUCAGUCAAUGAUUCAAAACCCUACCUUAGCACUCUUUUGGAUUUUCACUAAGGUUGCCCCCGUCCAUUUAUUUUCUUUCUUUUACUUUUGCUUUUUGUUUUUUUUCUCUUUUCUUCUCUUUUUUUUUUCUUCUUUCUACUUUUUUUCUCUUUUUUUUAUUAACUUAAUUUUUUUUGUUUUUUGUUUAUUUUUUUUUUUGAAAAGGCUCUAUUUCGAAUUUUCACCUAAUGAACAAAUUUAGCGACGGCCUCUAUCAAUUCAAAAAUGUGUUUCAACAUUAAUGACAUCAAUGUAACAAUCCUUCCCUUAUAAAAUUGAUGAAUGUGGGUUGACAUCAUUUGCCAUUUGAUUAAACAAUUCUCAUUACAAAUACUGUUAAAGCGGAGGUUGGGACUUUAUGAUUUUUGUAACGAGAUCAGGUGUGGUGUUAAGAAAUGUUAAGACUCUAAAGCAAUUUUUUAAAGGGGUUUCAAAAGUUUUAAGAUCACAUCCUAUAAAAUCUUACUCCAAUAUAAGGCUAUUGAAAUCAUAAAAUUGCCCCAGUUUGGCUUUUAACUUUUCUUUUUAAUUAUAUAUAUUUUUUUUAAUUUUUUUAUAACAAACGAAAGAUAAGUUUUGCCCCAAUGUGGGGUUUGUGAUCCUUAGGAGGCUAUCAAACGAAGGAAUAGAUUAUUCUGGAGGCUCAAAGGGGAGAACAAGGGAUUAAAUAUUCAAAGGAAAAAGAAAUAAGCCCACCUUUUAGUUCACCCUAGACCGUAUUUCAAAAAGAAAACUCACAUAAUCAGAUAAAAAAACUUCUUGCACAUAAUUGAAUUGAUUGGUUGAAGAAAAAUCUGUCCGCCCAUCUCUGUGAGAAUGAGUGUUCCUCCGGGCAAUACCUUCUUAACAAUGAAAGGUCUUUGCCAAUUUGGGAUAAAUUUUCCUUUAGUUUCGUCUUGGAUGGGAAGAAUUCGUUUCAAAAUUUUGUCUCCUUCUUAAAAUAUGCGAGGUUUGACCCUUUUAUUAUAAGUACGGGCCAUUCGCCUUUGAUAAUACUGCCCAUGGAAAAUAGCAUUUAACCGCCUUUCAUCAAUCAAGGAUAGUUGCUCGUGCCACUGUUUAAUCCAUUCAGUUUCCUCCAACUGAGUUUCCAUUAAAAUGCGCAAAAAGGGAUCUCAACCUGCCGCGGGUAAUUCUGCUUCCAUACCGUACAUGAGAGAAUAAGGCGUUGCCCCAAUAGAAGUUCUAAUUACAGUUCGAUAAGCCAUUAAUGCAUAUGGCAGUUUCUCAUGUCAAUCUCGGUGUCUUUCCUUCAUUUUGUGAAUGAUUUUCUUCAGAUUUUUGUUUGCAACUACUACCGCUCCAUUCAUCUGAGGCAUGUAGAUAGUCGAAUUCCGGUGCUUGAUCUUGAAUUGUUCGCAUAAUUCAUCUAUCAUGUCAUUAUUGAUAUUUUUGUCGGUGAUCAGCAUCUCUAGCACCCAAAAACUACAGAUAAUGUGGUCUUUCAAAAAAUCAGAUACUACUUUCUUGAUCACGUUCUUGUAAGACGCUGUUUCAACUCAUUUCGUAAAAUACUCGAUCAUCACAGGAAAAAUCGAUGCCCAUUCGAAGCUGGGGGAUCAAUAGCUCCAAUCACGUCCAUUCCCCAUAUUGAACAGGGUCAAGGAGCAGUCAUACUAUGUAGUUUUGUAGAAAAAGAAUGUAUAAUAUCGGCAUGCAUUUGAUACUUUAUGCAUUUUCUAACAAAAUCUACACAUCAUGCUCCAUGAUAAGUAAAAAAUACCCCGUUCUCAUGAUCUUCUUAACAGUAAGUGCCCAUUCAUAUGGAGUCCGCAUACACCGCUGUGCACUUCUUUCAUCAUAUAAUCAGGUUUCUCUCUAUCGAUGCACCUUAGAAGGCCCAAAGCUGAUGUCUUCUCAUAUAACACCUCUUCGUUCAGGAAGAAUUUUGACGACAUUCUGCGCAAGAAACUCUUGGCAGCUGCAGCAGCACUCGGAGGGUAAGACCCUAUUUUUAUGAAUUCCUUAAUAUCGUUAUACCAUGGACGAUCGUCAGAUGUCUCUCUCACAACUAGACAAUGUGCCGAUUUAUCUUGAAAUUGAAUCUAAAUAGGUUUGAUUACUAACGCGUUCGGGUGUCAAAUCAUAGAAGACAAUGUGGCCAGAGUAUCAGCAAAAACAUUGCAAGUGCGACAGAUAUGUCUGAACUUUAAACUUCUGAAUUGAUUGGUCAAACUGAGCAGACUACAAUGACACAGCAUGAUUUUCGAGUCUCGCGUCAUCCACUAAUUAAGCGUUUAAUGUACCAAUAAAUCUGAAUCGCUGAACAUGAUUAAAUCCUUUAUCUCCAUUUCUAAUGCCAUUUUUAGUCCAAAAAUACAAGUUUCGUACUCAGCCAUGUUGUUAGUACAAGAAAAUUGUAAUUUAGUAGCGGCGGGGUAAUGGUUUCCCUCAGGUGACACUAGAACAGCUCUGAUUCUGACCCUAAAAGAAUUUGAAGCGCCAUCAAAGAAUAGCCUUCACCUAGAAUAUGGUUCGUUUAUAUCUUCCAACGUGCCAAUGAAUAAAAUUUCCUUAUCAAAAAAAUAGGUAUGCAAUGACUGGUAAUCAUCUUCUCUCGGAUUCUCGGCCAAAUGAUCUGCUAUGACUUGACUCUUGAUUGCCUUUUGCGUAGUGAAAAUGAUAUCGAAUUCUGAGAGAAUCAUCUGUCAUUUCGCCAUACGGCCUGUCAGCAUCGGAUUUUCCAACAAAUAUUUCAGAGGAUCGGAGCGACAAAUGAGACAGGUUGUGUGACUGAGUAAGUAAUGCCUCAACUUUUGAGCGGGCCAAGCUAAAGCGCAGCAACUCCUCUCAAGAAAGGAAUAGUUGACCUCGUACGCGGUGAACUUCUUAUUGAGAUAAUAAAUAACUUGCUCCUUCUUUUUUGAGUCAUCAUGUUGUCCCCUUACAUAUCUCAUAAUCUCAUCCAACACGGACAGAUACAUGAUCAAAGGUGGACUUGGGUUGGGUGGCACUAAGACCGUAGGGUUCAACAGAUAAUCCUUGAUCUUGUCGAAAGCUUGUUGACAUUUUUCGUUCCAGCGCAUCGGCGUAUUCUUCUUCAAUAAUUUGAACAAAACUCACAUGUAAAUAUUAAUUGUGCAAUAAAUCUGUCGAUAAAAUUAAUCUUUCCCAAGAAACACUUUACGUCCUUAUGAAUUUUUGGUAUAGGCAUCCCUCGAAUUGCUUUAAUUUUCGUCGAAUCAAUUUCAAUUCCCUUUUUACUGAUAAUAAACCCCAAUAAUUUUACCGACGGGAGCCCCAAAAGUACACUUGGCAGGGUUCAGCUUUAAAUUGUAUCUUCUCAACCUUUCGAACAAUUUCUUCAAAGCAACCAAAUGAUCUUCAAAUUUCUUGAAUUUAAUGAUAAUGUCCUGCACAUAGAAUUCCAUCUCUUUAUGAAUUAUAUCGUUGAACAAAGUGGUCAUUGUCCGUUGAUAAGUGGUUCCUACAUUUUUCAAUCUGAAAGGCAUUACCCGAUAGCAGAAGGUUUCCCACGGAGUGAUGAAAGCAAUGUUCUCUCUAUCUUUUUUCACCAUCAGGAUCUGGUGAUACCCGACAAAACAGUCACCAAAAGAUUCAAUUUCAUGUCCAGCAGUGUUGUCCAGAAGAAUAUGAAUGUUCAGCAGCAAAAAAUUAUCCUUCCGACUACCUUUGUUGAGAUCCCUAUAAUUGACACACACCCGCACUUCUCCACUUUUCUUCAAAAUCAAUAUAGGAUUUGAAAGUCAAAUGGGGUAAUGAGAUACCAUAAUAAUCCUGACGUUGAGCUGCUUCUCGAUCUGUUUCUUGAUUAUGAAACUUAUAUUUGACCAAAAUUUGCUUGAUUUUUACUUUACUGGCGAAAAUUUUGGAUCGAUCGGCAAUCUGUGAACCACUAUAUCUGUUGAAAUCCCGGACAUAUUAUCAUACGACCAAGCAAAUACAUUUUAGAAGAUGGUUAAAAAUUCAAUCAUCUUUUUUUUCUACUCCUUAUUCAAGUGCACACUGAUUUUGAUUUUUUUAACCUCCAUUUUAGUGCCAAUGUUAAUGUUUUCUGUCUCUUCUAAGUUCGAUUUGGGUUUUUUAAUCCAUAUUGUUCAAGAAUUUUUGAAAUAGACUCAAAUUCUUCCUCGCUAUCACUCUUUUUUUGAAUUUUGAAUUUCAUAAUUUCAAAUUCGUGAGAGAUAUCGAGUUUGCAAUAAUUGAAUUUUAGAAUGGUAAUAUCCAAAAGGACAAACGAUUUUAUUUUUGGCUAUCUGAAAAUAGAGUAAACAUCACAAUAAACAAGUAGAAAAUAAUAAAGAUGAACAAAAAUUUUUUAUUUCAUUAAAUUUAAAAAACAAACAGAGAUUGAAAUAAAGAUGAGUACUUUGCAAACUAAAACAAACACAUUCCCAACAGAACUGCGCAGUGGGAACGGUCUUUCAUGACACUAAAAGGAAACAAGUAACUAAAAAUAAAGUAACUUUUUGUCAUGGAUUUCGGCCAGGGACAAUCCCCUAAAUUUAUCAAAAUUUUCUUGGAGAGAGAAGGUAAUCUGCAGUUCAAUUUUACACAGCUCCUUCAGGAAUGGUUGGGAAUUCCAUUUCUUUCAAUGGCUUGUCCUCGCAGGUGACUCUGAAGAACAGUUGAGAUAGGCUCAUUUCAAUCUCUUCAAUCGGAUCCUCUUUAUCCAAUUCUGAUAGGAUCAUCCUAGAUGGUCGAGAAAAGGUGUAGCGCAACGGCGGGAUACUAAUAGCAAUCUGCUUUCUUUCUUUUUUCACCUUCUUACGAGCUUGCAUCUUCUUCUUGUCCUUAACGGUCGGUUACAAUCCCAAUCCAAAUGUAUCUUUCUUCCCCAAAAGCUCUAUAGGCUUCAAAAUGCCUUAUAAAUUUUGCUCCAAACCUUUGCCUAUUUCAUACCCCCUCGAAUAAUUUCCUUAGCCAUCAUGAUACUAGCUUCAGAUACAUCUAUUCAUUCUUUAAAAAUCUAUCCAACUAACACGAUAUCGACCACACGAUGAGAUGAAUUGAGAAUUUUUCUACUAUUUUCUCAACUCGAACCAGAAUUGACGAUCAUGGUGCAGUCAUCCUUAGUGAACACGGUGAUAAGUUGAUCAUUGACAAUGAAUUUCACCUUUUGAUAGAGAGAAGAUGGAAUGGCGCUAGAAGUGUGGAUCCAAGAUCGUCCAAGUAAGACGUUGUACACACUUGAAAAGUUCAUGAUUUGCCAAACUAGUUGAAAUUGGGUGGGCCCUAUCUCCUGUACUAAAUCAAAUUCGCCCAUUGAUUCCCUUCUAACUCCGUCAAAUCCUCUUAUUAUCGUGGCAGAUGGUCACAACCUAGCAUCCAAACGUCCAAGUUUCAUAAGAGUAUUUCCUUGGUAGAUGUUUAGAGCGGACCCAUUGUCUAUCAAAACUCUCGGCAACAACUUUCCAUUACAUCUCACUGAGAUAUAUAAUACCUUAUUAUGUCUGAUCCCUUCAGGAGUCAAAUCCUCUUCAGAAAAGGUUAUGUGAUUAGCAGCCAAAACAUUUUCCACAACAUGAGUAAACUUGUCAAUUGAAAUAUUCUUCGGUAUUCGAUCCUCACUCAAAACCUUGAGUAGCGCCUCUCUACGCAACUCGGAGGUUAAAAGUAAGUCUAGAAUAGAAAUUUGGGCGGACAUCUUGUCCAACUGCUCCAUAACCUUGACUCGCUCCUUUUCAGCAAUUUAAGAAAAUCCAAAGUUUUCUUUUCAGUCACAGACGGCUUUGAUGGCAUAAGAUUUUCCUCCACAAUCUUCCCAAGUUUAGUGACACUAACCCCCUCCUCUGCCGACAUGCUCAAUCAAUAAAGUAGAUUCACUAUAAUCUCAUGGUACUUCUUUUAAAUUAUGCACAGGUGAUUGCUCAGGAAAUUCAAACAUCACAGGUUCUGACAAAUCUAAGAUGAAGUGAUCGGUUUCCAAAAGCUUUCCUUCUAGUAUGAAAGGUUUCUCGACUAUUCCAAUCACUUUAUUUUCAUCCACAAUAUACCGACUAGGUUCCUUAAACUUCUCAUCGGAGGUAAUAACCCCUACAGUUCCUUUAUAUUCAGGAAGAGGGUUCUUGCCGACGUUUGGCCCUGAUUCACCCCUUCUCCUCAAGACUAUGUCUCCGGUUUCGAUCAUGUUUUGAAUCUUAUGCUCUAAUGCCCAACAAUUGGUGGUGGAGUGACCAGAACGUUCAGAGUGAUACGAACAAAUGACUUGAGGAUCAUAAUUAGCAGGAACACUACUAGGGUAGGUUUUAGGGGACGCCACGUUAAUCUUGCCAGUGGUUUUAAGUUACUCAUACAAUUGAUCGAGUGGACGGUCCAAGAUGGUGAAGGUGUGAGAUUGAUUUUGAUUUUGGAUUUCAUUGGUUUGAGAAUAGUUAUAUGUUUGAUUGUUUGACGGAACAAGUCUUGAAUUAAAAGGGGGUCGAGGUCGAAUUUGCAAAUUUGGUUAAGAAAUCUGAAAAAGUGGUGAAGGUUUAUUUGUAUAGUUUGGUCAAGGUCGAGGAUGGUUAAUGGUAGUGUGGUAAACAGGUCGAGGGUUUAAGUAGUAUGGAUAGAGUAAUGAGUAAGUGGGGCGAUUUUGAAAUCUGGAUCUAGUCGAAGGGCCUUAAUCCCAAACGAAGGCAGUCUCUCCUUCCUUCUUCUUAAAUUGGGGUUUCUUACCACUAUUAUUCUGACCUUGCAGGGCUCCCAGUUGCAUUUUCAAUGUCGACACGUUAACUAUUUUUUCUGCUUUGAUGAACUCAUCAAAUUCUUUCAACUUGUUAACAAUAUCCGCAAAUGAGCAUCCAGUUAUAUGAAAAAUCUCCUCAAAGUACAGUAGAUCAUGAGUUUUAAUAAAUAUGCGGAUAAUUUCCUCCUCGGUCAUGGGGGGUUCCACCUUAGAGACAAGUUUUCUCCAACGUUUAGCAUAUGUUUUAUGGUCUUCCAAUGGCUUUCUCUUGGUUCCCUCAAGUGUGGUUCUUGUUGGCACAAACUCACAAUUGUAUUCAUAUUAUCUCACGAAAGCUGUAGACAGGUCCAACCAAGUUCUCAUCUCUUCUAACUUCAAAUUAAAAUAUCAAUCCAGAGGAGCAUCACCCUCCAAGCUUUUAAGGAACAGACGCAUCGGUAGGUUCUCAUCAUCUACUGGCUUUUCUAACUUGUUUGGGAACAUUCGGAGAUGCGUUUUUGGAUUUUCGAUGUCAUCAUACUUGCUAAAUUUAGGAGUUUUGAAACCCAUAGGCAACUACAUAUCCGAAAAAAGAUAGAGUUCAUCGUAGUCUAAGUCUCUAUGCUUGUUCAAUCCUUGGCUCUUUUUCAUGAAUUCAUCAAAGCGGUCCUACCUCUUCAGUAGAUUCUUAUCAAUUGAAGCAGAGGGCUCGUCUAUUUCUACUUUCACUUGAAAGGCGGUGUCCAACAUCAAUGGCUUUGUGGUAGGGUGAUGGGAUUCUUGAGGGUUAGAGGGGAUAUUCAGGUUGAUUUGUGGAUAAUUUUGGAGAAUUUGGUGGCUAAUCGGGUUGACGAAAAUAUUAUUUGCGUAUAUAUGUGGUAAAUUGGGGAUGGGAUAAGUAAAAGCAUUUUCAGAUAGACUUGUAAAAGGCAAAACAAAAGUGGUUUGAUUAUGUGACAUGUGAGGUGGUGGAUUUUCUAACUUAUAUUGGUUAUCGUCAACAGGUACAUUAUUGUUUUGGACACCGCUAGUGUUGUUCGAGAUCAGUUGGUCAAUCAUGUCCUUUUAUAAUGUCAUUUUUGCACUUAACUCGUUGAAUUUGUUUAGCAUCUCACUUAAUUGGGUCCCCAGAUUUGCAGCGUCUGACGAUGGAAUCAUUACAGAUAUCUUCGAUGGUUCAGGAUGGGAACUCAUGUUUUCACGAUUUCUCAAGAUUCGGCUGCGGGAUCGCGUAAUGAUGGAACUUCUACGGGUAGCUAUUUUUAAAAGUAUCUGAUGAUAAAAAAAGAAAUUGGCUCAGUUGUGCGCUUUCUAUCAAAUUUCUGUAAUUUAUUCAAAAGAUAAAAGAAAAAGAAAUGAGUUAGUAGAUAUUUGAAUAAUUUCGAUGCAUGACCUAUGAGGGAACUCUUUUUACGCCAAGAGUCGGUCUAACCUGAUGCAAUUCUUUCGGGAUAAAAUCUCAAUUUCAAACUUGUAAGUGAAUGUAGAAAUCAAAGUAGAAAUUCUCAUUAAACACUGAUAAGUUCAAUCAUUUUUUACAAUUUCAUUAAUAGUUUGGCUAAUCAUUUUUACAAAAUUCUCAUACCUCGCUAAAGUACUACGUUGAGACUCUCUAGAACUUACUAUACUAAACUUCCGAAUUCCUUCUUGAAUUUUAUCAAAUGCAUCCAAUGCUCUCUCCAACUUUUUAAUUUUUCUUGUCUCUCUCUUUAAUUGUGAUUGGGCGUCUUCCAAGGCAUGGCCAGCCACUAAAAGCUGUAAUUGGUAAUUCUUGACCUCUUUUUUUAACUUCUCUAUAUGCUCUUCAAGACGGGCAAGAGUAGACUAUGAUCUCUCUCUUCCUUGUUCUACUAUAAGUUUGAUCCAUUCAUCAUAUUUCGAAAUGACUUUAGGUUCCAAUUUGUUCACUUAAUCCAAGUGCAGGUUCUCUAAACUAUGAAGAUUCCCCCAAGCUUCUAGUACCAUGUUUCGACUCUCAACAACUGUGUUGAAUCUGAUAUUUCCAAUUCCUUGUAUCAUUAAAACUAUUUGUGGAUACCCAAAUUGCCUCAUGACUCAUUGCGGAACAUAUGCGACCAAUCCGUUGGUGCUUGCUAGAGGAAUAAAAUUGUGUUGGGUAGUUUUGAAAGUCGGAUUCCUAACUUUCGUCCAAUCUAGAACCCGUUAUAUUUUGUUCAGUGUCAAGCUGUCAAACUCUUAAACGAACUGACUUGGAGAUGCUAUUUGGUAAUAUCUUUUGACCCCUUUUCGAUGUGAUUCGAUCCAAUUCUCUGUUGGGAGACAAGAUCCCAGGGGAUUGAGCAUCCUCUUCACUAGAUGUUCCAUUGCCCAUAUUUCAAGUAUCAAAUUUAAUGCACAGAAAAACCAAAAGAAAUUUGGUGUCAAAAGAUGUCGGCAAUGAUGGUACCAAAGAGAAUCUGAAUGGGAGUCAAAAAGAAAAACAUUUGGUGUCACGUUCAGAAGACUAGGUAAAUGCCCCACAUACUUAAAUAAUUUUUUCGCCUCGUGCGACAUAUUAUUUUUUCAAUCAGUUAGUUCUCGAGGUAUCUGAUUCAGCACUCUACAAGGAGCCAUCUAAGCAGAAAUUCACUUUUAAUACCUUAUCUCAAGAUUUUACCCCUUAGAAAAUAUAAAAUUAUAAACAUGCAAAUUUCAUUGGAUUAAAUAUUCGAGACACAAGGUGGCUUAUUCCUAACAUGGGAUCCCGGCAUUCUCUCUAUGGUUGAUGCAUGAUGACAGUUUAUUAAAACGUGUAAAUAUAUACAAUACGAUAAUUGGAAAACGACCUCAAAGUGCCCCAUUUAAAUGUCGGGAUAAGUCUAAAAUGAUGUACAAUAUAUAUACGUAUUAUUAAUGUAAUAACUAAAAUUUAAACGUGUUUUUUAUAAAAGGUGAUUUUUCCUAAACGAGUACCAUGCCAGAAUUCUUACUUUCUAAGAUUUGUGAAUGCAAGAAAAGAGAAAACAAAGAGAUAUUAGUUCAAUUAAUAAAUAACACAUAGCACAUUGGAGUACUAAAAUGAUACAAAAAUAUAAAAGAAGAGAACAUGGGUAGAAUCCCUCCCCUCGUGUCUAGUAUGCCUAAUAGAGUAAAGUUGACUCUAUCCUAGGCGAUUUCUAAUAUGGAUAGAUGAAGUUGGGCUCACUAAUGCAUCUAAACUCGAUAAGAUUUCAAGUUCCCAAAUCUUCAGACCAAGAGGCGAAAGGUCAGCAAUCCCAAAAUCUUCAGUCGGUGGAUUGAGUGAUCCCUUAGGCAUCGCUAUAGGCGCAGAGCACACCAUCCGCCUACCUAAGUAAUCGAUUCUAAUCAUACAAGAAAAUGUGGGAUGGUGCCCACGAGAAAAAUAAAAAUAGGACAAAAGUAAUGCAUGCACGUAUGAAAUGCUUCCUUCGAGGGAAUGGAUUAAAUACCAUUAAAUAUGGGUAAAAGCUCUAGGGUAGCUAUACCCCCCCCCCCAAGAUAUAAAGUGCGAUACAAAUAUAUAAACAUAAAUAAAUGAAAGUAAAUAAAUAAAUUAUUCAUCAUAUACACGGAUAUCGAGAGACGAUUACGUGUGCGAAAUGAAAAAAAUCCUAAAAAGAAGGAAAAAAUAAAAGGAAAAGAAAAAUGCAACCUAAACAUCCCACUAUGAUAUGUAAAAAUGUUAGAAAAAGAAAAGACUAGACUAAAUCAAGUGUUUGGACUCUCUAAAAAUUUCCAGUGGUGUCACCAGCUGUCGCGUCCUAUUUUUAAAAAAAUAAAUUAAUGAUUAAAAAAAUAAACUUUUUAUUUUAAAGAAUAUUGGCGCAUAAAAAUGUAAUUUUUAUUAAAAGAUGAGUAAAAAAAUGAGUUUUAGUUCUUGAUUAGUUUUUAUUUUAGUUUUUAAUUUAGCAAAAAUAAAAAGAAAGAAAAAGGGCCUAAAAUGGGAUUUAAAAAAAUGCGACAGUUUUGGCCCAAAAUAAUAGUCUAAAAAGGAUUUUUAAGAAAAAUAGGAGUCGCCACUUGAUAUUGAGUUAAGGUGUACCAAAUCACCUAAAAUAUGUUUUUAAGAUAAAAGAUAAAAAUAAAAACCCUUUUUAGACUACUCCAAGUUUUUGAAAACAAGAGAAAAGAGUUCGAGAGUCACGCUUGAAGAAAAGGAAUGCAAAGAUUUGAUAGAAUCAAAUCUAAGAAACCCUGUCAAUCUAACCAAUGUUAGUUGCGAGAUUUAGUCAAAAAUUUUCGUAAUCUUACCUAUGAAAACUUUUCUAUAUAAAUGCAAACCUAGACCUGGGGGCUAUCGAGAGGGUCGAGAUGUUUCUUCAAAAUUUAAAUGGUGCAAUCACAUUAAUUGUGAUGUCCAAAAUGAUUUUUAGAAGAAGUUACAAAUAUACAAAAGAUGAGACUCGAAGAAAAGGAAAAUUAUAAUAUAUAAAUAUACAUGACCUAAAAUAGAGGAAUGCAACAUAACAUGUACGAGAGAUCUGAAUUCGUGACUCAAUUUUCAUUUCUAUAAAGGAGAUAUGAAUGUGCUAAGACUGAGAAACUAUGUUCGUCCAUUUUCUAUAUUUGAAGAGUGCCUCUCCUAACCUAGUCAAGCAAAUGAACUAACAUAUUUCUAGUUUUCUAAAUGGAAUGCAAGUCUAAAUGUCACGUUUAGCGCACAUAGGGGUAAGGAAGUUAAGGAAAUAUCAUGUCAAACGAAGAAAAGGAUUCUAAAGGUGAAAAGUAUGCAUGAAAUACAAUAAAUGUCAAACAAAUUAUGAAUUCUAACGUGAAACCGGCCUAAAGGGUCUAUCAUUGAACUAUCCUAUUUCUGUAAGUUCUCAUUAGCGUUGGACUAGUGAGAAAUCGGGGAAAAAAAUUCACAACUAACAUUGGAUCAGUGUGGUGACGUCAUGUAUUUAUUAUAACUAAAUAAAUCAUAUAAAACAUAAUUAAAACAAGUAAAUACAUAAUGCACAUAGAACACAUAACACAUAGGUAUAAUUUCUAGAUGCAAAAGUCUAGUGAAAGCGAAUAAACACUCAAACACACAAGCAUGUAAGCACACAAGCAAAUAAACACAAAUAAAAGCCUAACUAUUUGGGGUCCUAACUACAAUCUAAGGGGGAAAUUUUUUUAAAAAAAUAACAUAACUAUUACAUUUAUCUAACUAAAUACAUUUUUGGCAAAAAUUAAAAUCUAUCUAUUACAUAUCCUAACUAAAUACAUGUCUUGAGUAUCUAUUUAUUACAAAUUGGCAUUUAAAUGCCCUCAAAUAAUCACCAAAAAUUAAAUAUAAUAAAUGAAAAUUUAAGAUGAAUAAAAUAAAUAAAAGAAAAGAAAAGAAAAGGCACUCAAAACAUGCAAUCACAUAUAAAAAGCACAUACGAGCACAUAAAGGGAUUUAAAAUAAUACUAGAAGGUACUUCCCUUUGAAAUAGUGGUUAAAUGAGGUUGGAUUUGCCCUAUUUAUACUCCAAGAUCAACAAAAUGGUCAAGCCACCAAUUUAAUUAACAAAUAAAUUAUAAAGCAAUGGAAAUAACCAUGAAAUCUUCCAAUUAAAGCAUUUAAAUGAACUAUAAUUAACAAUUAAAGAAGAUAAACAACUUAUAUUUAAGAAAUUAAAACUGUCAGGGAUCUAAUUGUAAAAAUGAGAAAGUUUUUGGGAUCAAAUUAUAAUUAUUACAAAAUUAGGGUCAAAUAAAAAAAAUAAAGUUCAUGGACCAAAUUGCAAUUAAAUUAGGGACCUAAUUGAAAGAAAUCAAAAGUUUUUAGAGCCACAGUACAAUUACUUUGAAGUAAAGGGACCAAGUUGCAAUUUUCAUUUUCUAGUUUGGCCAGAAAAAGGCCUUGGGCUAUCCUUCAAAUUUUUCGUUAGGCCAAAGUUACCUAGACCCAGCAAAAAGUCCAGAAAAAUGGGUGGACUAGCCUGUCAUUUUUACUAAACUAAGCUUGGUGAAAAAAGGUUGGACUUGAACCCCAAGCCCGGUCACAAACCCAAGCAUAAAAGAAAAUCUUCCCCCAUAUUUUUAACCAAGAACAUGUUUUAUCAACCCAUCAUGGCCCAGAUCGGAUCAAAUCAAAUAAAAGAUCAAAUUGGGGGAAAAUAAAAAGAAAAUAAGUGAAGAACAUUCUGGCGGGUUGACCCGCUUGGAUGACCAGUCGGAAUCUGGAAAAAUUCCGGCCAUCUUGGCCGGAAAUUCGCCGGAAUCCAUUUUCACCGGCUUUUAAUACCGGAUCUUGACAUAAACAUACUUCCCAUGAUCUCUUGAGUUAGUUAAAAUAUCAUACAUCACCAUUUAAACAACAAAAUCUUAAGAAAAAAGAGAUCUAAGAUGCAAAACCCAUAAACUCAUGUAAUAACUUAAAAACACAUGGAAAAUGUUAGAACAACCAAGAAAAAGGGUUAUAAUUACCUGAGGAAGUUAGGGAACUUGAAUAGACGUGAGAAAUCACAGUGAAACGUGCCCAGAUUCCGAAAGUGAAGCAAAACACUUCUUGUCGCAGAAGUUUAAGAGCUGAGAAAUUGGCAACUUCAGGUUCGAAUAUGAAGGUUCUGGAAGUGUUUUUUCAAGAAACUUUCAACAUGAAAACUCCUCUACUACAUCCAUAGAGUAUCUAGAAAUCAAGAAUCGAUCUAAAAGAAGUCAAGAUGAAGAAGAAAAUGGCGUCUGAACAGGGCUGCCUGUUCAGCCCUAGCUCAAUUUUUUCUGAAAAUUUCCUGCUACUUUUUCUUCUUUUUCCUUCUCUGUUUUCUCUCUUUUCCUUCCUUUUCUGUUUUUCUGCCGCCUCCCACUCUUUUUUCUACCCUAAUGGCCGUAUUUCUAUGCAUUUAUAUGGAACAAAACCCCCCCCCAAAACCCUAUGAGCAUUGGUGGAGAUUGGUUGGCUUUUUGGGGAUGAUUUGGAGCCAUUAGAUGGCUGAUUUUGAAUAAGAAUUGGAAGAUGAUCUGGCCCUUGUACUGGGGGGCUUAGAAGGAAAGAAAACAAUGCAAAAAAAAAAAGAGUGGAAUAGGGAUCAAAUGGCCACUGCAAUUCUCUGGUACUAUGGCCUCGUUGCUGGUUUUGUACUAGUUUUCAUGAAGAAGGCACGUGCGUGAAGGAAUUUUAUUUUUUUUUACAAAAACUGAUUUUGAUUUUUGUUUUCUUUUCUUUUCUGCUUUUUCUUUCCAUCUUUUCUUUUCUUUUCUUUUCUUUCUAAUUUUCUAAAAAUAAAUUGAAAUGAUUUUCUUAAGAAAUAGAAAUGAAACAAAAUAAAUAAAAUAAAUAAAAUUUAAACAAAAUAAACUAAAAAUGAACAAAAAAUGAACAAAAAAAUAGGAAUAAAAUGAAGAAAAAUAAAAUGGUAACAUUUUUGUGUCUACACCAAUGAUGUUCUAGAAGUCAAAGACAAUUCUCACUCCAAAUUUGGACCACCUCCCACUCCAUCACUUCCAAUUCUAGCAAUAAUUUCAAUAAUAAUUUCUUUAUUCUUUCCUAUUUUAUAUGUAGCAAACUCACUUGGAGAAUCAUGGGUUUAAUCAAGACAACCCGGUGCGCUGCUUCAUGCUCUAAUUGAAGACAAAUCAGUGAUGAUAUUGCUUGUACAUUUCUCCAUUACUUGAUUAUCUAUUGUUCUCUACUUUCUAUACCUUAUCUUUCCUUUCCCCUUUCCUUGUCUUCGUGGCUGAAAAAGAAAAGAAUAAAGCAUGAGGGGAAGGAUGUCUGAUAACUUUGAGUCCUUUGUUGGUGCUUAUUAUGACGGCUUUGAAUUCAUGUGGCAAUAAUUGAGUUGGAUGCAAUAACUUUUUUGUUGUUUUCAUUCACUUGGAUCACCUUUUCUAAUCUUUCUGUUCAUGUUUUGUUUGGAUCACUUUUUGGAUGUAGUUUUGUUUUGCAGCAACUUUUUGUUGUUUUGUUUAUUUGAUCGAGUCGACUUCGAGUUACCUAGGAGGUUUUGGCUAAUAUAAUGCGUUAUGAAUUCAAAUCGGCCAAUAUCGACUGAAUCAAAGUGAGUCGUCAUGGAUAUAGAAUUAUCUACGAUUCGAGGAUCGAUAUCAUACCGGUCUCCUCUGUUCCGAUUAUGACUUGACCGUGUCAUAUCGGAAUCGACCGAUAUUGCUAACCAUGCCAUAGAGACGAAGUAAGAUUUAACAUCCUGGCACUAUAAACCACUAGUCAUGAAGUAUUAUAUGUAGUUUCAAACUAAAAAACUAUGCUGUCCUUGAUAAUUAGAAAACAAAGCCAUUAGCUUUUAUAAGGACAGGUAACUCGAGCAGAAGCACAUAGCAGAAGUAAGAGCUGAGUAAGUGAGCAAGGUUUACUGCAAUAGGAAGCAGCAAAUCACGUGCAUUGAUUAACUAAUCUAAUAUUACUUUUUUAGGUCUGACCUCAAGAAUUUGACGAAACAAUUCUUAACAAUCCUAAAAAGGCAAUUAACAAAGCAAAAAUAAAAUGAAAUAGGAACACAAAAUUUACGUGGCAAUCCCACAAAAUUGCUUUUGUUAGGUCUAAAGACAAAUAACAAGCAAAAAUAAAUGAAAUAGGAACAUAGAAUUUACGUCCACAAGUGGAGGAGGAGCACAAUUUCACUAUGAAGAAGAGAGUACAAAAACCUUAGGAAAGUGUUUCCGGGGUCAAAAGUAGCUACUAAAACACAAGAGAAUUCAAAAUAUUUUUACUACAAAAAGGUUUAAUAAUCCAAAGAGUCAAAUAGCCUACUAAAACUAUAUUGAUUUGGUGUGCUUAAUCUCAUCACAGGUCCACCCUAUUUAUAACCAACUAAGAGAAAGACUCUUUUGUACAAAAUCAAUGUGGAACAAAGCCAUUUAUAACAAAUUUUUACUUUGACGUGUCCCUAACAUCGAUAAAUAGUCUUCUUCAUAUAAGCUCUAAUGGAUCUAAAUCACGAACAACGAAUACUAACCAAAUCCAAGCAUCGAUUGAACUUAUAAACUAGAAGAAGUUCCGUGAAUUGUUAGUAGGAUUCUCCUCGAUAUUGAUUUUUUGAACAAGAACUUUUCCCUCAGCAACAGUAUCUCGAAUGAAGUGAAACUUUACAUCAAUGUGUUUCAUCCUCUCAUGAUAUAUCUAGUUUUUAGUCAAGUGAAUAGUACUUUAAUUAUCACAGUAAAUAGUAGUAACACCUCGAUAUAGACUAAACUUCCCAAAUAAACCCUUUAACCAUAAGGUUUCUUUGAUUAUUUUGGUCACAGUCAUAUAUUCUACCUCUAUAUUAGAUAAAGUUACAACAGGUUAUAAAGUAACUUUUCAACUAACUACAGAACUGCCAAUGCAAAAUAUAUAAUUUGAAAGUGAUCUUCUUCUGUCAAGAUUCUUGACAUAGUCAGAGUCCAUAAAAUCAACCAAAUUGUCACUAUUUCUCCCAAGUUUUAAACAAUUAUUUGAAAUCCUUCACAAAUAUCUGAAAAUCCACUUCACAGCCUGUCAAUGUACUUUUUCAAAAUAAGACAUAUAUCUGAUAAUAAUAUUGACUGCUUGUGCGAUAUUUGGACGAAUACAAACCAUUGCAUAUAUUAUAUUGUCAAUUACUCUAGAAUAAGGAACUCCUACCAUAUAAUCUUCUUCUUAGCUAACUGUGGUGACUGAACAGCUAAUAGUCGAAAAUGACAAACAAGAGGAGUAGUCACAGGUUUAGCAUUUUUCAUGCCAAAUUUCUCCAAGAUUUUCUCAAGGUAAUUUUUCUUGGUAAAGAAUAAUUUUCCAACUUCUUAAUCUCGCUUGAUCUACAUAUCAAGAAUUUUCUUAGUUACUCCCAAAUAUUUCAUCUCAAAUCCACUAAUUAACUACAAUUUCAAAUUGUGAAUUUCUGAUAAAUUCUUGGCAGCAAUGAACAUUUCAUCAACAUAAAGUAACAAAUAAAUGAAAGAAUUAUUAUCUAACUUCCGAAAAUAAACACAACUAUCAUACAUGCUCCUCAAAUAAGCAUGACCCAACAUAAAAAAUCAAACCUCUUAUACUACUGUCAUUGAGGUUGUUUCUAUCCAAAUAAGAAUUUUUUUAACGAAAAACAUGAUCUUCCUUUCCUUCAAUUUCAAAUCUCUGAAAUUGCUUCAUAUAAAUUUGUUUUUCAAGUUCAUCAUGCAGGAAAUUUGUCUUAACAUCAAGCUGCUCUAACUCCAAAUCAUAAUGGCAAUUAAAGCAAGCAAAACACGAAUAGAGCUACGUUUAACAAUAAGUAGAAAUACAUCAUUAAAAUCAACACCUUGUACCUGACUAUACCCUUUGCAACCAACCAUGUUUUAUACCUUGUAUUUUCAACCCCCAGAAUAACCUUUUUUCUCCUUAAACACCUAUUUGUAUCCAACAAUUUUUUUUUAUCUAAAGGCAACUUCACAAGAACUUAAGUUCUAUUUUGGUAAAAAGAUUCAAUUUUUUCAUUCAUCGCAAUCAAUCACUUAGCAAAAUCAUCACAAGAAACUACUGUUGAAUAGGUUGUAGGUUCACUAACUCCAUCAAUUUCUUCUGCAAUAGACAAAGCGCAUGCAACCAAAUCUACAUAUUUUUGUGGUGGUCGAAUAUCCCUCCUUAGUCUAUGUUUGACAAUAUAAUAUUGCUUCUCUUUUGGAUUAUUUUCAUCAGUAGAUUCAAGUACAUUUACUGGCAUUUGCUGAAUAGAAGAGGUGGACUAAGAAAGACCAAAACUACCAAUUUCAAACUUCUCCCACUUCUACAUACUGUCAUCUGUAUGACAAGAACUAAAAGACUCCUUAGAAGAUAGCAUAAAGAAUUCAUCAAAAGUAACAUCUCUAUUGAUCAAAAUUUUUGAAAAUUUGGCAUCAAAACACCACAAUCUAUAACCUUUCACUUUAGAAGCAUACCCAUAGAAAAUACACUUUUUAACUCGAGACUCCAAUUUUUCAUCAUUUAUAUGCAUGUAUGCUAGAUACCCAAAAACUUUUAAAUUAGAGUAAUCAAUAGCAAUACCUGACCAAACUUUCUUAACAGUUUUAAAAUCAAGAGUUGCAGAAAGAGUACGGUUGAUAAUGUAACAAGCUAUAGAGAUUACCUCUGCCAAAAGUCCUUUUGUCAACCCAGUAUAGAGAUCAGACACCUCGCUCUCUUUAAAAGUAUUUUGUUCAUACGUUCAGCCACAUCAUUUUGUUGAGACGUCAUUUUGACAAUGUAGUGCCGAAUAAUUCCUUUAUUCUUGUAAAAUUCAUCAAAUUCACCUUCACAAAAUUUCAUGCCAUUAUUUGUUCUACACCGCUUGAUCUGUCUACCUGUCGAUUUUCAAUCAAAACUUUUGAUUGGUUAAAAGUUAGGCAUAUAUCAUUAUUAUGUUUAAGAAAAUAAACUAAAACUUUUCUUGAAUAAUUAUCAAUGAAAGUUAAUAUAUACGUGACAUCACCUUUAGACGAAACACGAGUUGGACCUCAUAGAUCUGAAUGAAUGUAAUCAACAGUACCUUUCGUCUUAUGAAUUAUUGGUGAACUAAAAUGGACUCUUUUCUGUUUCCCAAAAACAUAGUGCUCACAGAAUUUCAAUGGUCCAAUAUUCUCCCUGCAAAGAAGUUCCCUUUUACUUAGUAUACCUAAUCCUUCAUUGUUCAUAUGCCUCAAACACAUAUGUCAUAAUUUAGUGAUGUCAAAAUCAAAUUAAGAUGAUGACGAGACCGUAACCAAACUUGUAACAAUAGAUUCCUGCAAAACAUACAAACUACCAGGCCUACAAGUUUUUAUAACAACAAAAGCCCUUUAGAGACCUUCAUAGUGUCAUUUCAGCCGUGUAUUUGCACUCAAGAGCCUCCAAAGUGCCCAAAGAGAUGAGAUUCUUUUUCAAAUAAAAAAUAUGUCUAACAUUAGUGAGCAUCCUCACAAUAUAAUUAUGCAUUUUAAUUCAAAAUGUACCGUUAUCAAUAAUAUCAUAAAUGGAUUAUUGUCGAUCAAAACAAUUCCAUCAUUACAAGGUUCAUAAGUGAAAAAAAAUUCCCUAUUAGAACACAUGUAACAAGAAUAUCCCAAAAUCUAAAAUUGAUUCAUUUUUAGAUCUUGUCCUAUCAUUUGUCAUAAAAAAAUAUUUUUAUUACUCUCAUCAGUUGCAACACGAUUUUCAGCAGUUUCAAUAUUUUUGUCACCAUAUUUUUCCUUUUGCUUUAGUUUAAUUUUCAAUUUAAAGCAAUCAGCCUUAAUGUGCUGCAUUUUGUGAUAAUAAUUGCACUCCAAAUUUUUAUAUCUAAAUUUAGAUCUACGAUUGUCAAAUUUUCUUUUAUUAAUUGUGCCUCAAGUAACCAGUUCUUCCACCUAACCUCCAUUACUUUCUUCGAUGAUAUUAUUGUUUAUCUGCUAUUUAGAUCUUAUUGCAGAUUUAAUUUCCUGAUACACAAUUGUUUCUUUUUCAUAAAUCAUAGUAUCACGAAAAUAUUUAAAGGACUAGGGAAGGGGACACUAAAGUAACAUGACCUGAUCCUCAUUAUGCAUUUUCGAAUCUAUAUUCUUCAAAUCCAUAAUAAUGGUAUCAAAUUUAUUAAGAUGUGAGAGUAUAAAUGUGCCUUCAGUCAUCUGAAACAUAUACAGACUUUGUUUUAAACAAAGUCGAUUCUCAACUGUCUUUUUCAUAUACAAUACUUUAAACUUAUCCGAUAUAGCCUUAGCCGGAGUUUCAAUGGCUACCUCCCAUAAAAUCUUAUCAGAGAGAUUUAAAAUAAUACUGGAUCUAAUCUUAUUAUCCAUUUCAGAAAAUUUUGCAUCUAUCACAUUCUCUAGCUUUUUCUAAACCCUGUAUGUCACUAAAUCAACUUCUUCUUGAACCAAAAUUGACUCCAUCUUGAGCUGCUACAUCCUGAAGUUAACAUUUCUAUCGAAUUUAUUGAUAAUAGUUUUUGUUAUUGUCAUCGUUGCCAUAGAACCCAAAGUUUUUGAAGAAAUUCUGAUACCAAAUUAUUAGGUCUGAUUUCAUAAAAUUGAUGAAAGGAUUCUUGGCAAUCCCAAAAAGAUAAAUAAAAAAGUAAAAAUAAAUGAAAUAGGAACACAGAAUUUAAAUUAUUCAAUCAAAUUAACCUAUGUCCAUGGGCAAAGGAAGAGCAAAAUUUCACUAUGAAAAAUAGAGUACAAAAGUUUUAGGAAAGUGUUUUUAGACCCAAAAGCAUCUAAUCCUAAAACACAAAAGAAACCAAAAUAUUUUUACUACAAAAAGACUUAAUGACUCAAAGACCCAAAUAGGCUACUAAAACUCUCUUGAUUUGGUGCAUUUAAUCUCAUUACAGGCUGACUCUAUUAAUAGCCAACUAAGAGAAAAAUUCCUUUAUACAAAAAUCGAUGUUGAUCGAAGUCACAUAUAACAGCUUUUAACAUAGAAUAACGAAACCAGGUACAUAGAAAACAAGGAAAGGAAGAACUCUUAAUGCCCUUGACAAGAAUUUAAAUAUAAAAGAAUAAAAGUUUAAACAUAUAUGGUUCUUGCUCUGUACAUCCUCGAGUACACCUAGGAACUUACCUUCCAUACUUAAAAUCAAGCCUAAAUAAUGACCUCUCUAUUACACAUCAUCAUUAUUUGAAAAGAUAAAUCCAUAGCUUAAAACUACAACUGUCAACACAGAGGACUAUAACAUCUUACACCAACAAAUAAUGUCAGCACAAUUGACAUCAUAUUGACUAAAAUAAUAUAUAUUCAAUCUUCACAUGACAUAUAAACCAAAAUUUUGGAAGUUUCCAGUUGCAUAGUCUAAAUGACACUAGUGACCUAUAGUUUACUUGACAUAAGAAAUUUAUGGUCAUUGUAAGUAACAUUAAUCAUGGUCUUUCAAUUUGGGAUCCUUCCUAUGCUUAUUAGUAAGCACUUAAAAUCUUAGCAUGAAACUACUCAACUAUAGAAGCUAUUACAUCUCAAGAUGUCUCUUUCCAUCUUCUUGCAACAUUUGUACAUAUGCUGACAACCAAUAUUAAAUUCAUCCGGUUAAAAUCAUCUUAGCUGAACUCUACUUCAACAUAACUAAUUUUAACUUCGUCCUCUUAAGGGCUUCUAUGAACAUACAUUGACAUCAACAAAUCAGGAUUUCUAGUCUUCAUUUGUUUAAUCAAUGAACAUGCUGGGUUUCAUAACUUUGGUUGAAACGAGUAGCUAGAACUCAAGUUCGAACUCAGUCAAUGUUAAGUCGAGCUAAGCAUUUGACCCUCGGUUUGAUAGGACCGCUAUGUGCGAGUGUUUGAACCAACCCAACUGGGCUAAAUGAGGAGAAAUUCAUUUCUAGACCAAAUGUAUACACUGUUACAAUUCCUCUAGAUUUUAAAUUACUUGUGUUAAGGGUUUGAACCCCUAAUUGGUGACGAAUUUCUAAGAAUAUUACUAAAAUAAAAAACUAUCAUAAAAUUGGGGGUAUUCGGGAGGGGGUUCUUAUUUUAGGGUCGCCGCAAUUUAGGUACGCGGCUACCAAUAAAAUUAGAAUUAAUUUGCAUUUAUUUUUGGUUGCUGUAGUUUUGUAUAAUUUCUCCGGGUUUUUUUUUCCCAAACUUGAGCGGCGAAAGACUUGCCAACACCGACAAGGCUGACAACGACUUGACAGUACGGCAAGACUACAGCUAAUACGGACAAAUUAGGAGGCAUUCAGUUUUUUUUUAAUAGUUUAAAAAGCUGACGUCAUUUGCGUUAGCUUUUUGACUUUUCCUCAACGCCGCAAACGUCAAAAUUUUUUUAAAUUGACGCUGCAAAUUUGAUCAAAAUUUUUUAAAGUGAAAAGGCAAUUAUUGAUUGCCGCCAAAAUUAAUUUUUUUAACUGAAAAAAGAAUUUUUUUUAAAGUAAAACCGCAAAUCCUGAUUGCGGCGAUAGUUUUGACACCGUCAAUCCCACCUACCCAACGUAACCAACAGUUGUCAUUGACUCUCUUAUUAUUUCUUUAUAAAAAAAGGCAACGGCCAUGCACUAUUUUUUUAAAAAAAAACUAAUACAGCAAUUUGAAUUUUCGGCGUUAGUUUUUCCAUCAUCCAUCCCUCUAGAUUUACAAAUCAAAGUUCAGGAUUUAGUCAAAAAAAAUUUGUAGUUAAAGUAGCAGUACUACAAUUAUUUGUUAUAUUGCCAACAAUAACUAUUCGUGCCUCAUCUUCACGGACAAUCCCAACUAUUUUCUCUUCUCUAUAUAUUCACUUGAGAAAACCCACUUCCUUUACGACCUUUCUCUUUCUAGUGUGGUUCUCAUCUUCUUCUUCAUCUUCUCUACAUAUUUCUCCUAAAUUUUCGAGGGUAGCUGAUCGAUUAAGACGACUUGAAUCGAGGAAAGCAAUAUUACAAUUUGAGCGGUGGAUCGAAAAGAAAUUUUGUAAAGAAACGAUAUUAUCCUUGACAAGGUUAGUUUAUUUAAUAAUUUUGUUAAUAAUAAUUUUAUAAUAUUUGCAGUUAUGUUAAGUUCUAGAUAUUAUGCUGCUUUACAUUUAUUUAAUUUUUGAAUGAGUUGUUUAUUUAUGGUUUGCAGUAGUCUUUUAUUUAUGAUUUAUUUAUGGUUAGCAGUAGUCUUUUAGGCGAAUUAAUAAUGAAUACUAAUAGUAAGAUAUACUAUUAAAUGAUUAUUUGUUGACAUUAAUGGUUAGAUGAAUAAAAGGUGAUAGUUUUUAAGAUUUAAUAGUCACUGAUAGGCGAAUUAAUAUUUACAUUUAUUAAGAUUAUUUAAUAGUCAGAUGAUAAGGUUAGUCUUUUAUAGUUAUUGAAGAAGUUUUUUAAAAAUUAUUUGUUGAUGGAUUUUAGAAUUAAUUUUAUAGAGGCAGUAGUCUUUUAGGCGAAUGAUGAAUAAAAGAUAAAUAAUGGUACAUGGUAAAUAGUAAAUAGUAAAUAAUAAAUAGUAAAUAGUAAAUAGUGAGUGGUUAAAAUUAUAUAGUAAAAAUAACAAUAAUACAAUAUGAGAUAGUGAGAUAGUAACUAAUACAUUAAUAAUACCAGUACUAUUAAUCUAUAGUUUAGUAAUAUUAAUAUGAAUAAUAAAUAGUAAGUAAUACUAAUAGUUCUAAAAAUAUAAGUUACAAUAAUACAAUCAUAGUUUAAUAGUAAUUAUGAUUAAUUAAAGAAGAACCAUUACUCUAAUAGUUUGAAUAAUACUAUUUGUUUGAUAAAUCUAUUUUUAUUUAUUCAUUUGAUAUUGAUAAUUAUUUUAUUAGUGGUGCUACUACCAAUGAAAACGUUUAUUGCGUUAAUAUUAGUAAUUAUGAUAAGUUGUUAAAAGAAAUAAGUUGACAUAAAAAUAUUUGUAAGAUUAGGAAAAAAUAUCGAUGGACCUUGCAUUGGUGUUUCAAUUUUAUUGGGGAGGCAGAAUAAACGAGACCGGAGAAUCAUUCGCAUAUGAACCUCCACGGUGUAAAAAAGCCGUUUUAGUGAAACAUCGAAUAAGUUAUGAUGAAUUGGUGGAAAAAGUGUACACCUACAUGCAAUUAGAUCGGAAUGUUUGCAAGUUGAAUCUAUAGUUUAGAAAUGCUGUUGGCCAAGACAUAUUUGCUGGAGUGCAAUUGAAAUUUGAAGAUGAUAUUGACACGUUAUAUCAUAUGAAGUCAAUGUCACCACACACGACAUGUGAGAUAUAUGUAGAAUUAGAACUACGAACCCGUCAUAUUCACAGUGACCAUGAUGGCGGACAAACAUCAUUAGUCGAGAAUGAUUUUGAAAAGGAGUCAAACAGUAUGUUUCAUACUGAGGUAACUGAAAGUACAAGGAUGGUAAAUCGUUCUUUUGAUGAAUUGCCUCAAAUGGAAAUUUUCAAUCCGACAAUCCUAUCAAGCAUACCUGAGAGAGAAGGUGUUAAUGUUGAUCAAGACACGGAACCAGAACCCGAUGGUGAUGAUUCAGACAAUGAUGAGCAGGAUCAAAUCGAUGAAGAAUCUGGCAAUCUGCCGGUUCAAUUGGCUGCCGGUCCAUCGAUCUCAUAUCAUAUACCAGUCCAUCUAAAUGACCUUGAAGGUGUGGAAGCCUCACUGAAUUUUGAUACUUUUAAGAAGAUAGUUUCAGAGGAGUACAAUGUGUGGGAUGAGUGGACAAAGGAGCUUAGAUUGGGAAUGAUUUUUGAAACAAAGAACGACGUACAGCGAGCUGUCAAACUCUGGUCGAUCAAGCACAACAGGGAGUACAAAGUGUGAGAAAGUAAACCGACCACUUGGUAUGUCCGCUGCAAGUCCUAUAGUGUUUCGCUUCCAUGUAAUUGGUAGCUAAGAGCCACUCUAAGAUGCACACAUAACAUGUGAAAAAUUGUAACAUUUGUGAAAGAAUACAUGUGUAUGCGAGUUUCGAAUUCCAAUGACCACCGACAGUUAAGUUUGGAACUCAUAGCCGAGUACGUAAUACACCACGUCCAGAAUGGUCCACUGUAUGCCAUCAAAGAAAUACAAAUGAGCAUUAAACGUGCUUUUGAUAUGGAUGUUUCAUACAAAAAAGCAUGGUAUGCUAAGCAACGUGCGAUUGAUAUUGUGUAUGAUGAUUGGCCAACUUCUAUAGCUGCGCUCCUUAUGUACAUGCAGGAAUUGGUGAAAGCCAAUUUCGGAACAGUUGUCGAGUGGGAGCACCAUCCGCAAAGCAGUGCUAGAUGCAGAAUCUUUCAUUAUGUGUUUUGGACAUUUGGGCCGGUGAUCGACUCAUUUCGACACCUUAAACCAGUUAUUUGUAUUGACGGCAUAUUUAUGAAGGGCACAUACAAAGCAAAAUUAUUAGUUGUUGUUGGUUUUGAUGCUUCCAAUCAGCGGUGGCCGAUUGCAAUCGCACUUGUAGACGAGGAGAUAAAUCGGAGUUGGACAUGGUUCAUGUCACAUUUGCGACGUCAUGUGUGCCGUGAGGUGAAAAAUAUAUGCGUUAUUUCGAAUAGGUACAAGAGCAUAACACACGCUAUGAAUACUUUGCUGGAGUGGAAAGAAUCGAUGGCUGUGCACCGAUACUGUUUAGUACACGUGCAGAGCAACUUUGCCCAAAAAUUUUGAAAUCAAAGGUAUAUAUUUUUUAAUAUUAGAUUAGGAAUACAUAGUAUGAAUACCCACUAAAUAUAAGUUUAAUCGUUGGUCAAUUAUCAUUGUCCAAAUUGAAUGAUCUUAUGUGGGCUGCCGGAGCAGCAAAUCAAGCCAAAAAAUACGAAACAUUUAUGGAACAAAUAUAGGUGUUAAACGAAGAGGUGUAUAAAUGGUUGAAUGGCAGUUCGGUCAAACCGGAACAAUGGACAUUAUGCAAGGAUAGGGAAUAUCGGUGGGGCUACAUAUCGAAGAACAUAGCUGAGUGCUUCAACAAUGUAUUGCACAAUGCUCGAUUAUUACUAAUAACAGCAUGCGUACAGUUCACUUUUAAUCAAGCCGUUGAGCUCUUUACGUCGAAGCGAAAAUUGGCUUUCAACACGACGUAUGUUUUUUCUAAAGAAAUAUGGAAGCCAUUCUUAAAAAAUGAAUUAAAGGCAAGGACACACUCAAUCCAAGUAUAUGACCAUAGAGGCGGAAUAUAUUGCGUUACUACUGGUUGACGCGAUAAUGGAAAGGGUGGCAAUGUGCAAAUUGUCAAGUUCGGGAAUAACACAUGUACGUGUGGCAAGUGGGCUGAACUUAGAUUCCCAUGGUCACACGUAUUUGCAGCUUGUUAUAGGUCGGGUACAAAUCUGUACCAUCUGGUAGGUCACGUGCACACAUUUUCAUCCUGGCAAUCUUCACUUCAAGGACAGUUUCAAUUUUUGUCGGAUUCGGCUUAUUGGAUCCCUUCGGAGUUGUGACUUAACUGUGAUGUAGGAAGAAUUAAACAAAAGAGACCCGACCCUAAAGCCAUUGCUAGAAUACAUAACCAAAUAGAUCGUCGAUGUUCCGAUGCGUCUCAUCAUUAUAGUCACUGUUCACAGACAAGCCACAAAGCCUCCAAUUGCCCUUAUUCUAGUCAUUUUCAUGUGUAAAAGCAUGAACGGGAUGAAAAAUUAGCUAAAGGUUGUGUAGUCAUUGAUUGUGUGUUAUGUUAGUUAUUUGGUCGAUUUUUUGACUGUAUGUCUAUUGCUGACGUACAAUUUAAUAAAAUUGGGACUGUAUGUAUGCUAUUAAUAAAUAUUUGAUUGUGGAGAUUAUCCUAAACAUGUCACAUUGGCCUAGACAGACUCCAAAUCCUAUACAGGGUUCACACGAAGAUGGCGUAUUAUAUUUGCAGGAUACACAUCGAUCGAAAAUCGUGUUUUUAGGGCAAGAGAGUCAGCUCGAUAUAAAAUGAGCCGACAAUUUUUUUUAGGAUCUGAUACGAAAUCAGCUGAAUUCUAGGAUAGCAAACUACCUUCGUGUAAUAGGUUUUUGGGGGAUCGUACAGGUAGGUUAUUUUGAAAUUGAUCAUGGAUUGAUUACAUCGCUUAUUGAGCGAUGAAGGCAGGAGACCCACACAUUUCAUCUUCCCGUGGGUGAGGCCACAGUCACUUUACAGGACGUGGAGGUAUUAUGGGGUCUACGUGUUGACGGAUUAUCAGUGACACUUGUUGAUCGAAAUAGUAAUAUUGCACGCAAGAAACAAUUAAUCAAGGAGCUUCUAGGUUUUAGACCUGAGACGCGACACUUAAGGAUGAGAGGUUGAAACUUGUUCCAAUAUUUGACUUUUUGUACGAGCCUCCUCCAGAUGAUGCACCGGAGGAAUUAGUUCGACAACAUGUUUGAUGCUACAUUUUGAUCUUAUUUGUUGGACAAUUAUAUGCCUACACGUGUGGAAAUGUUGUAAGUUGCCACUGGUUGGAUUACUUACGAGACCUAGAGGCUUUGAGUAAUUUCAGUUGGGGCAAUGCUACACUUGCAUGUUUAUAUUCCCGUCUGUGUAAAGCGUCUUACGCAACGACAAGCUGCACAGCUGGCCCGAACAUGCUUUUGCAGGUAUUGGAUGCAUAAUUUUGGAAUCAUUGCACGUCCAUAUUUCAUUUAAAUGCAAUAGUGAUUUAACGUAAACAAUUCGUAUUUUUUACAGUUAUGGACUUGGGAGAGAAUGCCCAGGAUUCGUCCGACCGUAUUGUUUCCUGCUGUACAGGGCGAUAAUUUUUCCAGAGGUGGUCGCUGGGCAGGAGAACGUACGACUAGAUACGUGCCAUCGCAUGUCGUCUCAUUAUUUCGUGAUGCACUCACCAAGAUGGGAGCCGACGAGGUACUCAAACUAAUAUACAAUUUUGAUAAAAAAAACUCUCAAUAUGUAUUUAUAAUCGCACUUAGUUGAACAAAUUUAUUGUCAUAGUUUAUCUGGGAGCUGUAUUCUACCAACCUUAUUGCACAGCUCCUCGCUUAUUAUUUAGCCGAACAACACAUAUGGCGGUCAGUAGUUCCGUUGAUAUAUUGGGAGGUUGUGGAAUUUCACCUCCCGCAACGGGUACUAAGACAAUUUGGGUUAUUUCAACUGAUACCUGCCUCCGUUGACACAGACACAGAUAAGAAAUUACAUUCUUUAAGUCGCUCAGGGCGUUCCGGAAAGGAUUGGAUCCUGUACCAUAGUCAUUGGGUGCAAUACUGGGAACAUCGUGCUCAAUUGAUUGUUGGUGGAUAUCGCAGCGAUCCAUUAAUGACUUUAUAUGAGUAUAUUGUAUGGUACCAGAAUAUUACUGCUCGCUAUAUAGCACCUCCUGUUUCAUGGCAAGCAGUAGAUGAUGCUCAUCGGCCAGAAAGGGGACAGUUCGACUACUUGGUAAAUUAUUAAACACUUUCCCUUUUUAUGUAAUCAAAUCCCAUUACAUGUUUAUUUAUUAACAUAUAAUAUGAUUACAAUAUACAAAUUUCUCUUUUUUUAGGUUGAUUCGAUGUCUCGGAUCGGUUCGAUCUAUGGGAUGUAUCUCGAUCCCGCAAAUCCAACGCAGAGUGCUCAUCCGGGACUAACAACUAUUCGUGAGGAGGCAUUUGGGGCAUUACAAUACCUGAAUCUAGGACAUAAAACGGUAGCUAGCCCAUUUGACCGUCAAGAUAUUGGUCAAUCUGCCUCUUCUGCUGCCCCUUUUCAGAUGCCUGUCGAGCAUCUACCUAGGGAAGUCCGUGGUAGGAAACAAGCAGUUAGACGUCGCAGAGGGAGCACCUCCACGCAUGCUGUUGAUGUGCCGGACGAAGAUAUAAUGCAAAUUUCAUCACUAUUCGGUUACGAUCCACCUAUUGGCAUACACUUUUCUCAUAAUGAAACUUUCUUCACACCUCCUACUAUGCCAGCUUUCGGAGGUCAUUUCAGUGAUACACCUACUCCCAUACCCGUAUUUGACUAUACGUCUGCUGCUGCACCAGCGUCUACAAUGCUUGCUACAACGAUGUGUCCAGAAAUUAAGUUUCAAGAUAAUCUUGACCAAAUGUACCGCUUCCUAGAGACCUCGGUUGGUUUCUCACCUGCUUUGCAUAUGGACGACGACAGUGUUCCCAUUAGUGCUUCUUUUCAAGCACCUAUACAUGGCUCUUGUCCUAGAUGCGGUCAAACUCCGGUAUUCAAUCCCUCCGUUGAUGAUGACGAUGAUCAAAUAUCUGAACAAAUUCAUGCAAUUUCUCAGAGGUUUGAACGAUUACAAUUGGGACGAGAUCUACCACAUGAGAGAAUUCAUUGGAAAUGUGGCUGUUCUACCACUCCGCGAGAUAAGGGCAAGAGGCGCGUUGAUGGGUGAUUUAAAAAAUAUUAUUUUUCAAAUUUUUCUUAUCGAAACUCUCAUUUUAUUAUCAAUUAAGUUUAUAUGCUAAUUAUUACAUUCUAUAAAUAUUGUUUAAUGUUGCAUUAUUUAUCAUUAUUCAAAUUAGCAUUAACAUUAAAAAUUUUAAAAAUAUGACUUAGGUAAAUUUUAGAGUGUUUUUAAUAGCAUACUAAUUAUUUAAACCCUAAACUCUAAUUAAGCCUAAUUUAUUAUUAUUUAAGUUUAUAUACUAAUUAUUACAUUCUAUAAAUAUUAUAUUAUUUAUCAUUAUUGCGAUAAUAAUAUUAUAAAAUUUAAAAAAUAUGACUUAGGCAAAUUUUAUUAGUAAUUUAAUAGCAUACUUGAUUAUCAUCUUAAUUUAUAAAUUUAACAUUAUUCUAAUAUGAUAUUUUAAAUUUUUGAUAAUUUUGGUUUACAAUAGAAUUUUAGUAAUACGAUUUAAGAAUUUUAAUUUUAAAAUUAGGGUUAAAGGGUUACACUGUAAUUUGAAAAUUAGUAUUUCAUGUAAAACAUAAAACCCUAAUUACGCCUAAUUAAGGUUACUUUUUACAGGAGAAAAAAACUUGGUCACGCUGCCUUUUAUUAAAUAUUAAAUAACUUAUUAAAAAUUAAAUAUUAAAUAAUAAAAGGUAGGAAGAAUGCUUCAAUAAAAAAAAAAGCAAGAAUGCAUCGCCGCUCAUGAGCGGAAACACAUAAAAACAAAAACCUUCGCCGCUCAUGAGUUGAGCGGUGAUCAAAAUUCCUUCACAGCUUAUUUCAUGAGCGGCAAAGCGUUUUUAAAAAAAAAAAUUAAACCAAGCAAAAAUAAAUGAAAACUAAAAGUCUUUUUAUUAGUAGCCUCACGUCUCAAUUGCGACGACCCCUUAUUCCGAAACACUCCCGACAUAACACCAAUUUUCUGAACAUUUUCAAUUUUGACAAUAUUCCUAGAAAUUCAACCUAGUUGGUUCAUUUUAAUAUGUAAAUAUUUGAUAGUACAAAAGUAAACACAAACACUUUUCGAGCUUUUCCCACUGUCAGCACUUGAAUCUUGAAUCUGACAACAGGGGAUGGGGAGGGAUGAAAGGUUUAAAAAAAAAGGGUUAAUUCCACUUUGUCCCCCCAAACUUUGGAUGAUUAUCCACUUAAAUCCCUAAACUUUAAAAUGGGACACUUAAGUCCCUAAACUUAUAAAUACCUCCCACUUAAGUCCCUGAACUUAUAAAAUGAGACACUUUAAUCCCUAAACCCUCAUAAAAUGGGACACUUCGACCACCAACGGCAUUCAGGAUUUGUUAACAAUUUUCCUUAAGUGGGAGGUAUUUAUAAGUUUAGGGACUUAAGUGUCCCAUUUUGAAGUUUAGGGACUUAAGUGGAUAAUCGUCCAAAGUUUGGGGGGACAAAGUGGAAUUAACCCAAAAAAAAAUUCAAAUAGCAACCUAAUGGCAAUUUGGGAAAAAAAACUUUACCGACCAUUAGACCAAUUUUCUCAAAAUGAGGGUUUAAAGUGCUAUAUUGGAAGACCUUCAGCCCUCCCAGGACAAAUGAAUAUGCCCAGGGUCAUGGAGCCUGGAUUCUGAGUUUCUGAACAAGGAGAAAAAUAGAUUUCAAUUCUCUGAGGAAAAACCAGAAAAGGUAAAGAAUCAAGGAAGAAGGAAUGGAUGAAGAAGAAGGAGGAGGAAUAAGGUUAAGCAAGAGAUUUUCAGACAAAGGAGGAGAGGUUGAUUACAAAACCAAAGCAGGCACCGCUUGGUCUCAUUCUUACCUCAAUCAGAAGCCAUGGCACCCUCUUUCUUACCCUAAUCAACGCCGCAAGUGGAUCGCCGAGCAGACUCACGCCCAGCGAGAACGCCGCGCCGAAGAAGUUGCCCGCGAGGUACUUUUUUUUCCUUAAUUUUGUUUCAAUUGAUUUCUGAGGAACCAUUUUUGCUCCAUUUUUUUUGUUUAAUGAACGGAAAAGCCCAGUUAAGAUACAGAAAUCUUUGGUUUCUGUUUUUCUUUUUGGUUGGUUAUUAUUAUUGUUUCUUGUAUUCAGUAGAGGACAAAAGCCUAGUUGCAGUUAGAUAAGUUCAAUAGUUUCUUUGGUUGUGGAUUAUCUUGUGGAAUUUUCAGAUUAUGAACUACUAGUAGAAAGGGAAGAGCCCCAGUUACAUGGUGUAUUGAAUUUCGAGGAUUUUUUUGGUUGCAGAUUUUAUAUGCAGAAGCAGAAUAUGUAAGAAAAUAGUGCAUUUUUGGAAUCUAAACAGUUUUGCAAAUGUUGCAAAGGUUUUAUAUUGUGGAAAACCCUGAUUAUCAUGUGUUUCAGGAGUUUUGUAUUGCAUAUUUUAUAGGCAGGAGCAGAAUAUAAAGAAACUAUUAUAGUAUUGGAGUCUAUAAAUAGUUAUACAAAUUUUGGAAAGGUUGUACAUUCAGCAUAUUUCUCAUUUUAUACUUAAAUUGUAUCAUGGGCAUUGGCUCAUCCGUGAGGUACAUUUUGAGGUACUUAGGUGCUCGUACUAUGUUGCCUAUUUUUUAAGGAUAAAAGUAGAAUUUGAAACUAGACGAGACUGAACUAUGAUAAAGAUUCUAUGUAUAACAUAUACAGACAGUUAAAUAGAAAAAAAAAAUUUGAAUUGGUUGAAUUAUUGGCUAUGUCUUCCUAUCUUUUUGAAUUUUAGUUGGGUACCUGCGAAUUGCUCUAGACACUAAUUCCUAUAGUUAUUUUUAACUGUUUGAUUGUUGCUUCAUUUUAGCUAUGUGAUUCUGUUUAUUUUUUUCUGAUGUAAUAUAAUACCCUGUCUUAUUUUGAUUCAAUGUUUGUGCUUAUUGGUACUUUUGGUCAUGUGUUUUUUCAGUAUGCUCAGGAGCACGAAUUUUUCCGCCAGACAGCUCUCGUCUCCAAGAAGGAGAAAGAAAAGGUACUUUGCGUGCACUGUAUAACUCUGUAUUUUGUACACUUCAAUACAGUUAUAUUAUGUCUAUGGGCGUUCCCCAUUAGUGGAGAUACCAGGUCUAAUCAUGUGCUUAUAGAGCAUGCAAGGAAAGUGUUGAUUGUCUGACUGAAUGUGCAUAAACUAAGUAAGGUAAUUGAUGCAUGACUUGUGUUCUUGUAGAUGGAGACGAUGAAAGCUGUUAGCUUUAUGUAUGUCAGACCACCUGGUUACAAUGCAGAGAGUGCUAAAGCUGCAGACAUGGCUGAUGAGAGGAAGAAGCAAGAGCAGGAGCAAAAUAACACUUCCCAAGGACCAUUUGAACACGGUGCUUCCACGUCGAUGUAAAUGCUUAGUUUUUAAAUUCUGGUUUCUCUAUUUCUAAGUGUGUAUGGCUGCUUAAUUAUGAUGUCUGUGUGUGCAUGGAUUAUGAAAGCUAAAAUACACUGGGCUUUGAUGUAGGAAGCACGAAUCUUUGCCUUCUAGUGAGGAGAAAAAGAAGCCCAGGCCAAAGGAUGUCUUUGGUCGUGCCUUGCCAACAGAAGAACAAUUUGAAGUCCUUAAGCAUGCUCCAAGGUCCGCAUGUUCUGCUCUUAUUUUGUUCUUGGUGUACAAUAGUUUUUCAAAGCAGUAUUCUAUCUGAAUGACGUAUUUUUCUUUACAUUCUCAACAAGUAACUGUCUUCCUGAGUUGGAAAUUAUUGGUCCUGUCCAUAUAACCUGUUAAUAUCAAUAAAUUGCAUUUCAGAUAUUCUUGAACAUAUUAAUUCAUACAUACCAAGAAUUCUCCAUAGAGCAGUUUUGUGUGUUAGGUUUUAAGAAUAUUAGAAGGUACCCUGUGGCUUUUGUCUCCGUUGAUAAUACAUAACAAAAUUUGCAUAAAUGUGUUUUGGCAAUACUUUAUUGUAUAUCCUUCAUCAGUAAUGUGCACGAUUGUAUGUAUUCACUAUUCACAUUAUAAAUGCUAAUUUUGAUGAUCUUCUCCAGGCUAGAGACAGGUGUUGCUGGCAGGUCCAAACCAUUUGGAGUGGAGAUACGCAAUGUAAAAUGCUUAAGAUGUGGAAACUUUGGCCAUCAAAGUGGUGAUCGUGAAUGCCCAUUGAAAGAUGCUAUAAUGCCUAGUGAAGAGAAUAGAUUGAAAAGAGAUGAUCCUUUAACAGCUAUCCAGGCUCUGACAGAUGUGAAUGAGGUACAUAUUGAUUCUUCUUACACAUCUAGCUAGUUAUAUUCAUCUAUAGACUUCUUUAACUCAAAGUAAUUAAUUUUUCCUUGAUAAAUAUGUUGGCUUUUAAUUUAUAAUACUUUACUCAAUCUGUUAGUCUUUUUUCUCCCAAAUUUUAUAAUAGUGAAUGAUGGAAUUAUUUCCCAUUUACCUCUCUGUAGCUUCCUCAGAACUGCAAGAGAGAGAGGGGGGGGAGAGAGAGAGAGAGUUACUAGAUGUUCAAGUAUAUUUAAAACUUCAAUCUGUGUUUUGUCCUUUUGUCUCCUUUGGGAAAUCGAAAGGAAAGCCAAGCUCUGAUGGAAUUUAGAAGUCCAUGCAGUUGCUCAUGCUUUUCUUCCAAAUAUUUUUCAUUGGUACAUAUAAAGACUACAUAUAAAGAAGGUUAUUUUUGGUUGGUCUUUUGGCAAAGUUCUAUUAGAUGUGUAGAUACUCAUUUUUACUGGAUCUCGCUAUAGCAAUGCAGAGAGUAAAAUGAUUGUUGCCCUUUCAAAGAUAUGAAGGAAGGUCUCUGAAGUUAUCUUGUGAGCGUGAGGACUACGUAAUCAAUCAAACAUCACUUGAAAAUGGCUCUUCUGCUCAGAAACGAAAUGUUCCAACUUGUAGGCAAACUAUUAUAAUUAUUUUAUAGAUUUUUUAUUUUUAUUUUUUUAUGAAUUUAAGCUGAUUUACAUCUCCGUGUAAAAGCUGGGAUAUGUGGUAUGAUAAUUGUUAUUCCUGACAGUCUCAUAGUGAAAAUUGUAGUAAUUCUUUUAGGUAAUUUAUAAUUGAGAAUAGCCCCUGGUUUUGGCAAAUCGGACGUGCAUAUACUGUCUUCUUCUGUUCAACGCAUCAUGUCUGUGCAAAUGGCUAGUACUUUAUAUUUUUAAUAAAUGUUUUCCAAGUAUUAUUUACAUUCAGAUGGACUACUGGUCUAUAGUUGAGACAAUAGGGGUAAACAAGGAAAAGACAAUCUGGUUUCCCAAUGGGGAACUCGAACUCUUUGUUCUUUUAAGAUUUUUAAGAUUAAAGUGCAGAGCUCAGUGGAAUGACUUCCAAAAUUUUCUAAGAGGAGAUGGAUUGUGUGCCAAAGUGCACUGCAAAUUUACCCUUGAAACAAUAAAUUCAUUUUCUUUUCCUUGUUUAGAUUUUCUUUUCCCUCCACUGGGUUAGGGAGAAGGUGGUGGGGUCGCUAAAAGAGAGAAUAACUUUUGUGUGAUCCCAAGUUUUGGCCAUCUGGAUACUUUUAUCACAUAUUAAUUGCAAUCAGAUUAAAUAAUUACAGGUCCUUUGGCGUUGGAAGGGCAAAUAUUACUCUACUAUGUAGUAUAUAGGAAAGUUUCUUGGUAUAAAGUUGCAAUGUCUUCCCCAUUCCACCAUGUUCUUCUGCUGUUUCCAUUUGACAGUGUCUUCCUACAUCUGAAGCAAGUGAUCUGAUUUUUCGUAUAUUCUUUCUCCUGUCAUCUUUGCUCUUACCAGACUAUCAUUUAUCCACUGGUCGUGUCUGGAAAUUGCACAUCAAAACUACUUGGCAGUUAUACAAGUUAUUAUUUAUCUAUAAUUUUUUAUACUUGUUUGUUGUACUUCGAGAUGCACACUAUACAGUUUGCUUCUUUCAUUAGUUGCCUCAUUCUGCUGUAAAUUUGACUUUCAAGUUCAGUUGAUUCAGCAGCUAUAAGUAUUUGCUGGACAAGUAUUAAUCACUGAUUAUCACAAUCUCAAGGAAAGACAUGCAGUUUGGAUAUUGUAGAUUUAAGCCUUUAAACAAUUUUCUUCACUUGAUAUGCAGCCAUUUAAGUGGGAGCUGAAACAAAAGCCAGGAUUGAGUCCCGUUCGAGGUGGGUUUAGGGCUGAUGAUCCAAACCAACAAAUCGUUGCUGAGGACAUAUUUGAUGAGUACGGAGGUGAUAUUUUUGUUGCUUCUAUAAAGUUUUAAUUGAAUGAUUUAUUAGUUCUACUCAAGAGAUGUAAAUGUAGUCCGUCUUGAAUCAAAUCAUGCCAGGGUUUCUAAGUGGAGAUAACAUCCCUGACUUGCUGGCCAAUUUUUCAUCAAGCGAGCCAAAGAAAAAGUCAUCUAGUAAGAGGAAACAUAAAAGGCAGUUAUCACCUACUGAAGUAAGUGGUAGAGAAAAGUGGUCAUCUUCCAGUGAUGAUGGUGGCAGAAGAUUGGAGAAGAAGAGACACAAGAAGUCAUCAAGAAAGCAUUCUCACUCAAGUUUGGCAGUUAACUUAGAUUCCAACAUGCUUCAAAAGGGUAACAGAUCAUUGGCUGGUGGUGAUAGGGAUAGACAUUUGAAGAAGAAAAGAAGUGAUAGGAAAUCACAGAAGCAUUCAGUGUCAAGUUUGCAAGAAAACUCUGAUUCUGAUGUGCCAUAUGAUCAUCGAGAUAAUGGGUCAUCAUCUGGUGAUGAUAGGAAAAGGAGAUCAAAGCUGUCAUCAUCUUCUGGUGAUGAUCAUGGGAGGAGAUUGGAGAAGAAGAGACAUCAUAAGUCGCCAAGAAAGCAUUCUCGCUCAAGUUUGCCAGAUAAGUCAGACUUUGACAUGCCAUACAAUAACCGAAAUGACCAUAGGUCAUCAGCUGGUGGUGAUAGGAUUAGUAAAUUGAAGGACAGAAGACAUGAGAAGAAGUCAAGGGUGCACUCAGAGUCAAGUUUGCGAGAAAACUCAGAUUCUGGUGUGCCGUAUAAUCACCAAGACGAUGGGUCAUCAUCUGGUUAUGAUCGAAAAAGGAGAUCAAAAAAGAUACAUAAGAGGAAGUCACCAAAGCAUUCUUACUCAAGUCAAUCUGAGAUCUCUGACUAUGAUAGGCAUUGCAGGAGCAGUAGGCACAAGCAUUCUCAUCCAACCUCAUCUGAGAAUUUGGACUUUGAUGGGCAUUACAGAAAUCGUCGUCAUCGUCAUGGUUAUCGCCAUUAGAAUUGUGUCUUUUUUCUGGUUUGAUCUUUUGAAACCACCAACGAUCCUUCCAUGAAGCUGCACCAAACUAAUACAGUUAGACACACCCGAGAGGUAAUGAGCGUUCACUGCGUCAGACACUCUACACAGCAGCUUUUUGCAUUUAGAUCUAAAUUUGCCUCCUUUCUCUCAAUACAAAGCUGAAGAACAAAAAUGAUGGUGAAGCUGCAGCUAUAGGUGUUCAAGAUUUAUGGGGACCUGUUUUUGCUUAAAGCUGAUGUAAGAUGGAGUCAAAUGACCUUCGUGGUGAAAGGAGAAAUUCACUUCCCUGUUCAACACUCUUGUUCUUGGGGUUACUGAUACAAAAACAUCACUGCAAUUAUUCUUUGGUUUAAAGUUUAAAUGCAUAAUCUUGACUUCAGGCUCUCAUGUCGUUGCAGGGGGUUGAAAUAUUUGUAAAAUUUCCCUCCCUCAACCCAAGAGCUUUGGUGUAAAAAGACUGUCUAUUAGUCAGUUGAAUAUUCUAAACAGGCAAGUUUAAAAGCUUGGAAUCUUUCAGCACAAUUGGUUUGUUUCAAUACACUGGUAGAUCUAUGGCAUUAGAUGUUUUUUAAGUUACUCCAGACACUCCUGCUAUGUUGCAGCAAGGUGCCCAGUUAAGAGCUAGUCGAAAAGUCCACCUUGUGGACAAGACUUCCACGUCUAGGUUGCAAAAUUUGCAAUGAAUUAUCCUUUCUCUUAGCCUCAAUCAAUUUUCUGUCUCACGUAUUAGGUCCUCUAUGAAGACCGAGCCAAAAAUUUAGCAACAAAAGUGAGUAUAACUGGGAUGGUGAGCCAAAAAAAAAAAAGGAUAAAAUAGAAAAUUGAUUGAAGUAACGAAUAAGCUCACUUGGUUUUUAGUAGGGUUAAAUGCAAAAAACCCCACAAACUAUAUAACCAGUUGCAGUUUACCCCCUAAAUUAUAAUAAUAGGCAUUUUGUCCCCUUGAAUGAUAUGUUUGGACAACAUUACCCCUACUAUCUUAAAUCCUUUCUCUUUUUUUUCUCUAUUAGCUUUUUUCAUUUUUUUCCUUUUAUUUUCUUUUUGUUCUCCUUCUCUCAUGGAACUAGCCAACGUCUUUCUCUGAUGUGAAAAGACUUACAUCAAAAAUUUUAAUAUUUUUAAACUGCUUUUUUAAUUUGUUUAUUUGUUAAAUUCAUUCUUAAUAAUUUGUCAUAAACUCUUUGUUAUUACAAAAUAUAUGUAACUUAUAUUAUAAAGUGUAUUAAUCUAGUAAUUCAACAAUUUAAGUACCUAUAAACUAAUUAAGAGUUCACAGUUACUCAACUACUUAUAAUAAAAGUAACAUAUUAUAUAUCACAUAAAAAAGAAAAGUUAGCAAUUGUUAUUUGUAGUGAAAUAAAAAAUAAGAAUAAAAAACAAUAGUAGUUCAUUUUUUUUGUUAUUGAUACUACUAAUAAUUGAUUAAUCAAUUUCUCUAUUUUGUUAUUAUAUAUUUGAAAAGUUCAAUUUCUUAAAUGACAUUGAUUUCAACAUUUGGAAAAAAAAUUUUGUAUUCCAUAGAUUUUUUUUUUAAAAAUAUUGACAUACGAAAUUAAGAAAUAAACAAAUUUUGACUAAUCUAGUCUACUUAUUUAAACAAUGUUUAAAGGAAAAAAAGGGAAGAAUUUAAAAAGAAAAUGAUAGGGAAAAAGAAAAAUAACAAUGCUUAAAAUAAAAGGGGUAGAUUUGUCCAAACAUAUCAUUCAAAGGGGCAAAAUACCUAUUAUUAUAGUUUAGGGGGUAAACUGCAACUGGGUAUAUAGUUUGUGGGGGUUUUUUGCAUUUAACCCUUUUUAGUAUGCAGCGAUAAAUUCUUCCACUAAUUUAAGUAAAGGCUGAAGAGGUCCAAAUUGCCUACAUCAAAUUUCACUCACUCAAGCAAAUUUCACUCACUCACCAAACAUAUCUGGCAGAUUGCCCCAAUCCAGUGGGACGGUAUGCAAGAGCAUCAUGGCUGUUUCAAAAGAUGGUGGAUCUCCGUCAUCGAGGCAAGGCAUAGGACAGCAGGAUCGCAACAUUUGGCCUUAACUGUCAACAUUCUUUGGCAGAUUUGGAAGGCUAGAAAUGACAUGGAAUUUAAGGGGAAAGCUCAUCAGCCCUGGAAGAUUAUAAAGAAAGCACAGGAGGAAUGGAUAGAAUUCGAUGAAGUAGCAAAGAAGGAAGCUAGGAUGAGCACAGGAGAAACAUCAACUCACAACAAUGAAGACCAGCAAUUAGAGCCGGAAGAGGGAACUGUGGAAAUGAGAGUUGCCGCAACAAGACAGACAGACAAACCUAUCUUAGGCAUUGGAAUCACUUCAGCUGAAAGGAACCAAGAACCAAUGAUAGGAUGGGCGCUAAGGGAAAGAAGCUCAGGGGUACAGCUUCUGGACGAUGCAGUAGCAUUAAAGCUGGCUAUGUGCAAAGCAAUUACAUUGCACCAAAGGAAAGUACAAUUCCAAGUGAAGAAUAUGCAACUCCUCAAUCAUAUUCGAACUCAGAAGGCAAGUGACAGCAGAAUAGCUACGCUGGUGGAAGACAUUGUACUUUUGAAAGGGUUGUUUCAUAUGUGCUCCUUUUGUCUAGCUAAUAGUGAUAAAAAUUAUCUAAGCUCUAGUAUCAGCAUAUAUGCCUUAGGCAUCACAAUUGAUGAGGAAUUGGUGUUUCCUCAGUGUUAAGCACACUGGUUGUAAAGUCAAUUCGAGCCUUUGCUCGCUCUUGUAUAUCUUUUGAAAGUAAUAUAAUCAAAUAUCGUUUUGGAAAAAAAAGCAAGAAGCCGUUUAGAAAUUAUCGUUUCGAAAAAAAAAAAAAAAAGCAAGAAGCCGUUUAGGGAAGCAAAACUUCCACCCCACAUGGUAAUAAUUUUUCAAGCGGUGGUUUUUACAUUUUGAAUUGGAUAUGAUGCUAUCUGGACCAAAAUUUAAGGGUAUCUAUAAUUGUCAAUGAGAAUUACACCGUGUAAUAUAGUCCAAUAAAUGUAAGCAUUAAGACAAUAACAUGAGAAAAUACAAAAUUAAAAAAAAAAAACUUUUUCACUUCAUGAAAUUUGUGCCCAAAACUCAAUCUCAAAUGUCUAAAUUUAGAUUUGUCUAUUUCUCACCAUGAGUUGUUCUCUGCAAAGAACCUGGAUCCGAUGCUAGCUAUGGUGCUGGAGGUCUUCUUCAUUUUCAUAUUAUUAAACUUUCUAACGUUUAUAAGCAAGAUAAUAUACUUAGUCGGAGGAUUAUGUGGUCUAACUAGAUUAAGGGAUUUUGCUAUUACCAAUUUCUUACGUUUAUAAGUAAGAUAAUAUACUUAAUCUUAGGAUUAUGUGAUCUAAUUAGAUUAAGGGAUUCUACUGUCACCAAUUUAAACUAUACGGUACAAUGUAAAUACUAACACAAUAAAUAUAGACACCAUUACAAGAUGUAAAAAACAUAACAAAUUUUUGACACAUUGAAAUAUGUGUCCUGCGUUUUUUUUUCUCUUCCAUCCAAUUUCACAACGCUCCAUCUACCACUCUCAUCUCAUUUGCAGAGGAUCUGAAUCCAAUCCGAACUCUAAAGGUCUGAGCGUAGCAUGAUGAAAAUGGGACUGGAAAUUAUUGAAUUCCAAUAUUUGCACAUAGUUGCAUCUAAUGAGGGGCAUUAUUUGCACACAAAUAAGGAUUUAAGUGCUUCUUCCAGGAAAAAACUAUUUAUAUAGGAAACGAGGUGAGGAAAACUAGGAAGUUCUUACACCAAAACCGAAUUCGAUUUGAAGUUUUUGGAUUCAACCCAUUACAAUCAGGAAAAGAAACUAAUGAAUUUGUGACACGUGGGGGCCGGUCCUAUUUGUUAAUAAGACUUUGUAAUUUUGUCAACAAAUCUAACAUUACCACCUGGCAUGCUUAAACAAAAAUAGCUAGUAUUUUUGCCCGAAUCCACUUACAAAGAACGACUAAUAUAUUUUUAAAUGAUAAAUACAAAUCUUAAAAUCUUAAAAUUAGGAAAAUGGACCAUUUUUAGUAUACGAUUUUCCUUCUCACACCCUAAAGUAAUUUGCCUUUGAUGGGACAUAACCAAACCAAAAUCCUAAAGCCACAAAAUUAUGAAAGAUUGGGCUCUUGAUUUUGAAAAAGGGUAAAUUUCGAUGACUUCUUUUUUUGCAAAAGAUCUUCUAUCCCAUUUUCUAUACAAUGUUCUAUCCCAACAUCUAUUAAAUCAUCAUAUAUCCUUCAUGAACAUCCCAUUUUAAUUCUUUUUUUCCCUUGGAGUUCCAGCAAAUUACUUAUAGGGUAGAAUACAAAAUAGAAGAUAUAAAAGACAAAAUUGAAUAACAUUCUAAAUUGACACAAAUGGUUUGACUUUUUUCAUAAAGAAAGUUUUAUUUUAUAAUUUUGUUUCGCAUUUAAUAGUUGAUAUGUAAUAAAGAAGAGUCGACAAUGAUCAAUUGCUGUAAAAGAUAAAGCAUAACUAUUUAUGUAGAACCCAUAUCAACCUUAAAUAUUCCUAAACUCAUCUACAAUCUCAUAUCAACCUUAAAUAUUUCUAAACUCAUAUCAACCUUAGAUAUUCCUAAACUCCAAUUUCAUGAUUGCCACCUUUCUAAUACAAAAUAGCCUAAGUCAUCACCACUAAUACUAACACCCAAUACACUCCAUUAGUACAAAGUUCAAAAUCAGUCAAAUUUUCUCUCUGUAUAGGACCAUCACCAAUAACUGCAAAUAAAAAAUAGAAACACAAUGUAAUUAUGAUAUACUAGGAACAUAUUUUUUCCAUAACAACCAUAAUAGUAUAAGUUUUAUUUAGUCUCUCAUCCAUUUUUCACCCUUAAUUUUUUUUAAUCACUACCAGUAUCUUCAUUUCUUCUUCUCCUUCUAGUUUGACAACUAAAUCGUCACUUAACUUCUUGUUUGACAAUUUCAAUUUGCUAAUACCUGCAAAAAAUUGAAACCAAAAAUGACCACAAAAAAGCUCUUUAUUAGUAUUGAAAGAGAGUGAAUUGGAAUUAGACACCAUAAUGGGUAAGUAUUGGUGGUUGGUACGCAUGGUGGUUUUGUUAGUAGUGGCAAUAUACAUUUGAUCAAUGGGAAUAAAUAAAUAAGUUUGAAAGAAAAGAAGAUGUAGGAGGGAGAAGAUAGAGAGUUAAAUAUGAAAAACUCUAGUUUGAGUCAUUGGUUGAUAAUAGAUGAGAGAAAACUAAUUUUUGGUAGAGUUAUUUGAUGAGUUGACAAUUAAAUGAAGGGCAUUUGUUGUCUUUUUAUUACACCUAGGGAAGUCCUCAUAAUUAUGUAAACUUCAGGGAAGCCGAGUGAAAUUGCUAGGAACUUCAAGGGAGGUUUUUGAAAUUAUCUCAUUGUAAAAAAGGAACAAAAUCAAGUUUAUAAAGUUGAUCUUUAGGGGAACUAAAUCAUCAUAUUAUUGCUUCCGGUUACGUUUGGAUUGAAAACCAAUGGUAGGAAAAGAAAUACAACUCCACGUUACAAAGAAAACACUAUUAAUCUGAUUUAGAGUAUAGGCCAGAUCAACUAUAUCGAUUAUUCAUUAGAUUGACUGGUGAUUAGUGAAUGUGCAUUAAAAAAAAAAUAGUAUACAUUUCUUUACAUGCAAUCAUGUAGAUUUCUUCAUAUGUGUCCAUAACAAUAUCAUUAGUGGUACUUACCUAAUAAAAAAAAUUAUGAGUGAUAUUUCCAAUUGCCGAUUACUGAAAAAUUUAAAAAAAAAAAAUCCAAUUGCUGGUUUCUGUCCUAGACUCCGAGGUUUAUUAUUCUUUCGCGCUGCGCGUGGAUGUAUAUAACUCAAUAUCUUGUAGUUGGAAAAAGAUUGAGUACAAGGAAGUCUUUUACAUCUAUUUUUCCUAGAUUUUAUUCCUCAUCGUUGCCUUGUAUUCUACUCCAGCUCAUUUUCGGUAACCACAAAGUUAAAGCAAUUAGUUAUAUCUCCCGUGGCAGAAUCUUUAAUUAAUUCAUGAUUCGAGAAAUAUUAAAGAAGUGAUUUAAUGUGAUUAUUUACCGAUUGCAGUGGCUAUUCUGUGUACUUUGGUUAGAAAAUGACUUAACAACGUGAAAUUGCUUAUGAACUCCAAACCCCUUAAUUCCCUUCAUUUGUUAUUAAUUAGAUGCACUCAACAAGGAGGGAAAAAAAAAGGAUGCUUCACCUAUCAUCUAUAGGUCCCGGAUGCAAGUCAUCAAUGUGGUGGUGGAGUCCCACUUUUGAUACUCUUUUUGAAUGAGAAAAAAAAAAGAAGAAAAAAAUGCACUCAAUACAAUUAAUAAUGGCUAAAGAGUAAAUUAUUGAGUUUUACAUUAAAAAAAAUGCUGACAUUUACCAUUUAAUUUCCUUGUUAACGUUAGAUAUUAUAAGUAAAUUAAUUGUUAGACAAAAGUUAAACUUAUUAGUUUGAUUCCAUACCCAAAAAAAAAAAAAAUGAAAAGAAGUUCUCAGAGCUUAUAUAUCUAGUUUUGCAAAGGUUACACAACCAUAUUGCUCCAAUUAUUGGCAGAUGAAGCUAAAAGGAAUCUUCAUUUUCUUGAUAACAACCUAAAGAUAUGGACACUCUCACUCAGUAGUGGAGUGAGGUCCCUAAGGUUCCUAUCACCACAUAAUAUGUAGUAAUAGUAGAUUUACAAUUAAAGGACUUCUAUGUUGAACAUUCCUUUUCCUAUGUUGUUUAAUACUUGCAAGUCAGAGUUGUGCUAUAAUGUGCCAUUAAUGAGUUUAAGAAUCUUGUGAAGCAUAAGAAUUACAAAUUUUUUUAAUUAUUUAGUGGGGCAACAUAGAUAAAAAGAGCAGAGAAAAUACAAUUUCAAAAAUUUUAGGGGACAAAGUAUAUAAGAAAGACAAUUUUGUGGAAUUGAGGGGGGCACAAAUAGGAAGCAAUUUUAAAAAAUUUUAAAACUUUCCAAGCCUGAAAAAUGUUGAACUAGCAAAUGCCGAGAGAGAGAGAGAGAGAGAGAGAGAGAGAGAGAGAGAGAGAGAGAGAGAAUGUCCGAUUAUUUAUCGCAUUUCACAAAAAUGGAGAAUAAGUUACUCUUACCAACUAUGAAUUUUUUCAGAUCAGAUAUCCAAACAUCAUUCUUCUAUAAGUAGUAAUGUCGAAUAUCAUAAUUCAGAGGUAUUGUUUUCUAUCAAUGAGAAAAAUAGAAAAGAAAUCAUUUUGUGGAUUCGAAAUUCAUAAUAACAAUUGGUAUUUGUUCCAAAAAAGUGAGUAACAACCUAGCAACAAAGACACCUACAGCCUAUUUCAAAUAGAAUCAUAAAAUGCCAACUUUUAUCCAGAAAUCGGAUUUAAAUAGACUUUCAAGAAUUUGUGAAGAAUUUUAGCACAAGAUUAAAUUAAAUUCCUCCUGUGAACAAAUUUAUUUUCCCUCCAAGGUUGUUCUUUUCUGAGCCUCAAUAUCUUCAUUAUCCAGCACUGGUUCCUGUUCUUGAUCCUCAAAUUUCGUUAAAGAUUGCUGCUUAUCAUUUUCAGGGAACACUUUGUACAGUCCCAAGUAAAGACACAUACCAAAAACUGUAACUCCAACUAAGUACCAGCUGAAAAAAAGGUUCACUAAUGAUUUGGCUUUUUCAAGGGCUUCAUGAUCAUGGCAUCUGACAACUUCAUGACCAUCUUCCCACUUCAGAAAACAGCCUUUGGGAAUAUAUUCUGGUGUCCACAGCAUGAUUCCCAUGACCAUAAACCAAGCUCCUUGGAAAAAGAUGAUAAGAGACCUUAUGAAACUAUUCAAGAAACUCUUGGGGUAAACUAUGCAUAAGAGGGUAGUGAGAAAUGAGACAAGUAUGACAAUUUGAAGAAGCCAGUGAUAUUGGCCUUCCAGACCAAUGUGAUCAGCAGGGUGGAGAUUAAAUAGGAGAAACUGCUGGCCAAAGGAAACGGCUCCAAGCAUUUGCGAAAGGCCAUAUUGAGCUGGGGGCUGAAUUUUGUCUAGGAUAAUGCAGAGAAGUGCAUAGAUAAAGAAAGUCAAGGAUAUAUUUGAGUGCUCAAAGCUAUGUUUUCAGAACCGGACCGGAUAGCGACUCGGCCGAGGUCAGGGGUCAGGGGUCAAUGGGUUCGACCGGGGGUCGAUAGGGGUCGAACCGGAUGACGUCAUAAAUUAAAAUUAUUUAAAAAUUAAAAUAUUAUAUAUAUAAUAUCUAAUAAUAUAUUGAUAUUAAUAAAGGUAUAUCCAUAUAUAUUUGAUGUUUCAAAUAUAUUUAACAAGAAAAUACAAAGAAAUUAGAACAAUCAAGUAGCAAUUUAUAUUAUUUAAUAAAUAUUAACAAGUUUAGAAUUAAAAUUAUGAAUUUAAUUGAAAAAUAACAUCAAAUUUUAGGACAAUAUUUAUAAAGUAUCAAAUAUUUGAGGUAUAUCAAUAAGUUUUAACAAUUUAGGGGGUCAAAACAUAAUAUUAAAAAGUUUGAAUUUUUUUAAAAAAAUUACUGUUGAACCGGAAAAACCGAUUUUUUCCUGAUCAAACCUGAUUUUUGACCGGAUUUUAAAUUUUCGGUUUUUUAAUGUGACUCGGACCGGCUACCUGACCGGUUCCCGGUUCGACCGGCCGGUCCGGUCCGAGUUUGAAAACAGAGGCUCAAAGCUGUGAAGAUGGUUUGAUGGAAUAGUGCCAUCCGGGGUCCAACGGUUGGUGCCUUUUUGGACCAAUGAAGAGAUCCAUGGAUAUUGAGGCAAUGCAGCCUCCCAUGAUGAAGAAAAGUUCCAAGUACCUGAUUUUUGAAGUUGGAAACCAUGGCAAAGAUGUGUAGGAUUUUGGAUGGAGACAGUGAAGUCUGACAUGGUUAAGUAAAUGCCAGAGCCCAACUAGAAAGAAGCCGAAUCCAUGUCCCACCAAUUUGCCAUCUUGUUAUCCUGCUUUGGUUUGCCUUGCAAUUUUUGCUGCUUGGUUGAUAGUUUGCUUGGUUUGUGUGUUUUGUCCUACCAGAAAAGGAAAUAUGGAGGGUAUAGGAGGGGAAGAAAAGAAUGGAUCUCUACAAGUUAGAGAGGAAAAAGUAACGUGAAGGCAAGGAUAGGUUGGUUGGGAUGGUUUAUAAAGAAGGGAAUGGAGUAGGUGAACAGGUAAUCUGUACGAUUGUAUGGAAUUAUUAUAUUUUUUAUAAGAUUUGAUGUAUACUUAUAUUACCUUUUUUACACACAAAUUUUGUUUAUGUACAUCAAAAAUAUUGUAAGAGAUGUAUUUAUGCUAUCCAUUUAAUCUUGUAAGAAAUACGAUAAAUAGACAUAAUCGUAACGAAUCAUAAACGCUCCUAUUCGUGCGCCGGUGGGGUGGGGGUGGGCGGGAGAUUUGAAAUAUAUGUCAUUUUUCAAGGUCUUCAUGCUACUAUUUCUUCUUUGGGUGGAAAGCUUUUGAACAUUUUGAGGUACUCGUGACUGCAGCUUGCGUGAUUAGGAAAUGAGAUUGAGCAAAGAAGAGUUGACCGGGAACCGUUUGGCUGUUAUUUUCAAGUCAGUUGGCAAUUUUUAUUCUCUAGGGUUGAGCCAAUUUGCUGCCUGGAGAACAAAAUUGACAACUAAAAGUCAUAAUUGUCCUUCUUUUUUGCAUUAUCUUAUCACAAGGCAUGUUGAAAUAAUGAAACAAAAUCAAAACAUAGCCAAAACAAAAAAAAGUUGACAAGAAAGAAGAACAAAUAAUUCAAUUAUCAUACCGGCUAACUAAUCAUGCUAGGAAACGUGACAAAAUUUGUUAAGGAUAAAUUAACUAAAUUCUGGUUUACAUUUUUUAAAAUUUAACACUGAAAUUUGUAACAGUUUAAUUGCAUGCCAAGUUCUUUCGCCAGUCCAACUUUCUAGAUUUCACAAACUAAAGUGUCAUUGCACUAGUCUUUUGCAAUCUGUCAAUCAAUGGACCAAAGCAGAAUGAAUUGAAGAGUUUAGGUUAUAAAAUAUCCUAAAUAGAGAUUCAAGUCACAAAGUGAAAAUUGGUGUAAAAUUUAAACUGCGGUAUGAAAUUCUAACCCUUAAAUACUGUCAAGAACUACGCAGGGUUUUUUUUUUUUUUUUUUUUUCUAGAUUUUGAGGAAGUGAUUUUACAUUCGCAUAAAGUAUGAUUGGUUUCUUCACCAUAGAAUCAUCAGCUUGUGAUUAAGCAUCAAACUUAAAACACACAGGCAGCCAAGGCCCAACCAAAAAUAAAGACCAUUUUUUUUGGUUCAGAUGGAAUCAUAGAAGGCAAAGAUAUUGCAAUUAAAUCACCAGAAAACUUUUUUUUUGGGUCCCAUAACAAAAGUAAACUCAUGAUGGUAAUGCUGAAGAAGUAUAAUCUUAUCAAAGUUAAAGGAUGAUGCUAAACCAAAUAACUCGACUCGAGCUCGAAAACUACUCGAUCAACAGCUCAUAUUCAGCUCGUUUUGACCGAGUUCGAGUUCGAGCUACUCAUUUGAUCUCACAAGCCGAGCUUGAGCUCUAGUAUUUUGUACUAGAAGGCUCGACGAGUCUAAUCGAGUUUUUUACAAUAUAUAUUUUUAAAUUUUUUAAAUUUAUUAUUGUAAAAUGUCAAUAACAUCAUUUAUUUAAAAUUAUAUGUAAAAUAUUAAUUUUUAUUAUAUGAUAUUGAUUAGACUCGAAUAGGCUCGUCUAAACUCGAUUACACUCAAAUAGAUUGAUUGAACUUGAUUUGCCUUGAUUAGAUUUAAUUUAACUCGAACUCGAGUAAGGAAAACUAAAGUCGAAUUUGAGCUCGAACUCGACUUCUACAAGUUCGACGAGCUCGAACUCAGUUAUUUUACCUCAUUGAGGAAGAGUAACAAAUGACCCCGUCGCUAGCCCCUUCAACACAGCAAAAGACAACAAUUACAAUGCAAGGAUAAGUUUCCAAUUCAUCUGUAAAUGAAAAUCUAUCUCCAUAGACAAGACUCGGUUUCCAAAUCAAGUCUCGUUAGUUACUCCCACGUUGAACCACCUUUGUCACUUCUAUUCAAUGUGAGUUCAUGUGUUAGGACACAUCUUUCAAUCUGCUACACCCAUACUUGCAUACAGUUAGCGCGGUUAAAUAGAAAGCAAUGUACAUAAUAAUGGCAAAAGCAGCAGGAAAACAAAGGUUAAAACUGUUAUAUACUGCACAUAGCAGGCAUCAGAUAUAUCAGAGUUCCUUUCUGAUGGCUGUCAUUCUUUGCUCUUUUUUCCCCUUUUGAGCAAAAUAAGUAAUAAAUUCAGGUUGCAUAACAGUAUUACACAUUUGAGACAAUACCAUAUACAUCCCAAAAAAUCCGCACCAUGCCAAGAUAUUUCAGUAAGUAGGAAAUUUUGGAUCCACAUCAUGGGCCCAUGAUUGAAUGCCACCUAUUAUGUCCUUGGCAGAUGAAAAUCCCAUUUUGUGGAGAUAUUGAACAGCUCUUUGCGACUCAUUACCUCUUCUACAAACAACAUACAGGGAUGCAUUCGAAUCAGCGCUAUUCUUGCUCUCAUCCUUUUUUAUCAACGCUGAAGAUAUUUCAUGCAAUCUUGCUUCCAGACUCGGGAAGGGUAUGUUGAUGCAGUUGGGAAGUGAAACAAUCUUAUAGUGAUGAGCAGGUCUUACAUCUACCAGCACAUGUGGUUCUCCUUUAACAAUUCUCUCAUGGUACUCCUUGCUGCUAAUUCUGGCAUCCACUGGAAGCAGGCUCAACUUCAGAGGAGCCUGAAAUCAAUUGAAUAUUGCCAUUAGGAGCUUAGAUUCAGACUACUUCACUGGCAAAUCUCUUCAUAGUGUAAGAUCUGAAAAUUGAAGCUAACAAUUAGAAAUUAAACUUUUCAAAAAGAUUUUACCAAAUGAACACCAAUAUUCAUCUUAAGUGCUCCAUAAUGAUGUAGAGUGCAAUUUUCCAAAAUAAGGAAGACAUGAUUUCAUGGCAGAUUAUCAGGCUGGAACUAAAGUUUUAACUUAGCAGCUCCAGUUCUCUAUUUAUACAUGCCAUACUUCAAGUUUAUCCUAUUCAUCACGGAAUAAAGUCAUGAUAUAAGAGAGACACACCGUUGAGAAGGGAGUCUGAGUAAAGCAUUCAUAGUCAAACUCUUGAAACUGCUUUUCAGUCAGAGGUGCAUUUUCACCACAAGCUUCACAUUGUAAUGACCUUCCUCUAAUCUUCACCUGGUAAACAAAUAUGACAUCAUACGAAUAUUGGUUGGAAUCCCAAAAAAUUGAAUAAUGGCCACAAUACGGAAAUGCUGGAGCUACUACCAAUUUCCAUUUUUUGUCUAUUUAUUAGCCUCUGAAGAUGCACAAAUUUUGUGAUAAUGUAAUAUUAAUAGACACUGCAAUCUAGAGAUUAGCUUCCCCAUCAAUCUCAAUGCUUAAGACUGCAGCAUUAGGAAAACAGUUCCUAUAACAUCUAUCCAGACCAAGAAUUGUCUUCAUUCUAUUAUUAUCUUAUAGGAGCUACAAUUAUAUAGUCCUCCAAACUCAUAAAACUCAAUUUAUCCAGUCCUAACAAGAAACUUCAGAUACAAGGUGAUAGCACCACUAAUAGGUCCAGAUAGGUAAUAAUUGUACAUAUUACCGGCAAAAAAGUUUGUCACAAUAUGUAACUGAUACUAAAAACAAAAAAAACCAUGCACAUCAGAGGCUGAAUAGACAUCAAAGACCAAAAACAUACUAUACGAAUCCGGCCUGAAAUUGCAUCAAACAGAAGCAUCCGACCCGAGAAUGGAUCACCAACAGCACUUCCAAUCUUUAUGGCCUCCAAGGCUUGGAGACACCCAAUAAUACCAGGCACUGUGAAUAAUGGCACAAACAAAUGAAGAAAACUGAUGGUCUAUUGACAACUGGACUGAAUGUCCACUUAGGGAAGCACGAGUGUAAUAUGUUCUAGACUAACUUACCUACACCUAGAACUCCACUAUCAGCACAUCUUUGACAUGCUGUUGUAGGUGGUGGAGUUGGAAAUAAGCAUCUGUAACAUGGCCCACCAUUAUAGUUGUAUACCGUUAGCUACAUAAACAAUUGAAGAGUGUUAGUGUGAUAUGCCCAAGGAAUAAGUUGACAUCAACAUGAAUUAGCAUGUGACUUGUACCUGCCCUUCAAGUCCAAGUGCAGCUCCAGAUACAAGAGGCUAUCACAAAUAAGAAGUCCGUGGUAAAUAUACUUGCAUAUAAUCACAUUACGCUGUGAUCUCAGAUUUGUAAAUAAAAUCCUUGUGAGGUUGUCAUAAAAUCCAGCAAAGACACCAAUGCAAUUGAAACCACACAUUUAAUUAGCAUAUGAGAUCUAAAUACCAAAAGGUGGUAGAAUUUGCUUGAAGAAAUGCAUAAGAAAAAUAUGAUUUCUUUGAGUAAUCCCUAAAUGUAGUGUAAGAUAUUUUUGAACGCUUAUAAUAUUUACUUGCAUAAAACAUCAAACAUAAAGGAAAUGUUCAAAGAAAAAUUACCAUAAGAUAUUAACCUUUGCAGGAUAUCAGUGGCAAAGAUAAACAAGCAUUUGUACCUUUCCCAAAACAACACAGCAAUCAUUGAUCAGGUAACGGCUUGGAACAUUAUCUGUUGCAUCUACAACUAUGUCAUAUCUAUUGUUCAGUAAAAGUCAAGAAAAUCAUGAUUUUCGCCAGAAUGGAUUACACAAAUCAACAGAAAAAAUGGAUAACAUGUAUGAUGUGUGAAAAGUGUUUAUAAGUCAACUUUAUAUAUGUCCCCUUUGUGUGUGUGUGUGUGUGUAUCAACCAAGCACUAAACAAGGAUACUUUCUCACAAUCCCUAAUGCAUUUGUCGCACGAAAUGCUUCUGUGUGCUCCACAAUUUCAACAGUUGAAUUAAUCCUGAGAUUAAGAUAGUUAAGAACAGCUAUAUAACACAAACUCCUCCAAGGUCCAAAUACACAAUAGACGUUAACAGGACAAUGCAGUUUAACAUCAGAGGAAAAAAUUCAAUGAAAAGCAACAUACGCACGACAAGCAGCAGCAGCAGACUCCACCUUCGGCCUUCCAAUAUAAGCUUCAGUAUGAAUAAUCUGAACCACAUAAAAAUGAAAUCAGCAUCAUUAUCAGAUCUGGUUGCAAUAGAAAUAAACAACUAGCUUAAAAUUUUGUAGGCCAACAAACAAAGUCAUUCAAAUUUACCUGCCUAUGGAGAUUGUUAAGUUCAACCAUAUCAUGGUCAACAAUACCUAUUCGACCUGCAAAGUUUGGUCAUGAUCAAAUCAACUGCAACUCUAACUGAAAAAAUUAAUCUUUAUUCAAUUUCAGGCACGAACAUUUCUUUCCAGAGAAAAUUAGUAAAAGGAGACGCAGUUUUGGACUAUUUGUCAUAAAGGGCAUAUGAACAAACUUCUGUAUACAUGUACAACAAAGUGUAUUACGAGUGUGCACAAAUGGCCCUCAUGAGAAAGUAGCUUUAAAGCUCCAAGGGCCCCCCUUUUCAACUGCUCCCCGUUUUUCUUGAAAGAAAUUUAGAAGUGGGUGCCGGGCGACCAUCAAUGAAGCCCCUUAACUAUUUGCCAAAAUUCAGUCCUGAUACAGACAUAAACAUCUUACCAAAACCACAAGCCGCAAGAUAUAACAGCGCAGGUGAACCAAGUCCUCCAGCUCCAAUAACUAACACUGAUGAUUUCAAGAGAUUUGCCUGCCCUGCAACCAAUCAAACAACCAAGCAAAACUAUCAAAGAAAUCCCAGCAAAGAUAUGACUACACUACCGUCGUUUCUCUCCUCCUUCCCAAAGCUUACCUUGGACUCCAAAUGCAGGGAGCAAGAGUUGUCGGCUGUAUCUGUAAAUCAUAUCCGAAGCCAAUCCAUGUCCAGAGUCAAAACUACCGUUCUCCGACGGCAAAAUUAAACACGAACUCGAACCAUUUGAAUUCACCUCAUCCUCUUCUGCUUUUCUGCAAUUAUUCUCGUCACAAUUAAGUUGUUGGAGCUGAGCUUCCAGAUCUGAUAUCUGCCGCUCUAUUUCGUCCUUUGAGGAUCGCAGAGACUCGAUUUGACGUAGAAUUUCAGAAGCUUGUGGUCUUCCAUUAGACUCCAUACCCGCCUGCAGAGUUCGGAAAUUUUUUGAAGAUGAUCAAAUUUUAUGUAUGAAUUCUUGAAGUCUUCUGAGCAUUAUAUCAAACAAGUGGAAGGCAAUUCCGAAAAACUCCUAUUUUGGACAUUGAUUGGAGAGUGGGGAAUCCCGGACGUAUGUUUUGACAGAUAGCGAAGUGUGUAUAGAUAAGAUAGCGAUAAGAUAGCAAAAUAUGGAAGCUGGGUCCUGUCACUGUCUAAGCACUGAUUUUGUCCAUCAACAGAAAUAGUAGUGCUGUUCAUUCCAAGGGUUUUGGGGUUAAGAGUGACUGGAGGGGAGGUCCUCUACUAUUUUGCUUUCUCUAAAAAACCCUUCCUUUUAUUUAUUUGGGUUAAUUACACUAAGACCUCUUAUAAAUUUGGAUGAUUUAUAUUUUGCUACCCACAAGUUUUUAAAUAUGCCCAUCUUUGAUGUUUCUUGACUGGAAUAGAAUCAGCUUAGGUUCCAUUUGUUUGUAUUGUUUCUCAAAAGCACUGUUCCUACAAAAUGUUUAGAAUUUUAGUUGGUAAAAUGCCCCAUAAGUCAUCAAAAUUUUUUAAAGUCUCGUAUAGCUCACUAUGUUAUUUUUUCCCAUCAAUUGAUGAAACUCACAACAUGUGAGCGUCGCGUGGCAUAAUUGAAGUUGGCAGCAAAAAUUGACCAAAUUCAGCAUAUUUUCGUCACUCCGUGGAUGAAAGACAACAUAAUGUGUUAAAUGAAAUUUUAGAAAAGUUUAAUGACCAUAGCUACAAUCAGUUGUGAAGACAGGAUUUUUAGGUUGGGAAAAAAAUUUGUAAGUAAUAAACUUGCUAUUCGAUGAGUGUCAUUUAUAGAAUUAUAUAGAUUGUAGCAUAUUUUUUUUUGUUUCUGCUCUUUGCUUGAUUAUCUAGUCUUAAAUUAAGUUUCUCUUUAAACAAGGUCAUCCUUAAUGAAAGAUGAUUUUGUGGUAACAAUGAUAGCAAUAAAUUAUAUUAAAUAGAACGAGGAAGUUUUGUAUUAAAUAAGAAUUAAUCUUUGCACUUUAACCUUGUAUACAUGCUACUUAAUUUUAGUUGGAACUUGAAUUUCUCAUUUUGCACAAGUGAUAUGCAUUACAGGUUGAUAAUGAAUGUACUCUCAAUGUAUAUAAAAUUAAUCCAUUAAAUAAAGGGUUAUUAUCACUUUACCCCCUUAAACUAUAUCACUACUAUCAGUUUACCCCUUAACGUGAUCUUUUAGUCACUUUAUCCCCAUAAGUAAUUCAACUCAACAUGUUAAGAAAUUUUGAACAAAAUACCCUUUAAUUUUAUAGCAUUACUAUAUUGUUAUUAUCACUUUAUUCGUUUGGAUUAUAGUGAUACAAUCACUUUAGUUCCUAACAUUAUUUUCUAGGCAUUUUACCUCAUCAUUAAUCUAAUUAGUAUGGUCAAAAAAUUUUAAAUAUAUUUACCCUUUUUAUAUAUAAUUAAAAAUAAAAAAAUUGGAAUGGUUAUUCUUCCUUUUUUUUCACUUUAAGAGAUCGAAAAACAUAAAAAUAAAAGAAUAUUCUCAAAUUUCUUUUUUUUACACUUACUAAUACUAGGAAAAGAAAAAGGGAUAGGAAAGAAGGAGACAAAAAAUUAGAUUUUGCAAAACAAGAAAAUAAAAAAAGUCUAACAUUAUCGUAUUACUUUAAAGUUGUCGAGAUUAAAAUUGGAAUUUGAUGGUAAACAAAAAAGGUGAAAUAAUUUUAAAAUAAUAAAAGUAUUUAAUUCUUUAUUAUUUGUAAAUUUAAAAAAAAAAAAAAGAAUUGAGCUCUCUCUGUCCCCCUCUCCCUCUCCAUCUUUCUAUUUUUUUCAAUAUUAAUAAGAUUACCAAGAAGAAAGAAAUUAAUGCUUUGAAUUUUUUCUUAAUACUAAAAAGGAGAAGAAUCAUUCUAAAUUUAUUAUUAUUUUUAUUAUGCAAAGAGAAGGGUAUUUUCUUCUAAAGUUUUUUAACUUGGUAAAUUGGUUUAAUGGUCGGAUAAAUUGUCUAAAAAAUAACUCUAGAGGGGUAAAUUGAUAAUGAGACUAUAUUUUAUGGGGGUAAAGUGAUAAUAAUUUUAAGGGUUAAACAUAUCUUUUUACUUUAAUUAAGGGUUAAACACAUUUUAUCCCCUUAAAGAAUACCCCAUUUCUCAGUUUACCCCCUAACCUUUAAUUUAACUCACUUAACCCCCUUUAGAACAAAAAUGCCCUUGCAUUAUUUUGACUUUUCAUUUACCUUGUUUUCCUUUCUUUUAUUUCUUUUUCUCUUUUUUCUUUAUUUAAUUCUUCCUCUUUCCCACAAAAAUCUUCACCUUAAUGAUUGAAAUUAAAAAAGAGGAAUUGCAGAGAUCUAUCUUCUCCUUAAAUGAUUAAAAAAUAUUCAAAUCACUUUCCUAAAAUACAAUUUUUUUUAGCCUUUCAAUUCUUUUAAUUUUGGGUUUUCCUCUUUCCUUUCUAGUUUCUCAUUUUAUUCCCAAGAAAAUAUCUUAAGAUGCAAUUGUGACCUGAUUAAUAAUCAUCAAUUGAAAUUUGUGACACGUGGCAUCAUACAAAAAAUCAAAAUUAGUUUUUGAUACCUUUUAAAUCUUCACCCAGAAAUAUGCAAUUACAAACUCAAAACAAAAAUUUUCGUUGAAAUUGAAUUUCUAUUGGGAAGGAUGAAAGAGAGAAGAAAGAGAAAAAGAAAUAAAAGAAAGAAAAACAAUUUCAUCUUUUGAUAUUUUCUUGAGAAUAAAAUGAGAAACUAGAAAGAAAAGAGGAAAACCCAAAAUUAAAAGAAUUGAAAGGCUAAAAAAAUUGUAUUUUAGGAAAGUGAUUUGAAUAUAUUUUUAAUCAUUUAAGGAGAAGAUAAAUCUCUGCAAUUCCUCUUUUUUAAUUUCAAUCAUUAAGGUGAAGAUUUUUGUGGGAAAGAGGAAGAAUUAAAUAAAGAAGAAAGAGAAAAAGAAAGAAAAACAAGGUAAAUGAAAAGUCAAAAUAAUGCAAGGGCAAUUUUGUCCUAAAGGGGGUUAAGUGAGCAAAAUUAAAGGUUAGGGGGUAAACUGAGAAAUGGGAUAUUUUUUAAGGAGAUAAAAUGUGAUUAACCCUUUAAUUAACAAAUUCCGUUAAGUUUGACCGUUAGUUUUAGGGGUAAAGUGACUAAAAGAUAACGUUAAGGGGAAAAUUGAUAGUAGCACCAAACGUUAAGGGGAUAAAGUGAUAAUCACCCUUAAAUAAAAGGAUAAAAAGAUGCAUUGACAUUAGAGCUGUUAAACGAACCAAGCUGUUCGGUAGCUCGGUUCGUUUCGGCUCGUUCGUGUUCGUGAAAGGCUCGUUCGAAAUUUUAAACGAACUGAGUUCGAACGAAUUUUUUUGUUCGAUUAAUAAUCGAGCGAACACGAGCAUGUUCGCGAGUUUUAACGAACGUUCGUGAACAUGCUAAACAAACGUUCGCGAACACGAACAUGUUCGCGAGUUUUAACGAAUGUUCGCGAACAUAGACAUAAUUAUCAUUUGACAAAUUUUAGGAUUAAUUUUAUGGCUGGACUUUUAUAUUUGGAGGGCAAAUUUCUUUGUUUUAUUUGUUGUUUUUAUGUUAAUGUUAGUUAUAUAGUUAAUGAAUAAUAUAAUUUAGUCACUUAGUGCUUUAAUUAUUUUUGAGAAUGAUUAAUAAUUUGCAUGGCAUAUUUAAGGCAUAAAAUAAAUUGGAUUCGAACAUUUCGAACAUGUUCGCGAACGGCUCGUUUAUGUUAAACGAGCCGAACUCGAAUUCGAAUUCGAACACGAAUUUUACUUAACGAACCGAACACGAACACGGGUUUGGAGUUCAAAAAUUAACGAACGAACACGAAUGUUGUUCAAACUGCUUAACGAACAGAGCUCAAACAUGAGAUACUAGGUUCGAUUCGGUUCGUUUACAGCUCUAAUUGACAUAACUACUCAUUUUUCUAUCUUCUCUUUCUUACCAUUCUAAGGGAAAAAAUGUUAAAAAUAUAUCUUGACUGCCUCUAAUUUCAAAUUCUUAAGAAUAUUUAUAUCUAAAAGUCUUGAGCCAAAAGUACACAAACAUCAUAAGUAAUUAGCUAUAAAUGUUCAUUCUACACGUUUAUGAGUAGAUAUUUUAGAGUAUAUACAAUUUUUAUCAUUAUCGAUUUCAAAUAAGAGAGAGUGCAUAAGUACAUUUGAUAGAUCAACAUAAAAAAUAUAAGACGAAAUAAGAUGUGCACAACUAUUAAGAGAUUUUGCUUGUGUCAAUUGAUGAUAGUCUAAGAGAGGGCAAGGUGUAAGGCUAAAACAUGUAUAAGAAGUUAAAUGCUAUAGAUUUGCUAACUAAACAGCAAUAGAAAAAUAAAAAUAAAGAGCUCGACUCUAUUUGGAUUGCUUGUUUUUCAAAUAAAAUAUUAAUGACACUUUAAAAAUACCAUAAACAACACUCUAGAUGCAGUAUCAAAUUACAUAAAUAAAAAUAACAAUCUUACCACCUCUUUCUUCUUCUAUCACUACCUACCACUGCCGCCACCCCUCCCCUCCUCUCUUCUCUACCGCCACCACUGCCCCUUUCCCCUCCAUCUGCCUCCCCCUUCUUCCUCCUUUCUUCUCUUCCCUCUUCCUCUUUCUUCCUUCCACUGCUUCCUCCUCCUUUUCCCUCCCUUCCCUCCCCUCCCUCCCUUUCCUUGCAAUCUCCCUCCCCCUCUAGUGGCAAUAGUGACUAGAUCUGGUCAUAGCCACCACUAAAUUGUGAUGUGAGGUUUUUGAGAAAUAAAUAGUGAGAUUUUGUUGCCUCGACUAAAAAAAGGCUAUUGGCCAUUAUUUCUAGUUCAUUAUCCUAUUCAUUAUUCUUGUGCCUUAAAUUAAUUUGUUUGUUUCCAUUGAGCUAGCAAGUUAGUGUAAAACUCAAGUCCCUUCUCAAUUUAUACUUUACUCAAUUAAUUAAAUGGUAAAUUGCCAUGGGUAAAGGUAAAAAUAAUUGUAGGAUAGGUUAAAGGGUUAAGUGGGAGAUAGGAAGGAGAUAAGAUAGGAUGAGAGUCACAACAAAUUAAAAUUCUUAUCUAAACCACCAAGUAGUGAGUGGUUACUAGGGUUUAGAACAUUUAUCAAAAUAACACAGGAAAAAAAUAACACUGUUCCUACUUUUCAUUUGUCUGCCUCCCUUUAGAGCAAGAAUCAACUAAGAAUAGAGGAGAAGAAGAAAACGUUGCCGUCCAACUAGCAGGCAAUUAAACGUCUAAACUUGUAAGUCCCAAAAGCGCGUGAAAGUUUUUCUCUUAAAUCUUAUUAAUUCCAUGAAUUAUUUUAAAUAUUUUAUGUAUAUUCAUAUCGUAAUAUAUUUAUGCCUGCCUGAAAAAUUUAGGAAGAUUCAUGCUCGGAUUUGUGAGAAUAGUGUAUUAAAUUAUAAUUAUGGGAUGAUUAGAGUUUACCCAAAUUUGUUGGAAAGAAAAAAAAAAAAGAAGAGAGGGAGUAGCAGCAUUGUAGACCGUUGCUGCUAUUGUGCGUCGUUGCUGAAGCUUUGACUUCAGCAACACAAAAAAAAAAAGAGGCAAAGGUUGCCAGUUAGCAACCCCGAAGAAAACAAGGGGUCGCCAGCAACUUGCUGGCGACAUGGCCGAAAGAAAAAAAAAGGAGCAAAGGAGGGUCUGAUGACCCUCCUCUUUUCAUUAGCCAAAAAGGUCGGCCCUUUGAAGGAAAAAAAAAAAGAUUAUGAACUAUGAAUAAAAAAAUAAUAAUAAAAAUAAUAAAUAUAUAUAUAUAUGGCAAGUAUACUUGGGCCAAAAUAUAGUAUAGGUUUAGUGAAUGUUCAGAAGAUAAAUUUUAAAUAUAACUAACUCACCUUUAUAACUUAUCAUGGGUAUUAAAUUUCAAAACCCAAGCUAAAAAUAAUUUUUAGAGUUUCAAGAUUGAGUCAUCUAAGCUUAUACUUAAUUCAUUAAGUCUAAAAUAAUUAAAUAGAAAUCUAAAACAUCUUAAUCUCGCAUUACUAGAUCAAUUUAUACAAUGUAGAAUAAGUCCUAGAUUGUUAAACGAAACACGUAAAAUCAUAAUAAUGAUAAUAAUAAUAAUAAUAAUAAUAAUAAUAAUGAUAACACUAAUAGUAAUAAUAAUAAUAAUAACAACAAUAUAGAUAUAGAUGAAGUAAAUUAAAGAUAUAAACAAAAAUUAAAUGAAAAGAUAAAUAUAAGUGGAAUAAACUAAGACAAUAAUUAUAAUAAUAAAUCAAUAUGUACAUAUAUAUACAUAUAGAUAUAAAUAAUAAUAACACAUGCACAUGCACAAAAAUGGAAGUAAAACAAAAGAUAAUAGUAACUAAUUAACAAAUACAUAUAUAAAAUGAUAAUAAAAUAAAAUAGUGAUGACAAGGAUAAAAACAAUAACAAUGAAUAAUAAUAUAUAUAUAUAUAUGUAUAGAUAAAUACGUAUAAUGGUCAAGAUAAUAAAUUUGAUUAUGAAUAAUUAUUUCUAAAUUAGGAAACUUUACGAAAAAGAGAACUUUCCAAAAAUGCAAACUUUCCAAAAAUAAAAACUUCUUAAUUUAGGAAACCUCUGCUAAAGUUCAAAUAAUGGUCUAGACAUUAAUCUUAAAUUUACUCAGAGUAUGUAUAUUUAUGCAUCUAUAGGAAAUAUCAACUAAUUAGAAAAUCUAUGCAUUUGAUAAGUACGACACAAGUUUAAAAGAUCUAAAAUAGUUCCAUUCGAACAGCCAGACAAAGGUAGGUGGUAUUUACUCUUUUGAGAUUUCAAAAGUGCAAAAUGACAUUCUUGUUGUCAAUCAUAUUUUGUUGUGUUGACUCGAAAUGUAUUUGAUUAAAUGUUUUACUAGGAUAUUUAUGCAAGUUCUACUUUUAGUAUACGAAAAUAGACCAUGUGACUUAUUUGAAACAUUUUGAUAUGUUAUUAUAUACCAAAUGAGUUGUAUCUUUUAUGCAAUCAAAGAACUAUGUAUAUGAUGUGUGAAAUGAAUUUAUGUUAAGUAAAACUCAAAACAGUCAUGCAAUAGACGGUAGAAGCUAUUGUGAGGACUCGAAAAUUCUAUUAUUCUUAAAAUCCCUAAUUUUGGCUAAAUUAAUUAUUUAUUUGGAUUUUUGCCACGAAUAAUAUUUUCUAGCCUUAUUAGACCUAAGUACAUGGUUUUAUAGUUUCGUUAUAUUUUUAAAGUGUCUCAUUUCAAAAAAAUUAUUUUCUUAAAAGCUUGAUUAGAAAAAAAAAAGAAAAAAAGUGAGAACGUGUCUAAACACUUUAGCCAAUUGGGAGUGCAAUAAGCUCAAAAAUUUGAGAUAUAUACAAUGGUCCUAAAAUAGGCAAUUUUAGGUUUAAAAACUCAAGUGAUAGUUGGUAGUACGAUUGUUCUAAGAAUUUCUCGAAGGUUUCAUUUUAUUGCGCCUAAAUUGGAAAUACGUGUUUUCACGUGCGCGCUUAAUUGAGGGACUUUGGACAAUUAUUUUGGAACAAUUAAGAAUGAAUAAUAUUUAUAUGAAUGUAAGUGCCCUAGAGGUUUAGUGCACUAGUGCAACAAACUUAAGAGAAAUCGAACACAAAACGCGCGCGUAGGCGCACUAGUUGCAAUUGAUUUUUACGUACUUAAAAUAUUACACGAGUAGCGUUCCUUAUACGCCAAAGGAUCAGCAAACUAUUUCCUUUCUUCAAGCUCCUUGGACGGCUAGCAGCUGCAAAGAAACAACCAAAAACUUUCAACAUUCCCUCUACAAAUCUUACUCAAUCUACCAAACUCUCAAAAAAAUUCAACUACAUCUACCUCAACACUUGGGAAGUCCAUUUAGCUGCAAAAGGAAGGAACUAUCCACGGUUUUCUUCAAGCUUCAAAAGGGCCGAAACUUCUGUCUUGACCAACCAUCAAAGUAGGUAAUGAUCUAAUACCUUAAACUUGUCCUAUGGAAGUUAAAUUACACUUAUAAGCUUGAAUUUGCAUAUGGGUUGUGGUUGAUGUUGGAGAAAUUGGAAAAGUGGGCUCUAUGAAUUUCUACUCUUGGGUUGUUGCUGAUUUUGUGCUUGAUGAUGUUUAUAAUGUUGGAUUAGUGUUUAAGUUAGUGGUUUGUUGAAGGAAAAUUUGCUGGAAACUCACGUUGGGUGCAAAGGCCAAAUCUGACCAUUUUGCCCCUGCUUUGUUCGGCCACUUUAAUGCAGAAAUUUGAGGAUUUAAUGGCUUGAUUGUGUUGUUUACAUGUUAUAGAAGUUGUGUACAAAUUUUCAGUGAAAAAUGUGAGUUUUGGUUGAUCAAAAGAAUUUAUUUCCCAAAGCUGGUAAUCUGGAAACGGUUGCCGUCGUAACCAAACCAGUGUUCGUAUUUCGUCCAUAACUCCGUACUCCGACGUCGAAAUCAAGUGCCGUUAGCGGCAUUUGAAAUUAGACGUUCCCAUAUUUCCAACGGUAUAUAAUGCACAUUCUGGUUCCAUGUGUGUGAACCGCACCACUCUUCUGAAUUCAGCUGCCCUGUUUCUCCGUUCUGCCGAAAUGAUUUGAUGAUGCUGUAACUUUAGGCUUAAUUUCGAGCCAGUUGCAUGCUGAAACUUAAAACGAUUUCUUCUGUGAAAUUUUAUCCCUAUGAAUGCAUUUUCCAACACUAUCAACCAUUCCCAAUUCCGAGCUAAAUUGAGUGAUUUAUGAUCAAAAUACGACGACUGCCUCGUCUUUGAAAACUCUUCGAUUUGGACAGAUUAGAUGUGAGACUUGUUGUGGUCUUACUAAAUGAAUUUCUUGGUGCUAAACACCUACUAAAAGUACCAUGUAUGUUCCUUAGACCUUUCUUGCACAAAUGAACCAUGUUUGGAGGUUUUUCCUUAGCCGAAUGUUUGGAAACGGAGAGAAAGAGAGCUAAAGGCAGUUUGGCCUUAGUAAUUUCAAACUUUGGUUGAUUGGUUAACCACCUUCCCGAAGGUAAUUUUCCACGAAAUUUGAUAGAGAGAUACCCUUCAUAUAGGAGUAUUAUACUACAAAAUUUGGUAUCAAUCCAAGUCCGUUUCGACACUUAACUAAAGGUCCAAAGUCGGAACCAAAUCUGGAAAUUUGUUAACAGUCUUGAAAUUUACCCAACUUUGAGCUACCAUAUCUUGGUGCUCGAAACUCCGAUUCUCGAUCCGCUUGUUCUGACCUAAACCUUACUUGCACCUCUAAUUGAGAUAUAAAUUUCAAGGGCUGGUUUGCAACGAGUGAAUUCUACCGAAUUUUCAAAGUUAGCGAAAAACCAACUCCGGCUCAAUCCUGGGUGAUUUGGAAUAGCAACUUUAAGCUCAUUUUUGGAGCACUUUCCACUUCGAUUCAUGGAAAAGUGUCUUCUAGGAACUUGUAGUACUUUCUAAGAGGUUUCCAACGAUAUAAAGUUUUCCAAUUCUUGACUUAUACCGAGUGAGUUACGAUUUUUCAAAAAUUCAUAACAAAAUUGAAAUUUUCCAACUUUCAAAGAAAUAGAGUUUUUCAAGAACCCUUUAUUCUUUUGAUAUUGUGACAGCCCCACCUCACCCUAAGGCGAACCAAAGGGUUCAGCGGACCGCCUGCCCAACUCUCGCCAGGACUACGGAGUCGAAUCACACAAAUCCGAUAUUACGCGAGAGGACCCAAAAGAAAUGAGCGAUUGAAGACCGCCAAGCUUAAACAUGGGGAAAACGCUUUCAUAUAUACAUGUCACUAGGUUUACAAUUCAAAUGGAACCAGUGAAACGGAAUACAUUUAGGGUUUGCUCAUUCUCGAGGAGCUAUACAAAAGAACAAAAGAUUUUCUAACUAGCUCAACUCGCUUCUCAAAAUCAUGAUUUCCAAAAGAGGUUCCUGUAAGGAAAACAAAGAUAACGAGGAGGGGGUGAGCUUACGCCCAAUGAGGUACCAAACAUGUAGCAGAAAAAUCAGGUAUUUCACGUUAUACAAAACCAGAUACACAUGCUCGCUAUAAAGUAAGACAGGUAAACACAAGAACUCAAAUAGGAAGGAUACAGGUGGCUCUCAGGAGCCAGCUUUCCAGCGCAGUACUUGAUCCAAGCCGGUUGACUCUCCGUCAACGUAUAUAGAACCAACACGUCCGUAGACCCCACUUUACACCAAAUUCCGUCCACCAAACACCCCUUUACCGGGCCCGCUCACCUCAACAGAAACAGAAAUGGUAAUACUCGAGUAUACCGGAAUCAAGGGUCUCAAUACCCAAAGAUCCCAAAACAGACUACCGUGGUUCGUUAUCUAAUCGUCCAGGCCCUUGCCGGCCCGACUCGAAUAACUUAGCCACAGGAUUUGAGUUCAUAGGUCACAGAUACAGAUACAGAUACAGAUUCAGAUUGACACCAAAAUUGGCAUAUGAACAGACAAGAGAACGAGUGCGAUAAAGUACACCCUCGUCUCAAACAAAUUAAACAGAUUGCAGAGCAGAAAUCAAGUUAAACAGCAAUGGAGGGGAGUGGUACACCCACCGGUUCAAGUACAGAUACCUCAAAAGUUUUCACUUCGGAUUGGCUUUAAUCGCCAAGAAAUCCUAAAAUAAUCAAAGUAAACCAAUUGAAGGUUUCACAUCCAGAAUCGAGUAAACAAAAUACACAUGUGAGGCUCGACUACUAGUCGUAUGCCUCGCCAAAUAAUUACUAAUGCAAGGGUACAAAACAUGAUUUUUGGGAAUAAAAAGGUAACAUGAAGACCUAGGUUCAACAACCCAAAAGCCCUUCAUUUCUAUCACAAGCCAAUUCAAACUUAAAGGAACCAAUUGGCCUAGAAAAAAUUGGACAGCACUUCCCUUAAAUUUCUUACUUUUUCAGCCAUCACGGCUUCAUUAUUUUCCUCAAUCAACUCCCAAAGUCAUACUCAAUAUACAUUCAUCACCACAGCCGUUCAAUAGGCUCAAGGUUAUCCAAGUACAAAAGUUAGCUAGGAAAAUGACCGAAAAUAAAAGUCAAGCCCUAGAAUAUUCCACUAAGCACAAGAAGACUCGAUUACAAGUCACAAACCGAUGCCAACACAAUCACAAUAGGGUUCCAUAAGCAUAUAUAAGCAUUAGAGGAAACCAGAAAUUUCGGAAAUGUAACUAGCUUUGGCCCUGAAAAAAAUAGUUUUUGUCCUCAUUUUACGGUAAUGGCAAAAAUUUCACUACGCUUAUCGGAUGAGGGUGAAAGACCCACCAUCUCGAAGCUAAAAGACAGGGUUACAAUAUCACAGAAGGUCACUAAACCCAGUUUUGAGUGCAAAUAGGUCAAAAAUGCAGGAUACUACAUCAACAACGUAAAACAGAUUCACCAAAACGCAUUCUAGCGGAAACAUCAUAACUCAGGCUCUACAAGUCCAAAUCCAGAAAUUCAAAAACCAUCUGAAAGAUAAGAAACAGGGAUAAAUUUAAUCAGAAGGUCUCAACAACCAAUUCGGAAGCAAUUCCAGCCAAAACAACCCAUUACAGGCGCAAUUCUUACAUUCGGGUAAAACCAGAACAGCAAUAGUAAUUUUGACUUUUCUCAUUCUACACUACUUCGAUUGACCUGAAAUUUUGUAGACACCUCUAAAAUGUUAUUCCCUACAACUUUCAUGUUUUGAGCUAAGGCCAAUUCGGCCUCUAUCUAGGACCUAAAAAUUCGGACAGAAUGCUCCCUUAAGAACCCUAGUUUUCUGAAAUUUCUUCCAAACCAGAAAUUGGCUGCAAUUAAUCACUUUUUCCACCUCCUAGAGUCAUUAUAUACCAUUUCCAAUCAUCAUAUAUAGCCACACAAUCAUGCUUAUAUUAAUGCAGAAAAAUCCCCAAAAAUAAUAAAACUUCAUCAUUUCAACCACAAAUCAAAAAUUAAUCCAUAAACUUGCAUCUUAUACUACCACUAAGCAUGAUUUAAGCAUCAAUUAAAGGAGGAGGGUGGUUCUUCACAACUUACCUUAGAAACAAGAGAGAGAGAGAGUUAUUGGUCACCUUAACUUUCCAAAAAACUUCACACAACAACUCACCAACACUUCCUUAAGUGGUUUUAUGGAGCAAAAUCAAGGUUGGAUGGUUGGUUUUGGUGAUUUGGAACAAGAUUGAAGUGUUUUCUUCCUUGUGCUUGGAGUAAGAGAGAGAGAAAGAGAGCAAGAGAGGGCCGGCUUCAAGGAGGAUUUUUUUGAGGAUUUUUGGGUCAAUUUUGGUUAUUUAAGUCAAUGGUAAGAAAGGUCUUAAGGCAAGCCCAAUCAAAUGGUGACACUUGUCACCUUUUAUUAACUCUCUACCUAACUUGUCUCUCUCAUAUCAAUCCAAAUUGCACCCUCCACUUAUCUCUUAACACCCGGUAAAUUCAUUCCAGUAUUCAAAACUUAAUCUAGUUGGCCGAAUUUUUUCGAACUUUUCGCACUAGUGGAUCCCACGUCCGGUAUACGCUCUUAAUUCCUCAAAAACUAACCGAUACUAGAAAAAUCAUUUAAAAGCUAUAUUUACUCAUAAAAUUUAUUUGCACAAUGUUUCGAAUAAAGAAAAGGUGGAAAAACGUAUAAUUAAAAGAAAUUAAAACCUAGAAAUUAAGAAAAUUACGGGUCCUCACACUUUCUCCCCCUUAAAGAAAUUUCGUCCUCGAAAUUUUCUUAUCAGCGGAAUCCAUCAAAUCUAAGGUACCCAAUAGAUCGUACCUUCUACGUCCUCAGACGAGUCAGGGACCAGAUGAUGCUCCAGGGAAUAUAUUCGAGCCGGUACUUUCGCUCCAGUCCCUUCUCCUUUCGACUGUACAGGGUUGGUCUUGGCUGGUUGCUGAGAGUUAGUCUUGGUUGGUGGCGGAGUCCCUCUCCGCUCGCGCAGGCGAGCUGGACAGUUAGCAAUUCGAUGUUCAGCGCUUCCACAGCGCAAGCAUUUUCCUUCUUUCUUUCAGCAAUUGGUUUCAAUAUGAUUUGGCCCUCCACAAUAUCCACAAGAACCACGAGUAGCAGAGACUGAUCCCCCAUGUGGAACACCACCUGUCACCCCCGGUAGCCGUACUUCCCCGUUUCCCUUUCGAACUUUAGGGAUUGUACUAUUAUCCGCUUGUUCUGAGCUGCUCCCCGGAAAGCCCCUUUUUCUUGUUUGGAAGUUUCUAACUUGUAACCUUGCAGUUUCAACGCGCUGGGCCUUCUCCACCGCAUCACUAAAGGCAUUAAGUUGGGCUACCGCCAGAUCUUUUUGAAUUUCAACAUUUAAUCCCUGGAUGAAUCGCCUUAUCCGUCUUUGUUCAGUUACAAUCAGUUCGGGCGCAAACUUAGACAACCGAGUGAAUUGACUCUCAUACUCGACUACGGUCUGAGUUCCUUGGCGAAGCCGAAUAAAUUCAUCUUCCUUCUUUUCUUGGAUUAGAGGAGGGAAAAACUUGGCAUUAAAUUCCCUCAUAAAGUUCGCCCACGUCCUCGGGGUUUGUUCUCUUUCCCAUUUCAUUCGAAUGACAUUCCACCAGGAACGGGCGGCUCCCUCUAGUUGAAAGACAGCAAAUGUUACCUGUCUCUACUCAGUAUAGUGUAAGGCAGCGAAAAUAUCGAUCAUCUUCUCUAGCCACUUCUCAGCUACGUCAGGAUCAGGGCCUCCAAGAAAUUUGGGUGGGGAGAACUUCUGAAAUCUCUCAAGGGCUCUAUCCUCGCCCUCUAUGUGAUUACCAGGAUUCCCAGGGUUGGGGUUAGGGUUUUGACCUUGUUGGUGCACCACUUGGGCUAGCAAAUCAGUCAUUUGCUGCAUGGCAGCAGCUAUUUGGACAUUGGGGUCAACCCUAGGUUCAGGGUUUGGUUUAUAUGAGGUUUCUCCAGUGCGCCUCUCAGAUAUAGGUUGCCUAAUUCCACGCCCGCGGCCCCGUCCACUACGAGUGCCUUCCAUUGGUCUAAUAAAUCUAGGGUCGAAGCGGGAAUAUAAUAUUAAACAUAGGUAGGCAAAAGCAAGUAGCAAAAGGUACGCACAGAUCAAAAGUAUACAUAUAUAACAUAACUGUAUCAAAUAAGCCACACAAUAGCAAUCAAUUAGAUACAAAUCCAUGAAAAUAGCAGGGUUAUCCAAAAGUACUAUAGACACACUAGGUCACAAGUACAAGAAUAACUAACGAAAAUCUUUUCCCCUCUAAGGCUCCGUCCUUAAUCGACGAGAACAACACCAUUGAUAUCCUAAUCAAGGUUGAUCAUGCUUAACAACACCCGAACAGACUGCACGAAGUUCCAUCGAAUCACAUUGCUAGUUCGCCCAAGUCCUUUCUAACCUAGGCCCUCAUCUCUUUCGUAUCCGGGCGCAAGAAUCCCAUCUAAGAUAAUUCACAACUCGAGCCGGCCGGUCCCAAGCGUAAAUCAUCCAUACUAAAGAUUCCUACCCGACAUACUUAUCUGUCGUCCUCAAGUUCCACAAUAAAGACUUUUACACUUAUAACAUGCCCCAUUCAUAACAUACGCUCAAACGAGCACUUAGACAUAUCCAUGAAAUCAGGACAUAACACCACUUGGCCCUAGGCUCACUCCGCGCAGAGACCAUGCGAAGUGGCUCUGAUACCACCUGUGACAGUUCUCAGGGUCACAUCACAAGGUACCUAUCAGCUUGCCACCCGCACGCGGGCAUCCCCUACGGAGAGUUUCGCUUCGUGACUCUUCACGAACGAGAGGCUCGGGGCUUUUCCAGUAAAAGGACGUAGAGUCCCAACCAUUGGCAUAUGGCUCUGAUACCACCUGUGACAGCCCCACCUCACCCUAAGGCGAACCAAAGGAUUCAGCGGACCGCCUGCCCAGCUCUCGCCAGGACUACGGAGUCGAAUCACACAAAUCCGAUAUUACGUGAGAGGACCCAAAAGAAAUGAGCGAUUGAAGACCGCCAAGCUUAAACAUGGGGAAAACGCUUUCAUAUAUACAUGUCACUAGGUUUACAAUUCAAAUGGAACCAGUGAAACGAAAUACAUUUAGGGUUUGCUCAUUCUCGAGGAGCUAUACAAAAGAACAAAAGAUUUUCUAACUAGCUCAACUCGCUUCUCAAAAUCAUGAUUUCCAAAAGAGAUUCCUGUAAGGAAAACAAAGAUAACGAGGAGGGGGUGAGCUUACGCCCAAUGAGGUACCAAACAUGUAGCAGAAAAAUCAGGUAUUUCACGUUAUACAAAACCAGAUACACAUGCUCGCUAUAAAGUAAGACAGGUAAACACAAGAACUCAAAUAGGAAGGAUACAGGUGGCUCUCAGGAGCCAGCUUUCCAGCGCAGUACUUGAUCCAAGCCGGUUGACUCUCCGUCAACGUAUAUAGAACCAACACGUCCGUAGACCCCACUUUACACCAAAUUUCGUCCACCAAACACCCCUUUACCGGGCCCGCUCACCUCAACAGAAACAGAAAUGGUAAUACUCGAGUAUACCGGAAUCAAGAGUCUCAAUACCCAAAGAUCCCAAAACAGACUACCGUGGUUCGUUAUCUAAUCGUCCAGGCCCUUGCCGGCCCGACUCGAAUAACUUAGCCACAGGAUUUGAGCUCAUAAGUCACAGAAAGGUCGUUGGUUACAAGUUUCCAAACGACGUCCGAACAGAUACAGAUACAGAUACAGAUACAGAUAUCAGAUACAUAGAUUCAGAUUGACACCAAAAUUGGCAUAUGAACAGACAAGAGAACGAGUGUGAUAAAGUACACCCUCGUCUCAAACAAAUUAAACAGAUUGCAGAGCAUAAAUCAAGUUAAACAGCAAUGGAGGGGAGUGGUACACUCACCGGUUCAAGUACAGAUACCUCAAAAGUUUUCACUUCGGAUUGGCUUUAAUUGCCAAGAAACCCUAAAAUAAUCAAAGUAAACCAAUUGAAGGUUUCACAUCCAGAAUCGAGUAAACAAAAUACACAUGUGAGGCUCGACUACUAGUCGUAUGCCUCGUCAAAUAAUUACUAAUGCAAGGGUACAAAACAUGAUUUUUUGGAAUAAAAAGGUAACACGAAGACCUAGGUUCAACAACCCAAAAGUCCUUCAUUUCUAUCACAAGCCAAUUCAAACUUAAAGGAACCAAUUGGCCUAGAAAAAAUUGGACAGCACUUCCCCUAAAUUUCUUACUUUUCCAGCCAUCACGGCUUCAUUAUUUUCCUCAAUCAACUCCCAAAGUCAUACUCAAUAUACAUUCAUCACCACAGCCGUUCAAUAGGCUCAAGGUUAUCCAAGUACAAAAGUUAGCUAGGAAAAUGACCGGAAAUAAAAGUCAAGCCCUAGAAUAUUCCACUAAGCACAAGAAGACUCGAUUACAAGUCAUAAACCGAUGCCAACACGAUCACAAUAGGGUUCCAUAAGUAUAUAUAAGCAUUAGAGGAAACCAGAAAUUUCGGAAAUGUAACUAGCUUUGGCCCUGAAAAAAAUAGUUUUUAUCCUCAUUUUGCGGUAAUGACACAAAUUUCACUACGCUUAUCGGAUGAGGGUGCAAGACCCACCAUCUCGAAGCUAAAAGACAGGGCUAAAACAUCACAGAAGGUCACUCAACCCAGUUUUGAGUACAAACAGGUCAAAAAUGCAAGAUACUACAUCAACAACGUAAAACAGAUUCACCAAAACGCAUUCUAGCGGAAACAUCAUAACUCAGGCUCUACAAGUCCAAAUCCAGAAAUUCCAAAACCAGCUGAAAGCUAAGAAACAGGGACAAAUUUCAUCAGAAGGCCUCAACAACCAAUUCGGAAGCAAUUCCAGGCAAAACAACCAAUUACAGGCGCAGUUCUCAAUUUCGGGUAAAACCAGAACAGCAAUAGUAAUUUCGACUUAUCUCAUUCUACACCACUCCGAUUGACCUGAAAUUUUGUAGGAACCUCUAAAAUGUCAUUCCCUACAACUUUCAUGUUUUGAGCUAAGGCCAAUUCGGCCUCUAUCUAGGACCUAAAAAUUCGGACAGAAUGCUCCCACAAGAAUCCUAAUUUUCUGAAAUUUCUUCCGAAACAGAAAUUGAUUGCAAUUGUCCACUUUUUCCACCUUCUAGAAUCAUUACAUACCAUUUCCAAUCAUCAUAGAUAGCCACACAAUCAUGCUUAUAUUAAAACAGAAAAAUCCCCAAAAAUAAUAAAACUUCAUCAUUUCAACCACAAAUCAAAAAUUAAUCCAUAAACUUGCAUCUUAUACUACCACUAAGCAUGAUUUAAGCAUCAAUUAAAGGAGGAGGGUUGUUCUUCACAACUUACCUUAGAAACAAGAGAGAGAGAGCUAUUGGUCACCUUAACUUUCCAACACACAACAACUCACCAACACUUCCUUAAGUGGUUUUAUGGAGCAAAAUCAAGGUUGGAUGGUUGGUUUUGGUGAUUUGGAACAAGAUUGAAGUGUUUUCUUCCUUGUUCUUGGAGUAAGAGAGAGAGAAAGAGAGCAAGAGAGGGCCGGCUUCAAGGAGGAUUUUUUUGAGGAUUUUUGGGUCAAUUUUGGUUAUUUAAGUCAAUGGUAAGAAAGGUCUUAAGGUAAGCCCAAUCAAAUGGUGACACUUGUCACCUUUUAUUAACUCUCUACCUAACUUGUCUCUAUCAUAUCAAUCCAAAUUGCACCCUCCACUUAUCUCUUAACACCCGGUAAAUUCAUUCCAGUAUUCAAAACUUAAUCUAGUUGGCCGAAUUUUUUUGAACUUUUCGCACUAGUGGGUCCCACGUCCGGUAUACGCUAUUAAUUCCUCAAAAACUAACCGAUACUAGAAAAAUCAUUUAAAAGCUAUAUUUACUCAUAAAAUUUAUUUGCACAAUGUUUCGAAUAAAGAAAAGGUGGAAAAACGUAUAAUUAAAAGAAAUUAAAACCUAGAAAUUAAGAAAAUUACGGGUCCUCACAGAUAUUAUCUAAACGUUUUAUCCCCGAUUUCCUAGAUAAAGGCUUAAAUACUUUUGAAUGUUAUCAAACCCCUCUCGAACCUCGAUUUACGAGUAAUUGAGGUUCAUUUUCACGGAAUCCCCUAGAUUAAUACUAGUGAACGAAUUAUUCCUCGAUAUUUGGAAUUUGGCUGAUAAUUCACUAUUAUUUGCUCAGGCGCACACAAGGACCUUCAAGAGAAUCCCACGGUGGACGCUUGAACUUUCCUUGACCUUACUUACACCUAAUACUUGGUGGGUGUCAGGUGUAUGUAAACUUGUUACAUGUUUAAUUGUUAUUAAUGAUUGGAAAUCUUGAAAGUGGAGUCGAGUGUGUACUUUACCACACUCGUUCUCAUUAGAAAUGAAAUAUUAAUGGUUGAAAUGUAUUGAAUGAAUGAUUGAAAUGUAUUGAAUGAAUGAAUGAAAUGUAAUGGUAUGCUAUAGUUGCCUACGUCGUUGGAGUGAAUCUCGUCGACACACAAGUGCACAUGGGGACGCCCAAAUCUCAUUGACCGACCUUGGACUCGAGCCGGCAUGGGUUUGGUCGGGAACCUUGGCGAGCCAUGAGAUAUAUAAGCUUGACCUAGUGAGAGGUCUUGCUUGGCAUACUCGAGUAGUAUCGCCACAAACAAAUGACAGGCGGGCCCGAUACAGGGGUAUGUUAGGUGAAAGGGGACAGGUUAAGUGGAGUUCUACGGACUAAACCUACCCGAUUGACGGAGUGUCAAUUCGUGGAGGUUAUUGAAUGUGCAAGUGGAAUAUAGCUCCUGAGGGCUCCAGUAUCCUUGAAUUGUUUCUGGUUAUAUUUCCAGUAAAUUGUUAAUUACUAAAAUAUGAUUGCUUGACUUAUAAAUUGAGAUUGUUAUUUGAGCAAUGUGCUUGUAUGUGUGUUCUUGGCCUCACGAGCGUUUUGCUCACCCUGUAGAUUUGUUUUCCUUAACAGGAUUGAACUUGGCAAGGUAUCGAAGAAACCUUCCUGAUACGCUUUUGUUUAGGGUUUCUAUUACUUUUGACUUUGUCUUGGCUUUUGGGAUGUAUUUUGGAAUCCGAAUGUAACUUUUGGAGUAUGAUGGUUGUUGAACACCCGAUGUGCGGGUUGGAUAUCAGAUGACUUUUAUUAAACUUGAACGCUUUCGCAUUUAUUGUAUCUAAGUUAUUGACUCGUAUGGUGUGGUCCGGCAAUAAGUUUAAAUGGAAUUGCUUGAGUCCUGGCGAGAGCUAGGCAGGCAUCCCGCGGAUACCCUUUGGUUCGCCUUAGGGAGAAGUGGGGGCGUCACAGCUAUAGUCCUGUCUAAUGGUCAUAAUAGCCUGGUAUAGAGUCCGGCCAAUUAACAAGGUCAUGAUAGUUCGGUAUAGAGUCCGACCGAUUGACCCAUGUAUGUAAUGAGACCAAUUGGUAGUCAUGAAACCUAUUGGUCGCCCACCUAAAAGGGGUUUAAUCUCUAAGUUGAGUACUCAGAUGCCGGUUAUUGCAUGUACUUGUUAUGAACUGAUAUGAAAUGACUUAUGAUUUUAUGACCUUAUGACUUCCAUGUACGGUUAUGAAUAAGAUGUUUAUGAAUUGCUGUGUUACUCUUUAUUACUGGUUGUUUUACAAAUAACAUUACUUUCAACGAUUAUGGAUGUGAAUAAUGUGUAAAUAAAUUGAUUUAUGUAUAUAUGUAUAUGUAAAGUUAUGGUUGCAUCGUCCAACAGAGGGGUAGAUACUACCUACUGAGCGAUUUGUCGCUCAACCCAAUUUUUACCAUUUUUGCAGAUUUUGAAGAGUAUGAGUUGGUUUACAUAGAAGAUCCUGAGAAUGAUUUUUAUUAGUUCUAAGUGACUAGAAAUUAGCAGCCUAGCUGCUUCUAGCUGUUAGUUUAUUUAUAUUUCUUUCCGCUAUUACAACUAGAAAAUAAAUGUACGAACUUAUUGGAUAUUCGUAGACUAUUUUGCAUUUGAGAUUUGUACCGCACUUUCUUUAGUUAUACUAUUUAGUACUUGUUAAAUUUAGUCUAGUUUGAUGUUGCCUUGUAUUUUUUAGUGUGACUUGAGGAUACGGCGGAUGUCACGUGAUUGGCGCGUGCGGACUCGGGGCGUGACAUUUUUAGUCAUGUGACAUCCGCCGUAUCCUCAAAUCCCACUCAAUGAUACAAAGGCAACAUUAAGCUAGACUAAAUUUAGAAAGUACUAAAUAGUAUAACUAAAUAAAGUGCGGUACAAAUCCGAAAUGAAAGGUAGUCUAUGAAUAUCCAAUAAAUUCAUACAUUUAUUCUCUAGUCGUAACAGUGAAAAAGAAAAUAAAUAAAACUAAUAGCUAGAAGCAGCUAGGCUGCUAAUUUCCAUUCACGUAGAACUAAUAAAAAUCAUUCUCAAGGUCUUCUACGUAAAUCAACUCAUACUCCUCAGAAUCUGCAAAAAUGGUAAAAAUUGGGUUGAGCAACAAAUCGCUCAGAAAGUAGUAUCUACCCCUCUGUUGGACCAUGCAACCAUAACUUUACAUAUACAUAUACAUAUAUAUAUACAUAUAAAUUAAUUUAUUUACACAUUAUUCAUAUCCAUAAUCAUUGAAAGUAACGUUAUUUGUAAAACCAUCAGUAAUAAAGAGUAAUAUCGCAAUUGAUAAAUGUCUCAUUCAUAACCGUACAUGGAAGUCAUAAAGUCAUAAGUCAUUUCAUAUAAACUUAUAACAAGUACAUGCAAUGACCGGCUUCUGAGUACUCAAUCUAGAGAUUAAACCCCUUUUAGGUGGGCGACCAAUAUGUUUCAUGACUACCGAUUGGUCUCAUUAUAUUCAUGGGUCAAUCGGAGAGACUCUAUACCAGACUACCAUGACCUUGUCAAUCGGCCGGAUUCUAUACCAGGCUACCAUGACCAUUAGGCAGGACUAUAGCCCCUACCGUCUAGUCCAUGACUAUUUUACUUAACAUAAAUUCGUUUCACAUGUUACAUACAUAAUUCUUUAAUUUCAUAAAAGAUACAACUCAUUUGACAUAUAAUAGCAUAUCAAAAUGUUUCAAAUAAGUCACAUGGUCCAUCUUUGUAUAGUAAAAAUAGAACUUGCAUAAAUAUUCAAGUAGAUCACUUAAUCAAAUGCAUUUCAAACCAACACAUCAAAAUAUGAUUGACAACAAAAAUUUCACUUUGCACUUUUGAAAUCUCAGAAGGGUAAGUACCACCUACCUUUGUCUGGCUACUCGAGUGGAACUAUUUUAUGUCUUCUAAACUUGUGUUGUACCUAUCAAAUGCAUAUGUUUCCUAGUUAGUUAAUAUUUCUUAUAAAUGCAUAGAUAUACACACUCUGAAUAAUUUUUAAGAUUCAUGUCUAGACCAUUAUGUGAACCCUAGCAGAGUUUUCCUAAAUUGAAAAGUUUUUAUUUUUGGAAAGUUUCUAUUUUUAAAAAGUUUCCAUUUUUGCAAAGUUUCUUAAUUUGGAAAGUUUCCCUUUUGGUAACGUUUCUUAAUUUAAAAGAACAUAAUUAUUCAUAAUCAUAUUUAUUAUCUUGACUAUUAUCUUACUAUACAUAUUUAUGAUUUAUUAUUAUCCAUUAUUAUUAUCAGUGUUAUCGUUAGUAUUGAUAUUAUUGCUAUUAUAAUUGUAAGUGCUUCGUUUAACCUUCUAGGACUUAUCUUACACAGUAUAAAUUAAUCUGAUAAGGCUAGAUUAAGAUAUUUUAGAUUCCUAUCUAAGUAUCCUAGACUUAAUUAAUUCAGUAUAAACUUAAAUGACUAAUCUUUAACUUCGAAAAUUAUCUUUAGGUUGGGUUUUGAAAUUUAGUUCCUAUGUUAGUUCAUAAAAGAUGGCCUAGUUAUUUCUAAAUUUAUUUACUGUAUAUUCACUAAGCCCAUGCUAUCUUUCUAAUCCAAUAUACUUGCCAUUAUAUAUAAAUGUGUGUAUAUAUAUAUAUUUUAUUAUUACUAUUAUAUUUUUUUUUCUUUGGCCAUCCUUGCCUGGCCCUUUUUGUUUCUUACUUCACCUGGCGCUGCCAAAGCUUUUCUCAAGCUUUGGCAGCGCCACAAUUCUUGACUAGCCGAAAGGGCAACCUUUGGAAUGGUUCCAGGCUUUCUCUCCUGCCUCUUUUUCUUUCUUUUGUCCUAUUCGGUUGGCCUUUCAUGUCGCCGGCAAGUUUUGUGUUGCGCUUCAGGAACGGCGCACAAUAGCAGCGGCGGGGCCGCUGCUCCAACCCCCUCUUCUCCUUCUUUUUUUUAAAAGAAUGAAGAUUUCAAUUCCAUCCUACCCCAUAGCUAACAUUUAGUACCCUAUUUCUAUCGAUCCAAAUAUAAAUCUUCAUAAAUUUCUCCUACAGGCUUAAAUAUAUCAUAAUGCAUAUAUGCACGAAAUUUUCAAAAUAACUCAUGGAAUUAAAUAGACUUAAGAGAAAAAGAAUUUUAGCAUGCGUUCAGAAUUUACAGAUCUAGGCGUUUAAUUGUCUGCUUGUUCGACGGCGAUGUUCUCUUCUUCUCCUCUACUCUUAGUUGAUUCUUUCUCUAGGGGAGGUAGACAAGGAAAAAAUAGGAAUGGUGUUAUUUUUUUUCUCUCUAUUGUUUUGAUAAAAUCCUAAACUCUAGCACUAGUAGAGCUGUAAACGAACCGAAUCGAACCGAGUAUCUCAUGUUUGAGUUCUGUUCGUUAAGCAGUUCGAACAACGUUCGUGUUCGUUCGUUAAUUUUCGAACUCCAAACCUGUGUUCGUGUUCGGUUCGUUAAGUAAAAUUCGUGUUCGAGUUCGAGUUCGAGUUCGGCUCGUUUAACAUAAACGAGCCAUUCGCGAACAUGUUCGAAAUGCUCGAAUCCAAAUUAUUUUAUGCCUUAAAUAUGCCAUGCAAAUUAUUAAUCAUUCUAAAAAAUAAUUAAAGCACUAAGUGACUAAAUUCUAUUAUUCAUUAACUAUAUAACUAACAUUAACAUAAAAACAACAAAUAAAACAAAGAAAUUUGCCCUCCAAAUAUAAAAGUCCAGCCAUAAAAUUAACCCUAAAAUUUGUUAAAUGAUAAUUAUGUCUAUGUUCGCGAACGUUCGUUAAAACUCGCGAACAUAUUCGUGUUCGCGAACGUUCGUUUAGCAUGUUCGCGAACGUUCGUUAAAACUCGCGAACAUGCUCGUGUUCGCUCGAUUAUUAAUCGAACAAAAAAAUUCGUUCGAACUCGGUUCGUUUAAAAUUUCGAACGAGCCUUUCACGAACACGAACGAGCCGAAACGAACCGAGCUACCGAACAGCUCGGUUCGUUUAACAGCUCUAAGCACUACCCACUAGUAGGUGGUUUAGAUAAGAGUCUUAGUUUAUUAUGAACUCUUAUCCCACCUCAUCUCCUUACUAACCCUAAUUACUCAUCUACCCUAUCCUACUAAUAAAUUUUUAUAUUAUUAUUAAUUUUUUUUCUUUACCCAUAGUAAUUUUGCCUUUUUAAUCAAUUAAGCAAAAGAAACUAAUAAAUAAUUUUAAAAAAUGAGCAAGGAUGUGGGUUUUACAUUCUACCCCCUUUACAAAAAAUUUCAUUUUCGAAACUUACAUACCUUGAUAAAAAAGAUAGGGGUAUUUAUUCCGCAUGUCUUCCUCUAACUCCCACGUUGCCUCUCACAGUGUAUGGUUCAUCCAUUGCACCUUCACGUAGGGUAUGGUCCUUCUCCUUAGAACUUGGUCCUUCCGGUCCACGAUUCUUAAAGGAACUUCCUCCACUGAUAAGUUCUCCCUUACCUCGAUGGGUUGAUCCUCCAAAAUGUGGCUCGAGUCCGAUACAUACUUUCUCAGUUGGGAGACAUAAAAAACAUUAUGUAUCCUUGACAAAGCAAGCGGGAGAACCAAUCGAUGUGUUAGAGGUCUAACUCUAUCCAGUAUUUCGUAAGGCCCUACAUAUCUCGGACUUAACUUGCCACUUCUUCCAAAUCUCAUCACUCCCUUGGUAGGGGAUACUUUCAAAUAUACAUUUUCUUCCGGUUGAAACUCCAAAGGUCUCCUCUUUGAAUCCACCCAACUCUUGUUUCGGUCCUGAGUUACUUUUAAUCUUUCUUGAAUAAUCUUAAUUUUCUCCAAAGUUCUUUAUACCAAAUCAGGGCCAGUGAUCAGUUUCUCACCUACUUCAUCAUAAUAUAAGGGGGAUCUAAACUUUGGUCCAUAUAAUGCUUCAAACGGUGUCAUACCUAUACCGCUAUGACAGCUAUUAUUGUACGAGAACUCGAUUAGUUUUACCAACCUAUCCCAACUAUCCGAGAAGUCUAGAGCACAAGCUCUGAGCAUGUCUUCCAGUGUCUGUAUAGUCCUUUCCGAUUGUCCAUCCAUUUAAGGGUGGAAGACGGUACUUAAUCUCAAGUUAGUCCCCAUAACUUCUUGAUAGGUCGACCAAAAUUUAGACGUGAAUCUAAGGUCUCGGUCAGACACUAUACUUACUGAAACACUGUGAAGACAUACGAUUUCCUCCAUAUACAUCUCUACCAACCUCUCCAUUGUUACCUCAUUCGACAUUAGUAGAAAGUGGGCAGAUUUGGUUAGCCGAUCGACUAUAACCCAAAUGGCAUCGUUAUUCCUAAUUGUUCGAGGCAAUCCUACCACAAAAUCCAUUGUCACAUGUUCCACUUCCAUUGGAGAAUUUCUAGGGGUUGCAAUAAGCCGGCAGGUCUUUGAUACUCGGCCUUUACUUGUUGGCAUACCAGACACUUCGCCACAUAUUCCGCUAUUUCUCGUUUCAUCCCAUUCCACCAAUAAUUCCUCUUCAAGUCUUGGUAUAUUUUAGUCCCACCAGGGUGAAUUGAGAAUCUUGAAUUGUGUGUCUCUUUUAGCAAUUUCUGUUUCAAUCCUUCAUCCCUUGGCACACAUAAUCUACUCUCUUUCCACAAACUCCCAUCGUCUUUCAAUUCAAUCCUAUCGAAGGGUUCCACUCUAAGUUUUUCCUUAAUCUUUGCACACCCGUCAUCACAAUGUUGUGCUUCUUUAAUCCUAUCUAUUAAGGUAGGUGCGACCACUAAGGCAGCUAGCAUGUGAGCCGUGGAGUCCACCAUUUUCACUUCAAAAUUCUCCAUCUGAUCCUUUGUUGUGGGUUCUCUUAAUACCCUUGACUUCCUACUGAGAGCGUCUGCUACCUUAUUUGCCUUGCCUAGAUGGUAACUAAUCGUCAAAUCAUAAUCCUUAAUUAAUUCUAACUACCUUCUCUACCUCAUGUUCAAUUCCCUUUGAGUAAAUAGAUACUUGAGACUCUUUUGAUCAGUGAAAAUCUCACAUUGCAUACCAUAUAAGUAAUGCCUUCAUAUUUUCAACGCAAACACUACUGCCGUCAAUUCCAAAUCAUGCGUUAGAUAAUUCUGCUCGUAAGGUUUUAGUUGGCGCGAAGCAUAAGCAAUUACUCUCCCAUUUUGUAUCAAAAUGUAUCCUAAAUCAUUUUUAGAGGCAUCACUAUAAAUCACAAAUCCUUCCGUUCCAGAGGGUAGGGUAAGUACUGGGGCUAACAUUUAUCCGUCCAUUCAAAUUUUGCUCUCUUUUGAGUCAACCUAGUAAGAGGCAUAACAAUGGUGGAGAAUCCUUCCACAAAUUUUUGAUAAUAGUUGGCCAACCCUAAGAAACUCCUCACUUCGGAUACAUUACUGGACCGUGGCCGGUCUACAAACUCCUCACUUCGGAUACAUUACUGGACCGUGGCCAGUCUACAAUUGCCUCGGCUUUCUUUGGAUCAACUGACACUCCUUGGGCCGAUAUAACGUGUCCUAAGAAGGCCACACUCUUCAACCAAAAUUCACAUUUACUAAAUUUAGAGUACAAUUUCUCCCUUCUUAAUAUCUCUAGAACCUCCCUAAGGUGGGCGGCAUGAGCUUCCUCAUUUAGGGAGUAUAUUAGAAUGUCAUCGAUAAAUAUCACAACAAAACGGUCUAGUUGUGGUUUGAACACCCUAUUCAUCAAAUCCAUAAAGCUGUCUGUACGUUGGUUAAUCCAAAUGGCAUUACUAAAAACUUAUAGUGCCCAUAUCUUGUACGAAAUGCACUUUUCUGAAUAUCAUCAGCUUUAAUCUUCAAUUGAUGGUAUCCAGAUUUUAAAUCUAUCUUGGAGAAUACUUUAACUCCCUUCAUUUGGUCAAAAAGAUCAUCUAUCCUAGGAAGGGGAUAUUUAUUCUUUAUCGUGAUUCUAGUCUAAAAAUGAAUUGCGAAAGUGGUGUCAGAUUGGGACCUAGAUUCACGUCUAGAUUUGUGUCGACCUACCAAGAGGUUAUGAGGACUGAUCUGAGACUAAGUAACGCCUUCCAUCCCCAAACAGAUGAACAGUCAGAAAGAACCAUACAGACACUCGAAGACAUAUUGAGAGUUUAUGCUCUAGACUUCUCGAAUAGUUGGGAUAGGUUAAUAAAACUAAAGAAAUUCUCGUACAAUAAUAGCUACCAUAGUGGGAUCGGUAUGACACAGUUUGAAACAUUGUACGGGCGAAAAUGUAGAUCUCCCUUAUAUUUGGAUGAAAUAGGUGAGAAACUGAUCACCGGCCCCGAUUUAGUGGAACGAACUGUGAGAACCCAGAAGAAAAGAAAAAAAUUUAAAAAAAUAUUAUUUUAUUCCUGUGCACCCGAUUUCUUUUAUUUUCUUUAUUAUAUUACUUUUAUCAACAUUUUAUCAGUAAAUAUAGUUUUUAAAUCAUUUUUCUAGUAUAAGGUAGUUCGUGAGAAAUUAGGAAUGUAUUUUGGCUGUGGGACCCGCUAGUGCAUUAAGUGAGAGAAAUUCGGCCAAUUAGGUUAAAUUUUGCGUAAAGGGAUUUUAUUACUAGGGAUUAGGAGAUAGGUGGAGGUUACCUAGAUGGAUUAAUCAUGGAGGGACAAGAGGAUAACUCUAGCAAAAACAAAGUGCCAAGUGUCCAAUUGUUGUUGGACUAAGCUUACCUAACUUUUGACUUAACUUUCUUUACUUUCCUUAAAGUCUAAUUUUGACCAAGUUGUCUUCAUUCUUCAUCUCCUCAUGGCCGAACCUCUCUAGCCAACAAAGGAAAGAAAUCUUCAAAUCCUUGCUCAAUCUUGAAAACUAGCCGAUUAUUUCUUGAAUUAGUCCAUAAAAUCAUCUUGCUAAGGGUCUUUGACGAACUUGGUGGUGUUGUUUUGGAAGGAAAUCUCCUAAGCUACAACCUUUCUUGAAGAACUAAGGUAUCUUGCUUGGAACUCAUCUUUUGGUUUUAAUUUUGGCCAAUUGGUGCCUUAUAGUAGAUAUAUACGUGAUUUUUCGGAAGAUUUGGUGGAUUGGAGUGAAGCUAGCUAAUUUUCUGAUUUUUGUGGGACUUUUCUGUUUUCCUAUGAUUGAGAUGAUUGAGCUGGAAUUGAUGGUUCUAAAUGGCAUUAUAUAGCUCUCUUGUGCGUUAAUUGUGGUUAAUUGCGGAAAAUUUCCGCUUGUGCGGAAAAUUUCAGAUUUAGGGUUACUAAAUGGGGGUUUUCUAUGGUUGAUAGUUGAGCUUCUAAUUGGCUAUAAUUGAGGGGUAUUAUGACCCCAAUGAAGUAUAUUGAAUGGCUUAUGAAUUGUUUGGGUGCUUGUGGUUGUGUUGGAUGGCUUUUAAUGGUUGUCUUGUAGGUUGGAAAAGCUGAAAUUUUAGGGGAAAUGCUGUCCAAGUGUCUAGGGUAUCGGAUUCUUAUGAGUUGGGUUGAGAUUUGAUAGAAAUGAAUAAUCUUAGGGUUUAUUUCUACUUUUAACCCUAAAUGUUAUGUAUUUUUCAUUUCCAAGCUAUAUUUGGGUCUUACCUUAAUAGUUCCUAGAAAAAGGUAUUCGACUUGUGUUUGCGUUUUCAUUGUACUUUCUUGAUUGUUAUAGGGCGUGCCGGUGAUCCGAGACUCACGUCGGGCGAAAACUUGUGAAAUUUCUUUGUUGAACUUGGUGAGUGUACUACUCACAUGUUUGUUAUUCCGUGGCUUUCUUGUACUUGAAUUCUGUGAUUUGGACUAGUUGAGAUGAUUGUUUGAGCUAGGUGAGGCGAGGGUGUACUUUACCACUCUCGUACUCUCUGGCCUUCUUGACUGGUUAUUAUAUUAGGCUUACUUGACUGUACUUGUAUCACUUGAAUACUCUUGACUGUACUUGAUUUGGUGUCGAUUGAAUACCAAUCUUUACUGUUCACUCUGGGCUCUACCUCAUUGGAAGUCAAUGGACUCGAGCCAGUAAGGACUUGGUCGGGGACAUUUGACAAGCCAUGGGGACUGUAUUUGGGAAUCUUUGGGUAUGAGACCCUUGAUUCCGGUAUACUCGAGUAAUACCAACUCUGUACUGUUUGGUGUUCGGGCCCGGUAAGGGGAAAGUGAGGUGGACGGAUAAUUGGAGUAAAGAGGAGUCUACGGUCAUGAUUACCUGGUAUACAUUGAAGGAGAGUCAAUGAGAUGAGAUCAAGCAUGGCAAAAGAGGAAAAUGGCUCUUGAGAGCCAUCCGUAUCCUUUUAUUCCCUACACUUGGGGGUUGUUACUUUUACUUCCUUGACGUGCAUAUUUGGACUGAAUAUUCUUGUGUUUAUGUGAUCCUGGUAUAUUUUCGUGAUGGUACUUCAUUGGGCGAAAGCUCACUCCGUGAAUUUUGUUUUCCUUACAGGGAUUUACCUUUUGGACUUUUGAUUUUGAAGAAUGAGUUGAGUAGAGCUAGUUGAGAGAUUUUGUAUAGCUCCUCAAUAGUUGGAAACUUAAUUGUACUGGGAUUUAAAUGCUUCCUUUUGGCUUGUAACCACACGAAUGUGGUUUGUAACAGUGUGUGUGUACUCAUGUUCAAUGUAUUAUAUUUGGCUUGUAUAUAUUCCUUUCAGGGGUUGUAAAAAGUUACUUGUAUUCGAUUGGGUCCUGGCGGAUUGUGACGUGGUAGUCACUAUUCACUUUACGUUUUAACUUUUAUUUUUCCGUUUCUUGAUUGUUGGCUUGGUUGAGCGCGCUAGUAGAUUCCCGAACGACUUGAGUUACUGUUUUACCGUUUUAGUAGUCCUGGCGAGAGUUGGGCAGGCAGUCAGCUAACCCCUUUGGUACGUCUUAGGGGAAGGUGGGGCUGUCACACGAACCUUGGAGAAGAUUAAAGUUAUUCGAAAGAGACUAAAAGUAACUCAGGACUGAAAUAAGAGUUGGGCAGAUUUAAAGAGAAGACCUUUAGAAUUUCAACCGGGAGAAAAGGUAUAUUUGAAAGUAUCCCCUACCAAGGGAGUGAUGAGAUUUGGAAGAAGUGGUAAGUUAAACCCAAGGUAUAUAGGACCUUACGAAAUACUGGAGAGAGUUGGACCUUUAGCGUAUCGACUGGCUUUUUCACCUGCUUUGUCGAGGAUACAUAACGUUUUUCAUGUCUCCCAACUGAGAAAGUAUGUAUCUGACUCGAGCCAUAUUUUGGAGGAUCAACCCAUCAAGGUGAGGGAGAACUUGUCAGUAGAGGAAUUUUCUUUGAGAAUCGUGGAUUGGAAGGAUCAAGUUCUAAGGAGAAGGACCAUACCCUACGUUAAGAUGCAAUGGAUGAACCAUACACCGCGAGAGGCAACAUGGGAGUUAGAGGAAGACAUGCGGAAUAUAUAUCCCUAUCCUUUUUGUCAAGGUAAAUAAGUUUCGAUGACGAAACUUUUUGUAAGGGGGGUAGAAUGUAAAACUCAGGUCCCUUCUCAAUUUAUACUUUACUCAGUUAAUUAAAUGGUAAAUUGUCAUGGGUAAAGGUAAAAAUAAUUGUAGGAUAGAUUAAAGGGUUAAGUGGGAGAUAGGAAGGAGAUAAGAUAGGAUGAGAGUCACAACAAAUUAAAAUUCUUAUCUAAACCACCAAGUAGUGGGUGGUUACUAGAGUUUAGAACAUUUAUCAAAAUAACACAGGAAAAUAACACCGUUCCCACUUUUCAUUUGUCUACCUUCCCUUAGAGCAAGAAUCAACUAAGAAUAGAGGAGAAGAAGAAGACGUUGCCAUCAAACUAGCAGGCAAUUAAUCGUCUAGACCUGUAAGUCCCAAACGCGCAUGAAAGUUUUUCUCUUAAGUCUUAUUAAUUUCAUGAAUUAUUUUAAAUAUUUUAUAUAUAUUCAUAUCGCAAUAUAUUUAUGCCUGCCUGAAAAAUUUAGGAAGAUUCAUGAUCGAAUUUGUGAGAAUAUUGUAUUAACUUUUAAUUAUGGGAUGAAUAGGGUUUACCCAAAUCUGUUGAAAAAAAAAAUUCGAGUGAGAGGAACAGCGGUAGUCGCCGCUGCUGUGGUGCCCGUGGUUGAAGCCAAAGCUUCAGCAAUGCAAAAAUUAAGAUGUUUAUCAAUUGUUGUGUUACUCUUUGUUACUAGUUGUUUUACAAAUAACGUUACUUUCAACGAUUAUGGAUGUGAAUAAUGUGUAAAUAAAUUGAUUUACGUAUAUAUGUAUUUGUAAAGUUAUGGUUGCAUGGUACAACAGAGGGGUAGAUACUACCUACUGAGCGAUUUGUUGUUCAACCCAAUUUUUAUCAUUUUUGCAGAUUCUGAGAAGUAUGAAUUGAUUUACGUAGAAGACCCUGAGAAUGAUUUUUAUUAGUUCUACGUGAAUGGAAAUUAGCAGCCUAGCUGCCUCUAGCUGUUAGUUUUAUUUUUUUUCUUUUCCGCGGUUAUGACUAGAGAAUAAAUGUACGAAUUUAUUGGAUAUUCGUAAACUACCUUUCAUUUGAGAUUUGUACUGCACUUUAUUUAGUUAUACUAUUUAGUACUUUCUAAGUUUAGUCUAGUUUAAUGUUACCUUGUAUCAUUGAGUGGGACUUGAGGAUACGGCGGAUGUCACGUGACUGGCGCGUGCGAGCUCAAGACGUGACAUUUUUAGUGGUAUCAGAGCUUAGGUUAUAUGAUCUGUGUAGACACCAAAUUUUUGGUUUCGAAUUUUAUUUUUUAAUUAGUUUAAUUUUAGAUUUAUUUGUUUCAAUUUCAGGUUUAUUUUGGUUGUUUCCUGUUUCGUGCCUCUUAUUGUAUUUUAAUUAGUUUACGAGCAUUUAUUUUAUUUACUAAUUUGAUUAAAAAAAAGAGGAAAAAGAAAAGAAAAAUGAUGAAAGUGAAAAAUGAAGGAAAAAAGAUUGAAAAAUGGCAACUUUGUUGUUUUUAGUUUGUAUAUUUUGAUGUGAUAUUACUUAAAUUGUUGAUUUUUAUUACUUAGCUUUAUUAUUAAUUUUGUUAAAUUAUUAUUCCAAAAAAAAAAAAAAAAAGCCACGCGCUCAUAACUUUCUUCACAGAAACAUAGCUUCAGUACGCAAACCUCGUCCCUGGAAAUAAGACAGAACAAAAAUGGGAUUUUUCUCCAUUUUCCUUUUCUCUAAAAUCACCAAUACACAAUGCCACCUCACUCAUUAGAAGAUAUCAAGAAGCUUCUGGCACGAGACCAUCAAAUUGCUGAGAAAACUUGCCAGCAAUAUAGGGGUUUGAUCCGCACCCUUGAAGUUAGGUUUUAGGGAGAUUGGUUCCAUAUAAAAGGGGAAGAACAAACACAGCCGAAGGAGAGGAGAAGAAAAGAGUGACGGCGGAGGACCAAAAAGAAAGAAAAACAAGAGAGGACAGAGGUAGAGAGAAUAGGGGUUGGCGGCUGCGGUUACAAGGAACCGAGAGCUAGCAAGGAAGGAAGGUUGGCGGCGGAAACCAUAACCAGGAGAGCGAGGGUUUCGUGAGGUUGAGCAAAAAGAAACCAGAAAAGAGUGAAGGGGAAAGUUGGAGAGCGAGAGAGAGGCUAGUGACGGCGGAACAGAAACCAGAAAGGAGAGUUUUGAAAAAAAAAAAAAAGAAAAACAACCGAGAGCUUUGGAAGGAAGAAAAGGGCGACUCAACAGGAGAACCAAGAAGGAGUCACGGCUGGGGCGAGAGCCUGGAGAUUUCUGGUCAAAACCAAAAAAGAAGGAAGGGGACUGUCACUCAAGUUUCCUUAUCGUUGCUAAAAGUCCAUCGGAAAACGGCACAGUAAGGUUCCUUUCCCUGUUAUAUAGAUAAUUUUUAUCAAAUAAAUCAUGGAAACUAUGCUGGAUCUCGAGUCAAGUGAAUGUGGUCAAGAGUUGCGAUGUAGGUUCAUGGUUAUAGCUCAAAAGUGCGACCUUCUUACUGUUGUUGUGUAUGAUAGGUAUGUUAGGAUCUAAAAAUUUUUUGGUGUUGAUUAUAUUUCGUUCCUGGACUGUAGUUUAGUAGCAAGAUCCUAGCUUUGAAAAGAAAGGGCAUUUACAUGCCUGUUCCGUUUCCAUUUUGAAUCUGUUGUGGCUUGUUCGGAUGUCGGAAUUUUGUUCUGGUUUUGUUGCUGAAGUUCUCGAUUGUUUGAAGUGUUUGAUUCGUUUGUUGAGAGGUUUUGAGCCAUGGUUGGUUCGAAGUUUUGAAUGAAUUCUUGUUAAAAAUUUAUAGACAACUGCAUCGGAAAACCAUGAAAGCUAUGCCGCAAGCUCUUGCAAAGUUGCAGAUGGUUGAAUAAUAGGUUGACGGACCGUUUUUGCAUGAAAGUUUCCAAGAAUCUGCAUCAUUUCCUCCUAUGUUUUUUGCCCGUUUGGACGUUGAAGUUAUGUGUCUUGUUACUUAGUUUCAAAUUAUGAUUUUUGGUGAAAAUUUUUGAGCAAAGCUGUAUGCUUGGGUUCGAAAUCUGAGUUUGGAAAUGAAAAUGCAGCAGGCUUGCGCUUUCGAUUGCUGAAGUUUUUGCAUUGUUGAAGUAUUUGAUUUGUUUGCCAUUUGAUUGGAAUACCGUGUGCAUGUACGCCAUGAGGUAGAGUCGUGUUUUGAAGUAGAGUUCAGUUGCAAUAAAAAAUGCAGCGUAGCUUGGGCCGAAUUGCAUGAACUUUUGGGGGUGUUUUCUGCUCCCUUUGUUGCAUGUUCAGCUGUAUUAUGUUAAUCAAAGUGUCUGGUUGUCAAAUGGUGAUCGAGUGAUGGUCUUUGCUGGCUUUUGUUUGAAGUCUCCUAUGAACCCUGUAUUUGAGAGCUUAAAGUUGCAAAAAUAACUCUGGAUGAAUGUUGCAGCAGAAAAUUUGCUUCGUUACUUCGCAGGCUCCUUUUGCUUGAUUGAUUCUUUUGUUGCAUUAUAAAUCAAGUAGAUCAGGUGGUGGCUUGUUGUUUUGUGCGAAUUACAUUCGGUUUGGGCUGUCAAAUGCGUAGAGUUUGUUUGAGUUCUCACACACAAACAUAUCUAAGCUGAAGUAGAAAAAGCUGCUGCAUUCGUUCCUAUACCUCUGCUAUUUUCUUCUCCGCAAACAGCUCGUCAAGGGAGCUUUGUCAUCUAAUGUGCUAGUUAAUCUUGUUCUGAAAAGGAAGAAAUUGGAUAAGUAGUGUUUGAGUUUGCAUGCUUAGGGUCUAAAACACCUGAAUCAUGAUCGAACACCUUGCUGAAAAGCAAACAAGCAGGCUGCCGAAACCAUUUCUGCAUGUAUUUUUCAGAAUUUUGGUAUGAUAUGUUUCCAUGUUUUCUGGUCAUUUGGAUUGUGAUCAUUAUGUAGUCUGUUACUUGGCUUAAGGUAGUGGUGUUGGGUUGAAAAAUAUCUGAUCAAAGCCGUGUAUUUGAAUCAAAAUCUGGUCUGCAUGAUGAAAUGGAAAGGAAAAGCCGUGGCUGGAAAAGAAAAAACUGCAGAAAGCUUCAUACGUGAAUUGCAGAAGUAAUGAAGGCUUUAGUUCUCGUUGCAUACAUGAAAAAUGUUUCCAAAAAUUGCCUUUUAACCCCCCAAGCUUCCCUUUGUUUUACUAUGACCCAACCAAUUGAAUAAUGUCAUCAAUUUGGUCCUUGGUAGUUUUAAUUUUACAACUUCAUUGCUUGUUUGCUUCAAUCAAUUACUAUUCUUUGUUUCAAUUACACUUAAGUCAUGACUUUAGGUGCUUUAUGACCAAGUGAGCUCGGGUUUGCCUAUUUUCUUUAAUUUUCUCCAAUAAAUUGGUACCUUGACCAUUUCUUUUAUUUUGGAGGAUAAAUAAGUGAUUUCACUCCAUUUAAGGCGUCAACUCAAGAGAGGUAUAACUUCUUUUAUCUUUUUUGACUCUCUCCUAUGUGAUCCAACGUGCUAAGUGAGAAUUGCAUGUCUACUUUACUUUCCUUGUUUUUUCCUUAAUUCAUUUCAUUUAUUUCAUUUACUUUUGCUUUUGUUAAGUCAUUCUUUUAUUUAUGGGGUAUGUGUACACCUCUUGGCUUGUAAUAGAUAGGGCUUGGAGAGCAAUUUUGUCCAUUUUUCCCCGUCCCCUUUUGUUUUAGUUAGCAAAUGUAAUAGGUUCAUUAGCUUGAUUGCUUGCUUUUGUUGCUACGUGUUAAUUUGCUUUAUUAGGCUCUUGCAUCUAGUCGAGCAUGCUAAGCGUUAUGUGCUAUGUGUUUAUAGGUGAUUGGCAUGUCUACUUGCUCUCUGUAGUCAUAGAUGAAUGUGAAGGAUGAAUGCACGUCACCACACUAGUCCAACGCUAGUUGUGGCUCAUUGUCCCGUUUUCCACUAGUCCAACGCUAGUAGGAAUUCAUAGAUAUGGGCUAGUCCAACGCUAGACCCUUAGGGAUUUCCCUCGUUAGUUCAUACUUGCAUGUUUCACUACAUUUCAUGCAUUUUUCUUAGUUUUCUAGCAUUUGGCAUGCUCCCCCAAUCCUUUCCCCUUCAUUUUAGGCUUUUGCAUCUUCAUGCUAGUUAUAUGGUACAUUUGCUUGAGGGUCCCCUUUAGAUAAGGGAAACGAGCGAGUGUGGUUACAAAAUAGCCUUAGCACGCUAGUUCUUCCUUCUAAUCAAAGGGAAAAUUAAAGUCAUGAAGUUAGGAGUCAUUCCCGUACCCGACUUGAUGCAUUCCUAUAGGUUCAUACACUUUCAUUCUCAUCAUGUCACUCCCUCACCCUCUUAUCCACAUUUUCUCACUACUUAUAUCCUUCUCAAUACAAAUGCCAUGUUCACACAUUUUUCUUCUUGUCACUUGUUUUUCUACCUCACAAAUUGCACCCAAUUGCACUUAUAUGUAUCUACUAUCAUAUUUUCAUUCAUUUGCACACAAACACCUUUAUUUUCCCAAUUUGCACACAUGCACUUGUCUUACAUUCGCACACAUGCACGUUUUCUUACAUUUUCACACUUGCACUCAUAUUUGAGUCUUCAUUUACAUCAUUCGCGACCUCUAUGAGGACUUUCCUUAUUGGCCACCACAACUCAUAUGGUUGGGACCAAAAAGCCUCGUAAGAGACAUUUUAGAUUUAGGAUUGCAUUUCUUUUUCAUAUCCAUUAGUCAUAUCCAACAUGCAACGCAUAUUUUGGGUAGAAGAAUUAGGAAACAUGGGGCUAAAUCACGCAACUAGCUUUGGUUAGGGUAAGGGAGUGCCUUAGGCUUUGCCUUUGCCUUCUCCCUUAUCAAAUGUGACCCCCGAUCCCUUUCUUUGGUUACGUAGACCUAAAAGUUCUUAAAAAGGGGUUUGUUUACUUUGCUUUUCAAAAAAUUCAUUUUUGGGUGACUUGGUACACCCUAACUCUAUACCAAGUGGCGACUCCAUUUUCCAUGCAAAAAACCCUUUUUGAACUUUGUUUGGCCAAAUCGUCGCAUUUUCAAGUCCCACGGCCUUUUAUUUUCAUUUUCACACACAUUCACAUACAUAUUCCACACACUACUUUCACUUUCACGCCAUAUCAAAAAGUGGGGCGUGACAAUCUGAAAGUAUGUGAAAUGGUGUUUGAGAUAUUAGAGAUUUUGAGAAUUGAAAUGAGAUGAAAAGAAAAAGAGGAUUAAAGGAAAUAAGAGAUUCUCAUGAUUUUAAUGUUUUCAAAGUUUAGGUUAUGCGAUCUCGAUAUAUGUUGAAUGAUGUUUGUAAUAUUAGUGAUUUUAAGAAUUGGAAUAAAGUUGGAUAGAAGAUUGUGAAAUAAGAAAUUUCCAUAAUAUUUAGUGAUAACAGAGCUUGGGGUACGAUUUACUCUUUAGAGGAAAUACACACUGGGAAAUGAUCAAUUAUGACUGAAUAAAUAAGCUUGAAAAUUUGCAUGUGUGAUUUAAGUUGAAAUGGUACUAUUGGUAUUUAUGAUGUCCUUUUUGUUAGAUAUGAUUUUGGUAGUACAUUCUAAGUUUAAAAUAUCGGGCGUGUAGGAAAUAUUAUAUAUAUUUGAAGUAUUGUCUGUAGGAAAUUGAAAGUAUCAAGGAAUUAAAGUAUGCGACAAGCAUGAUGAAUUAAAUAAAGAGACCCAGUUUAGCUAGUGUAGGAUUAAUUGCACGAUGGGUGACAAUGACAUUGGAGGUUAUAUUGACUUUUCUUGACAUGGGCUAAGGUUUCACGGAUGAAACCACUUCAAAGGAUGAAAAAUGAAAUGUUGCGGAUCUUUUCUAUUUGCAAUAGUGCUCUUACUUAGAUAGAAGUACUAUUGAUGCCUAUUUUACUCUAGUUGAGUAUUACCACUAUUGGUGACAACUAAUAGAUGUAUGGUCUUAUCCCAUACAAAUUGAUAUAGUCUAACUGUAGUAUUCCUUCGGUGGGAGAUGUGGUCAACAGUGAAUAGACUUAUUUUUUUUUUUGAGGUUUACAAUGAUUAGAUCUAAUGCCCCAGACAAUUAUUGAACUAGCUUAUUUGCAUUAUUACAUCGUGCUUAGUCAACAAAUAUAUUAGAAAUUUCUUAGAAUACAUAAUCUUAUAUAGUUCUUGUCUUAAAAAAAAUUUUCUAUUUCACGAACAAAUGUUAAUCAAGAUUUUUGAAUAAGUAUCUUUAUCAAAUAAGUAUAAUUUCUAUAAAUAUGUACACACCAAGAAACAUAAAUUAACAAUAAAAAAUGAAUAAAUACCAUAAAUAAUUAUAUCCUAUAACUCUGUGCAAAAUAUUUUUGUGAUAUUCAUCCAAUCUCAAAAAGAGCUACAAAUAAAUGUGUUCUACACAAAAAAAAAUCAUAUCAUAUAAAAAGAAUCUAACAAUAAUUCUUGAUAAAUUCUCUUUGUACUCUAAACUUAAUAGUGUAAGAAGUACAAUUAACUAACUUAUGUGUUUCUAACACUUCCAGGUUUUUAAACUUGUAUGAGUUCAAAAUUCUACGUAUAAAUACCUUACCAAAUUUAUGAUAAAGUUAUUAUAUUCAAAUAUGAGAAUUUGGCGAUAAUUUUUGUAUAAAAUUUUGUGUGUUUCAGUAUGUUUUACCGUAAUAUAAAUAUGUGUUUUGGAAAUUGAAUUGAGGUAAAAAAAAAUGACCAAAGAAAAUAAGAUUCCCAUGGUAUUUAAUGGUAUAAUAACUCAGGUUAUAGGAUUUGAAAAUAGGUGUGAUGCUAUUUUAGAUAUGAGAUUUGAGGGAAAUAAGGGAUUUUCAUUACCAAAUUACAAACAUAGUGGGCAGGAACCCAUAUAUCGAGAUAAUGAUUACUUUUUGGGAUAGUGGAUAAGUAAGUUGUGAUAGAAUGUGAGACAAAAGAAGAAAUGGUAUUGUUGGUGUCUAUGACAUCCUUUCUAUAGGUUGAUCUCUAUGGAGCAUUAUAAGUCGAUAUUUAGAAAGGACCAUACAAACACUCGAAAACAUGUUGAGAGUUUGUACUCUAGACUUUUCGGAUAGUUGGGAUAGGUUAAUAAAACUAAUGAAAUUCUCGUAUAAUAAAAGCUACCAUAACAGGAUCGGUAUGGCACCGUUUGAACCAUUGUAUGGGCGAAAGUGUAGAUCUCCCUUAUAUUGGGAUGAAAUAGGUGAGAAACUGAUCACUGGCCUCGAUUUGGUGGAACAAACCUUGGAGAAGAUUAAAGUUAUUCGAGAGAGACUAAAAAUUGCCCAUGACCGAAACAAGAGUUGGGCAGAUUUAAAAAGAAGACCUUUAGAAUUUCAACCGGGAGAAAAGGUAUAUUUGAAUGUACCCCCCACCAAGGGAGUGAUGAGAUUUAGAAGAAGUGGUAAGUUAAGCCCGAGGUAUGUAGGACCUUACGAAAAAUUGGAGAGAGUUGGACCUUUAGCGUAUCGACUGGCUUUUCCACCUGCUCUGUCGAGGAUACAUAACGUUUUUCAUGUCUCCCAACUGAGAAAGUAUGUAUUUGACUCGAGCUAUUUUUUGGAGGAUCAACCCAUCAAGGUAAGGGAGAACUUGUCAGUACAAGAAGUUCCUUUGAGAAUCUGGAUUGGAAAGAUCAAGUUGUAAGGAGAAAGACCAUACCCUACGUUAAGGUGCAAUGAAUGAACCAUACACCGCGAGAGGUAACGUGGGAGUUAGAGGAAGACAUGCGGAAUAGAUAUCCCUAUCUUUUUUAUCAAGGUAAAUAAGUUUUGAGGACGAAACUUUUUGUAAGGGGGGUAGAAUGUAAAACCCAGGUCCCUUCUCAAUUUAUACUUUACUCAAUUAAUUAAAUAGUAAAUUGCCAUGGGUAAAGGUAAAAAUAAGUGUAGGAUAGGUUAAAGGGUUAAGCGGGAGAUAGGAAGGAGAGAAGAUAGGAUGAGAGUCACAACAAAUUAAAAUUCUUAUCUAAACCACCAAGUAGUGGGUGGUUACUAGGGUUUAGAACAUUUAUCAAAAUAACACAGGAAAAUAACGCCGUUCCUACUUUUCAUUUGUCUGCUCCUCUCAGAGCAAGAAUCAACUAAGAAUAGAGGAGAAGAAGAAGACGUUGUUGCCGUCAAACUAGCAGGCAAUUAAGCGUCUGGACCUGUAAGUCCCAAACGCGCGUGAAAGUUUUUCUCUUAAGUCUUAUUAAUUUGAUGAAUUAUUUUAAAUAUUUUAUGUAUAUUCAUAUCGCAAUAUAUUUAUGCCUGCCUGAAAAAUUUAGGAAGAUUCAUGCUCGGAUUUGUGAGAAUAGUGUAUUAAAUUUUAAUUAUGAGAUGAAUAGGAUUUACCCAAAUCUUUUGGAAAGAAAAAAAAAAAAAAAGAGAGGGAACAAUAGCGUUGUAGGCCGUUGCUGCUAUUGUGCGUCGUUGCUGAAGCUUUGACUUCAGCAACACAAAAAAAAAAAAAAAGAGGCAAAGGUCACCAAUUGGCGACCUUGACCAAGAAGAAGGCCAACCGAAGAAAACAAGGGGUCGCCAGCAAGCCGAACGAAAAAAAAAGUAGCAAACGAACCCUCCUCUUUUCACUAGCCAAAAAGGUCGGCCCUUUGAAGGAAAAAAAAGAUUAUGACUAAUAAAAAAAUCAUAAUAAAAAUAAUUAAUAUAUAUAUAUAUAUAUAUAUAUGGCAAGUAUACUUGAGCCAAAAUAUAGUAUAGGUUUAGUGAAUGUUCAGAAGAUAAAUUUUAAAUAUAACUAACUCACCUUUAUAACUUAUCAUGGGUUUUAAAUUUCAAAACCCAAGCUAAAAAUAAUUUUUAGAGUUUCAAGAUUUAGUCAUCUAAGCUUAUGCUUAAUUGAUUAAGUCUAAAAUAAUUAAAUAGAAAUCUAAAACAUUUUAAACUAGCCUUACUAGAUCAAUUUAUACAAUGUAGAAUAAGUCCUAGAUUGUUAAACGAAAUGCGUAAAAUCAUAAUAAUGAUAAUAAUAAUAAUAAUACUAAUGAUAACACUAAUAGUAAUAAUAAUAAUAACAAUAAUAGUAAUAAUAAUAACAAUAUAGAUAUAGAUGAAGUAAAUUAAAGAUAUAAAUGAAAAUUAAAUGAAAAGAUAAAUAUAAGUGGAAUAAACCAAGACAAUAAUUAUAAUAAUAAAUCAAUAUGUACAUAUAUAUACAUAUAGAUAUAAAUAAAAAUAACACCUACACAUGCACAAAAAUGGAAGUAAAACAAAGAUAAUAGUGACUAAUUAACAAAUACAUAUACAAAUGAUAAUAAAAUAAAAUAGUGAUGAAAAGGAUAAAAACAAUAACAAUGAAUAAUAAUAAAAUAAUAAUAAAUAUAUAUAUAUAUAUAUAUAUAUAUAUAUAUAUAUAUAUAUAUAUAUAUAUAUAGAUAAAUGCAUACAAUGGUCAAGAUAAUAAAUUUGAUUACGAAUAAUUAUUUCUAAAUUAGGAAACUUUACGAAAAAAUUGAAACUUUCCAAAAAUAAAAACUUCUUAAUUUAGGAAAACUCUGCUAAAGUUCAUAUAAUGGCAUAGACAUGAAUCUUAAAUUUACUCAGAGUAUGUAUAUUUAUGCAUCUAUAGGAGCAGCCAGACAAAGGUAGGUGUUAUUUACCCUUUUGAGAUUUCAAAAGUGCAAAAUGACAUUUUUGUUGUCAAUCAUAUUUUGUUGUGUUGACACAAAAUGUAUUUGAUUAAAUGUUUUACUGGGAUAUUUAUGCAAGUUCUACUUUUACUAUACGAAAAUAGACCAUGUGACUUAUUUGAAACAUUUUGAUAUGUUAUUAUAUACCAAAUGGGCUGUAUCUUUUAUGCAAUCAAAGAACUAUGUAUGUGAUGUGUGAAAUAAAUUUAUAUUAAGUAAAACUCAAAACAGUCAUGGAAUAGACGGUAGGGGUUAUAGUCCUGCCUAAUGGUCAUAGUAGCCUGGUAUAGUGUCCGACCGAUUAACAAGGUCAUAAUAGUUCGGUAUAGAAUCCGACCGAUUGAUCCAUGUAUGUAAUGAGACCAAUCGGUAGUUAUGAAACCUAUUGGUCACCCACCUAAAAGGGGUUUAAUCUCUAAACUGAGUACUCAGAUGCCGGUCAUUGCAUGUACUUGUUAUGAGCUGAUAUGAAAUGAUUUAUGAUUUUAUGACUUUAUGACUUCUAUGUACGGUUAUGAAUAAGAUGUUUAUCAAUUGUUGUAUUACUCUUUAUUAUUGGUUGUUUUACAAAUAACGUUACUUUUAACGAUUAUGGAUGUGAAUAAUGUGCAAAUAAAUUGAUUUACGUAUAUAUUUAUAUGUAAAAUUAUGGUUGCAUGGUCCAACAGAGGGGUAGAUACUACCUACUGAGAGAUUUGUCGCACAACCCAAUGUUUACCAUUUUUGCAGAUUCUGAGGAGUAUGAGUUGAUUUAUGUAGAAGACCUUGAGGAUAAUUUUUAUUAGUUCUACGUGAAUGGAAAUUAGCAGCCUAGCUGCCUCUAGCUGUUAGUUAUAUUUAUUUUCUUUUCCGCUGUUACGACUAGAGAAUAAAUGUACGAACUUAUUGGAUAUACGUAGACUACCUUUCAUUUGAGAUUUGUACCACACUUUAUUUAGUUAUACUAUUUAGUUCUUUCUAAGUUUAGUCUAGUUUAAUGUUGCCUUGUAUCCUUGAGUGGGACUUGAGGAUACGGCGGAUGUCACGUGAUUGGCGCGUGCGGGCUCAGGCCAUAAUUGAUACUAUUUCCCGGAGACAUUGCCUUCCCUUAGUUUAAUUUCCUAUUCUAUUCAACGUCAUCUAGCUCUUUAUGCCAUAUAUUUCAACUAAUUAAUUAAUCUCAUACAAUUGCUUCAUAAUGACCAUAUAUCUCAAAGAUUAAGGGCCUUUCUUUAAUUUCUUCCUUCCCCACCUUUGCCUUCUUAACAAACUAAUAGACAGAGCUAUUCAAACCAAUCAAAAAAAAAAACACCAACUUCUUCCUUCCAAUCUCAUACAACUCCCUUUGUUAUAGUUCUAGUAGUGUGUUCAGAAAAAUUUUUGUGCAAUAACAUAUGGACAUGUUGAAAUCCUUAUUUAACCUAAUGCUUGCUAAUUUAACAAAAUAAUGCUAGAUAAAAGGAUUUGUGUUUGGAUAGUUAUUUAUAAUCCUUCUAUUAUAACAAAAUCAUGCACAAUGAAAACAUAUAGGUCUCUCUUGAACAAGAAAAUUUUUCUUGUGCUCUCAAUAUUUUUCAUCACUGAUCAAAAUAAAUAUCGAAAUGAAGAUUUGUACAUAGUUGUCAUUCUUAUGCUUAUUUUAUUUUUUUAGGAUUAGAACUUUAUUACUUCUUUUUUUUUUGACAAGGGAACCUAUAGUUGCUACUUGAGAGUGCAUACUGAAUAAAUCCUAUCCCGUGCAGUAGCCCAUCAAUCACAUAGAGGGGUAAGACACACUAGACAAUCUCUGUGCGACGAACGGAUAUCCCAGGAGAGGUUCGAAUCUAAGUUGGUAGAAAGACAUGACACCAACUCUACCAUCUUGACUAACUCAAGAGACUUAUUAUUAUUUUUAGUUGCUUCUACCAUUUAUGCAAUUACUUCAAUAGAUAUAAAGCCAUACUGCAUGUUUAAAUAAUUUAUGCCUAGUUGGGCAUGCAUGCACGCGGUUUAUUCCUCCUAGUUCUCUCUCACACGAGCAAAGCCAAUCCCAAAAAACAAGAACUACAGAUAGCCCAAUCAAACAUUCUUAAACAAGACUACUUUAAAUUUGAAAUGGGAGGUUAUUUCAGUUUGUUUGGAUAGGAGGUUAUUUAAAAUAUUUAUUUGAAAUUUGUGAUGUAAGGUAUAUGAGAUAAAAAAGAGCGAAUUUCUCAGACUAAUGCGAAAAAGAGAAAACAUCACAAAAGUGAUGCUGCUGUGGGCUCACUUCUAGAUUAAGGGUCGCCGCAAAUGUCAGGAGAGACUUCGUAGAAAAGUUGAUUUAAAUUUCUUUUUUUUUUAAAGCUGGAACCAAUUUUUUUUCGUUUUCACAAAAGUUUCGCCGCAAAUGGUGAAUGAGGCUGAGAAAAAAAAUAUUUUUUUGAAUUGCUGCAAAUUACACAAUUUGCGGUGAAGCAUGAAAAAAAAUAUUUAAAAUUUUUUUUGAGAAAUCGCAAAUUGCAUUUGCGGCAAAGGAGAAAUCGCCAUUUGUGUCCAUUUGUAUCUUAUCAUCAGUUUUAGUUUUCCCAUGCUCUAGUUGCAUUCAACAUGAAGAUAAUUAUAUAAAUAUUCAUGUGUUACUUCACAUGAUGUUGUUCAUGAUAUGCUAAAUUUAAGUAGAAGCGUCUGAGUCCUCUGCUAGUUGGAAUUAUCACUUUUUGCUAGAGUUAGAUCAUUUUAUACGAGACAAAGUGGUGGCAUCUAGCCUUAUAAUAAAGGAUUUUGCAGCUGAUGGUCUAUCAUAACACCAUAAUUGUUGACCUCAUACAGUUGCAAAACCUCUGUAAUAUGUAUCUUGAUCCCGUUAAUCCCGUUAAUCUUGCACAGUGUGCUCAUCCUGGAUUGACAGUGAUAUGAGAAAAGGCUUUCAGGACAUUAUAAUACUUGAAUCAAGGAAUGCGACUAGCAGCUGGCCCAUUUGACCAUCAAGAUGUUGGCACAUCUACCACUCGUACUGUCUCUUUCGAGAUGCCUGUCGAACAUUUAGCCAAGUAGAUGCAUGAUAAAAAACAAGACGGUAGGCAUUGCAGAGGGCACCUCCACCCAUGUUGUUCAUGUAUUCAACAUAUUUAAUUUUCAAUAUGUCUUGCCCGACAUUAAAACAAAAAAAUUCAAAAAUGGAUGAUUUGGGCAUAUUCUUUUCAAUUCAUUUUAUAUUUUCAACCAAAAGGAAGUUGAAAGAAUUUUUAUAGGAUGAUUAAUCAUCAUUUAUGAAAUUAGCACAAUUUUGUAGUUAAAUUAAAUUUGCAGCUUUCAGGCUUAGGAUUUACGUAUUAGGAUUUUAUUGUGAGGGUUUAGGGAUUAGUGUUUUAGGUUGGGGUUUGCUAGCAAAAUCAUCGUAAUUCCAUUUUAAAAAAAAAAAAAAUUUAAAGUUUGCAGCUCAUUUGAGGUGUAGUGAAUCCUUUAAAAAAACUUUUUUGCUUCGCCUCCCUUUUGAGGUGGAGCAAACCCUUGUAAAAUAUGAAAAAAAAUCCAGUCCUUUUACUUCCUUGGCGGCGAAAAAAAUGAAAUUGAAUUCAAUUUCUUUUAAACCUACUUUUUCAUUCCCGGCGACCCUUGAAAACAACACCAACCCCAAUAGGAGAAAAUUGGAACUAAUGCUAAGCAGUAAGAUGUAGACGCCACGCGAUUAGAUGUGCCAAACAGUAAGAUAUGAAUGGUCACGAUCUUUUGUCCCACAUCGGCUUCUUAAAAAAUUGUGGGAUCAUCAUGCACGUUUCGCCUGCCUCAAAAUUUUUAGAAACAAAAAUUUUUAUCCUCCCCCAAAUUACAUUUGCAGUUUCUGAAAUUUUUUUUUUUAAAAUUUCAUUUACAUUUGCAGCAAUUCAAAAAAAAUAAUUUUUUUUGCAGCCUCAUUCGCCAUUUGCGGCGAAACUUUUGUGAAAACGAAAAAAAAUCGGUUCCGACUUUAGAAAAAAAGAAAUUUAAAUCAAAUUUUUUAUUAAACCUCAUAUGAUAUUUGCGACGACCCUUAAUCUAAAUGCCAACCCCCAACAACAUCACUAUUGUGAUGUUUUCUUGUUUUCGCAUUAUUUUGAGAAAUUACGCAUAAAAAAGUGGUUGAAAAUUGUGUGUAUGAUGUAAACAAAACAAAAUUUGAAAUUUUUUUUUAAAAUUCUUGAUAUCCAAACACACCAAAUUUGUUUUGAAUUAUAUUAUGAUCCAUUAUUCUUUUCACUCAAGAAAUAAUGGAUCCUAAUAUAACUAUUAAGGUGGCGUUUGGUUCGCAUGUUGGAAUCGAAUUCGGAUUCGGAAUCAUUCAUCCUGGAUUUGGAAUGGAAUCAAUCAUUACAAUACAUUUGUUUGGUUCAGUGCCAAGAAUGUAUAUCAUUACUAUAGUUGAUAUUUGGUACGUUGGCUCUUUGUAAAUGGGAUAUAAGAAAUUUUCACUAAUUAAAUAUAUUAGUAUAAAUAUAUUAGUAAAUUUAGUAUAACUAAUUAAUAUUUUCUAUUAGUAAACAUGUAUAAUUAUUAGUAUAAUUGAUAAUAUCAAUUAUAUUACAUAGAUUAAUAUACAUUAUAUAAUACAUAUAACUAAUAAUAUCAUUAUUAUAAGUUUGUAACUAAUUAAAUUAAAUAUUAUAUAUAUAAUUAAAUAUAAUUAUACAAAUGUUAUAAUAUAAAUAUAUAAUUAUAAUUAUAUAAUAUAUAUAAAUAUUAAUUAUACUAAUAUUUUAUAUAAAUAUAAUGUAUAUUACAUAUUAAAUAUAGUUAUUAUUAUAUAUAAAAUAAUAAUUACAAUUAUAAUUAUAUAAUUUAUUAAUAUUAUAUACAUGUUUAUAUUAUAAUUAUAUGCACAUAUAGUAUACAUUUAUAAAUAUACAUAUAUAUUAUAAAUAUAUUAUAAUAUAAUAUUAAUAAAUUUAUAAUAUAUAGUAUAUAAAUAUAAUUAUAUUUAACUAAAUAAUUAUAAUAUAGAUUUAUAUAAUAUAAUAAUAUCAUUAUUAUAAGUUUGUAACUAAUUAAAUUAAAUAUUAUUUAUAAUUAAAUAUAAUUAUACAAAUGUUAUAAUAUAAAUAUAAAUAUAUAAUUAUUUAAUAUAUAAAUAUUAAUUAUACUAAUAUUUUAUAUAAAUAUAAUGUAUAUUACAUAUUAAAUAUAGUUAUUAUUAUAUAUUAUUAUAUUUAAAAUAAUAAAUAUUAAUAUUAAUAUAUAAUUUAAUAAUAUUAUAUACAUGUAUAUAUUAUAAUUAUAUGAACAUUUAAUAUACAUUUAUAAAUAUACAUAUAUAUUAUAAAUAUAUUAUUAUAUAAUAUUAAUAAAUUUAUAAUAUAUGUUAUAUAAAUAUAAUUAUAUUUAACUAAAUAAUUAUAAUAUAUAUUUAUAUAAUAUACUAAUAUUAUAAUUAUAAUAUAUUAUAUAUAUGUAUAUAUUACAAUAUAAAUAUAAAUAUAAUUAUAUAAUUAUACUAAUAUAUAUAUUAAUUAUACUAAUAUUAUAUAAUUAUAAGAUUUGGGAAUCAGACUUGGGUUUUGGACAAAACUUACCAAGUUACUAAGGACUGGAGGAAUGCUAAAUUUUUAGACAUCAUUCCAAAAUUUUAAUUCCGAUAGUAGUGAACUAAACAUGAAUCAUGGGAUUUAUUCCAUAAUUUCAUUCCGAAACCCUUUUACCAAACGCCCCCUAAUAGUUUAGUCAACAAUGCUACUUCCAUAGGCAAUGAAACUUAGAGCUCCUAAUAUGUACUGGCCAGCACUGAGGUACAUGUCCUGCUAAAACAUGAAUGACUUGGAUUAUGUAACUUAUGUUUGAUUUGCAUAUUAUUUACCUCCUGAACCUAUAAUACAUUAUGAACUUUGAGCAAAUUAUCCUCAUUAUUACAGUAGACCCAAAAAACAAAAGAGUUAAAUAGAUAAUAAAAAAUUUUUUGACCCACAAUUUAGUUACUGAUAUUAGUGGACAAGCUGGUGCGUAGCACAGUCAAACCCAAGCAAGUACUGAUAAAAGAAGAAAUGCAUAUAAGAAUGGAAAAGCAAACCCUCACAUAUACUGAUAAGGCAACUGUCUAAUAAUUCAAACAAAGUUACCUAGCUAUUAUACUAAUGCCCUCUGCACUACUGCAGGGGAUUAGUUUGACGUAAGUCAGGAUACUCCUAUAUUAGAAAAAAAAAAAUCAUACUAAUGCCCCUAUUUGACAGAAAAGGUACAAAAAACAGAACCGAUGGGGUAACGGUAACAUAUCACAAGCAAGAUAGUACCACCGUUCUUACCACACAUUUAAAAUUCCUAAGCAAGGAAAAAAAAAACAUAAUAUAAAUAAAACUGCUAUUCAUCAAUGCUACAAACGGCCAAAAAACUUUCAUUCACAACUUUUUCUCACAUAUAGACGCAAACAGCAGUAUUUCCAAUAAAACAAACACUUAUAAUAAAAUAAAAUCUAAAUAAAACAAACCCAGCCAUAAUCUCCUUACAUUAAAAAAAAAAAUCAGAACAUUACAGUCGAAAUAAAAACUCCACUAUUAUCAUAACACUAAAAUCCUCAAACAAAUUACUCUAUCGGCAAAACAAUUACAAGCAUAAAAUCCUCUACUCAAUCCAAAAUCGAGACAGUGUUCAACACGACAAUCAGUGGAAGCCACCACGUGAAUGUUAGCCUCCUAAGCACCACGAGUAGAGAACACCAAGUGAAGAGUAGACUUGUGAGGAAUUUCAUAGUCUUCAAUAGUGCGACCAUCCUCAAGAUGCGUACCAGCAAAAACCAACCUUUGCUCGUUCGGUGGGAUUCCUUCCCUAGACAGAAUUUCUUCCUUCACGUUCUCGAUGGUAGCAGAACCCUCCAACACCAGAGUAAUGGUAUUCCCUCUCAAAGUUUCCACAGAUAUUUCCAUUCUUCCCCUCCACCUCAUCACCAACUGAAGGGUUGACUCCUCCUGGAUGUAAUAAUCUGCAAGAGUCCGACCAUCCUCAAGCUGUUUACCAGCCAAAAUCAACCUCUGGUCAGCCAGUGGGAUCCCUUCCUUAUCUUGAAUUUUCGCCAUGACAUUGUCGAUGGUAUCAGAACUCUCCACCUCCAGAGCUAUGGUCUUUCCAGUAGGAGUUUUCACGAAAAUUUGCAUUCCACCGCCAAGCCUGAGCACCAAAUGAGGGAUAGACUCCUUUUGAAUAUUAUAAUCGGCAAAAACAUUGUCUGGGGGAACACCCUCCUUGUCUUGAAUCUUAGCCUUGACAUUGUCAAUAGUAUCAGAGCUUUCAACCUCAAGACUGAUUGGCUUACUAGUGUCAGUGCUCUCAGCUUUCGCGGAGAUCUUCAUCUGUUAGGGGGAAAAAAUGAAACAAAAAAAAAAAAGCCAAAGCCGAUCAGAUCUAAUCAAAUUCAAAUCUUUAAACCCAAAAUUGCCAGCACAAAUACCAAAAGAUAAAUAAUCGGAAUUGCUAGCCAAACAAAAAACUGUAAUCCCUCAACCUCGAUCAAUGUUAACCAUUAGAUAAUGCUAAGCUGUGACCAUAUACCAGCUAAUUGAAUGUAUAAUAGUCAGUCACAUUUAGCAGCAGCUAAUUGAUUGUAAUAAGUAGAUAGUUAGUUGGUUAUGAUAGUAGUUAAUUACUUAGCAUCGCUGAGGUGGCAAGGUGGUUAAAGGCGGUUACUUCUUAAUUCAUUGAUAAAAUAAGUAACAGCAAGGGAAGGCAAUUAAGAAAGCUAGUGAAAAAGAAACAUCACUUAUCAAUAUAGUACAAUUCCUUUAUUAUUGUAACCUUUCCUAUAACUCUCCUUGAUUAUCAAUAUAGUACAAUUCCUCCUCCCUAUUCCUCGACGGACAUUCUCCGUUAACUGGAAUUGGGAAUUGGGAUCUUCACUACCUUUGCAUCACAAAACAAUUUAGAUUGUCAAAGAAGGAAAGAUUACCUUUUGAUGGCAGAAUUUGAGAGAAGAUUGAUGAAGAAGAAGAUGGGUAGAUUAACGAGUGAGAAGUGAAGCUGAGAGACGCCCCUAUGGAUAUGCUAGUAUAUUAAAAAGAGGCUAAAGAGGUACUGUUGUCAGCACUGUUGAUUGUCAGAGUGUUAAUUUCGUCCCCUUUUCAUUACGCAGAACCAACACGCAACGCGGUGGUAUGUGCAAUGGAAACUACUCCGGCGUUGCUUGUGCGGUGGGUGGAAAGUGGGAUGAACUUCCUACCGAUGAAGAAACACAAAUGAAGCAUUUCCAUUCAUGUACACCUUCAACGAUCACAGCCCUUAAAUCAGUGGUUUUGAACUUUUAGCAAAACAACAAUGGAAACUUCGGUUUGCUUCUAAGGUGGAAAGUGGGAUGAACUUCCCACCGUAGGCAGAAAGCCAAUUAGAAGUACAGUUAACUUCGGUUGCUUCUACGGUGGGGUGGAAAGUGGGAUGAACUUCCCACGAAUGUAGCACACAAAUGAAGCAUAUCCAUUCAUUUACACCUUCAACGAUCACAGCCCUUAAAUCAGUGGUUUUGAACUUUUAGCAAAACAACAAUGGAAACUUCAGGGUUAGUUCUAAGGUGGAAAGUGGGAUGAACUUCCCACAGUCGGCAGAAAGCCUCUUAGAAGUACAGUUGCUUCUUCGAUGGAAAGUGGCAUGAACUUCCACUUUUUUUCCAAAAAAAAGUCCCAGUUGUGUCGAACUUUCUAUUUUUGGAAUGGAAUAUUUACGAAAUCUCCAUGAAUAGGAUCAACCCCUACUCCAUGGGAUUUACAUAAGGUUCCUCUUUAAAUUAAAAAACUCCUGAUAGGGUUUAAUUGAUCCAUGAUUUAUGUUUUAUCUUUCGAUUGGAAACUAGGAAUAGACGGACUUUCUAUAGGACCUAUUUUACUAAUGGGAUUCAUCACCACUUUAACGACUUUAGCAACUUGGCCAUUUACAGGAUUCUCGAUGAUUUAAUUUCCUAAUGUUAGCGAUGUACAGCGCUCAAAUAGGAUUAUUUUCUUCUCGGAACCUUUUACUUUUUUUUCAUCAUGUGGGAGUUAGAAUUAAUUCCUGUUUAUCUACUUCUAUCUAUGUGGGAUGGAAAGUGGGAUGAACUUCCUCUUUUUUUCUAGACAUGAUAGACCUACUCUUACUCUAUAUUAAGGGAAUGGGAAACCUAAAGAGAUCUAAGAAAAAUUCGGAAAGAACUGAAUCACCACUCAUUCAUCUAAAUCUCAAAUAAAAUUUUAAAACUCUUUUAGUAGCUAACUACUCUAGGAGUAGUUGGUUGGGAUAAACUUCCCACUGUAGGCAGAAAGCCUUUUAGAAGUAAAACUCAGCACGAGCAUUUGUGUCCAUAUUUUUGCGGCCCAAUUGAGAGAAGGUAACUGGCAAAGGCUGUUACCAUCUUAAGGAGCUUAGCAAAUACCUAUAUGAAUUGGAUUGGGUCGUUAAAUGAAUAAAGAAUGUCCCAAAUAGGGCAAUGGGUAAAAGUCAUUAUUAAUUUGAAGCCAGAAUUUUUAGGUUGGGAAAAAAACUUGUAAGUAAUAAACUUGUUAUUCGAUGAGUAUCAUUUAUAGAAUUAUAUAGUUGUAGUGUAUUUCCUUUUUGUUUCUACUUUUUUCUUGAUUAUCUAGUCUUAAAUUAAGUUUCUUUAUCAACAAGGUCAUCCUUAAUGAUGAUUUUGUUGAAACAAUGAUAGCAAUAAAUUAUAUUAAACAGAAUGAGGAAGUUUUGUAUUAAAUAAGAAUUAAUCUUUGCACUCUAGUUUCGAGCGCUUUAGACAAGAUGACAAAAGCAAGUUUUUCCAUUAGUCAGCUUGUUUUUUCUUGGAUUUCCAUUGAUGAUGAGCCAUCAUCAUCAUCAUCAUCUUCUCUUUUAAACUUGAUGGUUGUUUUGCAGUUGCACUGAUCUUUGCCAUAGGCAUCAAGGAGAAUGAUGUUAGAGGAGAAUUUGUCACUAUUAUGUGUUUGAAGGAAGAAAACUGGAGGUGGGAUUUUGUGAGAAUUAAGAAAAGUUGGAAUCGGUUGGGAGGAUAGAGUAAGUUUAGUUUGAGCAAGAAAAAGGUUGGGUUUGCUGCUAUUGUUGUGCCACCAUAGGAUGAAAUUAAAGUUAGUUGUUCUUGUAGUUUUGAGGGGUUUUAGGCAAAAAGACAAGGGAAGAGGUUGAUGAACGAAGAGUUUCAACUAUAAAGCUGUACAAUACUUGACCAUAGUGGAAUAGAUGUGCUCUAUUGAACUAUUUGGCUUGGAUUAGAUUGGACCGUACUCUUACUGGAUCUAAUCAAGAUUGAUUCUUUGUUUCAAAAAGAAAAAGAAAUUAAAUCAGUGUGAUGCUUGAUUAGAUAUUCGACUCAAUCAGCAACUUGAUUCAUCAUGUUUCAAAAAGGCAGAGAUAGGCUUACAAGGGUCGUCCGAUUACAUACUGUACAUCAUUGUACUCCCUGGUAAGCUUCUUCUUUUUUUUUCCGGAAAUGAUAGAAGUUUUUAUUUCUACAAAUAGAGAAAUUACACUAUUCGAGCAAAGGCUCAAGUUUUUCUUUACAAAAGUGUACUGAGACACUGAGGAUCGAAGAAUUCCUCAUCAAAAUGUAAAUGCAUUGCCUGCUUACUCAGUUUAUGACUGAGACAAUUAAUGCUAUGAUUAGCGGACUGAAAAUCAAAUGAGCAUAUCGUAAACAUUAAGCUAAGAUCUGUUAUGUAUUGUAUGUGGGCUGCUAGUAGCAUGUUACAAGAAACUUGACCGUUGAGAAGCUUGUAAACCUGAAGGCUUGGUGUCUGAAGUUUGAUACUGAAGCAGCCACGUUCCAUAAGCUUGCACAGUGCUAACCGUAUGGCCACAAGGUUGUCUAGUAUUGGUGAUCCGGUGCUUCUUUCUUUCAUCAGCCACACUGCACUUAGUUGAUGCAAUCUGUUUUCUGCUGUAAUGCCGAUUCCCAUGUUCAAACCCUCGAGAUGCUGUCCCACAUGUACACUAAUGGUCAGUGUGUUUGUAUCUUCGACCACCCUCUGCUCUUGUACAUCCGCUAUAUCUGUUUCUGAGAUGCUCACUUGCUGUUCAGGCUGUUGAGAUUUCAAAUAUUCCUCCCAUUCCAUAACUACCUUUGUAAUCACUUUCAUUGGAUGUCUCUCUUUGUCUUCGAACUCUACUGUAUUCCUGGCUUUCCAAAUUUGCCAAAGAAUGUCCACUGUCAAUGCUAUAUGUUCCCUUCCUUCCUUCCUAUCUGUGACUUCCAUUAGUGUACUCCACCAUUUCCUGAAGUCGCUUGUAAACUACUGCAGACCAUCCCAUUGCAAUGGAGCCAUCUUCCAGAUCAUCCUUGCAGUCCUGCAGUGGAAGAAAAUGUGCUCCACUGUCUCACUGUUCUCACCACAUUGCUUACACAUUAGGUCUCCCUUUCCCGUUCUCCGAAAGAUUGCCUCUCGACCUGGUAGCACUUGAUGCAGGCACUUCCAUAAAAAUACCUUGUGUUUGUGCUUUACUGGAAGACCCCAUAGCUGUUUCCAGAUUUUGCCAUUUCCCCCUGACCAGCUUGUUUCCCCCUUGCCGUUCAAUUGCACUAUAGGCUGCGUGGUAAGACUUGUGAGUGCUGCAUAUGCCGAGCUGACUGUGUAGUUUUCUUUUUUGGUAUGAGACCAAAAGUAGCAAUCUAGUCUCCCUGUCAAGCUUAUAGGUGUUCUGAGUAUAUGAGCAGCUUCGUGUGAACUAAAGAGCCUGAAGAUGAGAGUUGAUUUCCACCUAAAGUUGGCUAUCAAUUCACUAACUGUUGUGAUAUUGCAACCAAGGGGUUUUGAAGAUUCAAUCUUACCGUCCUUUCCUUCCAACAACCAAGCAUCUUCCCAAAUUCUGGUGUUGUUCCCAUUUCCAAUCUGUUUCCUAGCUCCGCAUUGCACCACCUCUCUUGCGGACAUCAAACUUUUCCAUAUCCAUGAUGCAUUACCUUUGAUUUCGUAGUUGAAGAGGGUUGUUUUGGGGUAGUACCUUGCUUUCAAAACUUUGCUAAGCAAAAGGUUGGGGCAUGUGAGGAGCCUCCAAAUCUGUUUGCCUAGCAAAGCUUUAUUAAAGCUUUGAAGAUCUUUGAAGCCAAGACCACCAGCUUGUUUUCCAGUUGACAAUGUCUUCCAUGAAACCCAAUGCACUUUCGUUUGACCGUUCUCCUGCCCCCACCAAAAUCUUGCCAUCAAAGAGUUGAUGUCUUUGCAUAACCUCACGGGCAGCUUAAAACAUGACAUGGCAUAAGUUGGCAUCGCCAUAAUAACAGCCUUCAGCAACACCUCUUUCCCUGCUUGGCUAAGCUGUGUAUUUCUCCAGUUGAGGAUUGAUUUUUGGCAUCUGUCUUUAAUAAAUCCAAAGAUUUGCAUUUUGGUUCUUGUGAUUACCAUUGGCAAACCCAAAUACUUCCCCUGUUUCACCACUUUAACCUGUUGUAGACUGCUGCAAAUUUCUUCUUGUACUUGUUUCGCCACAUUUUUGCUGAAGAAAACUGAAGAUUUUUCCAUGUUGAUCAUCUGUCCGGAUCCUUUUUCAUAUGUUUGCAGAAUUUUCAUCACUUCUUGAGCUUGCUUCUUAUCGGCUUUGCAAAAAACUAACGAGUCAUCGGCAAAGAAGAGGUGAGUUAGUGAAGGUCCGGUUCUACUAAUCUGCAUUCCAGUCAAUUUUUGCUUCUUUGUGCCUAAGCCAGCAAGUUGAAAAAACCUUCGGAUACUAGUAGAAACAAGUAAGGCGACAAUGGGUCUCCUUGUCUAAUCCCUCUUGACGGUAUCAUAUAUCCUUUAAGCUCACCAUUUAUGUUGAAGGAAAAAGAAACUGUUGAGAUGCAUUCCAUUAUCCAGUUUAUCCAGGUAUCACAAAAACCCAUUUUAACCAUGAUUGCCUUCAGAUAUCCCCACUCAACCCUGUCAUAAGCUUUAGACAUGUCUAACUUUAGAGCCAUAAACCCAUUAGAUCCUUCACUUUUGUUUUUUAAGUAGUGCAAGUACUCAUGAGAGAUAAUAACAUUGUCCAAAAUCUGUCUUCCAGGUAUAAAAGCAGCUUGGUUUUUGCUAAUGCAGUUUCCCAAAAGUUUUUUCAAUCUGUUUGCUAGGAUUUUGGAAAUGGUUUUAUAGAGUACAUUACAAAGGCUUAUAGGCCUAAACUGCUUAACCUCAGUGGGAUUAUCGACUUUGGGAAUGAGUGAUGUGGUUGUGUGAUUCAAAGCCUUUAACAUAUAACCCGAAUGAAAGAAACUUUUGAUUGCUGAAAUGAUGUCAUUUUUAAGAAAUUGCCAAUAUUUCUGAAAGAAAAUUGGUGUCAUGCCAUCAGGUCCCGGGGUUUUGGUUGGAUGCAUAGAGAAAAGUGCAUCUUUAAUUUCUUUUUCCAUGAUUGGUUGGGUAAGAACAGUGUUCAUGUGAUCCGAUAUUGACUGUGAUAUUCCCUCCAGAACCAACUCAGUUGGGGUACCUACCUUGCUAGUAAAAAGCUUGUUGUAAUGUUUAACAACUUCUUCUCCUAUUUCCUCCUCAGAUGUGGUCCAAGUUUUGUCCUCCCUUUGUAUUCUUUGCAUUUUAUUUCUCUUCUUCCUACCUUUAACACUAGAGUGGAAAAAAUGAGUGUUUUUAUCCCCUUCCUUCAACCAUUGCACUCUAGAUUUUUGACUCCAAAAGAGUUCCUCUUCAUCAUAUGCCUCCUUUAAUUUCCUCUUGAGCUCCUUAGUAGUAGCCUUUUUGUUUUCGCAAUCCUGUCCUUGAAGGUCUAGCAUUUGUUUUUUCAGGCCAUCAAGCUUGCUUCUAGAGUUGCCUUGGAAGGUAUUUUUCCAUUUCAAAAGAGCCACUCUGCAAUUCGCAAUUUUCCUAUGCACUUUGAACAUAUUCGAACCAGUUUGUGCCUCCUCCCAAGCAUGCUUUAUGACUUGUUCCACCCUCUCUUUUUUCAUCCAUCUCUUAUCAAAAAAGAAUCAUUUUUUUUCUUAACCUGUAUAGGAUUGGAGUCUAUUAACAACAUACUAUGGUCUGAUCCCAGGGUCUCAAUGUGUUUGACUAUGGUUCUGUCGAAAAUCUGGCUCCAAUCAUGACUUACCAAGGCUCUAUCUAAUCUUUGCUUUAUUUCCCCUUCAUGAGACCAAUGGUUACUCCAAGUCCAGGGGUUACCUUCAAAUCCAAUGUCUAUGAGUCCAUUAUGUUCAAUGAAGUUGUUAAAAUCUUGGAAUGACCCCUGCUCUCUUUUCCUACCUCCCCACUUUUCCUCAUUUGAGGUAAUGUCAUUGAAAUCACCUGUGAUGAUCCACUUAUGACCCCAUAAUACCUUUCUUCGUUGCACCACUUCCCAUUGCUUCCUCCUAAUUUGAUCAUCAGUACUAGCAUAAAUGCCAAUGAACCACCAUUCCUCAUUCUUUUCUGUAUCCUUGAUCUGAAAUUCCAUAGUGAAAGCCGUAGUUUUAAUGUCCAUCACUAUCACCUCAUCGUUCCACAAAACCAUCAUGCCACCUGCUUUAUUCAUAGACUCCACCACUUCACAUUGAUCAAAUCUUAAUUGUCUUCUUAUCCUUUCCAUGAACUGUAAUCUGUUUUUGGUCUCACUUAAGAACACCAUAUGUGGGGAGAGGAGGUUGCAAGCCUCCCUCAACUGGGGAAUUAUCAAGGGGCUCCCAGCACCUUGGCAAUUCCACACCAGAGCCUUCAUUUAUCCAUGGGUGACCAGAUUAGGCUGGUCACCACCCCUUCAGCUUUGCUCACAGAGAUCUCUUGAUCAGUCCCCAAUUUUCCUUUUUUUGCCACUAUUUCAGUCACUUCAACAUCGAUCAUAUCCUCAUCCAGCAGCUGCACUUUCCUUUUCCCUGUGGCCUGUUUACUUGGCUUUUGUUUCUGACUCCCUUUGUGUGAUUUCCUGAUUAUUAGUGGAGUAUUCAACUUGCUUCUUGUGCGUGUAGAUCUUUUGUGGUUGCACCUUUCCUCCCCCUCCUCUAGUUGAGCCUCCACUUGCUUGUUCUCCACUUCUACUUCCUUAGAAGAUUGUUCCACCGACUUUUCCAGCACUACAUUGAGCUGGCCUCCACACAAUCUCGUUUCAAACUGUAGUUGCGCCUGCUUUGCUUUGUCAUCUUUGUCAUUUACCUGAUUGACAUCUGCUGUUUGCCCAUGUUCCUCCUCAGCUGCCUGGUUCCUCUCUCUUAACUCCGUCUCACUGAACUUUGGAACCAGCUCACCAUCUUUGAAGCCCCAUCUUUUCUUAUUUGGGGAUAUCUCAUUUGCCUGGACAAUCCCAACUGUUUGACCACAUACCGUACUUGUAUUCCCCUCCUCUGCUGCCUGACCCCUCUCACUCAGCUCCUUAUCACUUGGUUUUGGGACCAAUUCUCCCUCUUUGAAACCCCACCUUUGCUUGUUUGGGGAAAUACUAGCAGCCUGUUUCCCUCUCCUUUCCUUCUGAGGCGACAUAUUCCCAACUCUUGCCCUCAUCCAUGGUCCAAAUUGAUUGUGUUGUUGGCCUUUACCCCCUACUAUACUAGCUGAACAAUUUUUCUCGUUGUGUCCAAUUUUACCACUGGUAUAACAGAAAUCAGGUCCUCUUUCAUAUUUGAAGCUUAACCAUUUCAGUUUUCCUUCCAUUUUCACGGUAGUCCCUCUCAUUAAGGGUUGUGAAAUAUCUGCCAUGACUAACAUUUUUAUGUGCCUCCCUUCCUUCCCUCCACUUUGGGGUAUAAUCACUUCCCUUGUUCCAUGAAAAACUGAUGCUAUCUUCCUCCCCACCUCCUUGGAUAACCAGUGAACAGGAAGAUUCCAAAUUUGAAUCCAUAAUGGUGCCAUGUUAAAAUCCGCUCCCUCCUCUUCAAAACCUUCAAACCAUGGUUUAACCACUAUAAUCUGGUUAUCAACAAUCCAUGGCCCUCCCUUGCAAAUCCUUUCUCUAUCUUUCUCGCUGGGUAUGAAAAAUUGAAAUGUGUUAACACCAACCUCCACCACCCUUAAUCCUUUAGGAUAACCCCAUGCUACUGUCACAAAGUUUCGCACUCCCACAUAAUUGAUGAUUUUCUCACCCAUUAUCUUUCCCACUAGACUUUCUUUACACUCCUUUACACUUGGGCCUACAUCUCCUAAGUCAAUCUCUGUUUCACCCCUCUCUUUGGUGGAAAGAUCAAAUCUUUGCAGAAUUUCAGUUAUUUCCUCAGCCAUAUGUCCUCGACUAUGAUUCAAUAAGGGAAUAUCACAGAAACAAAACCAGUUGAGAGAAUGGGACAGCAACAAAGAUGGACUAACCACAACGUAACACACAAAUAUCAAAGUUUGCCACUGUGAUGUUCCACUGAGGUUAAAGGUUCAGGAUUAUUCUGUCUCAGAAACUAACCCGAAAGACCAAACAUACUGCAUUAGUCUACCAACUAGAAAAACACAACGACCUAUAACCUUGAAACUCCAGAAGAACUGGAAACAGCCCCCACUUUUUUUAAUAAAAAUUUCUUCCUUUUUUUUUAAAGCAUUUUCUAUUUUCAGAAAUUAAAUUUUUUUUUUCCAAAAAACACCAGGAAAAAGAACUCUGAACUUAAAAAGCGAGGAAAGGGCCUAUAACACUAUCCCUCAAGAGUACAUGCAUACCAGAAAGGAUCCUUAAAAAAAGCUUAAAGUUACCUAUCUCAGCUUGGAGAAAAGAAAACCGACAGAGGUAGCAGUGGGGAAUCCGCAAUGUACUACCGCUUUGGCUUCACCAAUCAGAAACUGGGACUAUGAUCUUGUCGGUAUCUCAUUUAUGGUAACCCUCACAAUGUCGGAAGGCUUUUGAACGUUAAAGUGGACGGUCAUUAAUCGGCAAAGGGAUUGUUUCUGGCUUUCAGGUUGUUCCUCUGUUUUAAUACACAAACACCCAAUAAGGGAGAAUGGCACAGUUCCCAAGAGAGAGAAAAAGGGAAAACUCUCAACCGAGAGAAAAUGAGAGAAAAUUUCCCUGGUAAGCAGUGAAAGCGAUCUAAUUAUUUGAUUUUCCUCUUUUUUUAAAAAAACUUUUUUUCCUUUUUGUGUAAAUAAACUAAUUGGUAGUAUAUAUUUUAUCAAAUUUGAAAUUAUAAUUUGUAAAAGAGAAGAACAUGAAAUAGAUGUGUUUGCCGGUUUUGUAUGUCAAGCUUGUUUUGGUGAAGGCAAAAGAAAGUACUACAUAGGGCAAGGGUUAAGAAAAAUGUGAAUAAUAAUAAGAGUAAAUCUUAUAUGCACUGACAAUGUAUACACUAUCACCGUUUGAUUCACGACAUGUGUGCAAAAGUUGAAUUUCAAAAUCAAAUUUUGAAGUGUAUACACUGUCAUUAAUAACAAAAAUGGAGUGUCAUUAAAAUUCUUAAGAAUUUGAAAUUACACUUAAAUUUGGUUAUACAUCCGUUAUAAAUUUAGAAAAGGAACAUUUCCAUGUAUUAAUUUCAAGUAAAAAGUCAGAAUUUUCAUAUAUGAAUAUUAAAAGGGAAAAAGGUCCUAGGGAUUAAGGUUUUGUACGAAUAUUACAAGUUUAGAGGUUAGUCCAGUUGUCUUGUUUGUUAUGGGAUCAAUCAAUGUCGCCUGACCCAUUUCUAAUUUCCAUGUAUAGGUGUCAAGUCCCAUUACUAACUACAAUGGAAUGUAUACUAAGAUUUUAUGGUUAUAAUUUCAAGGUCAAGUUGUCACGGGAGAACUUAGCAAAUUUGGCCAUGGGCAGCAUAAACAAAAUUUGCUUCUGGAUGGGGGAAAGACGUAUUCUACUUUUCAAGCUCCAUGCUGCAUUGCUUUCUUAUUUAUCAGUGUAAUUAGUAUAGGACAAUUCGUUAUUGAAUUUAUUAGACCCUCUUUGUUAUAGUUCUUGUAGUGAGUUCAGAAAAAAAAAUUUAUGUAAUGACAUAUCAACAUGUUGAAAUCCUUAUUUAACCUAAUGCUUGCUAAUUUAACAAAAUAACGCUAGAUAAAAGGAUUUGUGUCUGGAUAGUAAUUUAUGAUCCUUCUAUUAUAACAAAAUCAUGCACAAUGAAAACAUAUAGAUCUCUCUUGAACAAGAAAAUUUUUCUUGUGCUUUCAAUGUUGUUCAUCACUGAUCAAAAUAAAUGUCAAAAUGAAGAUUUGUGCACAGCGGUCAUUCUAAAGCUUAUUUUUAUUUUUUUUAGGGAUAAUUUCAAAAACCUACCCUGAGGUUUUUGGCAAUUUCACUAAGCUCCCCUGAUAUUUGAAAAAUUAAACAUACCUCCCCUAUCAUUUAAAAUGAUAAUUUUACCCUUAAAUGUUUUAAUGAAAUUCUCUUAUUUGGUAUGCUUAUACUUAGAAAUUACCCAAAAGCACUACUAAAAUUAUGAUAAUCCCAUUACACCAAAAAUUUAUAAACUAUAAAUGAAUUAUAUCAACAUUUUCUUUUCUAUCUUAUAAAUUUAAAUCCAUAAUAAAAUAUCAUAAAAAAUAUCGUAUCAUAGUAAUAAAAUUAUUAUUAUUAUAAUUGUUUAUCAAAUAGUAAAUAUGGACAUGAAAAAUUUGGUACAUUUUUCUUAUAAUUAUACUAAAUAAUCUUCUAAUUGUGUAGGGAAAUAAAUUAAAACUCAUUCCAUAAGAGCAUUUUUGGGUAUUCAUUUAAAAAAUUAUCCAAAUCAAUAUUAUUUUAAAAUUUUGUUAUUAAAACUAUCAAAUCAAGGGAUGUAAGUUGUGACAGCCCCACUUUCCCCUAAGGCGAACCAAAGGGGUUAGCGGACUGCCUGCCCAACUCUCGCCAGGACUAACGGUGCAGUUUAGAGCGAUCUAUUGCGUUUCUGAACUUAUAAUGCACGCAAACAAGUCAAACUGGCAAAAUAACCCAAAAUAAAAAAAAAUGAAAUCCGGAGUCGGCCAUGAAUAGUAACCGACCCGUCAGAACCCAACCAAAAAUCAAGCAAACCUUCACAUCUUGAAAUUUAGCAUUUACAAGCCAAAAUGACAUAUGAAAAUUACUCAAAAUUAAUACAUGUACGGUUGCCAAAAUAAAAGUGAAAACGGCCCCAAUGGCACAUUUAGGAUUUCAAUUCAUAAACUAUACAAAAGGGAUAUUCAUCUAGUUCAUUCGGCAACCAAUUAUCAAAAGUCAUUCCAAAAGCAGUCAGAUUCCUGUAAGGAAAACAAAAGGAACGGGGUGAGCUAAUUGCCCAGUGAGAAUACUAUCACUCAAGCCACCAAGUACAUAUAAGCAUCAAGCUUUUCAUUCAAUAUAUUAAAAGUAAACAAAGGCACACAUCACAUGUGGUGAUAAAAGGAUACGAGUGGCUCUCAAGAGCCCUUUUCCCUCGUUUGCAUUUCUUGAUCGAAUUUCAUUGACUCUCCGUCAAUUCAAAAGUAACCAACCGUAGACUCCACUUUACUUCCAUUCCUUCCACCCAACAUACCCCUACCGGGCCCGAACUCCAAACACUUGCACUUUGGUAUUACUCGAGUAAACCGGAAUCGAGAGUCUCUCAUACUACAAGAUUCCAUAUAACAUUUUCCCAAGGCACAUCAAUUGGCACGACCAAGCCCUCGCCGGCUCGAUUCAAUCAACUACCAAUGGGGUUGAGCUCAAAGAUAACAAUUGUAGUCGUUGGAUACUCGUCCAAACGACACCAAACCAUGUACUUUCAUUUCAUGAAACAUGUCGUAUAACAUUCCAAUAACAUGGUAAACAAUAAGUGAGAGUGAUAAAGUACGCUCUCACUUCAAUCAAUUCACAUUCAAUUCACUUCAAGCAAUUCACAUUCAAAGCCAUAUAGUAACACACAAGUGAGUAGUACACUCACCAAGCUUGCAAAUGAGGUUUCAUGCACUUCCGUCAAAAGAACGCCGUGCACCAACGUCACGCCCUAAAACAUGCAAACAAGGACAAUGAGACUCGAUAACGAGUCAUAAACCAAUGUCAAAUACGACCCCAAUAGGGUUCCAUAAGCAUAUACAAACAUUAGAGAAAACCAGAAAAUCCGGAAAUGGAUUUAGCUUUGCCCUGAAAAAAAUAGUUUUUGACCUCUUUUUGCGGUAAUGGCACCCAAGGCACUACGAUUAUCGGAUGAAGGUGUAAGAUACACCGUUUCGAAGCUAAAAGGCAGGGCUACAACAUUGCAGAAGGUCACUCAACCCAGUUUCAAGUGUAACCAGGUCAAAAAUGCAAGAUACUACACCAGAAUCACAAAAACAGAUUCACAGAACGCAUUCUAGCGGAAACAUCAUAAAUCAGGCUAUCCAAGUCCAAAUCCAGAAAUUAUAAAACCAGCUGAAAGCUAAGAAAAAGGGCUACAUUUCAUUAGAAGGCCUCAACAACCAAUUCCGAAGAAAUUCCAACCAAAACAAUCAAUUACAGGCGCAAUUUUUACAUUCGGAUAAAACCAGGACAGCAAGGGUAAUUUCGACGUUUCUCAUCCUACACUACUCCGAUUGACCUAAAAUUUUGUAGGCGCCUCUAAAAUAUCAUUCCCUACAACUUUCAUGUUUUAAGCCAAGGCCAAUUUAGCCUCUAACUAGGAGCUACAAAACCGGGCAGAAUGUUCCCAAGAAAACCCUAACUUUCUACAAUGCCUUCCAAACCAGAAAUUGGUUGCAAUUAUCCACUUUUUCCACCUUCUAGAGUCAUUAUACAUCAUUUCCAAUCAUCAUAGAUAGCCACACAAUCAUGUUCAUAUUAAAACAGAAAAUCACCAAUAAAUAAAAAACUUCCCUAAUUCAACCACAAAUCAAGAUGUAAUCCAUAAAGUUUCAUCACAUACCACCACUAAUCAUAAAUUAGGCAUCAUUAGUGGAAGGAAAGUGGUUCUUCACAACUCACCUUAGAAACAAGCGAGAGAGAGCAAUAGAUCCUCUUAGCUUUCCAAAUAACUCCACAAAUCAACUCACUAACACUUCUUUAAGUGUUUCUAUGGAGCAAAAACAAAAUCUAAUGGUUGAUUUAGAAGAUUGAAGCAACUUGGAGAGUUUUCUUUCUUUCUUUCUUGAGAGUAAGAGCCGGCCACUAGAGAAGAGAAAAUGGUGAAAUUUUGGUUAAUUUUGUGAUUUAUUUGGUCAAAUAGAAAAAGGUGAAUAGUGGUCUUAUGUAAGAACCAAUCCUAUGGUGACACUUGUCACCUCAUUUAAUGCUUGCCUAACUUUUGUCUCCCUCAUACCAAUCCACUUAGCAUCUUCUACUUAUCUCUUAACACCCGAUAAAUUAAUUACAGUAUCCAAAACUUAACGUAGUUGGCCGAAUUUUUUUGAACUUUUCGCACUAGUGGGUCCCACGUCCGGUAUACGCUCUUAAUUUCUCAAAACCUAUUCGAUACUAGAAAAAUCAUCUAAAAACUAUAUCUGCUCCUUAAAAAUAUCUAGAAAUUUUUUCUACUCACGAAAAUGCAGAAAACAAGCCAUGAAAAAUAAUAAAACCUAGAAAAUGGAAAAUUAUGGGUUCUCACACUCUCUCCCCCUUAAAAGAAUUUCGCUCUCGAAAUUUCUCACCUAACUCACGAAAAGUUCAGGGUAUUUCUUUCGCAUCUCCUCUUCCACUUCCCAGGUAGCUUUCUCUACCCCAUGAUUUUUCCACAGUAUCAUUACUAACGAAAUUUGCUUGUUUCUUUAUUCUUUGACUUUUCGGUCAAGCACUUGGACAGGUUUCUCUUCGUAAGCAAGCGAUUCGUCUACGUCAAUCUCUUCUGGUUGUAAGAUAUGGGAGGGGUCGGGAUAGUACAUCUUGAGCAUCGAGACGUGGAAAACGUCGUGAAUUCGAGAGAGACUUGACGGCAGCUCUAGUCUCUAUAUGCUACCGCGCCUAUCCUCUGCAGGAUCUUGUAAGGUCCGACGAACCUCGGUUGCAAUUUCUUUCCUCUACCCGCCGUGACACUCCGUAAUGUUGUAACCUUGAGGAAAACACGGUCUCCAACUUCGAACUCCAAAUCUUUUCUUCGAUUGUCCGCAUAGCUCUUUUGUCGGCUUUGAGCUGUUUGGAGUCGUUGUCGUAUCAAUUUCACCUUUUCUUGAGCUUCCUCCAUCCAAGGAAUAGUGGUUGGAUCCAGUGCCUUCCUUUCGCCAACUUCAUCCCAGUAGAUUGGUGAUCGGCUUUUUCGUCCAUAUAGUGCUUCAUAUGGAGCCAUUUGAAUCGACGAAUGGUAGCUAUUGUUGUAUGCAAACUCUACUAAGGUCAUGUGUUGACCCCAGUUGCCUCCAAAAUUCAGAAUGCAAGUUCGUAGCAUGUCCUCGAGAGUUUGAAUGGUUCGUUCCGAUUGUCCAUCCGUCUGAGGGUGAUAGGUCGUACUCAAGUUGAGUUUCGUCCCCAGGGUUUCUUGGAACUUUUGCCAAAACCGUGAUACGAACGGUGGAUCUCGAUCGGAGACGAUACUGACUGGAACGCCGUGUAGCUUUACAAUCUCGUCCAUGUACAGUUGAGCCAAUUUGUCCAUGGAGUACUUCAUGUUUACUGGCAAGAAAUGGGCUGAUUUGGUUAAUCGAUCGACGAUCACCCAAACGGCAUCGUGCUCUCUUUGCGCUCGCGGCAAACCUGAGACGAAAUCCAUGGUGAUGUUUUCCCACUUCCACUCGGGUAUCUCAAGGGAUUGUAACAAGCCCGAUGGUUUUUUAUGCUCUACUUUAACUUGUUGGCAAACGAGACAUUUUUGCACGUACAGAGCAAUUUCCUUCUUCAUAUUGUCCCACCAAUAGUUUCCUUUCAGGUCUUGAUACAUCUUACUACUACUCGGAUGGAUUGUAUACUUGGAUCGAUGAGCUUUCUCUAGAAUCUCCGUUUUCAACGAUUCAUCCUUCGGCACCACUAUUCGGUUUCGGUAUUUUAAAAUACCCUCAGGACCAAAAUUGAAAUCAGUGGUUUCUCCUUUUCCCACUUUCUCUCCUCAUUUCUGCACCAGUGCAUCUUCCUUUUGAGCUUCUUUAAUCCUUUCCAAGAAGGUGGAAGUCACUUUAAUAUUGCCAAAAAUCACCUUAUGGCUCCCAAGGCAGGGUUUCCACUCGCAAACCGACUAGAGCAAAUUUCACUCUUUAAUCAUUAAUCCUGCUACUUGCGCCUUGCGACUUAAAGCAUCGGCCACUACGUUUGCCUUUCCGGGAUGGUAGUUGAUAGUACAAUCGUAAUUCUCCAGAAAUUUCAUCCAUCGUCGCUGCCUCAUGUUCAAUUCUUUCUGUGAGAAAAGAUACCUCAAACUUUUGUGAUCGGAGUAAACCUCGAAGGUUACCCCAUAUAGGUAGUGUCUCCACUUUUUAAGAGCGAAAACAACGGCAGCUAGCUCCAGAUCAUGCGUCGGGUAAUUUUGCUCGUGAGGUUUCAACUUCCUAGAGUCAAAAGAGAUCACAUUACGGUUCUACAUUGGUACACAACCCAGACCUUCUCGUGACGCAUCGGUAUACACGACAAACCCGUCACCUCCGUUAGGUAAAACUAGAACUGGAGCCAUGGUCAAUCUUUUCUUUAACUCUUGAAAACUUGUCUCACUUCGGGCGUUCCAUAAGAACCGACCAUGUUUCUUCGUCAAAUCGGUUAGAGGACCGGCUAGUUUGAAGAAGUCCUUGAUAAAAUGCCGGUAAUAUCCAACCAGUCCUAGAAAGCUGCGGACCUCUGUGGGGGUUUCUGACCUCUUCCAAUUAGUCACAGCCUCUACUUUCGCCGGGUCAACUGAAAUACCCUCUUGAGAAAUUAUGUGUCCCAAAAAAGCAAUUUUCUCCAGCCAAAAUUCGCACUUGUUGAACUUGACGUACAGUUGAUGGUCUCUUAGGGUUUGUAAAACAACCCUCAAGUGCUGCUCAUGCUCUUCACGCGUCUUGGAAUAGACCAGGAUGUCAUCGAUGAAGACCACUACAAAUCGAUCCAGGUAGGGCUUUAAAACCCUAUGCAUUAGGUCCAUGAAGGCGGCAGGAGCAUUGGUCAGUCCGAAGGGCAUAACUGCGAACUCGUAAUGCCCAUAUCUCGAGUUGAAGGCAGUUUUUGAAAUAUCCUCCCUCCUGAUUAAUAACUGGUAAUACCCUUGUCGGAGGUCCAAUUUUGAAAAGACCACUGCUCCGUGCAGCUGGUCGAACAACUCAUCUAUGUGGGGCAGUGGAUACUUAUUUUUCACUGUAAUAUUAUUCAGGCCCCAAUAAUCGAUACACAUCCUUAACCCACCAUCCUUUUUCUUCACAAAAAGUACAGGAGCUCCCCAAGGAGACCCACUCUCUUGAAUGAAUCCCCGCUCCAGAAGGUCCUGUAAUUGUAACUUUAGCUCCUUGAGCUCAGCAGGAGCCAUUCGGUAUGGUAUUUUUGAGAUAGGUGAGGAUCCUGGUAGCAGGUCUAUUUUGAAUUCAAUUUCUCUUUCCGGAUGUAAGGCUACUAACUCAUCAGGAAACACGUCCGGAAAUUCCUUCACUAUGGCCACAUCCUCUACCUUCACUUUAUCUGCGGGGUUGUUAAUCAAAAAGGCCAAAAAUCCUUGCGCCCCUCUACUUAGAAAUUUCCUAACCCGAAUGCCCGAAAUCAAAGCAGAUGAGGCUAAUCGACCCCUUAUAUCCAACCUUAAGGUCGCCUCACCAGGAAUGCGAAAUUCUACCACUUUUGUUUUACAAUCCAGUUGGGCAUUGUACCUGGCUAGCCAAUCCAUACCCAAUAUUACAUCAUACCCCUUAAUUACCAAGCUUAUCAAGUCCCCUAAUAAUCUCUUCUCUCCUACCCACACUUCACAAUCCCUAUAAAUCAUACUAGUAACCAAACGUUGAUUCCCCGUAGGUGUACUAACUUCUAGGUCGUAUGGUAAACUAGCAGGUUUUAUAUCGAUGUCACACAUGAAAUCAGGGUUAACAAAGGAAUGAGUGGCACCAGGAUCAAUUAAAACUUUGGCAAAACGGUGGAAAAUAGGGAUCGUACCUUCUACGACCUCUGAGGAAUCUGGGACCUGUUGAGGUUCUAAGGAAUAUACUCGAGCUGGCACCUUAGGUUUCGCCUCAUUCCCCUUAUUCGGUCCCGAAUUGGUCUUUGGCGUGGUUUGAGUUCCCCUUCCGUCUUGCUUUAAGAGUGGGCAGGUAGCAAGCUGGUGGUCUGCGCUUCCGCAACGCAGACAUUUGCCUCGUUUCUUCCAGCAAUUUUCUUCGGAGUGAUUCUGCUUUCUGCAGUAACCACAGGGCCCGCGAGACGCCGAACCUGAACCCUUUUGGAAGUUUCCGCCUUGGCCUCUCCCGGCUGGGCCACCCCUAGACUGAGCCCCUCUGCCGGAACCUAACUGUCGUCCACCUCCAGCUCCGCAUCCGAACUUGGAGGGAGUACCUUUAUCCCCUUGUCCAGAGCUGCUUCCAGGAAAGCCCCGCUUCUUCGCCUGGAAGUUCCGGACUUGCAAUCGAGCACUCUCUACCCUUUGAGCCUUUUCUACGACCUCGCUAAAAGCAUUAAUUUGAGCCACUGCGAGGUCCUUCUGGAUUUCGACGUUUAGGCCCUGAAUGAAACGCCUAAUUCGCCGUUGCUCCGUCAUGAUCAGCUCAGGCGCAAAUUUAGACAGGCGGGUGAAUUGACUCUCGUAUUCCGCCACUAAUUGAGCCCCUUGGCGGAGUCGAAUAAAUUCAUCUUCCUUCCUCUCCUGAACUAGAGGAGGGAAGAAUUUCGCGUUGAAUUCCCUAAUAAAAUUCACCCAAGUCCUGGGCGUUUGUUCUCAUUCCCAUUUUUGUCGUAUCACGUUCCACCAGGAACGGGCCGCCCCUUCUAACUGGAAUACGGCAAAAGUCACCUGCCGUUCAUCGGUGUAGUGCAAGGCCGCAAAAAUAUCGACCAUCUUCUCGAGCCACCUCUCGGCAACAUCUGGAUCGGGCCCCCCAAUAAACUUGGGUGGAGCAAACUUUUGAAAACGUUCGAGAGCUCUGUCUUCGCUCUCGACAUGAUUGCCAGGGUUUUCAGGAUUAGGGUUUGGGUUCUGGCCUUGUUGUUGCACCACUUGUGCGAACAGGUUAGUCAUUUGCUGCAUAGCGGCAGCGAUUUGCACAUUGGGGUCAAGGUUAGGUCCAGAAGAGGUUUCCCCAGUACCCCUAUCCGGUGUGGGUUGUCUAUUACCGCGCUCACGCCCCCGUCCACUACGUGUGCCUUCCAUGAACUUUACUUGGUCUAGACAAAGGUACUAAACCAAUAUAAAACAAUGCAUGUAAGUAAAACUCAAAACCUUUCCAAAUAGAUAUAUACAUUCCAAGCAAGGCAAACAGCACACAUAUUAACAAUCAGUCAAGUCAAGUUCAGUCAAGUCGAGUACAAACAUGGACAAUCCCCAAGGGAAUGGCCUCAACAAAAGAAAUAUACACGUAGCUAAUCUAAACGUACAAAACGAUUAGCGAAGGCCCUUCUCCCUAUCCAUCCUAUAUACAAAACCAACUAUCCAAAACAAACCCUAGAAGUCCUGUCUUAGACCGACGACGAGCUAUUAGACCCACCCGACGGAGUGGAUCCAACCCCAGCCUCAGGCCCCGCACAUGAGUCCUCGCCACUCACGCCCUCGACCACAUCCGUGCAAAGAUUCAAGAUCGAUGCAGCUCGAACCUUCACCUUGCGAGCUCGUUUAGUCUCGCGCUCUUGGACUUCCCUAAGCUGAGCGCAGAGGUCAUCAACCCUAUCCUCUGCCUCAAGUACGUCGUCCUUCAAACCCUCAAUGCGCUCGGCCUGUCUCUCAUUGGCCGCCCUAAGUUGGGUCACCUCGGCCUCAAGUCUCGCAUUCUCUCCGGCCAACUCCUUACGCUCCUCGGCCACGGCAAACACUAGAGCGUUAGGGUAAGUAUACUUAUGUCGACACUCACAACGUCGGAGACGGUUAGACGGGUUCCAACGCAUAACGGCCCCUCCUGGCCGUAUCUGGUAUGGUAUCACGAGGAGCGCUCCACGAGGUCUCUCGCCCGGAGGACUAUCAUUAGGUUCACCCUGUCCGGCCAUCCUACACCAAAAGAGCAAUUAACCAUAAAUAAGCUUAAAGGCCAUAAAUAAAGAACCCUCGAAUCAAGCAUUUCUAUUACUCCCAGGCUAAUUCAAACCUAGGCUCUGAUACCACCUGUGACAGCCCCACUUUCCCCUAAGGCGAACCAAAGGGGUUAGCAGACUACCUGCCCAACUCUCGCCAGGACUAACGGUGCAGUUUAGAGCGAUCUAUUGCGUUUCGGAACUUAUAACGCGCGCAAACAAGUCAAACUGGCAAAAUAACCCAAAAUAAAAAAAAAUGAAAUCCGGAGUCGGCCAUGAAUAGUAACCGACCCUUCAGAACCCAACCAAAAAUCAAGCAAACCUUCACAUCUUGAAAUUUAGCAUUUACAAGCCAAAAUGACAUAUGAAAAUUACUCAAAAUUAAUACAUGUACGGUUGCCAAAAUAAAAGUGAAAACGGCCCCAAUGGCACAUUUAGGAUUUCAAUUCAUAAACUAUACAAAAGGGAUAUUCAUCUAGUUCAUUCGGCAACCAAUUAUCAAAAGUCAUUCCAAAAGCAGUCAGAUUCCUGUAAGGAAAACAAAAGGAACGGGGUGAGCUAAUUGCCCAGUAAGAAUACUAUCACUCAAGCCACCAAGUACAUAUAAGCAUCAAGCUUUUCAUUCAAUACAUAAAAAGCAAGCAAAGGCACACAUCACAUGUGGUGAUUAAAGGAUACGGGUGGCUCUCAAGAGCCCUUUUCCCUCGUUUGCAUUUCUUGAUCGAACUUCAUUGACUCUCCGUCAAUUCAAAAGUAACCAACCGUAGACUCCACUUUACUUCCAUUCCUUCCACCCAACAUACCCCUACCGGGCCCGAACUCCAAACACUUGCACUUUGGUAUUACUCGAGUAAACCGGAAUCGAGAGUCUCUCAUACUACAAGAUUCCAUAUAACAUUUCCCCAAGGCACAUCAAUUGGCACGACCAAACCCUCGCCGGCUCGAUUCAAUCAACUACCAAUGGGGUUGAGCUCAAAGAUAACAAUUGUUGUCGUUGGAUACUCGUCCAAACGACAGCAAGCCAUGUACUUUCAUUUCAUGAAACAUGUUGUAUAACAUUCCAAUAACAUGGUAAACAAUAAGUGAGAGUGAUAAAGUACGCUCUCACUUCAAUCAAUUCACAUUCAAUUCACUUCAAGCAAUUCACAUUCAAAGCCAUAUAGUAACACACAAGUGAGUAGUACACUCACCAAGCUUGCAAAUGAGGUUUCAUGCACUUCCGUCAAAAGAACGUCGUGCACCAACGUCACGCCCUAAAACAUGCAAACAAGGACAAUGAGACUCGAUAACGAGUCAUAAAUCAAUGCCAAAUACGACCCCAAUAAGGUUUCAUAAGCAUAUACAAGCAUUAGAGAAAACCAGAAAAUCCGGAAAUGGAUUUAGCUUUGCCCUGAAAAAAAUAGUUUUUGACCUCUUUUUGCGGUAAUGGCACCCAAGGCACUACGAUUACUGGACGAAGGUGUAAGAUACACCGUUUCGAAGCUAAAAGGCAGGGCUACAACAUUGCAGAAGGUCACUCAACCCAGUUUCAAGUGUAACCAGGUCAAAAAUGCAAGAUACUACACCAGAAUCACAAAAACAGAUUCACAGAACGCAUUCUAGCGAAAAUAUCAUAAAUCAGGCUAUCCAAGUCCAAAUCCAGAAAUUCCAAAACCAUCUGAAAGCUAAGAAACAGGGCUACAUUUCAUCAGAAGGUCUCAACAACCAAUUCUGAAGCAAUUCCAACCAAAACAAUCAAUUACAGGCGCAAUUCUUACAUUCGGAUAAAACCAGGACAGCAAGGGUAAUUUCGACUUUUCUCAUCCUACACUACUCCGAUUGACCUGAAAUUUUGCAGGCACCUCUAAAAUAUCAUUCCCUACAACUUUCAUGUUUUAAGCCAAGGCCAAUUUAGCCUCUAACUAGGAGCUACAAAACCGGGCAGAAUGUUCCCAAGAAAACCCUAACUUUCUACAAUUCCUUCCAAACCAAAAAUUGGUUGCAAUUAUCCACUUUUUCCACCUUCUAGAGUCAUUAUACAUCAUUUCCAAUCAUCAUAGAUAGCCACACAAUCAUGUUCAUAUUAAAACAGAAAAUCACCAAUAAAUAAAAAACUUCGCUAAUUCAACCACAAAUCAAGAUGUAAUCCAUAAAAUUUCAUCACAUACCACCACUAAUCAUAAAUUAGGCAUCAUUAGAGGAAGGAAAGUGGUUCUUCACAACUCACCUUAGAAACAAGAGAGAGAGAACAAUAGGUCCUCUUAGCUUUCCAAAUAACUCCACAAAUCAAUUCACUAACACUUCUUUAAGUGUUUCUAUGGAACAAAAACAAAAUCUAAUGGUUGAUUUAGAAGAUUAGAGCAAAGAUUGAAGCAACUUGGAGAGUUUUCUUUCUUUCUUUCUUGAGAGUAAGAGCCGGCCACUAGAGAAGAGAAAAUGGUGAAAUUUUGGUUAAUUUUGUGAUUUAUUUGGUCAAAUAGAAAAAGGUGAAUAGUGGUCUUACGUAAGAACCAAUCCUAUGGUGACACUUGUCACCUCAUUUAAUGCUUGCCUAACUUUUGUCUCCCUCAUACCAAUCCACUUAGCAUCCUCUACUUAUCUCUUAACACCCGGUAAAUUAAUUACAGUAUCCAAAACUUAAUCUAGUUGGCCAAAUUUUUCCGAACUUUUCGCACUAGUGGGUCCCACGUCCGGUAUACGCUCUUAAUUUCUCAAAACCUAUUCGAUACUAGAAAAAUCAUCUAAAAACUAUAUCUGCUCCUUAAAAAUAUCUAGAAAUUUUUCCUACUCACGAAAAUGCAGAAAACAAGCCAUGAAAAAUAAUAAAACCUAGAAAAUGGAAAAUUACGGGUUCUCACAUAAGUAUAAUUUUUCAAAUCUUAUGAGAGCUCAGUAAAAUUACCAAAAACCUCAGGGGAGGUUUCUCAAAUUAUCCCUUUUUUUUAACAUUGGAAACUUUAUUACUUCUAUUUGCUCCUACCAUUUAUGCAAUUACUUCGAUACAUAUAAGGCUAUGCUGCAGGUUUAAAUAAUUUAUGCCUAGUUGGGCAUGCUGCAGUUUAUUCCUCGUAGUUCUCUCUCACACGAGCAAAGCCAAUCCCAAAAAACAAGAACUACAAACAGCCCAAUUCAAGGCUAGGUUUAUUCAUUCUUAAACAAGACUAGUUUAUUCUUAAUCAAAACAGUCUUAAAACAAGACUGGGUUUAUUCCUCCUAAGUUCUCUCUGCACACGAGGAAAGCCAAUCCCAAAAAAACAAGAACUACAAACAGCCCAAUUCAAGAGAGUCUUGAAACCAAGACUGUCUUAAACAUGAUGGCAAAGACACACGAGCAAAGCAAACAGAAUUCCCAAAAUCAAGACAAUCAGCGUAUUGUCGUGUUUAGAAGCCACCACGUGAAUGUUAGCCUCCUAAGCACCGCGAGUAGAGAACACCAAGUGAAGAGUCGACUUGUGAGGAAUUUCAUAGUCUUCAAGAGUGCGACCAUCCUCAAGAUGCGUACCAGCAAAAACCAACCUUUGCUCGUUCGGUGGGAUUCCUUCCCUAGACAGAACUUUUGCCUUCACGUUCUCGAUGGUAUCAGAACUCUCCACCUCCAGAGUUAAGGUGUUCCCUCUCAAAGUUUCCACAGAUAUUUCCAUUCUUCCCCUCCACCUCAUCACCAAGUGAAGGGUUGACUCCUCCUGGAUGUAAUAAUCUGCAAGAGUCCGGCCAUCCUCAAGCUGUUUACCAGCAAAAAUCAGCCUCUGGUCAGCCAGUGGGAUCCCUUUCUUAUCUUGAAUUUUUGCCUUGACAUUGUCGAUGGUAUCAGAACUCUCCACCUCCAGAGCUAUGGGCUUUCCAGUAGGAGUUUUCACGAAAAUUUGCAUUCCAUCACCAAGCCUGAGCACCAGAUGACGGCUGGACUCCUUUUGAACAUCGUAAUCGGCAAUGGUCAGCCCAUCUUCCAGCCGUUUGCCAGCCAAAAACAGCCUCUGCUGGUCUGGGGGAAUACCUUCCUUGUCUUGAAUCUUAGCCUUGACAUUGUCAAUAGUGUCAGAGCUUUCAACCUCAAGGCUGAUUGGCUUACCAGUGUCAAAGCUCUCAACCUCGACUGUCAGACCUUUCACGAAGAUCGGCAUCUGUUAGGGGGAAAAACCAAAACAAAAAAAAAAAAAAACCCAAAUCCGGUCAGAUCUAAUCAAAUUCCAAUCCCUCAACCCAAAAUUGCCAGCACAAAUACCAAAAGAUAAAUAAUCGGAAUUGCUAGCCAAACAAAAAACUGUAAUCCCUCAACCCCAAUCAAUGUUAACCAUUAGAUAAUGCUAAGCUGUGAUCAUAUACCCGCCAAUUGGAUGUAUAAUAGUCAGGCAGUCACAUGUAGCAGCAGCUAAUUGAUUGUAAUAGUUAGUUAGUUAUGAUAGUAGUUAAUUACUAAGCAUCGCUGAGGUGGUCAAAAUUGCGGUUACUUCUUAAUUAAUAAUUGAUAGAAUAAGUAACAGCAAGGGAGGGCAAUUAAGAAAGCUAGUGAACUUAUCUCCCCUUUAUUAUUGUAACCUUUCCUGUAACUCUCCUUGAUUAUCAAUAUAGUACCAUUCCUCCUUCAUAUUCCUCAACGGACAUUCUCCAUUAACUGGAAUCGGGAAUUGGGAUCCUCACUACCUUUGCAUCACAAAAUAAUAUAGAUUGUCAAAGAAGGAAGGAUUACCUUUUGAUGGCAGAAUUUGAGAGAAGAUUGAUGAAGAAGAAGAUGGGUAGAUUAACGAGUGAGAGAUGAAGGUGAGAGACGCCCAUAUAUAGAGAAAAACAGAAGACUUCUACUUCCACAUUAAGCAAGUGGUUGCGUUUGGGGAGGGAGGCUACCGCGAACAAUUUUUCUAGAACGUGGCAGAAUUUUCAGAGAGGAUUGAUGAAGAAGAAGUAUACAAAUCAAAAGCGGCUACAAUAUUUUCUUUCUGACAUUCCGUCGUUGACCUCAUAGUGUAUGUGUUAAAGCUCGGAUACCUUUAUUUAUGGUAGGAACGCAUUGACCGUUCCUACACAUCAUGGUCUAGCCAUGGUUGAAUUGUUUGUGGUCCAAAACCAUUUGGACUAAGAAGCACAGACCACGCGCUUGGCAAGGAGUACUCGCCAGGCCUGAGAAAAAUUCUACACCACAGCAACUGUACGUGCAAUUCUUCAUUUGAAUUUAAUUAACUUUUGUCUUCAUUUCUCCCAUUUUGGUAUUCGACGGAAAAUGUGCGCAUAGAAGGUACCGAAAUUUUAACAAAUAAUAAAUAUAAAUCUCAUACGUGAGGGGAUAAUAAUUUCGAAGAAGGAAAAGUGGAGGCAAACAUAGUAGUUCCGCGGCAAUACGAAACACAAAAGGAUUCAAGCCUUCAUUAUAUUUAUAUACAUAUAUAAAUUUAGUACCCAAGUGUUCAGUUUUAGCAUCCGGGAAAAUGGUAUAGUAACUAUCGUUAUACUAGUAUAUUAAAAAGAGGCUAAAGAGAUACUGUAGUCAGCACUGUUGAUUGUCAGAGUGUUAAUUUCGUCCCCUUUUCAUUACGCAAAACCAACACGCAAUGCAGUGGUAUGCGCAAUGAAGCAAUCCGAUGGUAUGUGCAAUGGAAACUACUCCGGGGUUGCUUGUGCGGUGGGUGGAAAGUGGGAUGAACUUCCUACCGAUGAAGAACACAAAUGAAGCAUUUCCAUUCAUGUACACCUUCAACGAUCACAGCCCUUAAAUCAGUUGUUUUGAACUUUUAGCAAAACAACAAUGGAAGCUUGGGGGUUGCUUCUAAGGUGGAGAGUGAGAUGAACUUCCCACCGCAGCCAGAAAGCCUAUUAGAAGUACGGUUGCUUCUUCGAUGGAAAGUGGCAUGAACUUCCACUUUUUUUUCCAAAAAAAAAAUCACAAUUGUGUCGAACUUUCUAUUUUUGGAAUGAAAUAUUUAGGGAAUCUCCAUGAAUAGGAUCAACCCCUAUUCCAUGGUAUUUUUAUGAGGUUCCUUUUUAAAUUAAGAAAAUCCCUGAUAGGGUUUGUUUGAUCCAUGAUUUAUGUUUCAUCUUUCGAUUGGAGAUUAGGAACAGACGGACUUUCUAUGGGACCUAUUUUACUGACGGGAUUCAUCACCACUUUAAUGACUUUAGCAGCUUGGCCGGUUACAAGAUUCUCAAUGAUUUAAUUUCCUGAUGUUAGCGAUGUACAGUGCUCAAAUAGGAUUAUUUUCCUCUUGGGACCUUUUACUUUUUUUCAUUAUGUGGGAGUUAGAAUUAAUUCCUAUUUAUCUACUUCUAUCGAUGUGGGAUGGAAAGUGGGAUGAACUUCCCUUAUUUUUUUUCGGAUAUGAUAGACCUACUCUUACUCUAUACUAGAGGAAGAAGGGACUGAAGAGACCCAAGAAAAAUUCAGAAGGAAAUGAACCACCACUCCUUGACCUAACUCUCAAGUAGAGUUUUAGAACUCUUUUAAUGGCCAACUAUUCUAGAAGUUCUAUUAGAAGGUAUAUUAGGUAGAAGGUCUAUUAGAAGUACAACUCAGCAUGAGCAUUUUUGUCCAUAUUUUUGCGGCGCAAUUGAGAGAAGGUAACUGGCAAAGGCUGUUAUCAUCUUAAGGAGCUGAUAGCAAAUACCAAUAUAAAUUGGAUUGGGUCGUUAAAUGAAUAAAGAAUGUCCCAAACAGGGCAAUGGGUAAAAGUCAUUACUAAUUUGAAGCCAGAAUUUUUAGGUUGGGAAAAAAACUUGUAAGUAAAAAAUAAACUUGUUAUUCGAUGAGUGUCAUUUAUAGAAUUAUAUAGUUGUAGCGUAUUUCCUUUUUGUUUCUAGUUUUUUCUUGAUUAUCUAGUCUUAAAUUAAGUUUCUUUAUCAACAAGGUCAUCCUUAAUGAUGAUUUUGUUGAAACAAUGAUAGCAAUAAAUUAUAUUAAACAGAAUGAGGAAGUUUUGUAUUAAAUAAGAAUUAAUCUUUGCACUCUAGUUUCGAGGGCAUUAGACAAGAUGACAAAAGCAAGUUUUUCCAUUAGUCGGCUUGUUUUUUCUUGGAUUUCCAUUGAUGAUGAUGAUGGCAUUCCAUCAUCAUCUCUUUUAAGCUAACUUGAUUGUUGUGUUGCACUUGCACUGAUCUUUGCCAUAGGCAUCAAGGAGAAUGAUGUUAGAGGAGAAUUUGUCACUACUAUGUGUUUGAAGGAAGAAAACUGGAGGUGGGAUUUUGUGAGAAUUAAGAAAAGUUGGAACCGGUUAGAGUAAGUUUAGUUUGAGCAAGAAAAAGGUUGGGUUUGCUGCUAUUGUUGUUGCCACCUUAGGAUGAAAUUGAAGUUAGUUGUUCUUAUAGUUUUGAGGGGUUUUAGGCAAAAAAAACAAGGGAAGAGACUGAUGAACGAAGAGUUUCAACUAUGAAGCUGUACAACACUUGACCAUAGUGGAAUAGAUGUGCUCUAUUGAACUGUUUGGCUUGGAUUAGAUUGGACCGUACUCUUACUGGAUCUAAUCGAGAUUGAUCCUUUGUUUCAAAAAGAAAAAGAAACUAAAUCAGUGUGAUGCUUGAUUAGAUAUUCGACUCAAUCAGCAACUUGAUUCUUCAUGUUUCAAAGAAGCAAAGACAGGCUUACAAGAGUCGUCCGAUUACAUACUGUAUGUACAUCAUUGUACUCCCUUGUAAGCAGUGAAAGCGACCUGAUUAUUUGAUUUUCCUCUUUUUUUAAAAUUUUUUUCCCCUUUUUGUGUAAAUAAACUAAUUGGUAGUAUAUAUUUUAUCAAAUUUGAAAUUAUAAUUUGUAAAAGAGAAGAACAUGAAAUAGAUGUGUUUGCCGGUUUUGUAUGUCAAGCUUGUUUUGGUGAAGGCGAAAGAAAGUACUACAUAGGGCAAGGGUUAGGAAAAAUGCGAAUAAUAAUAAUAACAACAAAGGAGUGUCAUUAAAAUUCUUAAGAAUUUGAAAUUACACUUAAAUUUGGCUAUAUAUCCGUUAUAAAUUUAGAAAAGGAACAUUUCCAUGUAUUAAUUUCAAGUAAAAAGUCACAAUUUUCAUGUAUGAAUAUUAUGAGGGAAAAAGGUCCUAGGGAUUAAGGUUUUGUAUGAAUAUUACGAGUUUUGAGGUUAGUCCAGUUUAUCUUGUUUGUUAUGGGAUCAAUCAAUGUCGCCUGACCCAAUUCUAAUUUCCAUGUAUAGGUGUCAAGUCCCAUUACUAACUUCAAUGGAAUGUAUACUAAGAUUUUAUGGUUAUAAUUUCAAGGUCAAGUUGUCACGGGAGAACUUAGCAAAUUUGGCCAUGGGCAGCAUAAACAAAAUUUGCUUCUGGAUGGGGGAAAGAUGUAUUUUACUUUUCAAGCUCCAUGCUGCAAUGCUUUCUUAUUUAUCAGUUCAAUUAGUAUAGGACAAUUCGUUAUUGAAUUUAUUAGAUCCUCUUUGCUAUAGUUCUUGUAGUGAGUUCAGAAAAAAAUUUUAUGUAAUGACAUAUGAACAUGUUGAAAUCCUUAUUUAACCUAAUGCUUGCUAAUUUAACAAAAUAACGCUAGAUAAAAGGAUUUGUGUUUGGAUAGUUAUUUACAAUCCUUCUAUUAUAACAAAAUCAUGCACAAUGAAAACAUAUAUAUCUCUCUUGAACAAGAAAAUUUUUCUUGUGCUCUCAAUAUGGUUCAUCACUGUUCAAAAUAAAUGUCAAAAUGAAGAUUUGUACAUAGCUGUCAUUCUAAAGCUUAUUUUAAUUUUUUUAGGGAUAAUUUCAAAAACCUCCCCUAAGGUUUCUGACAAUUCCAUUGAACUCUCUUGAGAUUUGAAAAAUUAUAUAUACCUCAUCUGUCAUUUAAAAUGAUAAUUUUACCCUUAAAUAUUUUAAUGAAAUUCUCUUAUCCGGUAUGCUUAUACUUAGAAAUGACCCAAAAGCACUACUAAAAUUAUGAUAAUCCCAUUACUCCAAAAAUUUAUAAACUCUAAAUGAAUUAUUUCAACAUUUUCUUUUCUAUCUUAUAAAUUUGAAUCCAUAAUAAAAUACCAUAAAAAAUCUCGUAUCAUAGUAAUAAAAUUAUUAUUAUUAUAGUUGUUUAUCAAAUAGCAGAUAUGGACAUGAAAAUUUUGGUACAUUUUUCUUAUAAUUAUACUAAAUAAUCUUAUAAUUGUAUCGGGAAAUAAAUUAAAACUCAUUCCAAAAGAGCAUUUUUGGGUAUUCAUUUAAAAAAUUAUCGAAAUCAAUAUUAUUUUAAGGUUUUGUUACUAAAACUAUCAAAACAAGGGAGGUAAGUGUAAUUUUUCAAACCUUAGGAAAGCUCAGUGAAAUUAUCAAAAACCUCAGGGGAGGUUUCUCAAAUUAUCCCUUUUUGUUAACAUUACAAACUUUAUUACUUCUAUUUGCUCUCCUACCAUUUAUGCAAUUACUUCGAUACAUAUAAAGCCAUGCUGCAGGUUUGAAUAAUUUAUGCCUAGUUGGGCAUGCUGCAGUUUAUUCCUCGUAGUUCUCUCACACACGAGCAAAGCCAAUCCCAAAAAACAAGAACUACAAACAGCCCAAUCAAGGCUAGGUUUAUUCUUAAACAAGACUAGUUUAUUCUUAAUCAAAACAGUCUUAAAACAAGACUGGGUUUAUUCCUCAUAAGUUCUCUCGGUACACGAGGAAAGCCAAUCCCAAAAAAACAAGAACUACAAACAGCCCAAUUCAAGAGUGUCUUGAAACCAAGAUUGUCUUCAACAUGAUAGCAAAGACACACGAGCAAAGCAAACAGAAUUCCUAAAAUCAAGACAAUCAGCGUAUUGUCGUUUAGAAGCCACCACGUGAAAGUUAGCCUCCUAAGCACCGCGAGUAGAGAACACCCAGUCAAGAGUGGACUCGUGAAGAAUGUUAUAGUAUGCAAGAGUGCGACCAUCCUCAAGCGGCCCACCAGCAAAAACCAAGCUUUGCUCUUCCGGUGUGAUUCCCUCCAUAGACAGAACUUUUGCCUUCACGUUCUGGAUGGUAUCAGAACUCUCCACCUCCAGAGUUAAGGUCUUUCCAGUAGCAGUUUUCACGAAAAUUUUCAUUCCGCCACCAACCUUGAGCACCAAAUCAGGGAUAGACUUCUUUUGAAUAUUGUAAUCGGCAAGGGUCCGCCCAUCUUCAAGCUGUUUGCGAGCUAAAAACGGCCUCUGCUUGUCUGCGGAAAAACCCUGCUUGGCGUGAAUCUUAGCCUUGACAGUGUCAACAGUGUCAAAGCUUUCAACCUCAAGGGUAAUUGGCUUACCAAUGUCAAAGCUCUCAACCUCGACUGUCAGACCUUUCACGAAGAUCGGCAUCUGUUAGGGGGAAAAAAACCAAAAAAAAAAAAGCCAAAUCCGAUCAGAUCUAAUCAAAUUCCAAUCCCUCAACCCAAAAUUGCCAGCACAAACACCAAAAGAUAAAUAAUCGGAAUUGCUAGCCAAACAAAAAACUGUAAUCCCUCAACCCUAAAUUCGGCACCUAAUUCCUUAAUUUAGGGGUGGAAUCCAUAAAUUACAGAGAAAAAAAAACCUAAAUCAAAAUCUAUUCCUUCUUCUUCUUCUUUUUUUUAAAUCAAAGUCCCUUGCAUUCCCUCCAAAAUAAUUGCCAAUAUUCAUUUAUCCAUAACUCUAGAAAAUAGGGCGAGAUGGCAUAUGGCAAAAUAACAUAGCAGAAUAGAAAAGUGGGCAAAGAAGAAAAAUGGUGAAAAUAUGCUGUCACCUUACAGAAAUUAUAAUGAGGAGAAGGAAGAAAUAGUGGUAGUCUUGGAAGUGUGAAAUCUAAAAAAGCUUAGGGAAGAUGAAUCCGAAUUGUAAAGUGGGAGAUAGGGGCAUCCGGGGCAAAGACUGAGCUGAGACAUACCCAAGUAAUAAUAUUGCAAGCUUAUCACAUAAUUUGCAUAUUUUAACAAUGGUGUGGAACAAUUUUACUUGUACUUGUUUUAGGCACACGAUUGAAAUGCUAUAAAAAAAAUAAAAUAGAAAGUUUGUUCUGAAAAUCUGUAUGAAUGGUUUGAGUUAGAUAUGUUGGAGGAAAGUGGAAGAAAAUUUUGCACAACAAGUGUUCAUGAGAAAGUAAAUGAUAGCUGUCCAACCAAUUAUUGGAAGGAAUUGCUGGUAGAAGAUAAUCAGGAGCCAUGAGUUUCCAGAAUAAAAAGAACGGUGUAUUCAUUAUACGAACUAUAUGAGAAACUUUCCACAAUAAGUGAGGAGGUUUAGGCAAGUAAAAGAACAGAAAAUUUUAAAAGGUUCUAUUUUUUUGGGUAAACAAUCAAACCUUAUGGUGUACAUACUAUUACCAGGUAUUUAUGGGUGAUCACUUUCAGAUAAACUGAGACACAUAGCAAGAGAAAAGGUAAGCAAAGUGGCUCAUGAAAAGUAGAUAUAGGUAAAGAUGUUUAGAUAAGUAUGCCCUAGUAUCAUGUUGGAUAGCAAAUAUUUUUUAAAUGAACUAAUGAUGGUGGAGAAACAGUGGGAUGCUAGCAAAUUCGAUCAGAUCUAAUCAAAUUCAAAUCUUUAAACCCAAAAUUGCUAGCAAAAAUACCAAAAAUAAAUAAUGGGAAUUGCUAGCACGAAAAAAAAAACUGUAACCCCCGAACCCUAAAUUCGGCACCUAAUUCCUUAAUUUAGGGGUGGAAUCCAUAAAUUACAGAAACAAAGAAACCUAAAUCAAAAUCUUUUCCUUCUUUCUUCUUUUUUUUUAUUCCAGCCUAAAUUGGAUUAAUUAUAUUAAAAAUAAAAAAAUGGAAAGUCUUCUCGUUCAACCAAAUAAUCCCAAUAGAUCCGUCAACUACCGGAAAAUUUAAAAAAAAUAUACUAAAAUCAAUCAAAGCAUCAAGCAGCAAACAAUCAUAAACAAACUGUGAAAAGAAGCAAACUGAUGCAGUUGCAAGGAAAUGACUGGAUUAACAAACUCAAAAAAUCAAAAUACAUAAAAAAUGAAACUGUUACAUAUUGCUUUUUAUGAAACUGUUACAUAAAGAUUUUUUAUAAAUUUUCUGCUGCAUUUUUUAAUUUUCUAUUAUAUAUUUUUUUUUGAAACUGUUGUAUUUAUUUUUUACUAAAUUAAUAGUUAUUGGAUCUUAAGGAAACAAAAAAGAACUAAAAUAUGAUAUUUAUGAAGGAAAAAUAGCAAUAUAAUAAAAAGUGGGACAGAGAGUGACACAGGAUAUGGGACAGAAGAUCUGUUGCGGAGAUAUUAACCGUUCAAUAAUGCUAAGCUGUGGUCAUUUACCAGCUAAUUGAUUGUAUAAUACUUACUCAGUCACAUUUAGCAGCAGCUAAUUGAUUGUAAUAGUUAGUUAGUUAGUUGGUUAUGAUAGUAAUUAAUUACUAAGCAUCGCUAAGGUGGCAAGGUGGUAAAAAAUGCGGUUACUUCUUAAUUAAUAAUUGAUAGGAUAAAUAACAGCAAGGGAAGGCAAUUAAGAAAGCAAACACACCUUGAGCUCCAAAUGAGGGAUAGACUCCUUUUGAAUAUCGUAAUCGGCAAGGGUCCGCCCAUCUUCAAGCUGUUUGCCAGCAAAAAACAGCAUCUGGUUGUCUGCGGAAAAACCCUGCUUGGCGUGAAUCUUAGCCUUGACAGUGUCAACCAUGUCGAAGCUUUCAACCUCAAGGGUAAUUGGCUCGCCAGUGCCAGGGAUCUCAACCUUGAGUGUCAGAGCUUUCACGGACAUCUGCAUCCGUUGGGGGGGCGGGGCGGGGGAUACCAAAAGAUAAAUAAUCGGAAUUGCUAGCCAAAAAAAAAAAAAAAAAAGCUGUAAUCCUCAACCCUAAAUUCGGCACCUAAUUCCUCAAUUUAGGGGUGGAAUCCAUAAAUUACAGAGAAAAAAAAAUCUAAAUCAAAAUCAUCAAGCAGCAAACAAUCAUAAACAAACUGCGAAAAGAAGCAAACUGAUGCAGUUCCAAGGAAAUGACUAGAUUGAUUGAUGAGAUAUUAACCGUUCAAUAAUGCUAAGCUGUGAUCAUUUACCAGCUAAUUGAUUGUAUAAUAGUCAGUCAGUCACAUCUAGCAGCAGCUAAUUGAUUGUAAUAGUUAAUUAGUUACGAUAGUAAUUAAUUACUAAGCAUCGCCGAGGUGGUCAAAAUUGCGGUUACUUCUUAAUUAAUAAUUGAUAGGAUAAGUAACAGCAAGGGAAGGCAAUUAAGAAAGCAAACAUUUCCUGUAACUCUCCUUGAUUCUCAAUAUAGUACAAUUCCUCCUCCCUAUUCUUCCACGGACAUUCUCCGUUGACUGGAAUCGGGAAUUGGGAUCUUCACCAGCUUCGCAUCACAAAAUAAUAUAGAUUGUCAAAGAAGGAAUGAUUACCUUUUGAUGGCAGAAUUUGAGAGAAGAUUGAUGAAGAAGAAGAUGGGUAGACUAACGAGUGAGAAGUGAAGGCGAGAGACGCCAUUUAUAUACUGUAUGAAAAAGAGGCUAAAGAGGUACUGUAGUCAGUAUGUAGAUUGCCACAGUGUUAACUGUUAAUUUCGUCCCCUUCUGAUUAUGCAAAACGGACCACAUAUUUAACUUUAAAGAGGUUUCUGUGGCUUUGAACUUUAACAAAACGCCAAUAGAUACUUCGUGACCAAAUUUUGUCCUCACGGGAAGGUUUUAUUAUGAUUAUUGAGCAACGUGUCUUUUUUUUUUUUUUGGAUAAUUUAAGAAACCUAAACCUCCCCUAAGGUUUCUAACAGUACCACGGAACUCUCUUAAAGUUUAAAAAACUACAUCCACCUCCUGUGAUUUGAUAGUUUUAGUAAUAAAACUUUAAAAUAAUAAUGACUUAGUCAAAUUUUUAAAUGAAUACCCAAAAAUGCCCUUGUGUAAUGAGUUUUAAUUUACUUUUCUAUACAAUUAUAAAAUUAUCCAGUGUAAAUAUAAGAAAAAAGUGUCGAAUUUUUCAUGUUCAUCCUACUAUUUGAUAAACAAUUAUAAUAAUAAUAAUUUUAUCACUAUGAUAGGAUACUUUUGAAGGUAUUUUAUUAUAGAUCUAGAUUUAUAAGAUAGAAAAGAAAAUUUUGAAAUAAUUGAUUUAGAGUUUAUGAAUUUUUCGAAUAGUAGGAUUAUCAAAAUUUAGUAGUGAUUUUGGGUAGGGGUGGGCGCGGGUCGGGUACCCGCCCCGCAUAUCAGUGGGUACCCUAUAACGGGUACCCGGUGAGAUAGGGUCGGAUCAGCGAGUACCCGCCCCGCCCCAUUUAUCAUUUAAUUUUUUUAAAAAAAAUAAUUUAUACCAAUUUAAUUUUAUAUUUUACACAUUCAUCUAAGAUUUAAUAAUUUUUUUUUUCUAAAAAAAGGUUUCCCACCAAGAAACAAGCAUAUGAAGAGAAUAUAAGAUAAAGGAAAAAAAUUAAAAGAAUUCAAAAUCAAUAAAAGUUUGAAAUAAGUAGCACAAUUUUUAAUAUAUAUGUUCCACAUUAAUUAAACUUUUUUCUAUAAAAUAUAAGAUCAUGGCCUUUACAAAUGAAUCUUGUAAAUAAACUAUAGUAUCUCAUAUUUGUAAUGCAAUUUGUUCAAUAAAAUUACUUAUUUAGUUCUAACUUAUUAUUUUAUAGUGUGUGUAUAAAAAUAAAAAAUAUAUAUAUGCGGGACGGAUCGGGUACCCGCGGAUUUUUAAUUAUGUGACCCUAACCCGCCCCGCAUCUUAGCCGAUACCCGACCCUCUUUUGACCCGAUCAAAUAAUAAAAAUCGGAUAUCCUAAUUUUCGGAUCCGAUCGGAUCGGAUAUGACGGGUUUUCGAGUUAGCGGAUAAUUUUGCCCACCACUAAUUUUGGGUCAUUUCUUUUUGAUUUAUUGUUAAUUUUAAUACCAAAAAAUAGAAAACAAAGAUUAGUAAAAAAAAUAUAUUGGAUUACAUAUAAAGUUAACUCAUAAAAAAAUCACUAGUUCGACAUUUGAUUAUAAUAGAAACUAGAAAUAAUAGUAAAAGUUCUACAGUUUUAUUGGUAAAAAAAUUAAAAUAAAAAGGAAUGAGAAGGAAAAAGAAUGAAAAAAUAAUUUUAAAAGUCAUUCUAAAUAUAAGAAUACCAAACAAGAGAAUUUUAUUAAAAUAUUUAAAGAUAGUAUUAUCAUUUUAAAUAACAAGUAAGAUAUGCGUAAUUUUAAAAAUCUCGAGAGAGUUAAACGAAAUUGUUAAAAUCCUCAAGGGAGGUUCCUGAAGCUAUCCCAAUGGUAACAAUUCAUUAAACAAAAACACAGGAGACUUGUAUAUCCGGAGCAACUCCUUCUACGUCUCUUUUAGCUGUAAUAGCAAGGCAACCGGGAGUAGGGUGUCAUUGAACGUCUCCUGGCUCCUGGGGGGAACAGGCAUACUGCCGCCGGACAAGUGUUCACUGUGAAAUUUACAGCUCACGUGCUUCUUCCAAAACAAGGGGUUGGUACAAACCACUGUACCAUUCUGCAGAAUUGUUAUGCUGUUUUAAAACAAUGAGUUGGUACAAACCAAUAUACCAUUCUACAGAAUUAUUGUUGGUUUAAAACAGGGAUAACCUUUUUAUAUAUCAUGAGGGUAUAAUUAGAUUAACACAUUUAGAUUAUGUCACACAAUAUAAAUUUAAAUUUAAAAUUCAACUCAUGCACAUAUAACAUACGUCUAAAAACAUUCAAAACUUCUAGCGCAAAAAAAUCACUGAUGGUAUAUAAAAAGCUAAUUCUUAAAAUAAUAUUGCAAGAAGAAGCAAUUGCACCACAGCCUUGACGAUGAAAGUGUCAUCAGCCCCUAUCCUGGGAAAAAUUUCAAGCAACAAACCAAUAACAUUGUAGUCUGCAGCAGUUUCUUACUAUAAUUGUGCUUAGCCGGCCAGGUCCUCUGCCCCCUAAUAAUUGGCUUCGAAUCCCUGUCCCCAAAGUAGUCUCUUCCCACUGUCCCUUGUUUGUAUAGCCACCACGUGUGUCUAGCAUUUUAUUAAUCCAAAUUUAAAUAAACCGAUAAUAAUCGAUUUAUAAGUUUAUUCAAAAUCAAUUAAAAUAGAUAACUCAAAAAAAAAAUUUAUUUUCCUUUUAACAAAAAAGAGUCUUGUUGAUCAUACAUGAUCUGGUCAUUUGCAAGAGGAUUCGAAGCCCUAAUAAUUGCUCCUCAUUUGCAAGUGAUAAAAUAUGAUCAAGAACAUAAUGUCAUAUCGUCUUCUUGAAGAGGUUAGCAGCCGAAUCAGAGGGUACGUGCACAUUCUCAAUCCAAAGAGACUUUUUAGGCGCUAUAACAAGCAAAGUGGCCAACUCAAUUGUCUUCCCCUUUCAUUCCUUAACGGCUUAUGAAAUCAGAAAACUCAGCGGCAGAUGAACAGUUUACAAGCCUACGAACAAGCUUUAACACUCCAAGCAUGCAAUCUAAGUCCACAAAUAUCAAACAGCAGAGUAUAAAUUGAUUCUUCAUGAAUAUUCCAAGAAACGCUUCUGCUAAGGACUCAAGAGCCAACUCAAGCGGCAGGAAACCAUCUUUGGUUCUAACAUCUGCCUUUGCUCCAUAUGUAAGGAAUAACUAUGUCAUUGACGAAGAUAAUUCGAUUUCUGCCAAAUGCAACGGAUAGAGGUGACCGUUAUUUAUUUUGUUUUUGGGUUGACAAGGAAAUUCGUAGCCGCUACCCAAGAGUACACGCUGGAUAAAUUCCAUCCAUACAAUAACUUGUUAACCACACAGAGAGGUAUAACGCGCUAGACAAAUCCUGAACGACGAGAGCUGCCCCGGGUUGGCAAGAGGAAGUAGGACUACGGCUGUUAAGUCCACAAAAAUUUCACCCUUGGGAGCUGCUGUUCAGAAAGGCGAUUUUGACGUCCCCAAGAAAUACUCCCAUCGGUUCAAGGAGUUGGAAAUGGAUGGGAUAUAACGAGAGCUAAGAAUAGGGGUUAAAAUUAGGGUAAACUUCGGUACUCAACAAGGAUAGUAUUGAUAUUACAUAAUGAUAAGUGCUUAUAUUAUGAGUGGUGAUUGAUUUUCUGCAUUGCAGAAUUGACAAAUAGUAGGGAAAAAAUUAAUAAUGGGAAAUUCCUAUCAAAACUAAUUGCAGAGCUCUUUCCUAGGUACAUCAUAUUUCUGCACAACAGGCAAAGCUAGAGACGGAAAAUAACUGAAACUUUCACAACUUUCACAAACUUUCAUGAUUAUAUUACAGUAUACAUGAUACAGUACAUGAAUUCAACAAAUCUCUUAUACUAACAAAUAUUACAGGACAAAAAUUAUGCCAAAAGUCUAUAUAAAGAACACAUCAAACAGCUUUUAACAUGCUUUGUUUCCAACUAACUGAUCUUCACACAAUCAAGGCAAAUCAUAAUUGUUCUUUUUAUUAUAUGGUUCUUUGCCAGAGAUAAUUUGGUCCACAAAAUGACACUGGCUGCUAAGAUUCAUUACAUUUCAAGAAGAAGUUGAGGGGGUAUAGGAAGGAUUGAACACUUUCUGUUCAGCACAGCUGAGUACUUCAUUAGGCCCUGCCUCUUCUCGCCCAAUUCCCAAAAGGUCAAGGUAGUUUAGAUAAUGGGAGAUAAUGAUAUUCAUACUGUCAAUAUCACCUUGACCACAAACAGAAUCUCCAUAGAGGAGGUUCAUGGUUGUCCCAAAACCAGGAACUCGUUUUGCUUCAGUAUCAUUUUUGUUGGGCUUCCAGUUGCCAACAAAUGCAUCAUGAGCAGAAGGUAGUCCCUUUUUCUGGGGUUUCAUCCAUUGAUAUAUUGCAGCCUGGAAAGCCAGAGUCGCGUU
rnacentral:lncRNA from 1 species